rnacentral:lncRNA from 1 species
UAAGUUGUUCACAGCCAUCCAUGUGCAUAUAUAGUAAGUUAAUAACACAAAAUCCGAAUAAAUUUAUGCCACAACAAGGUUUAUGAUUAUUAUUUCAAAUAACUGAUGCGACAACAAAUAAAUUAAUCACGGACAUCCUAUGAUAUUAGCAAGGCGUUGUUGAGGAUGACAAGCAUGACCAACUCAUCAUUUUCUUUGAUGAGCGCCUCCGCACCAGGCAUAUCUAGAAGCUGGUACCAACACAUGACGAUAGGGCCGUAUUUCAUAUCCACACAGUCGGGCGGAUGCAAGAACUGCUGCCCACUCUUGUCACCUUGGUAGUCCUUGAUCAGGCCGUGUCAUACGUUGAGGCGUCUCACCACAUCUUCAUACUCCACCUCACAAUAACUGAGAAUGUGCAUUGCCACUGUUCCCUUCUUGGCAUCUUGAAGCUUUUGCUUGACCUUACCACUAGCGGCAGUGAUACAGCUCUUAAAGAUGUCGACAGUGACGAGCACUAAGUCACGGAGGUCCUUAGCCUCGGCACUUCGAUUGUCCGACUGAAGGGUGGACGAACAGAAUUCUUGCGUGACAGAUUCGUUGUAGGGUUUGUUGAUCAAGGCCUUCUUGCAUGCUUCCACCAUGAGCUUGGUCGCCUUGGGCUUGCCAGUAUCAGAGUGAAAGUGCAACUAUCCCUAGGUGGUUUUGGUAAUUCCUAACAACAUAUAGCUCAUUGAGCUAAUGCUAUUCCAAGAUGAAUUUUUCAGGUAAGCUCAAUGGUUGGCAUGGCAUGGAUUAGAAAAUGGACCCUUCAAAAUGCUAAGGACAAAAUAUUGGCUCAAGCUCAAAGCACAAGACUCUACAUUUUCUAUUUUUGUGAUCCAAGAUCACAUUGAGUCUAUAGGAAAAGCCAAUACUAUUAAGAAGGGAUGAGGUGUUGCUUAAUGAGGUGCUUGCUCAAAAUGCUUAGUGAUAUGCUCCAAAACCCUCCACUACUUUCUCAUAUCCACAUAUGUCCCAAACGUAAAAGUCCAAGUCGGCCCCACCGAUUCUUUCUAUCCGGAGCCACCGAGUUCAGUUGACAUAGCCAUUGCCAGAAACCCAAGUCUUUUCGGUCUCACUGAUAAGGAUCUCGGUCUCACCGAGAUGGGAUUGCAACCUCUCUGUUUCCCUUCAUAACGUUUCGGUCAAACCAAGAUGAGCGAUCGGUCCCACCGAGAUUGCAAUGCAAACACCCUGUUUCCUUUUCGUAACGUUUCGGUCCAACCGAGAUGAGCGAAUCGGUCCCACCGAGUUUGCCUAACCAACUCUCUGUUAGUCUAUUACCAAAAUCGGUCUCACCGAGUUUGUGUAAUCGGUCUCACCGAGAUUACGUUAUGCCCUAACCCUAAUGAAAUCGGUCCCACCGAGUUGACGUGGCGGUCCCACCAAAACACCUAACGGUCACAUUAUGAACCAAAUCGGUCUGACCGAGUUCUUUGAAUCGGUCCCACCGAGUUUGGUGAUUUGUGUGUAAUGGUUAGAUUUUGUGUGGAGGCUAUAUAUACCCCUCCACCCACUCUUCAUUCGUGGAGAGAGCCAUCAGAACAUGCCUACACUUUCAAUACAUAUUUUCUGAGAAAGAACCACCUACACUUGUGUUGAGGUCAAGAUAUUCCAUUCCAACAACAUAAAUCUUGAUCUCUAGCCUUCCCCAAGUUGUUUUCCACUCAAAUCUUCUUUCUACCAAAUCCAAUCCUUUGAGAGAGAGUUGAGUGUUGGGGAGACUAUCAUUUGAAGCACAAGAGCAAGGAUUUCAUCAUCAACACACCAUUUGUUACUUCUUGGAGAGUGGUGUCUCCUAGAUUGGCUAGGUGUCACUUGGGAGCCUCCGACAAGAUUGUGGAGUUCAACCAAGGAGUUUGUAAGGGCAAUGAGAUCGCCUACUUCAUGAAGAUCUACCCUAGUGAGGCAAGUCCUUCGUGGGCGACGGUCAUGGUGGGAUAGACAAGGUUGCUUCUUCGUGGACCCUUCGUGGGUGGAGCCCUCCGUAGAGUCGCGCAACCGUUACCCUUCGUGGGUUGAAGUCUCCAUCAACGUUGAUGUACGAUAGCACCACCUAUCGGAACCACGGAUAAAAAAUAUCCGUGUCAACAUUGUGUUUGCUCCCUAAAUCUCCUCCAUUUACCUUCAUAUGCAAUUGUUUUACAUUUCGCUGCUAUACUCUUAGAAUUGCAUGUGUAGGUUGAUUGCUUGACUUGUGCUAAGUUGCUAAAAUCUGCUAAGAACUAAAAUUGGGAAAAGGCUAGAUUUUGAUUUGGUCAAGUAGUCUAAUCACCCCCCCCUCUAGACAUACUUCCGAUCCUACACAGAGCCACUAGCAUGAGCGGAAAAAAGGAAGAAGAUGAUGGUGGAGAGGACGAUGCACUAGUAGAAAAAGGGUCAAACGUGAAGCACAUUAGUGCCGGUUUGAAUUUGAGCCGGCACUAAUGGUACCAUUAGUGCCGGUUCGAACGGCUAUGCAUUAAUGCCGGUUCAUGUUGAACCUUUACUACCAGUUCGUGGCACGAACCGGUACUAAAGGGGUGAUCGCAAGCUGGCGUCAGGCCGGGGCCCCACGAUCACCUUUAGUACCGGUUCGUGUCACAAACCGGUACUAAAGGACAAACCUACCGGUUAGCCCUUUAGUACCGGUUUGUGCNNNNNNNNNNNNNNNNNNNNNNNNNNNNNNNNNNNNNNNNNNNNNNNNNNNNNNNNNNNNNNNNNNNNNNNNNNNNNNNNNNNNNNNNNNNNNNNNNNNNNNNNNNNNNNNNNNNNNNNNNNNNNNNNNNNNNNNNNNNNNNNNNNNNNNNNNNNNNNNNNNNNNNNNNNNNNNNNNNNNNNNNNNNNNNNNNNNNNNNNNNNNNNNNNNNNNNNNNNNNNNNNNNNNNNNNNNNNNNNNNNNNNNNNNNNNNNNNNNNNNNNNNNNNNNNNNNNNNNNNNNNNNNNNNNNNNNNNNNNNNNNNNNNNNNNNNNNNNNNNNNNNNNNNNNNNNNNNNNNNNNNNNNNNNNNNNNNNNNNNNNNNNNNNNNNNNNNNAAAAAAUCAAAAGAAAAUGAUAAAAACUUCAAAAAAUAAAAUCCUUCGAGAGGUAGUUAUAUUACUACAUCUACUAGUUAGGAAAAUUUGAAAACUUAAAUUUGGACAUGUUUUGCAAAAAGUGUAGGGAAAAUGUAAAACGACUAUAACUUUUGCAUACGAUGUCGGAAAAAAACGUAUAAUAUAUCAAAAAAUUCAGCACGAAAAUCCGCAUCCGAUGGAGACCGCCCAAGGCUUGUUUGCAAUUUUCUAGAAUUCUCAAAUUCCAAAAGAAAAAAAAGAUAUGGUCAAAUUUAAGUUUUUUUAAAAUUUUUUUGUUAAAUCUGGUCAAACUACUUAUUCAAGAAGUAUUAAUGUUACUACAUAAUUAUUCAAGAAUAUUAGUGUUACUAAAUAAUUAUUUCAAUUUUUUGAAUUUUGGUCAAAUCUGGUCAAACUAUGGUCAAACUGUGGUCAAACUAUGGUCAAACUUAUUCAAGAAAUAUUAGUGUUACUAAAUAAUUACUGUUUUUUAGAAUAAUAGUUUCAAACUCAAACAGUGAAAUGUGUGACUUCAUGCUCAAGCUAAACUCCCGAGGGUUAAUAGGAUUGGCAUCUUACUAUUGUCAGGAAAACAACAAGUGCAGACUUGGAAACGAGGAAGAAUAGAACCUGAAAAUUAAGCGUGCUUGGGUUGGAGUAGUGAGAGGGAUGGGUGACCGGUCGGGAAGUUAGAUGAUUUGGAAUGAGUGAUCCACACUUGAGCAGUUAAGAGAGGUGAUUAGAGACUAAAUCACCAAAUAAUUCAGAAAAAUUAAAAAUUGAAAAAAUAAAAAAAUUCCAAUUUUUUUAAAAAAAAUCAAAAAAAUACCUUUUGUACCGGUUGGUAACACCAACCGGUACUAAAGGUCCCCCAUACCAGGGCGCGAGCUCACGCCACGUGGUGGCACUUUAGCGCCGGUUCGUGCCGAACCGGUACUAAAGAGGGGGGGCCUUUAGUGCCCACCAAUUAGUGCUGGUUAUGGAACCGACACUAAAGGCCCUUACGAACCUGUUUUAAAGCUCCGCUUUCUACUAGUGAUGGUAGUCCUUGGCAUUACUACCAUUACUGCAGGGCUAGCUAGAAGCCUUGAAGUACUGAAGCACUGAGAGGGAGGUGGAGAAAAAUAGACAGAGAAGCACGUGUAUUGCAGAGAUGGAUGGAUGGAUGAAGGUGAUGUACAUGAGGCUGGGAAUUCUUUAUAAUGCCUGCAAUGGGGUAUCAUAAAUGCAGUAUGCAGGUGUGGUCCUGAAUAUGUGUACUAUCGGUGUCCAGUAAAUGCUGAAUGCUCAAUUUGGAUCUCUACAUAUUAAUGCUCUCUCUAUGUUCCAGAAACACACGGAUGCUCACUAUAGAUCUUAUUGUAGUAACACACAUCUUAUUUAUAUGAAUCCAUUAAUGCAACGUAGCUUGAUCACGGAUAUCCCAAAUGAUUUGUGUGCACUGAAUGCCCAUACAUAUGUGGAUACUCAUUUUGGUACGUCUUAUUUGCAUUGGUGUUUUCUAAACAUCAUUUUGUAUAACUGAUUUGUUACUUCUACAUCGCUUUGGGGGCUGAUUAUAUUUGCCCUCAUCAAGUCUAUGAUUGCUCAUUUUUUCUUUCCAAUUUUUGAGUAGUUACAGAUAAUUCUAAGGGAGCAGUCACUUAGUUAACUUGGCCACAGAAUAAUUUUUUUGUUAAAAUAUCAAAAAUUUAUAUUUUAUAUUUUUGUUUUUCCAAGUCGAUUAUUGUCUGAUGGGUUGACUUUUACAACAGUUGUAUUCCCCUAGUUAAAAAUCACAACUUAUUUUAGGGAUUAAACGAUGCCAGCCGAACUAACAUAUCAUCCGUAUGCACUGUCAAAAAAUAUGCAUGUUUACUGCCCACCACCUAAGAAAAUCAAAAAAAAAUGUUGUCGAUACCAAGACGUCACAAUAUGGGUUAAUUCAGUUUCGCUUCUCGUUACUACUACUUAGGGCAUCUCCAGCCGCGCCCCCAGGAAGGCCUUCCCAGGCGUUUUUCUUUUGCGCCGGCGCCGAAAAAUCGGUCCAGUCGCGUCCCCAGGAGCCCGAUUUUCGCCGGCUUGGGCCGAAAACAGCGCCGGCGGACCAAGGCCGAACCCGGCACGCUGGGGGGCGCCCGGGCGAACUGUUUUGGCGCGAAACAGCCGCGGGCCCGCCGCGUCAGCGACUCUACCCUCUUCUCGGCCCUUCGUCGUCCUCAUCGCCUCGUUUCCCGCGACGAAUCAAUGCCAAAGCUGCCGCGCUGCCGUGCCGGUCAGCCUGCGCCAUUGAUGCCUCACGAGCGGCGCAGUGAAGACCGGAUGACGCGCGUCCCUCGCCCUCCCUCGCCCGCCACGCGUACUCACGGCGGCUCACGCACGGGCGGCGCCUCGGCCUAUAUAAGACGCGCCCCAGAGCACUCGGCGACUCGUACUCUCUCGCCGUUGUCGUUCCUCCCUCGCCUCUCUCUCGCCAUCGUCGUUCCUCCCUCUCCUCUCUCUCGCCAUCUCCAGCACCCAUGGCCGAGCGCUUCCCAGGCGACGGCGCGGCGGCGAACGGCUUCGGCCGCCGCCAUCUUCACGAGAGCGAGGCUCGCCUCCUUUUCGAGGCCGAGUACCCGGUCCCGCCGGACAUGCGGGUACCCGGGGCGUGGAGGAUCAGCGCCGGCGGCGUGCCGGUGCCCCCGAUACCCACCGGCGCGGCGCGGCGUGCGGAGAUCGCACGCAUCCACUCGUCCCUGCCGCGUGCGGCGAGGGAGGGGCCACGGUACGUCCCCAACAGCCCGCUCUGGGAGCCCUACUUCCGCCGCCGUCACGCCGAGCAGCUCGAGGCCACCAACGGCGUCGAGCCCUCCGGCAGGCUCAACGCCGUCGGCCGGCGUCGGUGGUGGGGCGUGCCCGAGCGCACGUUGGAGGCCGUCCUCGAGUACAUCGAGGGCGGCAACACGCCGCGUCUCGAGUACCCCUCUCCCCCGUCCUUCACACGCCGCAGGGGAAGCUCCUGGACCCCGAGGCGCAUGGAGACCGGGGGGUCCUCCUCCUCGUCCAGCGGCUCCCCCUGCCUCCACCUCCGCCCCAUCAAGCCGGAGCCCCAGGGCGCGCCUGUCAGCGCGCGCACCCGCAGCUCCGGCGUCCGCAUCGACGACAACGCCUCCCCCACCGGCCGCUUCGUCCUCGUCGAGCCCAUGCCGGAGCCCGGCCUCCCCGUGGAGUACGAGGAGAUAGCCCGGCGUGGCUUCUCCGACGAGGACACCCUGCGGUGGGCGCGGGACGACUACCUCCGCGACGAGAUGGUCCGGCAGCGCCGGGCCCUGGAGGAGAUCGCCGCCCGCAAGGGUGGGCGCGAGGACGAGCACGGCAUCGUGGUCCUCAGCGACAACGACGACGAUGACGCCCCCGGACCGUCCAACCCGCCGCGCCAACCGGGGGAGGGAUGCAGCAGGGACGGCGGAGGCGUCGGCGGGGGCGACGACGCCGACGACGACGCCGACGACGGUGACUACACGCGGUUCUACCGCCUCCUCGGCAUGUAGAACUGCGUGGGCGGGCGGCGAGGCGGGCGGCGAGGGAGACGGCGGGGGUAGCCCGCGGUAGUUUUUCCCUUUUUUUGUAAAGUAUGUUUAAAUUUAAAUGAACUCGCAGAUGUUUGCGUUAAAUUUGAGUCGUGUUUGUGCCGUAUUUAACUUUUUUAAAAUCCCGUGGGGGGCCGCGACUGGGGGGCACCACGCCCCCAGUGCGCGGUUUAGCGCCGGUGCGUCCUCAGGGGGCGAUUUUUUGCCCCUCUUGGGGGGCCAACAGCUGGAGAUGCCCUUAGUAGGAAGGAAAAGAGCUAGUGAUCAUAAGGAGGUAACCUGUAUCAUAGGUACAUGAUGCACACGUACAUGCCAGAUAUGAUAUAUAGACAGAGUUAAUUAUGAUUAUCACUCAAUAAUUUUUCUUUAUGGAUAUCCAAAUUUAUGUUCAGAAUCAACAUUUCUACGUCAUUCUUUUUUGGGGAUUUUUUUACUUAGUAAUCACAUGGAUAUUUAGAACUUUCUUGUGCUAAUUAUGUACUCUCUUUAGCGUAUGUUACAAUGCAUGGUUUUCUCGGUUACUUUAGAAAAGGCAUGUCUUUCUCUAUUCCAAACUUCUCAUAGAUGCAGUUAGGUUUCGUAAAAGUUUACAAUGUCAGCCAACAUGAAAAAGGAUAAAAGUAUCAUCAUUUGCACAUUUUUUUAACCUGCUUCGCUAUUUAUAUUUAUAUGGAUAUUCACUUUGCGAUUUAUAUUUUCCCAAUUCGCUACACAAGCGCAGAACAAAAGUUUGAGAAAAUAAAUGCAAACUGUGUAAAACAAAAUGUGUAGGCACAAAAUUAAAAAUAUAGUCUAACUCUGAACAUGCCUAUAUAACCUCUUAUUUGCAUACGUUCUUUUAAACAUAGCAUGGACAGGGAGUCAUUUCGCGAACCACAUUACAUUAUAAUAAAUGAAUUUGUUUUUUCUCGGUCACAGGGUAACUGUUAUUUCUAUGUCGACCAGUUGUAGCUUGAAAGAAAGUGUCAUAAAACAAUUAUGUUACUCCCUCCUCCUCCAUAAUCUAGUGCGUAUAGAUUUUUCUAAAAGUCAAACUUUCCAAACAUUGAGCAAGUUUAUAGAAAAACUAUUUAUAUCUACAAUAGCAAAUAUAUUUAACAUGAAACUACAUCUUAUGAUGAAUCUAAUGAUAUAUAUUUGUCAUUCUAGAUGUAAAUGUUUUUCUUCACAAAUUUGGUCAAACUUUGUGAGGUUUGACUUUUAAAAAAAUCACUAUACUACGGAAAGGGGGUAGAAUAUUUUUUGUAUAGAAGUGUGCAACACACGUUUUGACAAACUCUAAGAUUAAUGUUGGAUAUUAUUUCUUAGAAAAUUAACUAUCUAAUUCUCGUUAAACAAAGAAUCAAUAGUCUAGGAAAAUGCGAGCACCAUUGUCAAGUCUAGGACUUGAAACCUAGAUGGGCUGGGGAUAUCAUUGUCCUCCUAACCAUUCANNNNNNNNNNUGUAGCAAGGAUAGAAAGUACAAUAAACUUUCAAGCACAUUAAUCUGAAAAGAAAUCCUCUUAUGAUUUUCUUUGCACAAAUAUGAUUGUGAAAUACGAUUAAUCUAUCACACAACUCCAAUUCAAUCGUGAAAGAUUUUCUUUAAGAAUUUAUUGGUUAAUACAAGAAUAUAAAAUACAAAUAACCUAUGGUGCUUAGCGUAAUCAAGAAUUGCAGAAAUCAAACUUUGAUAUAUUGUUUGCUACAGUGUUACAUACUACUUCUCCAAAUAAUUCUUUUUAGUCUGCAUAUAAGAUUUGCCUGAAGUCAAACUUCAUAAAGUUUGAGCAUAUUUAUAUUAAAAAAUAUUAACAUGUACAAUACUAAAGUCACAGAGUAUAAAAUUAAAAUUCAUGCCGCAUUUAAUGAUAUUGAUUACACAUUGAGAAUAUUGAUAUUUUUUCUGUAAGUUGGUCAAACUUUACGUUGUUUUACUUCAAAUAAAUCUUCUAUACAGAGUAAAAUAUCUGGCGGGAGUAUUUAAUAUUAGAAGUGCUAGCCCGUGCUGAUGCACGGGUUGAUGACUAGUAGAUUAUUAACUAUCAAAGUCAUAUGGCCCUAGCAAGACAUUGUUCAGGCUGCCCAGCUUGAUCAACUCCUCGUUAUCGUUGAUAACUGUCUGGCUUUCCAUGGGAAGCUCAUGCCGGCAGUCGCUGACAUGGUCAGUCGCCUUCUCCACACACUCGGGCAGUUCAAAGAACCACGGGCCGUCGGCGUCGCCCAUGGGGACAUGGAAGUCCCUGAGCAUGGCGUCGCAGAGGCCGAGGGUACCGAUAGCAGCAUCGUAAUCCACCUGGCAAUACCUGAGGCCGAGCGCCUCCUCCGUACCUUUCUUGGCUUUCUGGAGUGCUUCCUUCACCUUGCCGCCGGCAGCCGCCACGUGGAUCUUGAGGAUGUCAACGGCGACGAGCGACAGGUCGCGGAGGUCCUUGGACUCAGAGCUCCUUUUGUCGGACCGGAGAGUCUGCACGCAGAAUUCCUGGGUGACGUUCAGGUGCUUGUUGCGGCAGCUGCUCGAAGCAUUCUUGCAGGUUUCUACCACGAGGUCUACCACCUUGACCUUGUCGCUGCGCCGCCGGCAUGUGCGCCGAUGCACACAAAAAGGAGCAUGAUUGCAACCAAGAAGGCAGCGGUCGCCCGUGUGGUUGCCAUUGCUGCAAGGAUAGCUGCAAUUGUAUUGUAGGCUUUGUAGCUGAGAGAGAGGUGAAGAUGAAUUGAUAGUCAGAUUUUGUAGUGCAAAGAUGGAGGUGGUGUACGGUUCUUGUGACAUCUAUAUAGUGCAGCAGCAGGUUCAUAAAUCCAAUGCAGCUUAGUCACGGAUAUCCAAAUAAUUAGUAUUUCAGACACUAUAUGCACAGAUAUGUGUUGGAAAAAUGAGCAAAUUACUACGAGAUUUAAUACGAAUAAAUAGGAAAUAGAUCAUGACAGCAAUAGCAGAGAUUAAACUAAUCAUGCGAACUAGCAUACUAGAUGAACAGAUCACAUCUAGGGCAUAUACUAGAAACAUGAGUUCUACCACGAUCUCGAACAAGAAAGAUAAAAUAACAUACGGUGCCGCGGGUGAAGCACCGACGGCGUUGACGUUGUCGCCCAUGUCGUCGAGGAUGAGGUUGCCGAGGUCGGGGAAGAAGUCGUCGUUCGCGAAGUCGUCGCUGCCAGCAGUCGCGCGAGUGCGCUCCCCAAAAACCUGAUCGCCCCUCUCCCAUACAGGAUCACGAGAGGCGGGGUUCUAGAGGCCUGCUGUCCCUUCUCCCGAUGCACGCCGAAACGAGGGAUGGAGAAGACUUGCUUGGCGGCGCAAUGAUCUGGAACGGUGGUCAGAAACCAUACGAAGCGGCGACGGCUAGGGUAGACGUCUGCCUGACUAUAUAGUGCGGGCCGGGUAGGUCGUGGGAGUAAACCCCACGUCCGAGUCAUCACGAUCCAAAAGAAUCGGAAAUGGUUCAGUAAUUAACGAGUCCCUUAAUUAUUAAUUAAUGACUCAUUAAUUUUUCCCGAGCAGCAAAAAUAUAGACAAUGUGCAUAGCUCUGUCCUCGGCUUGCCUCAAUCCCGCGGCGUGGCGAGGCGAGCGAGGAGGAGGAGCGCGCGUGUAGGUCUCCUCUUCUCAUGCUCAUACAAGUGGUAGAAGAGCUCACCUUAUAAAGAGGUGCAACUCUCUCUCAACUUCCGGGGUGGGACUAAACUUUAGUCUCACCCACUCCACUCACAUGUGUGCAUGAAUGGGCCAAGAGAAUUUCAGAAUUUUAGUUGGGCUUUGGGCCAAAGGCCUACUAGCAAAAUUCCAACAAUCCCCCACAAAGUCUCAUUGGCACAUCUCAUCAUUUAGUUCCAAAACAUUGUUUAUAUAUCGGUGCUUAGUGGAGACUGUGAAGUUGAACUUCCACUUAAAGAUUUAUGCUACACUAGAUCACAACUUGAAUAGUGGACUAUGCCUUGAACUACAAGUUUUCUGCGAAACUAGUUUCACACAAAUUCUUGACCGAUAGUGGGCUGCCGUAAGGCUUCCCCGCGGGUGGAGCGUAUACGCCGUACUCCAGGGCAUUUUCAUGAAUUUAUUAGAGAACACCCAAUUCUCACAGACUGCGACGUUAACAGUCAAAUUCAUAUAGGUGUGUUCCUCAGAAGAUGUUCUGCAGGACAACAUCUCUGCUUACCCGAAUAAGCCACUUGGAACACAUUAAGAUAAGUAUCAACCUGCCAUGCAGAUCAGGAGAGUAUUGCAUCUUCACGGAGUGGGAUAGUUAAUAUAGGGAUACUCUCCUCCCAGCUGACCAACAGCUUGUCUCCCACUUCUACUUCACGGGAUCUCCGAUCACAUAGAGUGGGUUACCACUAUGNNNNNNNNNNUGUAGCAAGGAUAGAAAGUACAAUAAACUUUCAAGCACAUUAAUCUGAAAAGAAAUCCUCUUAUGAUUUUCUUUGCACAAAUAUGAUUGUGAAAUACGAUUAAUCUAUCACACAACUCCAAUUCAAUCGUGAAAGAUUUUCUUUAAGAAUUUAUUGGUUAAUACAAGAAUAUAAAAUACAAAUAACCUAUGGUGCUUAGCGUAAUCAAGAAUUGCAGAAAUCAAACUUUGAUAUAUUGUUUGCUACAGUGUUACAUACUACUUCUCCAAAUAAUUCUUUUUAGUCUGCAUAUAAGAUUUGCCUGAAGUCAAACUUCAUAAAGUUUGAGCAUAUUUAUAUUAAAAAAUAUUAACAUGUACAAUACUAAAGUCACAGAGUAUAAAAUUAAAAUUCAUGCCGCAUUUAAUGAUAUUGAUUACACAUUGAGAAUAUUGAUAUUUUUUCUGUAAGUUGGUCAAACUUUACGUUGUUUUACUUCAAAUAAAUCUUCUAUACAGAGUAAAAUAUCUGGCGGGAGUAUUUAAUAUUAGAAGUGCUAGCCCGUGCUGAUGCACGGGUUGAUGACUAGUAGAUUAUUAACUAUCAAAGUCAUAUGGCCCUAGCAAGACAUUGUUCAGGCUGCCCAGCUUGAUCAACUCCUCGUUAUCGUUGAUAACUGUCUGGCUUUCCAUGGGAAGCUCAUGCCGGCAGUCGCUGACAUGGUCAGUCGCCUUCUCCACACACUCGGGCAGUUCAAAGAACCACGGGCCGUCGGCGUCGCCCAUGGGGACAUGGAAGUCCCUGAGCAUGGCGUCGCAGAGGCCGAGGGUACCGAUAGCAGCAUCGUAAUCCACCUGGCAAUACCUGAGGCCGAGCGCCUCCUCCGUACCUUUCUUGGCUUUCUGGAGUGCUUCCUUCACCUUGCCGCCGGCAGCCGCCACGUGGAUCUUGAGGAUGUCAACGGCGACGAGCGACAGGUCGCGGAGGUCCUUGGACUCAGAGCUCCUUUUGUCGGACCGGAGAGUCUGCACGCAGAAUUCCUGGGUGACGUUCAGGUGCUUGUUGCGGCAGCUGCUCGAAGCAUUCUUGCAGGUUUCUACCACGAGGUCUACCACCUUGACCUUGUCGCUGCGCCGCCGGCAUGUGCGCCGAUGCACACAAAAAGGAGCAUGAUUGCAACCAAGAAGGCAGCGGUCGCCCGUGUGGUUGCCAUUGCUGCAAGGAUAGCUGCAAUUGUAUUGUAGGCUUUGUAGCUGAGAGAGAGGUGAAGAUGAAUUGAUAGUCAGAUUUUGUAGUGCAAAGAUGGAGGUGGUGUACGGUUCUUGUGACAUCUAUAUAGUGCAGCAGCAGGUUCAUAAAUCCAAUGCAGCUUAGUCACGGAUAUCCAAAUAAUUAGUAUUUCAGACACUAUAUGCACAGAUAUGUGUUGGAAAAAUGAGCAAAUUACUACGAGAUUUAAUACGAAUAAAUAGGAAAUAGAUCAUGACAGCAAUAGCAGAGAUUAAACUAAUCAUGCGAACUAGCAUACUAGAUGAACAGAUCACAUCUAGGGCAUAUACUAGAAACAUGAGUUCUACCACGAUCUCGAACAAGAAAGAUAAAAUAACAUACGGUGCCGCGGGUGAAGCACCGACGGCGUUGACGUUGUCGCCCAUGUCGUCGAGGAUGAGGUUGCCGAGGUCGGGGAAGAAGUCGUCGUUCGCGAAGUCGUCGCUGCCAGCAGUCGCGCGAGUGCGCUCCCCAAAAACCUGAUCGCCCCUCUCCCAUACAGGAUCACGAGAGGCGGGGUUCUAGAGGCCUGCUGUCCCUUCUCCCGAUGCACGCCGAAACGAGGGAUGGAGAAGACUUGCUUGGCGGCGCAAUGAUCUGGAACGGUGGUCAGAAACCAUACGAAGCGGCGACGGCUAGGGUAGACGUCUGCCUGACUAUAUAGUGCGGGCCGGGUAGGUCGUGGGAGUAAACCCCACGUCCGAGUCAUCACGAUCCAAAAGAAUCGGAAAUGGUUCAGUAAUUAACGAGUCCCUUAAUUAUUAAUUAAUGACUCAUUAAUUUUUCCCGAACAGCAAAAAUAUAGACAAUGUGCAUAGCUCUGUCCUCGGCUUGCCUCAAUCCCGCGGCGUGGCGUGGCGUGGCGAGGCGAGCGAGGAGGAGGAGCGCGCGUGUAGGUCUCCUCUUCUCAUGCUCAUACAAGUGGUAGAAGAGCUCACCUUAUAAAGAGGUGCAACUCUCUCUCAACUUCCGGGGUGGGACUAAACUUUAGUCUCACCCACUCCACUCACAUGUGUGCAUGAAUGGGCCAAGAGAAUUUCAGAAUUUUAGUUGGGCUUUGGGCCAAAGGCCUACUAGCAAAAUUCCAACAAUCCCCCACAAAGUCUCAUUGGCACAUCUCAUCAUUUAGUUCCAAAACAUUGUUUAUAUAUCGGUGCUUAGUGGAGACUGUGAAGUUGAACUUCCACUUAAAGAUUUAUGCUACACUAGAUCACAACUUGAAUAGUGGACUAUGCCUUGAACUACAAGUUUUCUGCGAAACUAGUUUCACACAAAUUCUUGACCGAUAGUGGGCUGCCGUAAGGCUUCCCCGCGGGUGGAGCGUAUACGCCGUACUCCAGGGCAUUUUCAUGAAUUUAUUAGAGAACACCCAAUUCUCACAGACUGCGACGUUAACAGUCAAAUUCAUAUAGGUGUGUUCCUCAGAAGAUGUUCUGCAGGACAACAUCUCUGCUUACCCGAAUAAGCCACUUGGAACACAUUAAGAUAAGUAUCAACCUGCCAUGCAGAUCAGGAGAGUAUUGCAUCUUCACGGAGUGGGAUAGUUAAUAUAGGGAUACUCUCCUCCCAGCUGACCAACAGCUUGUCUCCCACUUCUACUUCACGGGAUCUCCGAUCACAUAGAGUGGGUUACCACUAUGNNNNNNNNNNNNAGUGAUAGUAGCACCUGAGUUGUGGUCAGUCUAGCCACGGGUGAGUAAGUAUCAAAGAAGUAUUCACCUUCUUUCUGGGUAUAACCCUUAGCCACAAGCCGUGCCUUGUUCUUUUCAAUCGUACCAUCAGGUCUAAGAUUCUUCUUGAACACCCACUUACAUCCUAAAGGUUUGCACCCAUAAGGACGGCCAGUGAUCUCCCAGGUUCCGUUAGCUAAGAUGGAAUCCAUCUCGCUACGUACAGCUUCCUUCCAGUAGUCAGCAUCAGGAGAUGCAUAGGCUUCUGAAAUAGUCCUGGGUGUGUCAUCCACGAGGUACACAAUGAAAUCAUCACCAAAGGACUUUGCAGUCCUCUGUCUCUUACUCCUCACAGGAGUUCCAUUGUCACCCUCAACAGGAUUCUCAACGUGUUCCAUUGCAAUGGUGGGUUCAGGAAUUACAGUGAAUUCCUCACUAGAUGGAGUAGGUAUCUCCUGAUUUGAUGAACUCGACAUAUCCUUCAUAGGAAAUAUGUCCUCAAAGAAAGUUGCAUCAUUCGACUCCAUAAUCGUACCAACAUGCAUGUUGGAUACCUCAAAUUUUAUUAUCAAAAAUCUAUAGCCGAUGCUAUGAAAAGCAUAGCCCAGAAGAACACAAUCCAUGGUUUUUGGUCCAAGCUUGCGCUUCUUGGGAAUUGGUAUAUUGACUUUCUCCAAACAACCCCAAGUACGUAGGAAAGAGAGUUUCAACCUUUUUUUCCCAUUCCUCAAAUGGAGUCAUGGUCUUAUGCUUUGUGGGAACUCGGUUUACGACAUGACACGCAGUCAUUAGCGCCUCCCCCCACCAUUCCUUGGAUAGACCCGAAGUGUCUAACAUGGUGUUAACCAUAUCAGUUAGAGUUCGGUUCUUUCUUUCGGCUACCCCAUUUGACUGGGGUGAGUAGGGAGGCGUCCUCUCAUGGAUUAUACCAUGUUCCGCACAAAACAGAUCAAAUUCGUUGGAAAAAUACUCUCCACCACGAUCAUACCUAAGCCGUUUAAUUUUUCGAUCAAGUUGGUUCUCUGCCUCAGCUUUAUAGUUUUUGAAGAAAGUAAAAGCCUCAUAUUUUGAUUUCAGAAGAUACACAUAACAAUUUUUGAGGAACGUAGCAAUAAUUCAAAAUUUUCCUACGUGUCACCAAGAUCAAUCUAUGGAGUCAUCUCACAACGAGGGAGGAGUGGAUCUACAUACCCUUGUAGAUCGCGCGCGGAAGCGUUCAAGAGAACGGGGUUGAUGGAGUCGUACUCGUCGUGAUCCAAAUCACCGAUGAUCCUAGCGCCGAACGGACGGCACCUCCGCGUUCAACACACGUACGGAGCAGCGACCUCUCCUCCUUCUUGAUCCAGCAAGGGGGGGAGGAGAGGUUGAUGGAGAUCCAGCAGCACGACGGCGUGGUGGUGAAAGUAGCGGGAUUCCAACAGGGCUUUGCCAAGCGCUGCGGGAGGAGGGAGAUGUGUCAUGGGAGGGAGAGGGAGGCGCCAGGGCUUAGAUGAGGCUGCCCUCCCUUCCCCCCACUAUAUAUAGGGCCAAGAGAGGGGGGGCGCAGCCUUGGCCCUUCCUCCAAGGAAGGGUGCGGCCAGGGAGGAGUCCUUCCUCCCCAAGGCACCUAGGAGGUGCCUUCCCCUUUUAGGACUCUUCCUUUCCCUUAUCUCUUGGCGCAUGGGCCUCUUGGGGCUGGUGCCCUUGGCNNNNNNNNNNGGCGUGGCGAGGCGAGCGAGGAGGAGGAGCGCGCGUGUAGGUCUCCUCUUCUCAUGCUCAUACAAGUGGUAGAAGAGCUCACCUUAUAAAGAGGUGCAACUCUCUCUCAACUUCCGGGGUGGGACUAAACUUUAGUCUCACCCACUCCACUCACAUGUGUGCAUGAAUGGGCCAAGAGAAUUUCAGAAUUUUAGUUGGGCUUUGGGCCAAAGGCCUACUAGCAAAAUUCCAACAAUCCCCCACAAAGUCUCAUUGGCACAUCUCAUCAUUUAGUUCCAAAACAUUGUUUAUAUAUCGGUGCUUAGUGGAGACUGUGAAGUUGAACUUCCACUUAAAGAUUUAUGCUACACUAGAUCACAACUUGAAUAGUGGACUAUGCCUUGAACUACAAGUUUUCUGCGAAACUAGUUUCACACAAAUUCUUGACCGAUAGUGGGCUGCCGUAAGGCUUCCCCGCGGGUGGAGCGUAUACGCCGUACUCCAGGGCAUUUUCAUGAAUUUAUUAGAGAACACCCAAUUCUCACAGACUGCGACGUUAACAGUCAAAUUCAUAUAGGUGUGUUCCUCAGAAGAUGUUCUGCAGGACAACAUCUCUGCUUACCCGAAUAAGCCACUUGGAACACAUUAAGAUAAGUAUCAACCUGCCAUGCAGAUCAGGAGAGUAUUGCAUCUUCACGGAGUGGGAUAGUUAAUAUAGGGAUACUCUCCUCCCAGCUGACCAACAGCUUGUCUCCCACUUCUACUUCACGGGAUCUCCGAUCACAUAGAGUGGGUUACCACUAUGGACAACUCAUGCGGUGGGUCUCAAACCCAUCUCCAUCGAUGCAUUAUCUAUCACAUUAUGUGAUAGACCCUUUGUGAAGGGAUCUGUCAUGUUUUUCGAUGUUUGGAUAUAAUCCAACGUAAUAACUCCGGAGUUCCUCAAUUUUCUGACAGAUUUUUGUCUCCUCUUCACAUGUCUUGAGGACUUCAUAUUGUCCUUCGAACUGUUUAUCUUGACAAUCACAGUUUGAUUAUCAUAGUUCAUCAGGAUAGGGGGUAUUGGUUUUUCAACCAUAGGUAAGUCCAUCAAGAGUUCACGAAGCCACUCUGCUUCAACAGUGGUAGUGUCUAAUGCUGUGAGUUCUGCUUCCAUAGUUGACCUCGUUAAGAUGGUCUGCUUGCAAGACUUCCAGGAAACAGCGCCACCACCAAGUGUAAAAACAUAACCACUCGUGGGCUUUAUCUCAUAGCAUUAGAUAUCCAGUUUGAGUCACUAUAACCCUCCAGUACCCUUGGAUACCCGGUGUAGUGAAUCCCAUAACUCGCGGUGCCUUUCAAAUAGCGAAUAACUCUCUCAAGAGCAUGCCAAUGAUCAUCUCCCGGUUUUGACACAAACCGACUCAGCUUGCUCACAGCAAAUACAUAAGCGAGCCAAUAAUCUAAGAAUACCUCAGUUGAUCUCUAGCAAUCCGUGAUUCUUUCGAAGCAACACACUAGCAUCAUACGGAGUUGGAGAAGGUGUGCAGUCCCUAUACCCAAAACGACUCAAGACCUUUUUCACAUAGUGAGACUGAAGUAGUGUGAUCCCACCAUUCUCAUCUCUCAACAGCUUGAUGUUUAAGAUAACAUCAGCUACUCCUAGAUCCUUCAUCUCAAAACAGUGAGAUAAGAAAUCCUUAACCUCCUUGAUUAAAUCAAGUUUGGUUCCAAAGAUCAAUAUGUCGUCGACAUGCAGACAAAGAAUAACUCCUUCACCCCCACCAUAGCGAUAGUACACGCACUUGUCACCAUCGUUUACUACAAAGCCGGCAGCAGUUAAUGUCCUUUAGAACUUCUCAUGCCACUCCUUAGGAGCUUGUUUAAGGCCAUAUAAAGACUUUAAUAACUUGCACACCUUUCCUUCCUGACCAAGUACUACAAAACCAUCUGGCUGAUCCAUGUAAAUUUUCUCCUUCAACUCUCCAUUGAGGAAAGCCGUCUUGACGUCCAUUUGAUGAACGAGAAGACCAUAUGAGGCAGCCAGUGAUAGUAGCACCUGAGUUGUGGUCAGUCUAGCCACGGGUGAGUAAGUAUCAAAGAAGUAUUCACCUUCUUUCUGGGUAUAACCCUUAGCCACAAGCCGUGCCUUGUUCUUUUCAAUCGUACCAUCAGGUCUAAGAUUCUUCUUGAACACCCACUUACAUCCUAAAGGUUUGCACCCAUAAGGACGGCCAGUGAUCUCCCAGGUUCCGUUAGCUAAGAUGGAAUCCAUCUCGCUACGUACAGCUUCCUUCCAGUAGUCAGCAUCAGGAGAUGCAUAGGCUUCUGAAAUAGUCCUGGGUGUGUCAUCCACGAGGUACACAAUGAAAUCAUCACCAAAGGACUUUGCAGUCCUCUGUCUCUUACUCCUCACAGGAGUUCCAUUGUCACCCUCAACAGGAUUCUCAACGUGUUCCAUUGCAAUGGUGGGUUCAGGAAUUACAGUGAAUUCCUCACUAGAUGGAGUAGGUAUCUCCUGAUUUGAUGAACUCGACAUAUCCUUCAUAGGAAAUAUGUCCUCAAAGAAAGUUGCAUCAUUCGACUCCAUAAUCGUACCAACAUGCAUGUUGGAUACCUCAAAUUUUAUUAUCAAAAAUCUAUAGCCGAUGCUAUGAAAAGCAUAGCCCAGAAGAACACAAUCCAUGGUUUUUGGUCCAAGCUUGCGCUUCUUGGGAAUUGGUAUAUUGACUUUCUCCAAACAACCCCAAGUACGUAGGAAAGAGAGUUUCAACCUUUUUUCCCAUUCCUCAAAUGGAGUCAUGGUCUUAUGCUUUGUGGGAACUCGGUUUACGACAUGACACGCAGUCAUUAGCGCCUCCCCCCACCAUUCCUUGGAUAGACCCGAAGUGUCUAACAUGGUGUUAACCAUAUCAGUUAGAGUUCGGUUCUUUCUUUCGGCUACCCCAUUUGACUGGGGUGAGUAGGGAGGCGUCCUCUCAUGGAUUAUACCAUGUUCCGCACAAAACAGAUCAAAUUCGUUGGAAAAAUACUCUCCACCACGAUCAUACCUAAGCCGUUUAAUUUUUCGAUCAAGUUGGUUCUCUGCCUCAGCUUUAUAGUUUUUGAGGAAAGUAAAAGCCUCAUAUUUUGAUUUCAGAAGAUACACAUAACAAUUGUUGAGGAACGUAGCAAUAAUUCAAAAUUUUCCUACGUGUCACCAAGAUCAAUCUAUGGAGUCAUCUCACAACGAGGGAGGAGUGGAUCUACAUACCCUUGUAGAUCGCGCGCGGAAGCGUUCAAGAGAACGGGGUUGAUGGAGUCGUACUCGUCGUGAUCCAAAUCACCGAUGAUCCUAGCGCCGAACGGACGGCACCUCCGCGUUCAACACACGUACGGAGCAGCGACCUCUCCUCCUUCUUGAUCCAGCAAGGGGGGGAGGAGAGGUUGAUGGAGAUCCAGCAGCACGACGGCGUGGUGGUGAAAGUAGCGGGAUUCCAACAGGGCUUUGCCAAGCGCUGCGGGAGGAGGGAGAUGUGUCAUGGGAGGGAGAGGGAGGCGCCAGGGCUUAGAUGAGGCUGCCCUCCCUUCCCCCCACUAUAUAUAGGGCCAAGAGAGGGGGGGCGCAGCCUUGGCCCUUCCUCCAAGGAAGGGUGCGGCCAGGGAGGAGUCCUUCCUCCCCAAGGCACCUAGGAGGUGCCUUCCCCUUUUAGGACUCUUCCUUUCCCUUAUCUCUUGGCGCAUGGGCCUCUUGGGGCUGGUGCCCUUGGCACAUAUAGGCCAAGGCGCACACCCCUACAGCCCAUGUGGCCCCCCGGGGCAGGUGGACCCCCUUGGUGGACCCCCGGACCCCUUUCGGCACUCCCGGUACAAUACCGAUAAUGCGCGAAACUUUUCCGGCGACCAAAACAAGACUUCCCAUAUAUAAAUCUUUACCUCCGGACCAUUCCGGAACUCCUCGUGACGUCCGGGAUCUCAUCCGGGACUCCGAACAACUUUCGGGUUACCACAUACUAAUAUCUCUAUAACCCUAGCGUCACCGAACCUUAAGUGUGUAGACCCUACGGGUUCGGGAGACACGUAGACAUGACCGGGACGACUCUCCGGCCAAUAACCAACAGCGGGAUCUGGAUACCCAUGUUGGUUCCCACAUGUUCCACGAUGAUCUCAUCGGAUGAACCACGAUGUCAAGGACUUAAUCAAUCCCGUAUACAAUUCCCUUUGUCCAUCGGUACGAUACUUGCCCGAGAUUCGAUCGCCGGUAUCCCGAUACCUUGUUCAAUCUCGUUACCGGCAAGUCUCUUUACUCGUUCCGUAACACAUCAUCCCGUGAUCAACUCCUUGAUCACAUUGUGCACAUUAUGAUGAUGUCCUACCGAGUGGGCCCAGAGAUACCUCUCCAUUUACACGGAGUGACAAAUCCCAGUCUGGAUUCGUGCCAACCCAACAGACACUUUCGGAGAUACCUGUAAUGUACCUUUAUAGCCACCUAGUUACGUUGUGACGUUUGGCACACCCAAAUCACUCCUACGGUAUCCGGGAGUUGCACAAUCUCAUGGUCUAAGGAAAUGAUACUUGACAUUAAAAAGCUUUAGCAUACGAACUACAUGAUCUUGUGCUAGGCUUAGGAUUGGGUCUUGUCCAUCACAUCAUUCUCCUAAUGAUGUGAUCCCGUUAUCAACGACAUCCAAUGUCCAUGGUCAGGAAACCGUAACCAUCUAUUGAUCAACGAGCUAGUCAACUAGAGGCUUACUAGGGACAUGGUGUUGUCUAUGUAUCCACACAUGUAUCUGAGUUUCCUACCAAUACAAUUCUAGCAUGGAUAAUAAACAAUUAUCAUGAACAAGGAAAUAUUAUAAUAACUAAUUUAUUAUUGCCUCUAGGUCAUAUUUCCAACAACAAUAUCUAGUGGAGUCAUCAAUCAACGUCAUGAAGUAUCUUUUUCCACCUUUUAUCAACACGACAUUCAUCUCACAAAGAUCAGAACGUAUAAGCUCUAGUGGUGCCAAGUCUCUUGCCUCUGUAGUCUUAUGGGACUUGCGAGGUUGCUUACCUUGCACACAUACUUGGCACUUAGAGCCUUUGACAGUAGAGAUUUUCGGAAUUAAAUUCAUAUUGGCUAGCCGCGUCAUGCAACCAAAGUUAAUGUGACAAAGUCGUGAAUGCCAAAUAUCCGACUCAUUGUUGUGGCAAACAUUAUUAAUAACUUUAGUGCAAAUAUCUGACAAAGACAGGCGGAACAAGCCUCCGCUCUCAUAGCCUUUUCCAACAAAUUGUCCAUACUUAGAAAUUACAACUUUAUUGGAUUCGAAAACCAACUUAAAACCAUCUCGACAUCAAUGGGAACCGCUAACGAGAUUUUUAUUGAUGGACGGCACAUGAUGAACGUUCUUCAGACGCACGGUCUUCCCCGAAGUAAACUUCAGAUCGACCGUACCAACACCUCAAACGAUGGCAUGUGACCCGUUCCCCAUCAGCACGGGAGAAGUCCCAGUGGCCUGGUAAGAAGAAAACAUGGAGGCGUCAGCACAAACAUGUACAUUGGCACCGGUGUCAAUUAACCAAUCAAGGGAUUGAAAUACUGAAAGGAUGGUAGGAAAAAUAUUGUACCCUGAUUCCUUCAUAUCAGUAUCACCGAUGACAACAUUAGCGGACUUGCCGCUCUUGUCAUGUUCGCGCUCCUCAAAACGGUUAGGACACUUCGGAGCCCAGUGAUUAGGAUCACCGCAAACAUGGCAAAGUCCCUUCCCCUUCUUAUGAGAAUUCUUCUUGAAGUUGGUAGAAUGUGAUAGCUUGUUCUUUGUAUCAAACUUACCUUUGCCCUGAGUUUUGUUCUUGUUGUUUUUGAACUUGUUGGGCUGGAAGUUCUUCUUCUGUACCAUGUGGGCACUAGAACCUCCCUCAGCAACUCGAGCAUGUGUGUCCUUUGCUCUCGCCUUCUCUUCAACAUCAAGAGUACCAAUGAGAUCCGCAACGGAAAACUCCUGUCUCUUGUGUUUCAGGGAAGUAGCAAAAUUGUUCCAUGAAGGUGGAAGCUUGGCAAUGAUGCCUCCGGCAACACACACUUGAAGUAAUCAAGUUCUUUUGCGAGCGACUGUAUCUCAUUAGCCUGCUGUACAACAGGGCGCUCAUCAGUCAUUUUGUAGUCAUAGAAUUGCUCCAUGACGUACAACUCGCCGCCGGCGUCCGAGGCACCAAACUUGGCCUCGAGCGUAGCCCACAUGUCCUUGCUGUUGUCAAAUGACAUAUACAAAUCGAUCUUCUCAAAAGCUUCCAGCUGUGCUGGAUUAAGAUCGCCCUCAGGCUUGCCCUUGGUGGCGUCAUAGCAGCCCAUAGUCUGAAACCAGUAGACUGCUAUCGUGCACCACCUCUUAUAUUGCGCCCCUUUAAAGGCAGGCAGCUUCAAAUGCGCAGCAAAAUACGAGAUUUAAUCCGAAUAAAUAGGAAAUAGAUCAUGACAUCCAUAGCAGAGAUUAAACUAACCCCGGGUAGGUCAUGGGACAACGUGCAUAGCUCUGUCCUCGGCUCAAUCCCGCAACCCGCGGUGCGGCGCGGCGCGGCACGCGUGUAGGUCUCCUCUUCUCAUGCUCAUACAAGUGGUAGAAUAGCUCACCUUAUAAAGGGGUGCAACUCUCUCUCAACUUCCGGGGUGGGACUAAACUUUAGUCUCACUCACUCCACUCACAUGUGUGCAUGAAUGGGCCAAGAGAAUUUCAGAAUUUUAGUUGGGCUUUGGGCCAAAGGCCUACUAGCAAAAUUCCAACAAUAUGUAGAUCCACAUUUUGGGUGUGCUAGUAUUAAUACGUGUGGCAUGAGUGUGUUCUUGUUUUAUGUAUUUCUAGAGUGAAUCUCACGUUAUUUCCCCAUAUCAUAAAAUGGAUUUGGGACAUUAAAGGAAGAUUAUGCGCAUUUUGCACUUGAUAAUCUAUCUAUCUUCUACGUUUAUCUAUCUAUCUAUAUCUAUCUCUAUCUUCAUCCCUAUCUCUAUCUCUAUCUCUAUAUCUAUACCUAUCUAUAUGUAUACUAUAUAUGUAUAUUUACAUCUACACCUAUCUAUCUAUCUAUCUAUCUAUCUAUCUUUAUAUCUAUAUCUCUAUCUAUCUAUACCUAUACUUCUACUCCCUCCGUCCCAAAAUAAGUAUCUCAAGCUUAGUACAAGUUCGUACUAAAGUUAAUACAAAGUUGAGACACUUAUUUUGAGACGGAGGAAGUACUAAUUAGGCACUCCCUAGAAAUUACCAUGUUAAUCGGUAAAAUUCAAGAUAAUUGGAAACCCACGCCCCUUCGUAAAUACAUGUAAUUGCUUACACCCAUUUAGGAUAUGCUUGCAUGAUGGAUAUAUACGAUACACAUGCAUCAUUAUUAACCCGGAACACCUUUAAGUUUACAUUAAAAAUGGCAUCCAGGAGACACUAUAUUAAAUAAUACUGCCCAUGAUUAAAUAGGAGGAAAUCCAAUUCUCCAUCGAGGUAUAUGUGCAAAGAGUUAAACAUUGAUCAUUUGGAUAUUCAUGGGGCAUAUUGCAUUUGGAAACCCCUACUCAGUGCACUAUAUAGUAUAUAUAAGCCAUAAUCAUAGCUAUGUACUCCACCUCAACCCAUCCAUCUCUGCACUGCAGUUCCAUUUGAUCCAUUCAUCGUCUCCCUCAGUUACAAUAUAUUUUUGUAGCAAGCCUGGCAGCAAUGGAAAUGGUGCAAACCACCUCCUUAGCAUUCACUGGAAUUGUCAUCAUUCUCCUUUCCAUGGCCAUCACCGUUCAAGCUUCCGACACCAAGCCCAUGUCGUCAGGCAUCACGUUGGAAGCAUGCAAGAAUGUCUCGAGUGACUUCUUCAAGGUGCGCUCCACAUAUGACUUUUGUGUAUCAACGCUCCAGUCAGACAAACGAAGCAUCAACGUGAAGGACUGCCGCAUCCUAGCUCUCGUGGCCGUCGACACCAUGAAGCCCCAAGCCACGGCCGUGAUGGCCAAGGUUGAGAACUUGAUCCAUGGUGCCACCAAGCGCAAGAUCACGACUCGCGCCCUUGGGUUCUGCCGAGUGGACUACGGUGGCAUGGUGAGCACCCCCGAAAUCUGCCAUGAUAUCAUCCAGAACUUUGAGGUUCGUAAAGGCAAUGAAGGUCCGACGCCCUACGACCUGCCUGAUUGCAUUGCGAAAACAACCAAAGCCAUCAACGAUUGCUCUAACAAAACAGAGUUUACGUCGGUUUCAGAAGGGCUAACAAAGGAAUAUGAGGAGUUAUCUAUGAUGAUCAGCCUCAGCAGCUCUUUGCCACAUCUCUACAUCACAUCACCCUGAUUUUUCUGGAAAAAUAUGAUUUUAUAGCGUCGGUUUUAGGGUCUGCGGGGCCACCAGGUGGGGACAACCCACCUAGGCGCGCUUGGAGGGGGCACGCCUUGGUGGGUUGUGCCCACCCAGGUGCCCCCCCCCCUCCGGUGGUUCAUGGCUCCAAAAAUUCUCUAUAUUGAUAUAAAAAAUCCUUGCAAAGUUUCGUUCCAUUCCUAAAACUUCUAUUUCUGCACAAAAACAACACCAUGGUAGUUCUGCUGAAAACAGCAUCAGUCCGGGGUUAGUUUCAUUCAAAUCAUGCAAAUUAGAGUCCAAAACAAGAGGAAAAGCGUUGGGAAAAGUAGAUAUGUUGGAGAAGUAACAGUGGCGGCGGGAAACAAAUGAGGAAAGGGUGGCGUGUUCAUAAAACGCCACCAAUCAAUGGAAACUUAGCACAGAAGGAACAUUGAGCUAGCAUGACGCGUGUGUACACAUUGCUCACCCAAGGCUAUGAUCCAUAUACUUGUGUGCCCAACAGAGCACACUAUUCAUAGUAAAGAAUAUUGUUCUGUUUAUCCUAGUAGAGCAGUGGCAGCAAGCGACACAAGAAGAAGUAGAUGAUGAUCAGAUGAUGGUUUAUCCUAAUUAAUUAUGCAUGCAAUAGUUUACUUUGGCGUGUGGAAAUGUCAUGUGUGUACUAGGCAACUAUGUAAUUGGAUGUUUAAUUUGAUUGUGAAAUCAUGUCCUUAUUAGUAUAUAUGUUGUUGUUCUGUAUGCAAUCACAUCGCACACGUACCACACAGAUGUUGUUAAGUUCAACUCUUUCUAUUCUCUCUGCUCAACGCAAAUAGUUCAUUCGAGUGAACUGUAUACUGUAUAUGGCACACACCUUGAUCUGGCUGACCGUUUCUAUUGUGUUGCCUAAUCACAAACAGUUCAUCUGAGUGAACUAUAUGCCGUAUAUGGCAGACACAUUCACUGGCUACCCGUUUCUGUUUUUAGGCGUCAUGACAAAUAGUUCAUUGGAGUGAACUGUAUGCCACGCAUCGCACACGCAACUGUAGUAUGACCGUGUUUGAUGUAUCCUCCAUGGCAAACGUUUUGCAUCUUUUUUGACGGUUUUCUUACAUCACCGUUUGUGAUUAAUGCAUCACACACAGUUUCGUCAAAGGUCUAUGAUUAGACUGUCGCGUUUGGACCAUCCUGCAGUAGUGCAUACCAUGGCCUCUUUACAUCGUUCGGCGCAUCAAAGAUAUUUGUUUUCUAUUCUAGAUAGUGAGGUCUAGAAGAAUGAUGUCCUUGAAGGAAAUAUGCCCUAGAGGCAAUAAUAAAGUUAUUAUUUAUUUCCUUAUAUCAUGAUAAAUGUUUAUUAUUCAUGCUAGAAUUGUAUUAACCGAAAACAUAAUACAUGUGUGAAUACAUAGACAAACAAAGUGUCACUAGUAUGCCUCUACUUGACUAGCUUGUUGAUCAAAGAUGGUUAUGUUUCCUAGCCAUAGACAUGAGUUGUCAUUUGAUUAACGGGAUCACAUCAUUAGGAGAAUGAUGUGAUUGACACGACCCAUUCCGUUAGCUUAGCACCGGAUCAUUUAGUAUGUUGCUAUUGCUUUCUUCAUGACUUAUACAUGUUCCUAUGACUAUGAGAUUAUGCAACUCCCGUUUACCAGAGUAACACUUUGUGUGCUACCAAACGUCACAACGUAACUGGGUGAUUAUAAAGGAGCUCUAUAGGUGUCUCCAAAGGUACAUGUUGGGUUGGCGUAUUUCGAGAUUAGGAUUUGUCACUCCGAUUGUCAGAGAGGUAUCUCUGGGCCCUCUCGGUAAUGCACAUCACUUAAGCCUUGCAAGCAUUGCAACUAAUGAGUUAGUUGCGGGAUGAUGUAUUAUGGGACGAGUAAAGAGACUUGCCGGUAACGAGAUUGAACUAGGUAUUGAGAUACCGACGAUCGAAUCUCGAGCAAGUAACAUACCGAUGACAAAGGGAACAACGUAUGUUGUUAUGCGGUCUGACCGAUAAAGAUCUUCGUAGAAUAUGUAGGAGCCAAUAUGAGCAUCCAGGUUCCGCUAUUGGUUAUUGACCGGAGACAUGUCUCGGUCAUGUCUACAUAGUUGUCGAACCUGUAGGGUCCGCACGCUUAAGGUUUCGAUGACAGUUAUAUUAUGAGUUUAUAUGUUUUGAUGUACCGAAGGUUGUUCGGAGUCCCGGAUGUGAUCACGGACAUGACGAGGAGUCUCGAAAUGGUCGAGACAUGAAGAUUGAUAUAUUGGAAGCCUAUGUUUGGAUAUCAGAAGUGUUCCGAGUGAAAUCGGGAUUUUACCGGAGUACCGGGAGGUUACCGAAACCCCACGGUAACUUAAUGGGCCUUAGUGGGCCUAGGUGGAAGAGAGGAGAGGAGGCAAGGGCUGGCCGCGCGCCCCUCCCCCCUAGUCCGAAUAGGACAAGGAGAGGGGGGCGGCGCCCCCCCCCUUCCUUGCUUCUCCUCCACUCCUUCCCCCUCCCAAGUCCUAAUCCAACUAGGAAAGGGGGGUCCUUGGGAGUAGGACUCCUCCGGCGCGCCUCCUCCUAUGGCCGGCCGCACCCCCCCUUGCUCCUUUAUAUACGGGACAAGGCUUCCAUGAUGCGACGUAGCUUUCCGCCCCCUGGUUCUUGUAUCGUGUGUUCGGCAAUUAUACUGCCGGACAAGGCUUCCAGAGAGUAAGGUCCUCAAAGUGAGAAAAAAUAAUAAAGUAGGAAGCCCCUAGUGCGGUUGAGCCGCAUUUUGGGGAGUGCCGUGGUCGUGCCCCUCCCCCUAUGCCCAUGGUAUUUUCAGAGCGUAAUUAUGUACGCGUGGCACGGAUUUCGCCGUUUGGCUGGGGCUGGGGUUGGGCCUGCAUUGCUACGCUUGUUCGGAACGUGCCAGGCGGUCUUGUUGCAGAUUACUCCGAGCGCUCUUGACGGCGUCCGGACAUUUGAUUGCCGGACUGGAGAAUUGCCUUGAGAGGCUGCUUUGUGCUUCUGCUGCGAGGGCCGCAGUGUGCUCCUCCGUUCGGAGGGAGCGUUCUAUGUUUCCAUUGACUGUGAUGACCCCCCGAGGUUCUGGCAUCUUGAGCCUGAGGUAUGCAUAGUGCGGCACCGCAUUUUGCAAAUGUGGUUCUCCCGAGCAGUGCAUGAUAGCCACUGCGGAACGGGACUAUGUCGAAGAUUAACUCCUCGCUUCGGAAAUUAUCUGAGGAUCCGAAGACCACUUCUAGUAUGACUGAGCCUGUGCAAUGGGCCUCUACACUUGGUAUGACGCCUUUAAAUGUCGUUUUUGUGGGUUUAAUCCUUGAGGGAUCCAUACCCAUUUUGUGCACUGUGUCCUGAUAAAGCAGGUACAGGCUGCUGCCGCCAUCCAUAAGGACUCGAGUGAGGUGAAAUCCGUCGAUGAUUGGGUCUAAGACCAAUGCGGAAAAUCCGCCAUGACGGAUGCUAGUGGCAUGGUCCCUGCGAAGUGAUCGGACAGGAGGACCAUGGGUUGAACUUUGGGGCGACUGGCUCUAACGCGUAUACGUCCCUUAACGCAUGCUUCCGCUCCUUCUUGGGGAUGUGGGUUGCAUAUAUCAUGUUCACCGUCCGCACUUGUGGGGCGGAACCCCUUUUGUCCUCCGUUGUUUGGCAGUCGGGGCUCCUCCUCGUCAUUGCUAUGUAGCCCCUUGUCUUUGUUUUCGGCAUUUAACUUGCCGGCCUGCUUGAACAUCCAACAAUCCCUGUUGGUGUGGUUGGCUAGCUUGUCGGGGGUGCCGUGUAUUUGGCACGAGCGAUCGAGUAUACGGUCCAAACUGGACGGGCCCGGAGUGCUUCUUUUGAAUGGCUUUUUCUGCUGACCGUGCUUAGAGCCUCUGAAUCCGGCAUUAACUGCCGUAUCCUCAGUAUUGUCGUUGUUAAUGCGGCGCUUGAGUUUGUUGCGACGUGACCUGCCAUUGCUGUCCUUGGUAUUCGAAGUACCAGGGCUCUUUGAUAUGUUAUUGCUGCGAGCCAGCCAGCUGUCUUCUCCCGCGCAAAAGCGGGUCAUGAGUGUCGUGAGGGCUGCCAUAGAUUUCGGCUUUUCCUGGCCAAGUAGUCGGGCAAGCCACUUGUCGCAGAUGUUAUGCUUGAAAGUUGUUAGGGCCUCUGCAUCCGGACAGUCGACGAUUUAAUUUAUCUUGGUUAGGAACCGUGUCCAGAAUUUCCUGGCCGAUUCAUCUGGCUGUUGAAUUAUGUGGUUCAAGUCAUCAGCGUCUGGUGGUCGCACAUAAGUGCCCUGGAAGUUGUCGAGGAAUGCGGCUUCCAGAUCUUCCCAACAACCAAUGGAUUCUGCUGGCAAGCUCUUGAGCCAAUGCCGAGCUGGUCCUUUAAGCUUGAGUGGGAGGUAUUUGAUGGCGUGUAGAUCGUCGCCACGGGCCAUGUGGAUAUGAAGGAGAUAGUCCUCAAUCCAUACCGCCUGGUUUGAAACCCUCUGGGAUUUGAUGAUCCAUUACUUCAUCUGUGAAGCACAGCGGGUGUGCGGCGCCUCUGUACUGGGCUAUAUCACGAUGCAGCUCAAAUGAGUUUUGUCUGCUGUGUUCGGCCCGGCCGGAUUUACCUUUACUGUAUCCGGCGUGACGGUUAUCGUCUCGUGUGGUGGGGCGCCCUCGCGAUCCGUAGAUCGAUCUUGCUUGCUUUGCUUUGUCCUCCAAUAUGUCUCGCAGAUCUAGCGCAUUUCCCCGAGCCUUGGUAUUUUUUGAGUGACGCUGGGGUGCGGCUUGAGCUGUGGGCCGAGAAGCCUCUCUGUCGCGGCCACGAGGUGGCCGAUCAGCCGCGUCAUACACUGGAGAUGUAGGUUUUAAUGCUUCCUCCUCCAAUCGGGGUACCAACCUGCGCUUUGGGUAACUUUUGGAGGGGUGUUCGAGUUCAUAUUCCUCGGCCGCAAGGACUUCUGUCCAUCUGUCAGCUAGCAGAUCUUGAUCAGCUCGAAGCUACUGCUGAUUUUUCUUAAGGCUAUUCGCCGUGGCCAUAAGCCGGCGCUUGAAGCGCUCUUGCUCGACGGGAUCCUCAGGCACGAUAAAUUCAUCGUCGUCGAGGCUUGCCUCGUCUUCGGAGGGAGGCAUGUAAUUAUCAUCCUCUACCUCUCUAUCUGCCGCUCUCUCAGGAGGGCUGGCUUCUCCAUCCUCCUGCGCUAAAUCUUGCUGGAGGGAGUUGUCUUUGGCACUGUCCAGGGUGUUAUUAUCUCCUGUGUCGGUAUCACCGUUUUUGCUUUGGCGAGACUUAGAGCGGCGCCGCUGACGCCGACGCUUAGGUUGCUUCUUGGAGGGGUCAUCCCCCGCUGUUCCGUCGCCAUUGCCUUCUUUGGGUGUGUCAACCAUAUAUAUAUAUAUAUAUAUAUAUAUAUAUAUAUCAUAUGAUGAGGUGGUUGUCUAGUGCCCUAUAGGCGGUGGUUCUUGUUCAUCUCCUACAUCGUCGUCCAUACCGUCGAUGUCUUCGGAGUCGAAGUCGAGCAUGUCGGUCAAAUCAUCGACAGUGGCUACGAAGUGGUUGGUGGGUCGGCGUCGAAUUUCUUCGUCAUCCACAUCCCAAUCCUGCCGGUCAUAAUCCGGCCAGGACUCUCCUGACAAGGAGAGAAACCUUAGUGAAUUCAGUAUGUCGCCGAAGGGCGAGUGCUGAAAGAUAUCCGCGGCGGUGAACUCCAUGAUCGGCGCCCAAUCGGAUUCGAUUGGCAGGGGCACGGGUGGCUCAGAGUCUGGAGGAGAGUCCGGCAAUUUGGAGUCACGGGCCUCGUGAAGGGUAAGGCUGGUGUUCGGCUCGAUUCCCGUUGAGGCUGCAGCGUCCGUGGCGGGGUCCAACAACCCGCCCACGGAUGGCGCAAUUGGCUCCGAAUUGAAGGUCGGAGCAGUAGCAGGUGCGGUCUCCUGAACACUGUUCGGCGGCAGAGCUAAAUCAUGCCCGCCGUGACAGUGCGACGCACUCGGCCGAGGCUCGAAUCCGUCGAAGAUCAAGUCUCCGCGGAUGUCGGUAGUGUAGUUUAAGCUUCCAAACUUGACCUGGUGGCCAGGGGCGUAACUUUCAAUCUGCUCUAGAUGGCCAAGCGAAUUGGCUCGCAGUGCAAAGCUGUCGAAUACAAAAAUCUGUCCGGGGAGAAAAGUCUCACCCCGGGCUGCAUCGCUAACGAUGAUCGAAGGAUCCAUCAAGCCUAACGACGACGACACAGAGGAACUCUCAAUGAAAGCACCAAUGUCGGUGUCAAAACCGGCGGAUCUCAGGUAGGGGGUCCCGAACUAUGCGUCUAGGCGGAUGGUAACAGGAGACAAGGGACACGAUGUUUUUACCUAGCUUCAGGCCCUCUCGAUGGAGGUAAAACCCUACUCCUGCUUGAUUAAUAUUGAUGAUAUGGGUAGUACAAGAGUUGAUCUAUCACGAGAUCAGAGAGGCUAAACCCUAGAAGCUAGCCUAUGGUAUGAUUGUUGUUGUAUAUGUCCUACGGACUAAACCCUCCGGUUUAUAUAGACACGGAGGGGGUUAGGGUUACACAGAGUUGGUUACAAGGAAGGAGAUCUACAUAUCCGUAUUGCCAAGCUUGCCUUCCACGCCAAGGAGAGUCCCAUCCGGACACGGGACGAAGUCUUCAAUCUUGUAUCUUCAUAGUCCAACAGUCCGGCCAAAGGUUAUAGUCCGACUGUCCGGAUACCCCCUAAUCCAGGACUCCCUCAGCAUGUUAUAAGGUUUAGGGGCCCCAGCCCUGCCACCUUGCCCGCUGAAUAGAUGGAGCUUGGGUUCAUACUUGGGCUCUUCUAUAUUGUAUCGAGGCACCUUAUUAUGCAGAUGGGGAAUGUGGUCUGGAUAGUACGAUGUCUUGAGGUCUGACACCUCCUCUAGGAUAACUGCCCCAGCUAUGGAAGCUUCAAUCUUAGCUUUAUUUCCACAUUUCUAUUUGAGAUGCUUGUACUCUCUGUCAGGGCCGUACUGCCAACAAUUCUGCAUAGGCCCCCCAACAAUACCUUGUUCACGAGGUGCAAAAUGAGAUGUGUCAUCGAAGUAAAGAAGCCUGGCGGAAAGAUCUUCUCUAGCUUGACUAUGAACUCCGGUACCUUCUUACACAAUUGUUCAAUCACGUCUUUACUUAAUUCUUUAGCACAGAGCAUGCGGAUGAAACGGCUUAGCUCGGCAAGCAUUCGCCAUACAUGCUUGGGGACAUANNNNNNNNNNCCUCGAACCAUCACCGGCAUUAUCCGCUCAAUCCAUACAUGGUAGUCAUGAGUCUUGAGCCCGUUCAUUCUGCCCGUCGAAAGAUUGACUCCCUUACCUAUAUUAUAUGCAUAACCAUCAGUGAAAUUCAAAAUGAGUUUGAGUCAGAUAAGCAUUCCUUCUUUUCUAGCGGUUUACGAACAAAGUCAGCAUCUGGCUUGAACCAGUUUCUUCGACCGCAUGUGGGAGGCUUCAUGUUUAGACGUGGUCUAUCACAAAUUCUCUGUUGAUCGGCUCUAGCUUUAACGUUAUCCUUCGUCUUGUCAGGAAUAUUGAGGAUCGUGCGGAAAAAGGACUCUGCGGCAUUCUUUUCGGUGUGCAUCACAUCGAUGGUGUAAGUACAUCUAGUGCCUCCUUUGUGGUUAUGGAGUAUUAAAGACAAAUGGGUUAAGAGACUAAUGUCUUUGUGAGUGUAUACAUAGGAGAAAAGUCACUGAAGAUUUUGUUUAACCAUGCAAGACGACCCCUAAAAAUGUAUGUUUAGAUUGAAUAAAUUGGUAUGCCCUAAGAAAUUGAAGUGACGAAUUGGAACGUGAAGAUUUUGUUCCCGUAGUUUCCUUUUGCUUAUAUUGAUUCAUAGGGAACACCGUACUGUUAAGGCGGGUCUAGGUCAUACGUAUGCAUAUUUCCGAAGUGAUGCUCAAGCUACCUAUUUCUUAGAGUGAGGACUGUGGAAAUCUCUUGAAGUACAGUCGAGUUCCACAGCAACAAAGACACAGUUCUUCUAUUCUGAAUGAAGAGUUAGGAUUUCGCCGGUGUGACUCUCCUACCGUGAGAAAUUUGAGAGUUUAAAUUUCCGACUGUUACCGGACUAAGGCGGUGCUCGAGCCUAAGCCCGUCAUAAUUGUUGUGGCAACGGAGGUGCAAGAAGUGCUGAAGGUGGGGUCGUAUCGAUGUGAUGGUGAGCGGUCUGAGGACCGGCAUGUCAUUGGCCAGUGACAAGAGUUCCGAGGUGGUGUACAAGUCAUCCUGAUGUGUUUCUUGGUGCAUGUUCGGAGCUAGCAAAAACACACGGAUGCUGAACAAAAGCACCCUAUCUCCUAUGAGCUGGCGCUAGUCCAGCCUGACCGUGUUGUCGCCACCACCUAUGUUAUUUGGCUUCGCAAUCCCCUCCUCCACGGCGGGAGGCGUGGGUUUACUUGAUGUGGAGUUCGUCAUCACCUGCAGCGAGAGUGGAUGUCGCAUAACUUACAAGUGGGAUCCAUGAAGAUACAGUGCCAUGUAGGCAAAGUUAGCGGUUACAUGUGAGAAAUGCACCGUAUUAGCCAACUGGCUGUACCAGAAAUCGAUUUCCAACUUUAGGCAUGAAAAUGAACGCGCAAGCCAAAUUUAGGGACCACCGGUAAAUUCAUCUCUUAAAUAAUACAAAAGGAUUUUUCAUCCUCCCACAUCCUCCCUUUUACUCGUUGGAUAUCCACAUAUUUUUUUUCAGGUGUAUGUGUGUGCCGAUAUAUAACCGUACAAGUUUCUCAUGUUGCGAGUGAAAGACAUUGUGAGUUUUCCAUGAUCUUGCUUAAAUACAGGUACGACUACUAAACUGAAAUUAAUCUGGUCGUGCAUAUUCACUUGGAACUGGUAUUCGUAAAUCUACAACACAUGUCAUUAAUGCAACACAGCUUGAUCAUGGAUAUAAAAAAUGAUUAUUUUUCUUUGUAUGCACAUAUGUAUUGGUGGUUCAUCAAUGCCAUAUGCAUCUUGGCUAUAGAUAUACAAAUUGUUAGUGUUUUAUCUCCACACAAAUAUGUUGAUCCUCCUGUUGGAUAUACUGGUCUUAGUGCCCUCUCUAUUCACAAAUAUGUUAACGCUCACUUUAGAUCUUCUCGUAUUAAUACACUUCUAGCUUCUAUAGGCUGGUGAAUGCAACAUUUCAUUUGUAUCAAUAUGUCUACUUUUUAUUGCGGGGAAUAUUAAUAUGUCUAAUGUAGCUUCAUUAAUGCAACUCAACUUGAUCAUGGUUUAAAUGAUCAUUGUUCAUUUUAUGCCCUUGAAGAACAAAGAAGGGUUCAGUAUAUGUAUAGAUAUAGCUGUUUUACAUAACCUUGCAUUAAUAUGUCUAAUUUCCAUUUCUGUUCUCAUCCCUCGUUCUACAGAUUUCAUAUUUGUAUUCAUUUUAAGAGUUCUUCCAGAUGCACAUAAUUUAGUCUCUGGUUACAAUCUAAAUGUAUGAAAGCACAUAAUCUGUAGAAGGUGCAACCAAUGUGUUAUCCAUGUGAUAAAAUUAAAAUCAACAUCCUAGAUCAAAUGUCCAAGUCAACUAAAAAAGAGAUUUCCUUACAACUAUUGUCAAGCCGCAUUUUGAAAUCACAAACAAAGAGAUUUCCUUACAACUAUUGUCAAGCCGCAUUUUGAAACCACAAACAGUUUUGAGCAAUGAAUGAUCUAGAAAAAAACAUCCUGCCUGCCACCCUUUUUCUCUUUGGAUGUCCAUAUAUUGUUUUUUUUCAUGGUGAGAGUAUGUGCCAAUAGAUAACCUAACGAGUUUUUCAUCCUGUGAUCGAGUCAAAGAUAUUCUGCGUUUUCAUGAUCUUGCUUACGUGUGCAUACGACCAUGAAACUACUAAUGUUAUCAUGUAUGAAUACUUGCAAGAGGGUGUUUCAGCGCCAGCACCGACCAUGGAUGGACAUGAGUAUGCAUGGAUGCGUGCAUGUAACGACCUGUUGGCUCCUGCAGGUCAAAGUACAUGUUUCUCUUAGGUCUUUGCACCAUCAAGGCCUUGAACAAUACCCUUUUAUUCACAACAGCAAUCAUGUCUCUGUGCUCAACAGACAAACUUCGGCGGAUAUGUUGCUGUCAUGACACGGGAAAGAACAGCAAUCGAACAAUAGAUGGACUCCUGCCACUAGUAGUAUUGAUCCACGCUUGACACAUGACUACUCAUGGAGAAGACCCAUUCCUUUAUAACAUUUCCCUUUUAUUCAGUCUGUUUUGGUGAAUCACCAGUCAGAAGACCUUCUUCUUCUUCUGUUAAAAUUAGGUUUUCUAACCCAAAUUAAAGUUAGAUUACACAAGGAGUGAACCAGUGGCAUUGUUGUAUCCCUUGAAGCAGAAAAGACAAGCGAGCGACAAUCAUAUUUCCAAUUAUCCAGCUGGUCUUUUACAAGUAUCCCUUCUUGAAUACUCGGUUCAAUAAAUAAGUUGUUCACAGCCAUCCAUGUGCAUAUAUAGUAAGUUAAUAACACAAAAUCCGAAUAAAUUUAUGCCACAACAAGGUUUAUGAUUAUUAUUUCAAAUAACUGAUGCGACAACAAAUAAAUUAAUCACGGACAUCCUAUGAUAUUAGCAAGGCGUUGUUGAGGAUGACAAGCAUGACCAACUCAUCAUUUUCUUUGAUGAGCGCCUCCGCACCAGGCAUAUCUAGAAGCUGGUACCAACACAUGACGAUAGGGCCGUAUUUCAUAUCCACACAGUCGGGCGGAUGCAAGAACUGCUGCCCACUCUUGUCACCUUGGUAGUCCUUGAUCAGGCCGUGUCAUACGUUGAGGCGUCUCACCACAUCUUCAUACUCCACCUCACAAUAACUGAGAAUGUGCAUUGCCACUGUUCCCUUCUUGGCAUCUUGAAGCUUUUGCUUGACCUUACCACUAGCGGCAGUGAUACAGCUCUUAAAGAUGUCGACAGUGACGAGCACUAAGUCACGGAGGUCCUUAGCCUCGGCACUUCGAUUGUCCGACUGAAGGGUGGACGAACAGAAUUCUUGCGUGACAGAUUCGUUGUAGGGGUUGUUGAUCAAGGCCUUCUUGCAUGCUUCCACCAUGAGCUUGGUCGCCUUGGGCUUGCCAGUAUCAGAGUGAAAGUGCAACUAUCCCUAGGUGGUUUUGGUAAUUCCUAACAACAUAUAGCUCAUUGAGCUAAUGCUAUUCCAAGAUGAAUUUUUCAGGUAAGCUCAAUGGUUGGCAUGGCAUGGAUUAGAAAAUGGACCCUUCAAAAUGCUAAGGACAAAAUAUUGGCUCAAGCUCAAAGCACAAGACUCUACAUUUUCUAUUUUUGUGAUCCAAGAUCACAUUGAGUCUAUAGGAAAAGCCAAUACUAUUAAGAAGGGAUGAGGUGUUGCUUAAUGAGGUGCUUGCUCAAAAUGCUUAGUGAUAUGCUCCAAAACCCUCCACUACUUUCUCAUAUCCACAUAUGUCCCAAACCUAAAAGUCCAAGUCGGCCCCACCGAUUCUUUCUAUCCGGAGCCACCGAGUUCAGUUGACAUAGCCAUUGCCAGAAACCCAAGUCUUUUCGGUCUCACUGAUAAGGAUCUCGGUCUCACCGAGAUGGGAUUGCAACCUCUCUGUUUCCCUUCAUAAUGUUUCGGUCAAACCAAGAUGAGCGAUCGGUCCCACCGAGAUUGCAAUGCAAACACCCUGUUUCCUUUUCGUAACGUUUCGGUCCAACCGAGAUGAGCGAAUCGGUCCCACCGAGUUUGCCUAACCAACUCUCUGUUAGUCUAUUACCAAAAUCGGUCUCACCGAGUUUGUGUAAUCGGUCUCACCGAGAUUACGUUAUGCCCUAACCCUAAUGAAAUCGGUCCCACCGAGUUGACGUGGCGGUCCCACCAAAACACCUAACGGUCACAUUAUGAACCAAAUCGGUCUGACCGAGUUCUUUGAAUCGGUCCCACCGAGUUUGGUGAUUUGUGUGUAAUGGUUAGAUUUUGUGUGGAGGCUAUAUAUACCCCUCCACCCACUCUUCAUUCGUGGAGAGAGCCAUCAGAACAUGCCUACACUUCCAAUACAUAUUUUCUGAGAAAGAACCACCUACACUUGUGUUGAGGUCAAGAUAUUCCAUUCCAACAACAUAAAUCUUGAUCUCUAGCCUUCCCCAAGUUGUUUUCCACUCAAAUCUUCUUUCUACCAAAUCCAAUCCUUUGAGAGAGAGUUGAGUGUUGGGGAGACUAUCAUUUGAAGCACAAGAGCAAGGAUUUCAUCAUCAACACACCAUUUGUUACUUCUUGGAGAGUGGUGUCUCCUAGAUUGGCUAGGUGUCACUUGGGAGCCUCCGACAAGAUUGUGGAGUUCAACCAAGGAGUUUGUAAGGGCAAUGAGAUCGCCUACUUCAUGAAGAUCUACCCUAGUGAGGCAAGUCCUUCGUGGGCGACGGUCAUGGUGGGAUAGACAAGGUUGCUUCUUCGUGGACCCUUCGUGGGUGGAGCCCUCCGUAGAGUCGCGCAACCGUUACCCUUCGUGGGUUGAAGUCUCCAUCAACGUUGAUGUACGAUAGCACCACCUAUCGGAACCACGGAUAAAAAAUAUCCGUGUCAACAUUGUGUUUGCUCCCUAAAUCUCCUCCAUUUACCUUCAUAUGCAAUUGUUUUACAUUUCGCUGCUAUACUCUUAGAAUUGCAUGUGUAGGUUGAUUGCUUGACUUGUGCUAAGUUGCUAAAAUCUGCUAAGAACUAAAAUUGGGAAAAGGCUAGAUUUUUAUUUGGUCAAGUAGUCUAAUCACCCCCCCUCUAGACAUACUUCCGAUCCUACACAGAGCCACUAGCAUGAGCGGAAAAAAGGAAGAAGAUGAUGGUGGAGAGGACGAUGCACUAGUAGAAAAAGGGUCAAACGUGAAGCACAUUAGUGCCGGUUUGAAUUUGAGCCGGCACUAAUGGUACCAUUAGUGCCGGUUCGAACGGCUAUGCAUUAAUGCCGGUUCAUGUUGAACCUUUACUACCAGUUCGUGGCACGAACCGGUACUAAAGGGGUGAUCGCAAGCUGGCGUCAGGCCGGGGCCCCACGAUCACCUUUAGUACCGGUUCGUGUCACAAACCGGUACUAAAGGGCUAACCUUUAAUACCGGUUUGUCCUUUAGUACCGGUUUGUGCCACGAACCGGUACUAAAGGGGUCUGACCUAUAGUACCGGUCUGUGACACAAACCGGCACUAUAGGGUAAUNNNNNNNNNNNNNNNNNNNNNNNNNNNNNNNNNNNNNNNNNNNNNNNNNNNNNNNNNNNNNNNNNNNNNNNNNNNNNNNNNNNNNNNNNNNNNNNNNNNNNNNNNNNNNNNNNNNNNNNNNNNNNNNNNNNNNNNNNNNNNNNNNNNNNNNNNNNNNNNNNNNNNNNNNNNNNNNNNNNNNNNNNNNNNNNNNNNNNNNNNNNNNNNNNNNNNNNNNNNNNNNNNNNNNNNNNNNUCAGUUCUGAAAAAAUCAAAAGAAAAUGAUAAAAACUUCAAAAAAUAAAAUCCUUCGAGAGGUAGUUAUAUUACUACAUCUACUAGUUAGGAAAAUUUUAAAACUUAAAUUUGGACAUGUUUUGCAAAAAGUGUAGGGAAAAUGUAAAACGACUAUAACUUUUGCAUACGAUGUCGGAAAAAAACGUAUAAUAUAUCAAAAAAUUCAGCACGAAAAUCCGCAUCCGAUGGAGACCGCCCAAGGCUUGUUUGCAAUUUUCUAGAAUUCUCAAAUUCCAAAAGAAAAAAAAGAUAUGGUCAAAUUUAAGUUUUUUUUAAAUUUUUUUGUUAAAUCUGGUCAAACUACUUAUUCAAGAAGUAUUAAUGUUACUACAUAAUUAUUCAAGAAUAUUAGUGUUACUAAAUAAUUAUUUCAAUUUUUUGAAUUUUGGUCAAAUCUGGUCAAACUAUGGUCAAACUGUGGUCAAACUAUGGUCAAACUUAUUCAAGAAAUAUUAGUGUUACUAAAUAAUUACUGUUUUUUAGAAUAAUAGUUUCAAACUCAAACAGUGAAAUGUGUGACUUCAUGCUCAAGCUAAACUCCCGAGGGUUAAUAGGAUUGGCAUCUUACUAUUGUCAGGAAAACAACAAGUGCAGACUUGGAAACGAGGAAGAAUAGAACCUGAAAAUUAAGUGUGCUUGGGUUGGAGUAGUGAGAGGGAUGGGUGACCGGUCGAGAAGUUAGAUGAUUUGGAAUGAGUGAUCCACACUUGAGCAGUUAAAAGAGGUGAUUAGAGACUAAAUCACCAAAUAAUUCAGAAAAAUUAAAAAUUGAAAAAAUAAAAAAAAUUCCAAUUUUUUUUUAAAAAAAUCAAAAAAAUACCUUUAGUACCGGUUGGUAACACCAACCGGUACUAAAGGUCCCCCAUACCAGGGCGCGAGCUCACGCCACGUGGUGGCACUUUAGCGCCGGUUCGUGCCGAACCGGUACUAAAGAGGGGGGGCCUUUAGUGCCCACCAAUUAGUGCUGGUUAUGGAACCGACACUAAAGGCCCUUACGAACCUGUUUUAAAGCUCCGCUUUCUACUAGUGAUGGUAGUCCUUGGCAUUGCUACCAUUACUGCAGGGCUAGCUAGAAGCCUUGAAGUACUGAAGCACUGAGAGGGAGGUGGAGAAAAAUAGACAGAGAAGCACGUGUAUUGCAGAGAUGGAUGGAUGGAUGAAGGUGAUGUACAUGAGGCUGGGAAUUCUUUAUAAUGCCUGCAAUGGGGUAUCAUAAAUGCAGUAUGCAGGUGUGGUCCGAAUAUGUGUACUAUCGGUGUCCAGUAAAUGCUGAAUGCUCAAUUUGGAUCUCUACAUAUUAAUGCUCUCUCUAUGUUCCAGAAACACACGGAUGCUCACUAUAGAUCUUAUUGUAGUAACACACAUCUUAUUUAUAUGAAUCCAUUAAUGCAACGUAGCUUGAUCACGGAUAUCCCAAAUGAUUUGUGUGCACUGAAUGCCCAUACAUAUGUGGAUACUCAUUUUGGUACGUCUUAUUUGCAUUGGUGUUUUCUAAACAUCAUUUUGUAUAACUGAUUUGUUACUUCUACAUCGCUUUGGGGGCUGAUUAUAUUUGCCCUCAUCAAGUCUAUGAUUGCUCAUUUUUUCUUUCCAAUUUUUGAGUAGUUACAGAUAAUUCUAAGGGAGCAGUCACUUAGUUAACUUGGCCACAGAAUAAUUUUUUUUGUUAAAAUAUCAAAAAAUUAUAUUUUAUAUUUUUGUUUUUCCAAGUCGAUUAUUGUCUGAUGGGUUGACUUUUACAACAGUUGUAUUCCCCUAGUUAAAAAUCACAACUUAUUUUAGGGAUUAAACGAUGCCAGCCGAACUAACAUAUCAUCCGUAUGCACUGUCAAAAAAUAUGCAUGUUUACUGCCCACCACCUAAGAAAAUCAAAAAAAAUGUUGUCGAUACCAAGACGUCACAAUAUGGGUUAAUUCAGUUUCGCUUCUCGUUACUACUACUUAGGGCAUCUCCAGCCGCGCCCCCAGGAAGGCCUUCCCAGGCGUUUUUCUUUUGCGCCGGCGCCGAAAAAUCGGUCCAGUCGCGUCCCCAGGAGCCCGAUUUUCGCCGGCUUGGGCCGAAAACAGCGCCGGCGGACCAAGGCCGAACCCGGCACGCUGGGGGGCGCCCGGGCGAACUGUUUUGGCGCGAAACAGCCGCGGGCCCGCCGCGUCAGCGACUCUACCCUCUUCUCGGCCCUUCGUCGUCCUCAUCGCCUCGUUUCCCGCGGCGAAUCAAUGCCAAAGCUGCCGCGCUGCCGUGCCGGUCAGCCUGCGCCAUUGAUGCCUCACGAGCGGCGCAGUGAAGACCGGAUGACGCGCGUCCCUCGCCCUCCCUCGCCCGCCACGCGUACUCACGGCGGCUCACGCACGGGCGGCGCCUCGGCCUAUAUAAGACGCGCCCCAGAGCACUCGGCGACUCGUACUCUCUCGCCGUCGUCGUUCCUCCCUCGCCUCUCUCUCACCGUCGUCGUUCCUCCCUCUCCUCUCUCUCGCCAUCUCCAGCACCCAUGGCCGAGCGCUUCCCAGGCGACGGCGCGGCGGCGAACGGCUUCGGCCGCCGCCAUCUUCACGAGAGCGAGGCUCGCCUCCUUUUCGAGGCCGAGUACCCGGUCCCGCCGGACAUGCGGGUACCCGGGGCGUGGAGGAUCAGCGCCGGCGGCGUGCCGGUGCCCCCGAUACCCACCGGCGCGGCGCGGCGUGCGGAGAUCGCACGCAUCCACUCGUCCCUGCCGCGUGCGGCGAGGGAGGGGCCACGGUACGUCCCCAACAGCCCGCUCUGGGAGCCCUACUUCCGCCGCCGUCACGCCGAGCAGCUCGAGGCCACCAACGGCGUCGAGCCCUCCGGCAGGCUCAACGCCGUCGGCCGGCGUCGGUGGUGGGGCGUGCCCGAGCGCACGUUGGAGGCCGUCCUCGAGUACAUCGAGGGCGGCAACACGCCGCGUCUCGAGUACCCCUCUCCCCCGUCCUUCACAUGCCGCAGGGGAAGCUCCUGGACCCCGAGGCGCAUGGAGACCGGGGGGUCCUCCUCCUCGUCCGGCGGCUCCCCCUGCCUCCACCUCCGCCCCAUCAAGCCGGAGCCCCAGGGCGCGCCUGUCAGCGCGCGCACCCGCAGCUCCGGCGUCCGCAUCGACGACAACGCCUCCGCCACCGGCCGCUUCGUCCUCGUCGAGCCCAUGCCGGAGCCCGGCCUCCCCGUGGAGUACGAGGAGAUAGCCCGGCGUGGCUUCUCCGACGAGGACACCCUGCGGUGGGCGCGGGACGACUACCUCCGCGAUGAGAUGGUCCGGCAGCGCCGGGCCCUGGAGGAGAUCGCCGCCCGCAAGGGUGGGCGCGAGGACGAGCACGGCAUCGUGGUCCUCAGCGACAACGACGACGAUGACGCCCCCGGACCGUACCCGCCGCGCCAACCGGGGGAGGGAUGCAGCAGGGACGGCGGAGGCGUCGGCGGGGGCGACGACGACGACGACGACGCCGACGACGGUGACUACACGCGGUUCUACCGCCUCCUCGGCAUGUAGAACUGCGUGGGCGGGCGGCGAGGCGGGCGGCGAGGGAGACGGCGGGGGUAGCCCGCGGUAGUUUUUCCCUUUUUUUGUAAAGUAUGUUUAAAUUUAAAUGAACUCGCAGAUGUUUGCGUUAAAUUUGAGUCGUGUUUGUGCCGUAUUUAACUUUUUUAAAAUCCCGUGGGGGGCCGCGACUGGGGGGCACCACGCCCCCAGUGCGCGGUUUAGCGCCGGUGCGUCCUCAGGGGGCGAUUUUUUGCCCCUCUUGGGGGGCCAACGGCUGGAGAUGCCCUUAGUAGGAAGGAAAAGAGCUAGUGAUCAUAAGGAGGUAACCUGUAUCAUAGGUACAUGAUGCACACGUACAUGCCAGAUAUGAUAUAUAGACAGAGUUAAUUAUGAUUAUCACUCAAUAAUUUUUCUUUAUGGAUAUCCAAAUUUAUGUUCAGAAUCAACAUUUCUACGUCAUUCUUUUCUGGGGAUUUUUUUACUUAGUAAUCACAUGGAUAUUUAGAACUUUCUUGUGCUAAUUAUGUACUCUCUUUAGCGUAUGUUACAAUGCAUGGUUUUCUCGGUUACUUUAGAAAAGGCAUGUCUUUCUCUAUUCCAAACUUCUCAUAGAUGCAGUUAGGUUUCGUAAAAGUUUACAAUGUCAGCCAACAUGAAAAAGGAUAAAAGUAUCAUCAUUUGCACAUUUUUUUAACCUGCUUCGCUAUUUAUAUUUAUAUGGAUAUUCACUUUGCGAUUUAUAUUUUCCCAAUUCGCUACACAAGCGCAGAACAAAAGUUUGAGAAAAUAAAUGCAAACUGUGUAAAACAAAAUGUGUAGGCACAAAAUUAAAAAUAUAGUCUAACUCUGAACAUGCCUAUAUAACCUCUUAUUUGCAUACGUUCUUUUAAACAUAGCAUGGACAGGGAGUCAUUUCGCGAACCACAUUACAUUAUAAUAAAUGAAUUUGUUUUUUCUCGGUCACAGGGUAACUGUUAUUUCUAUGUCGACCAGUUGUAGCUUGAAAGAAAGUGUCAUAAAACAAUUAUGUUACUCCCUCCUCCUCCAUAAUCUAGUGCGUAUAGAUUUUUCUAAAAGUCAAACUUUCCAAACAUUGAGCAAGUUUAUAGAAAAACUAUUUAUAUCUACAAUAGCAAAUAUAUUUAACAUGAAACUACAUCUUAUGAUGAAUCUAAUGAUAUAUAUUUGUCAUUCUAGAUGUAAAUGUUUUUCUUCACAAAUUUGGUCAAACUUUGUGAGGUUUGACUUUUAAAAAAAUCACUAUACUACGGAAAGGGGGUAGAAUAUUUUUUGUAUAGAAGUGUGCAACACACGUUUUGACAAACUCUAAGAUUAAUGUUGGAUAUUAUUUCUUAGAAAAUUAACUAUCUAAUUCUCGUUAAACAAAGAAUCAAUAGUCUAGGAAAAUGCGAGCACCAUUGUCAAGUCUAGGACUUGAAACCUAGAUGGGCUGGGGAUAUCAUUGUCCUCCUAACCAUUCANNNNNNNNNNGGCGUGGCGAGGCGAGCGAGGAGGAGGAGCGCGCGUGUAGGUCUCCUCUUCUCAUGCUCAUACAAGUGGUAGAAGAGCUCACCUUAUAAAGAGGUGCAACUCUCUCUCAACUUCCGGGGUGGGACUAAACUUUAGUCUCACCCACUCCACUCACAUGUGUGCAUGAAUGGGCCAAGAGAAUUUCAGAAUUUUAGUUGGGCUUUGGGCCAAAGGCCUACUAGCAAAAUUCCAACAAUCCCCCACAAAGUCUCAUUGGCACAUCUCAUCAUUUAGUUCCAAAACAUUGUUUAUAUAUCGGUGCUUAGUGGAGACUGUGAAGUUGAACUUCCACUUAAAGAUUUAUGCUACACUAGAUCACAACUUGAAUAGUGGACUAUGCCUUGAACUACAAGUUUUCUGCGAAACUAGUUUCACACAAAUUCUUGACCGAUAGUGGGCUGCCGUAAGGCUUCCCCGCGGGUGGAGCGUAUACGCCGUACUCCAGGGCAUUUUCAUGAAUUUAUUAGAGAACACCCAAUUCUCACAGACUGCGACGUUAACAGUCAAAUUCAUAUAGGUGUGUUCCUCAGAAGAUGUUCUGCAGGACAACAUCUCUGCUUACCCGAAUAAGCCACUUGGAACACAUUAAGAUAAGUAUCAACCUGCCAUGCAGAUCAGGAGAGUAUUGCAUCUUCACGGAGUGGGAUAGUUAAUAUAGGGAUACUCUCCUCCCAGCUGACCAACAGCUUGUCUCCCACUUCUACUUCACGGGAUCUCCGAUCACAUAGAGUGGGUUACCACUAUGACCAACAGCUUGUCUCCCAACAGCUUGUCUCAAACCCAUCUCCAUCGAUGCAUUAUCUAUCACAUUAUGUGAUAGACCCUUUGUGAAGGGAUCUGUCAUGUUUUUCGAUGUUUGGAUAUAAUCCAACGUAAUAACUCCGGAGUUCCUCAAUUUUCUGACAGAUUUUUGUCUCCUCUUCACAUGUCUUGAGGACUUCAUAUUGUCCUUCGAACUGUUUAUCUUGACAAUCACAGUUUGAUUAUCAUAGUUCAUCAGGAUAGGGGGUAUUGGUUUUUCAACCAUAGGUAAGUCCAUCAAGAGUUCACGAAGCCACUCUGCUUCAACAGUGGUAGUGUCUAAUGUUGUGAGUUCUGCUUCCAUAGUUGACCUCGUUAAGAUGGUCUGCUUGCAAGACUUCCAGGAAACAGCGCCACCACCAAGUGUAAAAACAUAACCACUCGUGGGCUUUAUCUCAUAGCAUUAGAUAUCCAGUUUGAGUCACUAUAACCCUCCAGUACCCUUGGAUACCCGGUGUAGUGAAUCCCAUAACUCGCGGUGCCUUUCAAAUAGCGAAUAACUCUCUCAAGAGCAUGCCAAUGAUCAUCUCCCGGUUUUGACACAAACCGACUCAGCUUGCUCACAGCAAAUACAUAAGCGAGCCAAUAAUCUAAGAAUACCUCAGUUGAUCUCUAGCAAUCCGUCGAUUCUUUCGAAGCAACACACUAGCAUCAUAUGGAGUUGGAGAAGGUGUGCAGUCCCUAUACCCAAAACGACUCAAGACCUUUUUCACAUAGUGAGACUGAAGUAGUGUGAUCCCACCAUUCUCAUCUCUCAACAGCUUGAUGUUUAAGAUAACAUCAGCUACUCCUAGAUCCUUCAUCUCAAAACAGUGAGAUAAGAAAUCCUUAACCUCCUUGAUUAAAUCAAGUUUGGUUCCAAAGAUCAAUAUGUCGUCGACAUGCAGACAAAGAAUAACUCCUUCACCCCCACCAUAGCGAUAGUACACGCACUUGUCACCAUCGUUUACUACAAAGCCGGUAGCAGUUAAUGUCCUUUAGAACUUCUCAUGCCAGUCCUUAGGAGCUUGUUUAAGGCCAUAUAAAGACUUUAAUAACUUGCACACCUUUCCUUCCUGACCAGGUACUACAAAACCAUCUGGCUGAUCCAUGUAAAUUUUCUCCUUCAACUCUCCAUUGAGGAAAGCCGUCUUGACGUCCAUUUGAUGAACGAGAAGACCAUAUGAGGCAGCUAGUGAUAGUAGCACCUGAGUUGUGGUCAGUCUAGCCACGGGUGAGUAAGUAUCAAAGAAGUAUUCACCUUCUUUCUGGGUAUAACCCUUAGCCACAAGCCGUGCCUUGUUCUUUUCAAUCGUACCAUCAGGUCUAAGAUUCUUCUUGAACACCCACUUACAUCCUAAAGGUUUGCACCCAUAAGGACGGCCAGUGAUCUCCCAGGUUCCGUUAGCUAAGAUGGAAUCCAUCUCGCUACGUACAGCUUCCUUCCAGUAGUCAGCAUCAGGAGAUGCAUAGGCUUCUGAAAUAGUCCUGGGUGUGUCAUCCACGAGGUACACAAUGAAAUCAUCACCAAAGGACUUUGCAGUCCUCUGUCUCUUACUCCUCACAGGAGUUCCAUUGUCACCCUCAACAGGAUUCUCAACGUGUUCCAUUGCAAUGGUGGGUUCAGGAAUUACAGUGAAUUCCUCACUAGAUGGAGUAGGUAUCUCCUGAUUUGAUGAACUCGACAUAUCCUUCAUAGGAAAUAUGUCCUCAAAGAAAGUUGCAUCAUUCGACUCCAUAAUCGUACCAACAUGCAUGUUGGAUACCUCAAAUUUUAUUAUCAAAAAUCUAUAGCCGAUGCUAUGAAAAGCAUAGCCCAGAAGAACACAAUCCAUGGUUUUUGGUCCAAGCUUGCGCUUCUUGGGAAUUGGUAUAUUGACUUUCUCCAAACAACCCCAAGUACGUAGGAAAGAGAGUUUCAACCUUUUUUNNNNNNNNNNNNNNNNNNNNNNNNNNNNNNNNNNNNNNNNNNNNNNNNNNNNNNNNNNNNNNNNNNNNNNNNNNNNNNNNNNNNNNNNNNNNNNNNNNNNNNNNNNNNNNNNNNNNNNNNNNNNNNNNNNNNNNNNNNNNNNNNNNNNNNNNNNNNNNNNNNNNNNNNNNNNNNNNNNNNNNNNNNNNNNNNNNNNNNNNNNNNNNNNNNNNNNNNNNNNNNNNNNNNNNNNNNNNNNNNNNNNNNNNNNNNNNNNNNNNNNNNNNNNNNNNNNNNNNNNNNNNNNNNNNNNNNNNNNNNNNNNNNNNNNNNNNNNNNNNNNNNNNNNNNNNNNNNNNNNNNNNNNNNNNNNNNNNNNNNNNNNNNNNNNNNNNNNNNNNNNNNNNNNNNNNNNNNNNNNNNNNNNNNNNNNNNNNNNNNNNNNNNNNNNNNNNNNNNNNNNNNNNNNNNNNNNNNNNNNNNNNNNNNNNNNNNNNNNNNNNNNNNNNNNNNNNNNNNNNNNNNNNNNNNNNNNNNNNNNNNNNNNNNNNNNNNNNNNNNNNNNNNNNNNNNNNNNNNNNNNNNNNNNNNNNNNNNNNNNNNNNNNNNNNNNNNNNNNNNNNNNNNNNNNNNNNNNNNNNNNNNNNNNNNNNNNNNNNNNNNNNNNNNNNNNNNNNNNNNNNNNNNNNNNNNNNNNNNNNNNNNNNNNNNNNNNNNNNNNNNNNNNNNNNNNNNNNNNNNNNNNNNNNNNNNNNNNNNNNNNNNNNNNNNNNNNNNNNNNNNNNNNNNNNNNNNNNNNNNNNNNNNNNNNNNNNNNNNNNNNNNNNNNNNNNNNNNNNNNNNNNNNNNNNNNNNNNNNNNNNNNNNNNNNNNNNNNNNNNNNNNNNNNNNNNNNNNNNNNNNNNNNNNNNNNNNNNNNNNNNNNNNNNNNNNNNNNNNNNNNNNNNNNNNNNNNNNNNNNNNNNNNNNNNNNNNNNNNNNNNNNNNNNNNNNNNNNNNNNNNNNNNNNNNNNNNNNNNNNNNNNNNNNNNNNNNNNNNNNNNNNNNNNNNNNNNNNNNNNNNNNNNNNNNNNNNNNNNNNNNNNNNNNNNNNNNNNNNNNNNNNNNNNNNNNNNNNNNNNNNNNNNNNNNNNNNNNNNNNNNNNNNNNNNNNNNNNNNNNNNNNNNNNNNNNNNNNNNNNNNNNNNNNNNNNNNNNNNNNNNNNNNNNNNNNNNNNNNNNNNNNNNNNNNNNNNNNNNNNNNNNNNNNNNNNNNNNNNNNNNNNNNNNNNNNNNNNNNNNNNNNNNNNNNNNNNNNNNNNNNNNNNNNNNNNNNNNNNNNNNNNNNNNNNNNNNNNNNNNNNNNNNNNNNNNNNNNNNNNNNNNNNNNNNNNNNNNNNNNNNNNNNNNNNNNNNNNNNNNNNNNNNNNNNNNNNNNNNNNNNNNNNNNNNNNNNNNNNNNNNNNNNNNNNNNNNNNNNNNNNNNNNNNNNNNNNNNNNNNNNNNNNNNNNNNNNNNNNNNNNNNNNNNNNNNNNNNNNNNNNNNNNNNNNNNNNNNNNNNNNNNNNNNNNNNNNNNNNNNNNNNNNNNNNNNNNNNNNNNNNNNNNNNNNNNNNNNNNNNNNNNNNNNNNNNNNNNNNNNNNNNNNNNNNNNNNNNNNNNNNNNNNNNNNNNNNNNNNNNNNNNNNNNNNNNNNNNNNNNNNNNNNNNNNNNNNNNNNNNNNNNNNNNNNNNNNNNNNNNNNNNNNNNNNNNNNNNNNNNNNNNNNNNNNNNNNNNNNNNNNNNNNNNNNNNNNNNNNNNNNNNNNNNNNNNNNNNNNNNNNNNNNNNNNNNNNNNNNNNNNNNNNNNNNNNNNNNNNNNNNNNNNNNNNNNNNNNNNNNNNNNNNNNNNNNNNNNNNNNNNNNNNNNNNNNNNNNNNNNNNNNNNNNNNNNNNNNNNNNNNNNNNNNNNNNNNNNNNNNNNNNNNNNNNNNNNNNNNNNNNNNNNNNNNNNNNNNNNNNNNNNNNNNNNNNNNNNNACAAUUAUCAUGAACAAGGAAAUAUUAUAAUAACUAAUUUAUUAUUGCCUCUAGGUCAUAUUUCCAACAACAAUAUCUAGUGGAGUCAUCAAUCAACGUCAUGAAGUAUCUUUUUCCACCUUUUAUCAACACGACAUUCAUCUCACAAAGAUCAGAACGUAUAAGCUCUAGUGGUGCCAAGUCUCUUGCCUCUGUAGUCUUAUGGGACUUGCGAGGUUGCUUACCUUGCACACAUACUUGGCACUUAGAGCCUUUGACAGUAGAGAUUUUCGGAAUUAAAUUCAUAUUGGCUAGCCGCGUCAUGCAACCAAAGUUAAUGUGACAAAGUCGUGAAUGCCAAAUAUCCGACUCAUUGUUGUGGCAAACAUUAUUAAUAACUUUAGUGCAAAUAUCUGACAAAGACAGGCGGAACAAGCCUCCGCUCUCAUAGCCUUUUCCAACAAAUUGUCCAUACUUAGAAAUUACAACUUUAUUGGAUUCAAAAACCAACUUAAAACCAUCUCGACAUCAAUGGGAACCGCUAACGAGAUUUUUAUUGAUGGACGGCACAUGAUGAACGUUCUUCAGACGCACGGUCUUCCCCGAAGUAAACUUCAGAUCGACUGUACCAACACCUCAAACGAUGGCAUGUGACCCGUUCCCCAUCAGCACGGGAGAAGUCCCAGUGGCCUGGUAAGAAGAAAACAUGGAGGCGUCAGCACAAACAUGUACAUUGGCACCGGUGUCAAUUAACCAAUCAGGGGAUUGAAAUACUGAAAGGAUGGUAGGAAAAAUACCGUACCCUGAUUCCUUCAUAUCAGUAUCACCGAUGACAACAUUAGCGGACUUGCCGCUCUUGUCAUGUUCGCGCUCCUCAAAACGGUUAGGACACUUCGGAGCCCAGUGAUUAGGAUCACCGCAAACAUGGCAAAGUCCCUUCCCCUUCUUAUGAGAAUUCUUCUUGAAGUUGGUAGAAUGUGAUAGCUUGUUCUUUGUAUCAAACUUACCUUUGCCCUGAGUUUUGUUCUUGUUGUUUUUGAACUUGUUGGGCUGGAAGUUCUUCUUCUGUACCAUGUGGGCACUAGAACCUCCCUCAGCAACUCGAGCAUGUGUGUCCUUUGCUCUCGCCUUCUCUUCAACAUCAAGAGUACCAAUGAGAUCCGCAACGGAAAACUCCUGUCUCUUGUGUUUCAGGGAAGUAGCAAAAUUGUUCCAUGAAGGUGGAAGCUUGGCAAUGAUGCCUCCGGCAACACACACUUGAAGUAAUCAAGUUCUUUUGCGAGCGACUGUAUCUCAUUAGCCUGCUGUACAACAGGGCGCUCAUCAGUCAUUUUGUAGUCAUAGAAUUGCUCCAUGACGUACAACUCGCCGCCGGCGUCCGAGGCACCAAACUUGGCCUCGAGCGUAGCCCACAUGUCCUUGCUGUUGUCAAAUGACAUAUACAAAUCGAUCUUCUCAAAAGCUUCCAGCUGUGCUGGAUUAAGAUCGCCCUCAGGCUUGCCCUUGGUGGCGUCAUAGCAGCCCAUAGUCUGAAACCAGUAGACUGCUAUCGUGCACCACCUCUUAUAUUGCGCCCCUUUAAAGGCAGGCAGCUUCAAAUGCGUAGCAAAAUACGAGAUUUAAUCCGAAUAAAUAGGAAAUAGAUCAUGACAUCAAUAGCAGAGAUUAAACUAACCCCGGGUAGGUCAUGGGACAACGUGCAUAGCUCUGUCCUCGGCUCAAUCCCGCAACCCGCGGUGCGGCGCGGCGCGGCACGCGUGUAGGUCUCCUCUUCUCAUGCUCAUACAAGUGGUAGAAUAGCUCACCUUAUAAAGGGGUGCAACUCUCUCUCAACUUCCGGGGUGGGACUAAACUUUAGUCUCACUCACUCCACUCACAUGUGUGCAUGAAUGGGCCAAGAGAAUUUCAGAAUUUUAGUUGGGCUUUGGGCCAAAGGCCUACUAGCAAAAUUCCAACAAUAUGUAGAUCCACAUUUUGGGUGUGCUAGUAUUAAUACGUGUGGCAUGAGUGUGUUCUUGUUUUAUGUAUUUCUAGAGUGAAUCUCACGUUAUUUCCCCAUAUCAUAAAAUGGAUUUGGGACAUUAAAGGAAGAUUAUGCGCAUUUUGCACUUGAUAAUCUAUCUAUCUUCUACGUUUAUCUAUCUAUCUAUAUCUAUCUCUAUCUUCAUCCCUAUCUCUAUCUCUAUCUCUAUAUCUAUACCUAUCUAUAUGUAUACUAUAUAUGUAUAUUUACAUCUACACCUAUCUAUCUAUCUAUCUAUCUAUCUAUCUAUCUAUCUAUCUUUAUAUUUAUAUCUCUAUCUAUCUAUACCUAUACUUCUACUCCCUCCGUCCCAAAAUAAGUAUCUCAAGCUUAGUACAAGUUCGUACUAAAGUUAAUACAAAGUUGAGACACUUAUUUUGAGACGGAGGAAGUACUAAUUAGGCACUCCCUAGAAAUUACCAUGUUAAUCGGUAAAAUUCAAGAUAAUUGGAAACCCACGCCCCUUCGUAAAUACAUGUAAUUGCUUACACCCAUUUAGGAUAUGCUUGCAUGAUGGAUAUAUACGAUACACAUGCAUCAUUAUUAACCCGGAACACCUUUAAGUUUACAUUAAAAAUGGCAUCCAGGAGACACUAUAUUAAAUAAUACUGCCCAUGAUUAAAUAGGAGGAAAUCCAAUUCUCCAUCGAGGUAUAUGUGCAAAGAGUUAAACAUUGAUCAUUUGGAUAUUCAUGGGGCAUAUUGCAUUUGGAAACCCCUACUCAGUGCACUAUAUAGUAUAUAUAAGCCAUAAUCAUAGCUAUGUACUCCACCUCAACCCAUCCAUCUCUGCACUGCAGUUCCAUUUGAUCCAUUCAUCGUCUCCCUCAGUUACAAUAUAUUUUUGUAGCAAGCCUGGCAGCAAUGGAAAUGGUGCAAACCACCUCCUUAGCAUUCACUGGAAUUGUCAUCAUUCUCCUUUCCAUGGCCAUCACCGUUCAAGCUUCCGACACCAAGCCCAUGUCGUCAGGCAUCACGUUGGAAGCAUGCAAGAAUGUCUCGAGUGACUUCUUCAAGGUGCGCUCCACAUAUGACUUUUGUGUAUCAACGCUCCAGUCAGACAAACGAAGCAUCAACGUGAAGGACUGCCGCAUCCUAGCUCUCGUGGCCGUCGACACCAUGAAGCCCCAAGCCACGGCCGUGAUGGCCAAGGUUGAGAACUUGAUCCAUGGUGCCACCAAGCGCAAGAUCACGACUCGCNNNNNNNNNNNNNNNNNNNNNNNNNNNNNNNNNNNNNNNNNNNNNNNNNNNNNNNNNNNNNNNNNNNNNNNNNNNNNNNNNNNNNNNNNNNNNNNNNNNNNNNNNNNNNNNNNNNNNNNNNNNNNNNNNNNNNNNNNNNNNNNNNNNNNNNNNNNNNNNNNNNNNNNNNNNNNNNNNNNNNNNNNNNNNNNNNNNNNNNNNNNNNNNNNNNNNNNNNNNNNNNNNNNNNNNNNNNNNNNNNNNNNNNNNNNNNNNNNNNNNNNNNNNNNNNNNNNNNNNNNNNNNNNNNNNNNNNNNNNNNNNNNNNNNNNNNNNNNNNNNNNNNNNNNNNNNNNNNNNNNNNNNNNNNNNNNNNNNNNNNNNNNNNNNNNNNNNNNNNNNNNNNNNNNNNNNNNNNNNNNNNNNNNNNNNNNNNNNNNNNNNNNNNNNNNNNNNNNNNNNNNNNNNNNNNNNNNNNNNNNNNNNNNNNNNNNNNNNNNNNNNNNNNNNNNNNNNNNNNNNNNNNNNNNNNNNNNNNNNNNNNNNNNNNNNNNNNNNNNNNNNNNNNNNNNNNNNNNNNNNNNNNNNNNNNNNNNNNNNNNNNNNNNNNNNNNNNNNNNNNNNNNNNNNNNNNNNNNNNNNNNNNNNNNNNNNNNNNNNNNNNNNNNNNNNNNNNNNNNNNNNNNNNNNNNNNNNNNNNNNNNNNNNNNNNNNNNNNNNNNNNNNNNNNNNNNNNNNNNNNNNNNNNNNNNNNNNNNNNNNNNNNNNNNNNNNNNNNNNNNNNNNNNNNNNNNNNNNNNNNNNNNNNNNNNNNNNNNNNNNNNNNNNNNNNNNNNNNNNNNNNNNNNNNNNNNNNNNNNNNNNNNNNNNNNNNNNNNNNNNNNNNNNNNNNNNNNNNNNNNNNNNNNNNNNNNNNNNNNNNNNNNNNNNNNNNNNNNNNNNNNNNNNNNNNNNNNNNNNNNNNNNNNNNNNNNCACAUUGCUCACCCAAGGCUAUGAUCCAUAUACUUGUGUGCCCAACAGAGCACACUAUUCAUAGUAAAGAAUAUUGUUCUGUUUAUCCUAGUAGAGCAGUGGCAGCAAGCGACACAAGAAGAAGUAGAUGAUGAUCAGAUGAUGGUUUAUCCUAAUUAAUUAUGCAUGCAAUAGUUUACUUUGGCGUGUGGAAAUGUCAUGUGUGUACUAGGCAACUAUGUAAUUGGAUGUUUAAUUUGAUUGUGAAAUCAUGUCCUUAUUAGUAUAUAUGUUGUUGUUCUGUAUGCAAUCACAUCGCACACGUACCACACAGAUGUUGUUAAGUUCAACUCUUUCUAUUCUCUCUGCUCAACGCAAAUAGUUCAUUCGAGUGAACUGUAUACUGUAUAUGGCACACACCUUGAUCUGGCUGACCGUUUCUAUUGUGUUGCCUAAUCACAAACAGUUCAUCUGAGUGAACUAUAUGCCGUAUAUGGCAGACACAUUCACUGGCUACCCGUUUCUGUUUUUAGGCGUCAUGACAAAUAGUUCAUUGGAGUGAACUGUAUGCCACGCAUCGCACACGCAACUGUAGUAUGACCGUGUUUGAUGUAUCCUCCAUGGCAAANNNNNNNNNNNNNNNNNNNNNNNNNNNNNNNNNNNNNNNNNNNNNNNNNNNNNNNNNNNNNNNNNNNNNNNNNNNNNNNNNNNNNNNNNNNNNNNNNNNNNNNNNNNNNNNNNNNNNNNNNNNNNNNNNNNNNNNNNNNNNNNNNNNNNNNNNNNNNNNNNNNNNNNNNNNNNNNNNNNNNNNNNNNNNNNNNNNNNNNNNNNNNNNNNNNNNNNNNNNNNNNNNNNNNNNNNNNNNNNNNNNNNNNNNNNNNNNNNNNNNNNNNNNNNNNNNNNNNNNNNNNNNNNNNNNNNNNNNNNNNNNNNNNNNNNNNNNNNNNNNNNNNNNNNNNNNNNNNNNNNNNNNNNNNNNNNNNNNNNNNNNNNNNNNNNNNNNNNNNNNNNNNNNNNNNNNNNNNNNNNNNNNNNNNNNNNNNNNNNNNNNNNNNNNNNNNNNNNNNNNNNNNNNNNNNNNNNNNNNNNNNNNNNNNNNNNNNNNNNNNNNNNNNNNNNNNNNNNNNNNNNNNNNNNNNNNNNNNNNNNNNNNNNNNNNNNNNNNNNNNNNNNNNNNNNNNNNNNNNNNNNNNNNNNNNNNNNNNNNNNNNNNNNNNNNNNNNNNNNNNNNNNNNNNNNNNNNNNNNNNNNNNNNNNNNNNNNNNNNNNNNNNNNNNNNNNNNNNNNNNNNNNGCAAGUAACAUACCGAUGACAAAGGGAACAACGUAUGUUGUUAUGCGGUCUGACCGAUAAAGAUCUUCGUAGAAUAUGUAGGAGCCAAUAUGAGCAUCCAGGUUCCGCUAUUGGUUAUUGACCGGAGACAUGUCUCGGUCAUGUCUACAUAGUUGUCGAACCUGUAGGGUCCGCACGCUUAAGGUUUCGAUGACAGUUAUAUUAUGAGUUUAUAUGUUUUGAUGUACCGAAGGUUGUUCGGAGUCCCGGAUGUGAUCACGGACAUGACGAGGAGUCUCGAAAUGGUCGAGACAUGAAGAUUGAUAUAUUGGAAGCCUAUGUUUGGAUAUCAGAAGUGUUCCGAGUGAAAUCGGGAUUUUACCGGAGUACCGGGAGGUUACCGAAACCCCACGGUAACUUAAUGGGCCUUAGUGGGCCUAGGUGGAAGAGAGGAGAGGAGGCAAGGGCUGGCCGCGCGCCCCUCCCCCCUAGUCCGAAUAGGACAAGGAGAGGGGGGCGGCGCCCCCCCCCCCUUCCUUGCUUCUCCUCCACUCCUUCCCCCUCCCAAGUCCUAAUCCAACUAGGAAAGGGGGGUCCUUGGGAGUAGGACUCCUCCGGCGUGCCUCCUCCUAUGGCCGGCCGCACCCCCCCUUGCUCCUUUAUAUACGGGAGCAGGGGCACCCCAUAGAUACAACAAUUGAUCGUUUGAUCUUUUAGCCGUGUGUGGUGCCACCCUCCACCAUAGUCCACCUCGAUAAUACUAUAGCGGUGCUUAGGCGAAGCCCUGCAUCGGUAGAACAUCAUCAUCUUCACCACGCCGUCGUGCUGACGAAACUCUCCCUCAACACUCGGCUGGAUCGUAGUUCGAGGGACGUCAUCAGGCUGAAUGUGUGCUGAACUCGGAGGUGUCGUGCAUUCGGUACUUGAUCGGACGGAUCGUGAAGACGUACGACUACAUCAACCGCGUUGUGCUAACGCUUCCGCUUUCGGUCUACGAGGGUACGUGGCCAACACUCUCCCCUCUCGUUGCUAUGCAUCACCAUGAUCUUGCGUGUGCGUAGGAAUUUUUUUGAAAUUACUACGUUCCCCAACAGUGGCAUCCGAGCCUGGUUUUAUGCAUAGAUGUCAUAUGCACGUGUAGAACACAAGUGAGUUUUGGGCGAUAUAAGCCAUACUGCUUACCAGCAUGUCAUACUUUGGUUCAGCGGUAUUGUUGGAUGAAGCGGCCCGGACCGACAUUACGCGUACGCUUACGUGAGACUGGUUCUACCGACGUGCUUUGCACAGAGGUGGCUGGCGGUUGUCAGUUUCUCCAACUUUAGUUGAACCGAGUGUGGCUACACCCGGUACUUGGAAGGUUAAAACAGCACCAACUUGACAAACUAUCAUUGUGGUUUUUGAUGCGUAGGUAAGAACGGUUCUUGCUAAGCCCGUAGCAGCCACGUAAAACUUGCAACAACAAAGUAGAGGACGUCUAACUUGUUUUUGCAGGGCAUGUUGUGAUGUGAUAUGGUCAAGACAUGAUGCUAAAUUUUAUUUUAUGAGAUGAUCAUGUUUUUAACCGAGUUAUCGGCAACUGGCAGGAGCCAUAUGGUUGUCGCUUUAUUGUAUGCAAUGCAAUCACCCUGUAAUGCUUUACUUUAUCACUAAGCGGUAGCGAUAGUCGUAGAAGCAUAAGAUUGGCGAUACGACAACGAUGCUAUGAUGGAGAUCAAGGUGUCGCGCCGGUGACGAUGGUGAUCACGGAGGUGCUUCGGAGAUGGAGAUCACAAGCACAAGAUGAUGAUGGCCAUAUCAUAUCACUUAUAUUGAUUGCAUGUGUUGUUUAUCUUUUAUGCAUCUUAUCUUGCUUUGAUUGACGGUAGCAUUAUAAGAUGAUCCCUCACUAAAUUAUCAAUGUAUAAGUGUUCUCCCUGAGUAUGCACUGUUGUGAAAGUUCUUCGUGCUGAGACGCCACGUGAUGAUCAGGUGUGAUAGGCUCUACGUUCAAAUACAAUGGGUGCAAAACAGUUGCACACGCGGAAUACUCAGGUUAAACUUGACGAGCCUAGCAUAUAACAGAUAUGGCCUCAGAACACGGAGACCGAAAGGUCGAGCGUGAAUCAUGUAGUAGAUAUGAUCAGCAUAGUGAUGUUCACCAUUGAAACUACUCCAUCUCACGUGAUGAUCGGACAUGGUUUAGUUGAUUUGGAUCACGUGAUCACUUAGAGGAUUAGAGGGAUGUCUAUCUAAGUGGGAAUUCUUAAGUAAUAUGAUUAAUUGAACUUAAAUUUAUCAUGAAAGUACCUGAUAGUAUCUUGCUUGUCUAUGUUGAUUGUAGAUAGAUGGCCCGUGAUGUUGUUCCGUUGAAUUUUAAUGUGUUCCUUGAGAAAGCAAAGUUGAAAGAUGAUGGUAGCCAUUACACGGACUGGGUCCGUAACUUGAGGAUUAUCGUCAUUGCUGCACAGAAGAAUUACGUCCUGGAAGCACCGCUGGGUGCCAGGCCUGCUGCAGGAGCAACAUCAGAUGUUAUGAACGUCUGGCAGAGCAAAGCUGAUGACUACUCGAUAGUUCAGUGUGCCAUGCUUUACGGCUUAGAACCGGGACUUCAACGACGGUUUGAACGUCAUGGAGCAUAUGAGAUGUUCCAGGAGUUGAAGUUAAUAUUUCAAGCAAAUGCCCGGACUGAGAGAUAUGAAGUCUCCAAUAAGUUCUAUAGAUGUAAGAUGGAGGAGAAUAGUUCUGUCAGUGAGCAUAUACUCAAGAUGUCUGGGUAUAAUAAUCACUUGAUUCAACUAGGAGUUAAUCUUCCGGAUGAUAGCGUCAUUGACAGAAUUCUCCAAUCACUGCCACCAAGCUACAAGAGCUUCGUAAUGAACUAUAAUAUGCAAGGGAUGGAUAAGACAAUUCCCAAGCUCUUCGCAAUGCUAAAAGCUGUGGAGGUAGAAAUCAAGAAGGAGCAUCAAGUGUUGAUGGUCAACAAGACCACUAGUUUCAAGAAAAAGGGCAAAGGGAAGAAGAAGGGGAACUUCAAGAAGAACAGCAAACAAGUUGCUGCUCAAGAGAAGAAACCCAAGUCUGGACCUAAGCCUGAAACUGAGUGUUUCUAUUGCAAGCAAACUGGUCACUGGAAGCGGAACUGCCCCAAGUAUUUGGCGGAUAAGAAGGAUGGCAAGGUGAACAAAGGUAUAUGUGAUAUACAUGUUAUUGAUGUGUACCUUACUAAUGCUCGCAGUAGCACCUUGGUAUUUCAUACUGGUUCUAUUGCUAAUAUUUGCAACUCGAAAUAGGGGCUACGGAUUAAGCGAAGAUUGGCUAAGGACGAGGUAACGAUGCGCGUGGGAAAUGGUUCCAAAGUUGAUGUGAUCGCAGUCAGAACGCUACCUCUACAUCUACCUUCAGGAUUAGUAUUAGACCUAAAUAAUUGUUAUUUGGUGCCAGCGUUGAGCGUGAGCAUUAUAUCUGGAUCUUGUUUGAUGCUAGACGGUUAUUCAUUUAAAUCAAAGAAUAAUGGUUGUUCUAUUUAUAUGAGUAAUAUCUUUUAUGGUCAUGCACCCUUGAAGAGUGGUCUAUUCUUAUUGAAUCUUGAUAGUAGUGACACACAUAUUCAUAAUGUUGAAGCCAAAAGAUGCAGAGUUGAUAAUGAUAGUGCAACUUAUUUGUGGCACUGCCGUUUAGGUCAUAUCGGUGUAAAGCGCAUGAAGAAACUCCAUACUGAUGGACUUUUGGAACCACUUGAUUAUGAAUCACUCGGUACUUGCGAACCGUGCCUCAUGGGCAAGAUGACUAACACCGUUCUCCGAUACUAUGGAGAGAGCAACAGAUUUGUUGGAAAUCAUACAUACAGAUGUAUGUGGUCCGAUGAAUGUUGAGGCUCGUGGCGGAUAUCAUUAUUUUCUCACCUUCACAGAUGACUUAAGCAGAUAUGGGUAUAUCUACUUAAUGAAACAUAAGUCUGAAACAUUUGAAAAGUUCAAAGAAUUUCAGAGUGAAGUUGAAAAUCAUCGUAACAAGAAAAUAAAGUUUCUACGAUCUGAUCAUGGAGGAGAAUAUUUGAGUUACGAGUUUGGUGUACAUUUGAAAAAAUGCGGAAUAGUUUCGAAACUCACGCCACCCGGAAUACCACAACGUAAUGGUGUGUCCGAACGUCGUAAUCGUACUUUACUAGAUAUGAUGCGAUCUAUGAUGUCUCUUACUGAUUUACCGCUAUCGUUUUGGGGUUAUGCUUUAGAGACGGUCGCAUUCACGUUAAAUAGGGUACCAUCAAAAUCCGUUGAGACGACGCCUUAUGAACUGUGGUUUGGCAAGAAACCAAAGUUGUUGUUUCUGAAAGUUUGGGGCUGCGAUGCUUAUGUGAAAAAGCUUCAACCUGAUAAGCUCGAACCCAAAUCGGAGAAAUGUGUCUUCAUAGGAUACCCAAAGUAGACUGUUGGGUACACCUUCUAUCACAGAUCCAAAGGCAAGAUUUUUGUUGCUAAAUUAGGAAACUUUCUAGAGAAGGAGUUUCUCUCGAAAGAAGUGAGUGGGAGGAAAGUAGAACUUGAUGAGGUAACUGUACUUGCUCCCUUAUUGGAAAGUAGUUCAUCACAGAAACCGGUUUCUGUGACACCUACACCAAUCAGUGAGGAAGUUAAUGAUGAUGAUCAUGAAACUUCAGACCAAGUUACUAUUGAGCCUCAUAGAUCAACCAGAGUAAGAUCCGCAGCAGAGUGGUACGGUAAUCCUGUUCUGGAAGUCAUGCUACUAGAUCAUGAUGACCCUACGAACUAUGAAGAAGCGAUGGUGAGCCCAGAUUCCGCAAAAUGGCUUGAGGCCAUGAAAUCUGAGAUGGGAUCCAUGUAUGAGAACAAAGUAUGGACUUUGGUUGACUUGCCUGAUGAUCGGCAAGCAAUUGAAAAUAAAUGGAUCUUCAAGAAGAAGACUGACGUUGACGGUAAUGUUACUAUCUACAAAGCUCGACUUGUUGCGAAAGGUUUUCGACAAGUUCAAGGGAUUGACUACGAUGAGACCUUCUCAUCCGUAGCGAUGCUUAAGUCUGACCGAAUCAUGUUAGCAAUUGCCGCAUUUUAUGAUUAUAAAAUUUGGCAAAUGGAUGUCAAAACUGUAUUUCUGAAUGGAUUUCUGGAAGAAGAGUUGUAUAUGAUGCAACCAGAAGGUUUUGUAGAUCCAAAGGGAGCUAACAAAAUGUGCAAGCUCCAGCGGUCCAUUUAUGGACUGGUGCAAGCCUCUCGGAGUUGGAAUAAACGCUUUGAUAGUAUGAUCAAAGCAUUUGGUUUUGUAUAGACUUUUGGAGAAGCCUGUAUUUACAAGAAAGUGAGUGGGAGCUCUGUAGCAUUUCUAAUAUUAUAUGUGGAUGACAUAUUGCUGAUUGGAAAUGAUAUAGAAUUUCUCGAUAGCAUAAAGGGAUACUUGAAUAAGAGUUUUUCAAUGAAAGACGACCUCGGUGAAGCUGCUUAUAUAUUGGGCAUUAAGAUCUAUAGAGAUAGAUCAAGUCGCUUAAUUGGACUUUCACAAAGCACAUACCUUGAAAAAGUUUUGAAGAAGUUCAAAAUGGAUCAAGCAAAGAAAGGGUUCUUGCCUGUGUUACAAGGUGUGAAGUUCAGUAAGACUCAAUGCCCGACCACUGCAGAAGAUAGAGAGAAAAUAAAAGAUGUUCCCUAUGCUUCAGCCAUAGGCUCUAUCAUGUAUGCAAUGCUGUGUACCAGACCUGAUGUGUGCCUUGCUAUAAGCCUAGCAGGGAGGUACCAAAGUAAUCCAGGAGUGGAUCACUGGACAGCGGUCAAGAACAUCCUGAAAUACCUGAAAAGGUCUAAGGAUAUGUUUCUCGUUUAUGGAGGUGACAAAGAGCUCAUCGUAAAUGGUUACGUUGAUGCAAGCUUUGACACUGAUCCGGACGAUUCUAAAUCACAAACCGGAUAUGUGUUUACAUUGAACAGUGGUGCUGUCAGUUGGUGCAGUUCUAAACAAAGCGUCGUGGCAGGAUCUACGUGUGAAGCGGAGUACAUAGCUGCUUCGGAAGCAGCAAAUAAAGGAAUCCAUAUUUCACAAGAGAUAGAGAUUUGCAAGAUACAUACGGAUCUGAAUGUUGCAGACCCGUUGACUAAGCUUCUUCCACGAGCAAAACAUGAUCAACACCAAGGCUCCAUGGGUGUUAGAAUCAUUACUGUGUAUCUAGAUUAUAGACUCUAGUGCAAGUGGGAGACUGAAGAAAAUAUGCCCUAGAAGCAAUAAUAAAGUUAUUAUUUAUUUCCUUAUAUCAUGAUAAAUGUUUAUUAUUCAUGCUAGAAUUGUAUUAACCGAAAACAUAAUACAUGUGUGAAUACAUAGACAAACAAAGUGUCACUAGUAUGCCUCUACUUGACUAGCUUGUUGAUCAAAGAUGGUUAUGUUUCCUAGCCAUAGACAUGAGUUGUCAUUUGAUUAACGGGAUCACAUCAUUAGGAGAAUGAUGUGAUUGACAUGACCCAUUCCGUUAGCUUAGCACCCGAUCUUUUAGUAUGCUGCUAUUGCUUUCUUCAUGACUUAUACAUGUUCCUAUGACUAUGAGAUUAUGCAACUCCCGUUUACCGGAGGAGCACUUUGUGUGCUACCAAACGUCACAACGUAACUGGGUGAUUAUAAAGGAGCUCUACAGGUGUCUCCAAAGGUACAUGUUGGGUUAGCGUAUUUCGAGAUUAGGAUUUGUCACUCCGAUUGUCGGAGAGGUAUCUCUGGGCCCUCUCGGUAAUGCACAUUACUUAAGCCUUGCAAGCAUUGCAACUAAUGAGUUAGUUGCAGGAUGAUGUAUUAUGGGACGAGUAAAGAGACUUGCCGGUAACGAGAUUGAACUAGGUAUUGAGAUACUGACAUUCGAAUCUCGGGCAAGUAACAUACCGAUGACAAAGGGAACAACGUAUGUUGUUAUGCGGUCUGACCGAUAAAGAUCUUCGUAGAAUAUGUAGGAGCCAACAUAAGCAUCCAGGUUCCGCUAUUGGUUUUUGACUGGAGACGUGUCUCGGUGAUGUCUACAUAGUUCUCGAGCCCGUAGGGUCCGCACGCUUAACGUUUCGAUGAUAGCUAUAUUAUGAGUUUAGAUGUUUUGAUGUACCAAAGGUUGUUCGCAGUCCCGGAUGUGAUCACGGACAUGACGAGGAGUCUCGAAAUGGUCGAGACAUGAAGAUUGAUAUAUUGGAAGCCUAUGUUUGGAUAUCGGAAGUGUUCCAGGUGAAAUCUGGAUUUUACCGGAGUACCGGGAGGUUACCGGAACCCCCCGGUAACUUAAUGGGCCUUAGUGGGCCUAGGCGGAAGAGAGGAGAGGAGGCAAGGUCUGCCGCGCGCCCCUCCCCCCCUAGUCCGAAUAGGACAAGGAGAGGGGGGCGGCGCCCCCCCCCCUUCCUUCCUUCUCCUCCACUCCUUCCCCCUCCCAUGUCCUAAUCCAACUAGGAAAGGGGGGAGUCAUACUCGCGGUGGGAGUAGGACUCCUCCAGCGCGCCUCCUCCUAUGGCCGGCCGCACCCCCCCUUGCUCCUUUAUAUACGGGGGCAGGGGCACCCCAUAGAUACAACAAUUGAUCGUUUGAUCUUUUAGCCGUGUGCGGUGCCCCCCUCCACCAUAGUCCACCUUGAUAAUACUAUAGCGGUGCUUAGGCAAUGCCCUGCGUCGGUAGAACAUCAUCAUCGUCACCAUGUCGUCGUGCUGACGAAACUCUCCUUCAACACUCGGCUGGACCGGAGUUCGAGGGACGUCAUCGGGCUGAACGUGUGCUGAACUCGGAGGUGCCGUGCAUUCGGUACUUGAUCGGUCGGAUCGUGAAGACGUAUGACUACAUCAACCACGUUGUGCUAACGCUUCCGCUUUCGGUCUACGAGGGUACGUGGACAACACACUCCCCUCUCGUUGCUAUGCAUCACCAUGAUCUUGCGUGUGCGUAGGAAAUUUUUUGAAAUUAGUAUGUUCCCCAACAGUCCUCAUAAAUGGUAUUGUACCUGCCCUACAACCUAGCUAUGAGCACUUGCCAUCGAAAGCAAAAAUAUGCUUCUCCUUCUGUGUUGUUUACCCCAAGGAUAGGAUGAUGGAUAAAGACAUAUUAAUCCGGCUAUGGAUGGAAAGUGUCUUCGUUGCAUCAGAAACAGCAGGCCAACAAAUUUGCGAUGUUCUAUUUUGGAGAUGUUUCUUACAAGAUGUGGAUAUUGGUAGGAUGUCUUCAUACAUAAUAUACAUGAUUUCAUGCAUGAUCUUGUUGACUCUGUAAGAAGAAAUAAUUGCUUACUUAUGCAAGAAUCUUCAUCGUCGCAAGAAAUUGUGGAACGAUCUACUGAUGGGAGUUCAUUUCAAUAUGAGGUUCAACAUUUGUCACUUGAUUUUGUUAGUAAUAUUGCCACUUCGGAGGAAAUUAUUGCUCCCUGUCCGCUCACGAUAUUAGUCUCAUGAGAGAAGGACUGUAUUAAGACUCCGUUGCGUAUGGUCACAUAUAAAUUCAUGUUCCCACAAGCAUUGAAGUCAUCCUCAAUCAAAACGCACAUGGGAAACAUGAAGCAUCUUCACUACCUAGAUUGUUCUAAUUCUUGUAUGUUUGAAUUGCCUGAAUCCACUACGUACCAUCUUGCAUAUAUAGCUUCCAAAAACUAAGGCUCAACCAUUAUUUAUUCCUUUACUAGAAGAGAUGAAAUUUAUGAGAAGUCUUCGGCACAUCUUCCUUACUAACUAUGGUUGUUUGGACCACAUGCCACAAGGUAUUGGUUAAUUGAAUUCUCCGACCACAUUGAUGAAUUAUGUCAUUGAUAGUGAUUCGGGUUAUGGGAAUUGAUCAACAUGAAAAUUUGAGUCUAGGUGGUGCUCUUUCUUUUACUCAAUUGAUAAAGGUGAGUAGUGCAAAAAAGUGUUAAACAAGGCAAUAUGUCCACCAAAGCAUAAGUUGAAAUGAUUAUCACUCGAUUUGUACUGGGAUUAUAGAAGAAACUAUGGAGAUAAAGUACAUAAUAAUGUGAAAGGAAUAUUACAAGCCCUUCACCCUAAAAAAGGAUUAAAUUUUUAUUGUUAAUUAUGUUGUUAUACUGGAGCUAAAGUAUCAUCGUGGAUGGAAAACUCUACACUAUUCAAACACCUCCCUGAUUGUUAUUCAAGUAGAUGCAAGAACGGCAAGGAUCCCCACCAUUAUGGCAGCUUCCUUGCAUCAAGUAGUGGCGUUUGGAAUGCUUGAUGUGUAUAUGUGUUUGUAAUGAUGAUAAAAACUGUGAGAAAUCCUGUAUUUCUCCACAAUCAUUCUUCCCAAAACUAGAAAACCUAAUAGAUAGCAACAUUCCAAAGCUACAGAGAUGGCACCCUGAGGUUGUGAUACGUCUCCAACGUAUCUAUAAUUUUUGAUUGUUCCAUGCUAUUAUAUUAUCUGUUUUGGAUGUUUAAUGGGCUUUAAUAUGCUCUUUUAUAUUAUUUUUGGGACUAACCUAUUAACCGAAGGCCCAGUGCAAAUUGCUGUUUUUUUUUGCCUAUUUCAGUGUUUCGCAGAAAAGGUUAUCAAAUGGAACGAAACCUUCACGAGGAUCUUUCUUGGAACAAACGCAACCCAAGAGACUUGGAGUGGAAGUCAAGGAAGCAACGAGGCGGCCACGAGGCAGGAGGGCGCCCCCCCACCCUCGUGGGCCCCUCAUAGCUCCACCGACCUACUUCUUUCGCCUAUAUAUACUCUUAUACCCUGAAAACAUCGAGGGGAUCCACGAAACCACUUUUCCACCGCCGCAACCUUCUGUACCCGUGAGAUCCCAUCUUGGGGCCUUUUCCGGUGAUCUUCCAGAGGGGGAUUCGAUCACGGAGGGCUUCUACAUCAACACCAUAGCCUCUCCGAUGAUGUGUGAGUAGUUUACCAUAGACCUUCGGGUCCAUAGUUAUUAGCUAGAUGGCUUCUUCUCUCUCUUUGGUUCUCAAUACAAAGUUCUCCUCGAUUUUCUUGGAGAUCUAUUCGAUGUAAAACUUUUUGUGGUGUUUUUGCCGAGAUCCGAUGAAUUGUGGGUUUAUGAUCAAGAUUAUCUAUGAACAAUAUUUGGUUCUUCUCUGAAUUCUUAUAUGCAUGAUUUAAUAUCUUUGCAAGUCUCUUCGAAUUAUCGGUUUAGUUUGGCCUACUAGAUUGAUCUUUCUUGCAAUGGGAGAAGUGCUUAGCUUUGGGUUCAAUCUUGCGGUGCUCGAUCCCAGUGACAGAAAGGGAAACGACAUGUGUUGUAUUGUUGCCAUCGAGGAUAAAAAGAUGGGGUUUAUAUCAUAUUGCUUGAGUUUAUCCCUCUACAUCAUGUCAUCUUGCCUAAUGCAUUACUAUGUUCUUAUGAACUUAAUACUCUAGAUGCAUGCUCGAUAGCGGUCGAUGUGUGGAGUAAUAGUAGUAGAUGCAGAAUCGUUUUGGUCUACUUGUCACGGACGUGAUGCCUAUGUUCAUGAUCAUUCCUAGAUAUUCUCAUAACUAUGCGCUUUUCUAUCAAUUGCACAGCAGUAAUUUGUUCACCCACCGUAAUAUAUGCUAUCUUGAGAGAAGCCACUAGUGAAACCUAUGGCCCCCGGGUCUACUUUACAGCAUAUAAGUUUCCGAUCUACAAUUCUAGUUUACUAUUUAUUUUCAAUCUUUACUUUUCCAAUCUAUAGAACAAAAAUACCAAAAAUAUUUAUCUUAUUAUCUUUAUUAGGUCUCACUUUUGCAAGUGGCCCUGAAGGGAUUGACAACCCCUUUAUCGCAUUGGUUGCAAGGUUCUUGAUUGUUUGUGCAUGUACUAGGAGAUUUGUGUGUGGUCUCCUACUGGAUUGAUACCUUGAUUCUCAAAAACUGAGGGAAAUAAUUACACUACUUUGCUGCAUCACCCUUUCUUGUUCAAGGGAAAACCAACGCAUGCUCAAGAGGUUGCAGGAGAAGUAACAGAUGUAGCAUUCCGUUAGCUCAAGAUGUUAAAUAUUCGUAAUUACUCAGUGCGAGAAAGUACACCUCAGAUGCUCCCUUUGGUUGAAGAUCUGUAGGUGUUUGGAAAAACAUUUUUCCAAUUUACCAUUAGAUGAAUUUGUGAGUGCAAUCUAAUCUUGAGUGCGAAGGUAUAUUUUGUGGAACCUACAGUCGAUUGUCUUCUUACUGAUGACCUUCAUAUCCCAAGUCAUGGAGACUAACAUGUCACUAAUGCUCAUAGGUCUGACAAAAAAAAAGUGGAAUUCUUUGAAGAAGAGCUUAACAGAAUAUGCAAAGGUGGAGAUAAUAGAUCGUGACUGUGUAGUUGCUUGUUUGAUGCUACGUGAUUCAUUUGGUUAGGUUGCUUGUUUUGAGGGCUCAUAUUAUCAAACUUGUUGAACAACCACUGCAGAUGCUUUGAUUUCUUUUAUUUGGAAAUUGUUAAUUAUUGAAUGUUGAGCAUCAAAGAAAAUUGACCGAGUACAAAAAAAAUAGGGGGGGAGGUGGCGAACGGGUCCGUGCUCUAGCACCCUCCCGGUUGUCCACGAACAUGUUCGGACAUGCGUCCAUGGAUGUUUGACAGUGUUCAUUUGAUGAAUAGAAAAGUGUAGGAUAUGCCCUUUGUCUUCAAGGUAACUUUUAAUGCUUAAAAAUUGACUUUGAUUUUUAGAAGGGGCAUAGGUUUAUUGUAAAGGUCUAUCCUCUUUAUAAUAGUUGAUUUAGGAAUAAUUAUUUCCAACCUAGUACAUAUUGAUAAUUUGUUUGAAGGUUACACGAGUAAAUUGAAAUUGAGAAACUAUUUGAAAGUUUUGUGCAUAUAUUUUUGAAACUCAGAAGUUGCAACAAUGUGUUGCGGAAUCAAUGACUUGAUGAGGGGCAACUUGAUCAAUCCACAAAGCCAUGUAGAAAUAUCAAAUCGGUUAUACCAAAGUAUGUAUAGAACACAUCAAUCUAGAUUUGACAUAUCAAUGCGAGGGGAUACAAACUGAGUAUCAACAUAUCUUUUUGCAUUCACUGGACACUAUUCUUUUGGAUAUCCAUGAUCAAGAUAUGUUGCAUUAAUGAAAUGGUGGAAGUCAAAUGUGUAGUAUCAACAUCAUUAAUAAAGGAUAUCCAAAUUGAGUAUAUACAUAUUUGUAUAUAGAUUUGACACUAAUCAUAUGCAUAUCCAUGACGCAACUUGCAAACUUCAUUUAUGAAACCCAACUAUACGCAUUAUAAAUAAACAUCAACCUCCCANNNNNNNNNNNNNNNNNNNNNNNNNNNNNNNNNNNNNNNNNNNNNNNNNNNNNNNNNNNNNNNNNNNNNNNNNNNNNNNNNNNNNNNNNNNNNNNNNNNNNNNNNNNNNNNNNNNNNNNNNNNNNNNNNNNNNNNNNNNNNNNNNNNNNNNNNNNNNNNNNNNNNNNNNNNNNNNNNNNNNNNNNNNNNNNNNNNNNNNNNNNNNNNNNNNNNNNNNNNNNNNNNNNNNNNNNNNNNNNNNNNNNNNNNNNNNNNNNNNNNNNNNNNNNNNNNNNNNNNNNNNNNNNNNNNNNNNNNNNNAAUAUCCAUGCACACAUUAGAUAUCAUUAAAAAGGAGAUCAAAACUGAGCACUCAAAAAUUUGUGCAAAGAUUAACCAAUAAUAAUAAGCAUAUCCAUGACCAAGCUCCAUACUGCAUUUAUGAACCCCACUAUACACAUUAUAAAUAAAUCUCAACCUCUCAUACAUCAUAUCCAACCAUUUUCCCCCUACACAACCAUCUGUAUCCAUUUAUCCCCACCUCUCUAGGUUGUAGUAUAAUUCAACGCUUCUAACAAGCCUUGCAACAAUAUAUGGCACGAACACAGAUGGACACCAUCAUCUUUUCCGCCAUUGUCUUCAUGUUGCUUUUCGUGACCACGACGGCUCAAGCCAGUGGAUCUGGUGGUGCCAAGCCCAAGGCGACCGACCUCAUGAUAGAAGCGUGCAAGAACGCCACAUUAAACAACGCAUAUGUGGAUCCUCGCAGAGAGGAAUUCUGUUUAACGACCCUCUAGUCAGACAAUCGAAGCGCUGAGGCUAAGGACCUCCGUGACUUGCUGCAAGUCACCGUCGACAUCCUUAGGGGUCGAGUCACUACUACCAGCAGCAAGGUCAAGAAAAUGUUGGAAAACACCAAGAAGGGCACGGUGCCAAUGCGCGUCCUCAGUUUGUGUGAGGUGGAUUAUGACACCAUGGUGAGCGUCAUCAACAUAUGUGAUGCCAUUAUCAGGGAUUACCAACGUGACGAGGGCAGGCAAUGGUCCAAAGAGCUAGUCCGUUGGAUGGAUAUGGCACGUGAUCAUGUCAAUGAGUGCAUCUCUGAGCUUGUUGACAUGCCUGCAGUGGGGGCUCUUGUCAAUGAAAACAAUGAAUUGGGAAUGCUGGUUAAACUGAACACCGCCUUGGUAGCAGCCCGUAUGUUUCCCGAGUAAUAGGAUGUUUGUGUUUAUAUGGCAAAAAAUAUGUCGAUGAGAAAUAAAUUGUACUAUUAAUAGUUAUUACUAUAAAUAUAAUGAUAAAUGUGUUGUGGCAUCAAUAUGCAUGGUUUUCCACAAAUUUUUCAUUUUGCUAUGAUAAUUCUAGAUUUUUUGGGGCCCAUUAGUCUUUCUUUCUUCAAAGUCUUACAAUAAUGACAUCUAUCACUCGUUGUGGAACCUCUCUUUUAAAUUGGCUCUUGAAAUCCGAUUGUCAGUAUUUUUCUAAUAUACCAUUGUUAGUAUGUUAUUCUGAUGUGUUGAACUUAUCUAUCUCCCGAGUUAUCUCUAUGCGUGAAUAUUUUCAAGUAUGAAGAGCCGAGGUCAAUGUAACAGCGCAAACAAUUGCAACCACCCGUUUAGCCAACAGGCUACUACCAUCUACGUGCCAAUCCUUAUCUUUACAUAAUAUAAUAAUAAAGAACGGAGGCUUUCAUAUUGUCCAUCCGUCAUCUGUUUAUAUCCAUCGAUUUUAUGUUAACCAUAAAAAUUAACGGCUGGGAUUUAAAAAUAAAUCAACACACAUGUAAUAAGGAAAGCAAACAAACAAACGCUAUGGAACAAAGUAAAAAAAGUCACGAACGUUGCACGUCUCUCUUGACAAUGAGAAAAAGGAAAACAAUCAUAUAUAUCAGAUCAAUUUCCUGACAAUCCCUAUUUGGCACUACAAGCGCCGGUUAUAACUGUUUUGUGCAAACCGGCGCCUACAGCCCACAUCCCUCUGAUGCGACUGGGCCGGUCCAUGUAUCUGCUUUUAAUUUUUUUUUCUAAAGGUUCAGAAAAUGUGCGUCCGCACGAAAUCGAACUCAAGAUCUGCUCUAGUAAAUUAGCACCGCAACCAUCAGGCCACAAAAUAUCGCGGUAACUCCUCCGUUUGGGAAUCUUCCAGAACCUUCCCUAAACCGUUUUUUGGUUCGUUGGUCAUUUUCAGGUGCGAUUUUACUCGGUUUUCUUUUGUUCUUUUCCUUUUAUUUCUUAAAUGCGUUUUUUAUCGUGUUAUUUUUCAAAAUCAAUCAUGUUUUUCUCUUUCACGUAUUUAACAAAAUCGAUGAACUUUUUUCCAAAUUCGAUGAACCUUUUUAAAAAUUGAUGAACCUUUUCGAAAUACGAGUAACUUUGUUCAAAUCCGAUGAAUUUUUUUUUUCAAAAUUGAUUCUACAACUAUCGCUAACGCAUAGUGAUAAAGUAAAGCAAUUACAUGGCAUUUGCAUCUCAUACAAUAAAGCGACAACCAUAAGGCAACUGCCAGUUGCCGAUAACUUUUACAAAACAUGAUCAUCUCAUACAAUAACGUAUAUCACAUCAUGUCUUGACCAUAUCACAUCACAACAUGCCCUGCAAAAACAAGUUAGACAUCCUCUAAUUUGAUGUUGCAAGUUUUACGUGGCUGCUACGGGCUUCUAGCAAGAAACAUUCUUAACUACGCAUCAAAACCACAAUGGUGAUUUAUCAAGUUUGUUGUUUUAGCCUUCAACAAGGACCGGUCGCAGUCAAAUUCGAUUCAACGAAAGUGGGAGAAACAGACACCCACCAGCCACCUUUAUGCAAAACUAGUUGCAUGUCUGUCGGUGCAAUAGGUCUCAUGAACGUGGUCAUGUAAGGUUGAUACGGGCCGCUUCAUCCAACAAUACCGCCGAAUCGAAAUAAGACAUUGGUGGUAAGCAUAGACCUGGCUCGGAUGCCACUGUUGGGGAACGUAGCAUGCAAUUUCAAAAAAAAUCCUACGCUCAUGCAAGAUCUAUCUAGGAGAUGUAUAGCAACAAGAGGGGGAGAGUGUUUCCACGUACCCUCGUAGACCAAAAGCAGAAUCAUUUUGACAACGUGGUUGAUGUAGUCGAACUUCUUCUCGUUUCGACCGAUCAAGCACCGAACGUACGGCACCUCCGAGUUCUGCACACGUUUAGCUCGAUGACGUCCCUUGAACUCUUGAUCCAACAAAUUGUCGAGGGAGAGUUUCGUCAGCACGAUGGUGUGGUGAUGGUGAUGGUGAAGUGAUCCGCACAGGGCUUCGCCUAAGCACUGUGACAACUAGUCAUCUACCCGUGCGUUCGCACGGGCUAUAGAAAUUAUAUAUUUACAAAAUCUUCACAAUAUAUAUUCUAAGGACAAUGGUGACUGAUAUUAGAUGAAAUUUCAUUUUCCUAUCCUCAUUGUAAUGGAUGAGCCCAAAAUUAGAAAGAUAACAAUACAUGCCAUAGCAUUAAUAAUUAACAUAGAGAACCUUUUGUUGUAUAAAUCAUUCUUAGAUUCUCGUUGACAACCUUGAAUCAUAAGAACUGGCCAAAUUAUGUCUCCGUAUAACUUGUGUUGGUAUAUUUUAGUUAGAAAUCAAUAAUACUUUUUGCUAAUAUUUGACCUGCAAAGGAGAAUGUUUUUUAUAAUUUAUACCAUGAUGUAUGUCAGGAAGAACCUAUAAAUAUAAUAAAGUGGUGUUGUCUAUGUAAAAAAAGUCUCGCAUAAAUUUGAAUAUAAAGACAUUAUUUUGUUUCUUCUUGGAAUUAUUAUAUCCUCGAGUAAUAUUGUAUGAAGAAAUAUAUGACAACCCGAUUGUAUAGUUGGAUUAUUUUUAAUAUGCAGAACUCCAAAGCACGGAAGGUUCAUAUUAGAAUGUUUAAUGCAUGUAAUGUAUCAAAUUAUGCCAAAUAAAUAUUUAGUAGCUACUCGCAUUUUAGCCUAUUGGUCCCUUUGAUGACUUCGAGAGUGCUUAAAGUUACCUCACCCUUUCUACUAUAUCUUCUCUAGAUCAUGGUACAAACUCGUGCUUGCAAAUAAGAAUUACCUUUUCUACCGAAGGUUUUCCCUAAUUGUGUCUGAACGUGUACCCCUAUAGACUUCCAUCAAAUAGAAUGCUAUCCCUUUGCUUGGUACAGCUUUAUGUGUAGUAGGUAGAAUUUUCUUACGACGGAGCUAGAAAGUAACCCUUGAUCCAUUCUGAAGUAGAUUUGAAAGUCUGAUAUCAUAAUACAUUUCACAAUGACUCCAAAAAAGAUUUUGGUUGAUGGCUUGCGUGAAAUUUGUUUCAUUAGAUUUUUCACAUGAAAUAUGUUCAGAGUAUUACUUUUUGAACUUGUUGUGUUUGCAUGCUCGAGCAAAAAAUAAUGAUCAAGUUUAAUAGUAAGAAACUUAAAACGAUUAGAAACUUUAAAUAGUAUUGGGACUCAUAGAGUGCAAUUUUUAAAUGUUACCAGUUCCUCUCAUCAUGGGCGUAGUCAAUUGGAACACUUGGUUUGUUUUUCCUGUUUGCAGUUGAGAAGGUGAAUCUUACUGACUACAUAUAAUGUAUUGAUUUCUACUCCAGCACGUACGCCAUGACAAACUUGUACCUGCUGCGAGGCCCUCUCGAGCAAUCGAUACAUACAUAUGUUAGUGCGUAUACUUUCUUUUAAUGUAUAUACUUGUCUUUGCUAUAGCCUUCUUCCUACAUCUGCGAGUAAGCAGCAACCUACUUUUUUAAUAAUUGUCACCUUGAACAUGGCACACAUGAAACCUAUAUUCCUCCAUUGCCGAACCAUCUAAAACAACUAACUUUUCCUUACUCGCUGACACACGGUUUUAAGCAUCAUCCCAUACUGUUCAUUUUUCAUAUUCUAAUAUGUUUUCCAAACUGAGAAAAUGAUACAACCAAUCAUAUCUUGCGAAAUUGUUCUGCAACUUUCUUGCUUUAAGCAUGAUAUAAUUCUUCCUUGAAAUUGAUGGGAAAUAGGCUAAAGGGUAAUCUGUUUCUAUUAAAAACUACAACGCAGAAUCAGGUUUUUCGUCUUAGUUUGCAAACCCUAAACAAGAAUCGAACGAAAUUGGUACCACUGGAAAGCUUGCAACAUAUCCCAUAACUUUUACCACUGUCUUAAUUUCAGAUUAUGCAAUGUUUUAUCACAGUUUUAAACUUAACUCUACCGGCUCAGACAACCCAUGCCUAGAUAAAUACUUAGCGUCAGUCUCUCCAAUCCAUCUUUCUACUUUGCCAAUAAUGACUAAUUAGGGUUUACCUUUUCUGUGUGGAAUCAUUCUUCCAGUUCCAUGGCAAGAUCACAAAUUUUGGACGACCCAACGGAUUCUCCUUCCUCCAGAGUCUUCUUCUCCGCUCAGAUUGGCUACUGCGCCUUACUCUUCUGAUUACAUGUAUUCCCUUCUCUCUUCUGACUAAAUUCUCCCUGGUGCAAUAUGUGCAGUCUACUGCCUUGAGCUGCUCCUUGUCAUAGCCUGCUCUGCACUCCAGAUCUCUUGCUCUGAUUGGUGGCUGGAUCAAAUGCAACCCACCCAACAGUAGUUAGCUCAACAUAAGCGGCUUCAAAAAAACGCAAGGAGCAGCACGUAAACGUAAAGGUCGACGACUGAAAAUGGCAACACCAUCCUAGAGCAGUGGAGCUCACGGCUAUAGGUAGAACUUGGUGGUGGUAGUCAUGAACAGCGACCAGCACCAGCCUCCGAUAGAAGGGGGCAGUUCAUCCAUGUGCUUGAGUGUUGACGGCUGGCCAUAUUGUGAACGACAGAGUCGUCAAUUCUGACUAAGUGUAGUCUCAUGCUGAUUCUCUACUGCCGCAUAGGCAUGUCCGGCGGUGGCCAGCGUGACUGCAUACUGGGUCAUCGAUCAAUGAUCCGGGCAAUUCAAUUGUAAACCCCAAAAAAGCAAAUUCAAAGCAAAUCAGUGUGAGAUGAGGAACCUGAUUUAGAUAAGGAACAAAAUUCUAAUGUGAUAACUUCAGCGAGAGCUUGGGAUCCAUGCCCUAACAUCCUUGCUCCAAUUUGAGAGAGAGAACGAUCUGUUUACCGUGUGUGAAGUAAAGAGAGACAUGAGAGAAGAGAUAUAUGAGAGUUUGAGAGAGGGAGAAACGGGAUAGAUUGAGAGAGAUAGACGAAGAGAGAUAUGACAGUUUGAGAGAGAGAAAGAGACGUGAGGGACUGAGAGAGAGAGUUUGAGAGAGGGACGUCAGAGAUUGUGAGAGACCACGAUUUCUUAGGUUGUUGUUUUUCUUUUACUUUGAGAGGAAUAGAAAGAGGUAGAUAUUUUAUGGUUUACUAUUCAAAAGUUUUUUUGGCCGAACUAAGCUGCCUGAAUGGUCAAAAAAAUAUUGUUCUCUGAAGAUUAAUCUACACCGUAAUAACUCGGUCCCACCAGAUGAACGGCUGGUAAAUUCUAAUUAACGUGAUAAUUUUUAGGGAGUCUAUAAUUAGUAUAGAAUAUAGAUAUAGAUAUAGAUAUAGAUAUAGAUAUAGAUAUAGAUAGAUAGAUAUAGAUAUAGAUAUAGAUAUAGAUAGAUAGAUAGAUAGAUAGAUAGAUAGAUAGAUAGAUAUGACUGAAGGCGUAAACUGUGGAGGGGCGCCGCACACGGCUAGGAAUCAAUGUUGUGUGUUCUAGAGGUGCCCCUCCCACAUAUAUAUUAGGUGGGAGAGGGAGGGGAGCAGCAAGGGGCGCCUCCUCCAAGUCGCCCCCCCCCCCCUUCAUAAGUGUUGGAGGGGGAAGGAAAGAGAGGGGGAGAGAGGGAAAGGGGGAGGCUGAAUCCUCCCCUUUCCUUCUCCCUUCCCUCCUUUCCUUCUUCUCCUAUUUUGGUCUACAUGGGGCGCACCAGCCCACUAGGGGCUGGUCUGUCCCCUGCUUGGCCCAUUAGGCCCAUGUAGUUGCCGGGGGGAUGCUCGGAACCCCUUCCGUUGACCCGAUAUGUACCAGGAACCCUCGGAACACUUCCAGUGUCCAAAUACCAUCGUCCUAUAUAUGAAUAUUUACCUCUCGACCAUUUCGAGACUCCUCGUCAUGUCCGUGAUCUCAUCCGGGACUCCGAACAACAUUCGGUCACCAAAUUGCAUAACUCAUAUAAUACAAAAUCGUCAUCAAACGUUAAGCGUGCGGACCCUACGGGUUCGAGAACUAUGUAGACAUGACUAAGACACCUCUACGGUCGAUAACCAACAGCGGAACCUGGAUGCUCAUAUUGGUUCCUACAUAUUCUACGAAGAUCUUUAUCGGUCGUACCGUAAUGACAACAUACGUUAUUCCCUUUGUCAUUGGUAUGUUACUUGCCCGAGAUUCGAUCGACGAUAUCUUCAUACCUAUUUCAAUAUCGUUACCGGCAAGUCUCUUCACUCGUUCCAUAAUAGAUCAUCCCAAAAUUAACUCAUUAGUCACACUGCUUGCAAGGCUUAUUAUGAUGUGCAUUACCGAGAGGGCCCAGAGAUACCUCACCGAUACUCGGAGUGACAAAUCCUAAUCUCAAUCUAUGCCAACCCAACAAACACCUUCGAAGAUACCUGUAGAGCAUCUUUAUAAUCACCCAGUUCCGUUGUGACGUUUGAUAGCACACAAGGCAUUACUCCGGUAUCCGAGAGUUGCAUAAUCUCAUAGUCAAAGGAAUAUGUCUAUGACAUGAAGAAAGUUGUAGCAAUAAAACUGAACAAUCAAUAUGCUAAGCUAACCGAUGGGUCUUUUCCAUCACAUCAUUCUCCUAAUGAUGUGAUCUCGUCCAUCAAAUGACAACACAUGUCUAUGGUUAGGAAACUCAACCAUCUUUGAUUAACGAGCUAGUCUAGUAGAGGCUUACUAGGGAAACUAUGUUUUGUCUAUGUAUCCACACAUGUAUCUAGUUUCCGGUUAAUACAAUUCUAGCAUGAAUAAUAAACAUGUAUCAUGAUAUAAGGAAAUAUAAAUAACAACUUUAUUAUUGCCUCUAGGGCAUAUUUCCUUCACUAAGAGAGGAAGGCGGUUGUCGCUCUUGUCCCUUGUUGCCAGCCUACCAUGCCGUCAUCGAUCACUGGCUCACUUAGGACACGAGCUAGUAGAUUUUGUGAUAAGAGUGAGGAGGAUGGUACCGUAGAAAAUGUGGAAAAUUGCAUUUUAUUAGAGAUGGAUUCAAAACAAAUUGCUUGAGUGAGUGGUUUAUAUAUUUUCUUCAUCAAUUCGUACAAUUUUUUGGUUAGGAUAGAGGGGUAAAUGCAUUGGUUGGGUGCUUCAAGAGUUAAUAACGGACACAGUGGCAUACCGGUUUCAUGCCAAACAACCGACAUCAUAUUUUUCUUUUGUCGUAAGGUACGACAUUCAACUGUAUGUUGGCAAUGUCUAAGGACAAUCAUAUCUGCCUUCUUGGGCAUCACGGGAGGCACAUGCCUUGUUCCCCUUGAUGGAGGUGGCAGAUGGCAUGAUCCCGGGGGGAGGGGAUCAGGGCAGAGAGCGGGGCGGUUGGCAGGUGAUAACCCACAAGUAUAGGGGAUCGCAACAGUUUUCGAGGGUAGAGUAUUUAACCCAAAUUUACUGAUUCGACACAAGGGGAGCCAAAGAAUAUUCUCAAGUAUUAGCAGUUGAUUUGUCAAUUCAACCACACCUGUAAGACUUCAUAUCUGCAGCAAAAUAUUUAGUAGCAAAGUAGUAUGGAAGUAACGGUAACGGUGGUAAAAGUAACAGUAACAGUUCUGUAGUAAUUGUAACAGUGGCAACAGUAAAGUAACUAAGCAAAGAUCAAUAUGUGAAAAGCUCGUAGGCAUUGGAUCAAUGAUGGAUAAUUAUGUCGGAUGUGAUUCCUCAUGCAACAGUUAUAACAUAGGGUGACACGGAACUAGCUCCAGUUCAUCAAUGUAAUGUAGGCAUGUAUUCCGAAUAUAGUCAUACGUGCUUAUGGAAAAGAACUUGCAUGACAUCUUUUGUCUUACCCUCCCGUGGCAGGGGGUCCUAUUGGAAACUAAGUGAUAUUAAGGCCUCCUUUUAAUAGAGUACCGGACCAAAGCAUUAACACUUAGUGAAUACAUGAACUCCUCAAACUAUGGUAAUCACCGGGAGUGGUCCCGAUUAUUGUCACUUCGGGGUUACCGGAUCAUAACACAUAGUAGGUGACUAUUGACUUGCAAGAUAGGAUCAAGAACUCACAUAUAUUCAUGAAAACAUAAUAGGUUUAGAUCUGAAAUCAUGGCACUCGGGCCCUAGUGACAAGCAUUAAGCAUAGCAAAGUCAUAGCAACAUCAAUCUCAGAACAUAAUGGAUACUAGGGAUCAAACCCUAACAAAAAUAACUCGAUUACAUGGUAAAUCUCAUCCAACCCAUCACCGUCCAGCAUGCCUACGAUGGAAUUACUCACGCACGGCGGUGAGCAUCAUGAAAUUGGUGAUGGAGGAAGGUUGAUGAUGACGAUGGCGAUGGAUUCCCCUCUCCGGGGCCCCAAACGGACUCCAGAUCAGCCCUCCCGAGAGAGAUUAGGGCUUGGCGGCGGCUCCAUAUCGUAAAACGCGAUGAAUUCUUCUCUCUGAUUUUUUUUCUCCCUGAGCGUGAAUAUAUAUAGUUGGAGUUGAGGUCGGUGGAGCUUCAGGGGGCCCACGAGGCAAGGGGGCGCGCAGCCCACCCUCGUGGACAGGCUGUGGGCCCCUUGGUGUUGAUUCUUUCGCUAGUAUUUUUUAUAUAUUCCAAAAUAUUCUCCGUGAAGUUUCAGGUCAUUCCGAGAACUUCUAUUUCUGCACAAAAAUAACACCAUGGCAAUUCUACUGAAAACAGGGUCUGUCCGGAUUAGUUCCAUUCAAAUCAUGCAAGUUAGAGUCCAAAACAAGGGCAAAAGUGUUUGGAAAAGUAGAUACGAUGGAGACGUAUUAGCAGGGGAUUCCUCCUUGAUGGUCCAUGGGGUUGUAUGUUGUGAAGGAGAAAGGAGACUAUAGCGAAGGUCAAGUGAGCGUCAUCAGAUUUUAAUGUAGAGAGCACCAACGACAAAUUCCUGUUUAUGGCGGAAAAUUGAGCGAGAAGGGGACGUUCCGAUAGGAAAAGGGAAGGGUGCAUCAUCGAGUGGAGUUUUUGUGUUGGAACCGCGUGUUGGAGAUGAUGGAGGAUAAUCUGGAAAACCACAUAUCUUCCUCACAUAUAGGUUGGAUUUCGGUGAGCCUGGACUAUCUAAACGGUUGGAUUUUCGGGAGCCUUUUAGGCGCCUGUCUGAUGUCCGAACACUCUCGGACAUAUGAGAGAGAAAUGAGCUUCAACCUUGGAGAUGAUCUUAAUCAUUUGUCUUGUCUAAUUCAUUUAUAUAUAUUAUAGCCUGUAGCAACACACGGGCAUUCCACUAGUAUUAAUUAGUGCUCUGGAAGACACCCGUUAAGAUGUGCUUCCAACACUCGAAGUGGGGGGAUGUGUCCAAAUUAUGUCUUGACCAAAACGCGCCCUGCAUCAAGAGUCAGUUGUCUAGCUGUAUGCCCUAUUCGCCACGCGGAGUUUCCUCGGUAAUUAAGGUAAAUCAAACAAAAUCAUUGGACAUUUAAUGACUACACCUUAUGCAUCCCCAGAGAUUGGAUCCACCCUACCAUACUAAGCCCUUCUAUCACUCGUGUUCGGAAUUGCGCUUCACGUUGUCCCGUGUCCUAACCUCCACUUGGACCGAACUCCAGGAUCCAUGGAACCUGCAGGGCCGAAGAACGAGGUUGGAGGGAGAGAGAGAGAAGAGACUACUAUGAUGUAAUUUUAUUUUAUAUAUACAUGACGUCCAUUCAAAGUCAUUCCAUCAACCCCUCAAACAAAUACAUCAGGUUGCAAGGACAUUGGACAUUGCCUUACCGAAUUACUCACACAUGGCGAUCGGAUCGCAAGAAGUAAUCAGUGAAGAAGACAUCGGAUCGGAUCACAAAACAAAGAGAGGAUUUCACAAUCCCUUGCAUUCAUCAGUCAUUAGUGGCAAUAUCAAUGGGAGUAUCAUAGAUUUUCUAAGAUAAACAUGUUUAAACUAUGGCAUGAUGAGCAUAAAAGUAACACACGUCAACUCUUCAAGAUUAAACUUGAUCAUCCUCCAGUAACAUAGAUAGAAAUCCAAACCGUAAGGAACUAGGUUGUUUAAUGCCUAGAUAGACCUCCGCUUCUUCACAUGAAAAGUUAGUAUAGCUGUAGCGGUGGCAUGGUUAUUAUGCAAGUGUUAUUGAAGCAAAGAUAAUCAACACAAAGCUCUUGCUCACCUAGAAAAAAUAAAAAGUAGCUUUUAUUCUAUUUAAUCUAGUUAACACUUGCUUGCGGGGAACACAUGGAAGAGAAUUUUCUUUCUUGAGCAAUGAAAACAUAAAUUAAGGGAGUGAAAGUUAUGAAAAUACAACAUGGUACUAGAGUAACUCAUUAACACCCACGAGUGUCUCAUCAUUAAUUCUCUCAAGGACUUCGCUUCAAUCAUUGCUUGCUGAAACUUUUCUUGUCUAGUGACGAGAUUAUGCCAAAGAAAUUAUUCAUGCAUAAGGUUUCGCAGAGGCUUAAGCUUGAGUACUAUUGAUGAGUCCAAAUUGUGUGAUUAUUUCGACGAGUAUUUUGUGCCAACUCCUUGGCUUUGUGGAAUGUUACUGCGUUCACACACUGUUUUUGUCGGUUUUCCCCAGGACACUUCUUUUGGAACAAAUGGAAAACUAUGGUAGGAAUCACAUGAUAUUAUGGUGGAAUCACAUAAAUCAAUGUGAUUAUACCUUACCAUAAAUAGAAUAAAAUACGUAAAGGAAAUUGGAUCUGGCGCAGUCCAACAAAGUGCAACACGGGCAACCAUACGAGCGCACGUGCUCGUGCAUGCAGCCAUAUGGCAUGUUGGUAGCUCCCUCCUGUCGACUACUUCUUCCCUAUGGAUAAAGAUUGAGGAAUAGACACACACACACACACACACACACACACAUACACACAACCACCAGAAACACAUCCAGAAGGAGAACCCUAACUUUUUGAACCCAUCCAGAGGGGAAUUGGUAAGGAGGAGAUCGCCAUCUUCACCACCAGGUGCAAGGGGACGUCGGCAUCAUCACCACUGUCAUCAUCGUCAUAAUCCACAUCAAUCUUCAUCUCGUUGUAAUAUCAGAACUCUAGUGGAUCAUCAUGCAUGUUACUUGUUUGAUUCAUCCAUGUUUAUCAUCACCGCAUUCAUGCUAUUUUGCUUCCCCUAUGUAUGAGUAAACCCCCUAGUUCUUAGGGAUAUGGAUGAAUCUUGGUAUGUAUAGGAGCUGAAACGUUAAUAUGUGAUAUUUUCUAUUGAAUGAUUUAGUUUAAUAGACUUCGUGAAUGUUGUGAAGGCUCCUCCCUCAAAAUUAUCACCAAAAGGUCACAAAGUAUAUUACUGUCGUUUUAAGAGUUAGCGAGUGAAGGUAAUUCGAGGUGACAGCAAAAGCCUUCACCCCUAGGUUUUACAAUUGAUUAGGGAAUUACGGAGAACCUUAGUGAGGCCGCGUCCAUAGAGAGACCCUUAAUUACCGUAGUCGUAACUUGUUGCGGGAGACUACUGUAGUGGCAUGCGUGGCACGAAAUCUACCUAGAGUAGAAUGUGCUCAGUAUCCGGCUAUGCCCGGUGUAAACGUCAAGAAUGGUGUAAGUGCAUCUAGUGCCUCCUUUGUGGUUAUGGACUAUUGAAGACAAAUGUGUUAAGAGACUAAUGUGUUUGUGAGUGUACAUAGGUGAAAAGUCACAGAAGAUGUUGUUUAACCAUGAAAGACGACCCCUAAAAAUGUACGUUUAGAUUGAAUAAAUUGGUGCGCCCCUUUGAAGGAAUUGACGUGAUGAAUUGGAACGUGAAGAUUUUGUUCCAGUAGUUUCUUUUUUCUUAUAUUGAUUCAUAGGGAACACCAUACUGUUAAAGGGGGUCUAGGUCAUAUGUAUGCGUAUUUCCGAAGUGAUGCUCAACCUACCUAUUUCUUCGAGUGAAGACUAUGAAAAUCUCUUGAAGUGCAGUCGAGUUCCACAACAACAGAGACACAGUUCUUCUGUUCGUUGACGAAAUUGGUCUGAAGGAAGAGUUAGGAUUUCGCCGGUGUGAUUCUCCUACCGCGAGAAAUUUGAGAGUUUAAAUUUCCAACCGUUGCCGGACUAAGGCGGUGCUCGAGUCUAAGCCCGUCAUAAGUGUUGUGGCAACGGAGGUGCAAGAAGUGCUGAAGGUGGGGUAGUAUCGAUGUCAUGGUGAGCGGUCUGAGGACCGGCAUGUCAUUGUCCAGUGACAAGAGUUCCGAGGUGGUGUACAAGUCAUCCUUCAUGUGUUUCUUGGUGCAGGAUCGGAGCUAGCAGAAACACAAGGAUGCUGAACAAAAGCACCCCAUCUCAUAUGAGCUGGCGCUAGUCCAGCCUCACCGUGCUGCCGCCACCACCUAUGUUAUUUGGCUUCGCAAUCCCCUCCUCCACGGCGGGAGGCAUGGGUUUACUUGGUGUGGAGUUCGACGUCACCUGCGGCGAGAGUGGAUGUCGCAUAACUUUACAAGUGGGAUCCACCAAGAUACAGUGCCACGUAGGCAAAGUUUGCGGUUACAUGCGAGAAAUGCACCAUAUUAGCCAACUGAUUGUACCAGAAAUCGAUUUCCAUCUUUCGGCAUGAAAAUGAACAUGCAAGCCAAGUUUAGGGACCACGGGUAAAUUCAUCUCUUAAAUAAUACAAAAGGCUUUUUCAUCCUCCCACAUCCUCCCUUUUACUCGUUGGAUAUCCACACACUACAGAGGAGCUUAGUAGUAGCGCUUUUUAUAAGAAAGCGCUGCUACUAAAGAACGGUAGCGCUUGUCACCGAAGAGCACUGCUAAUAUCCAUCUAGCAGUAACGCUUUUGUUAUAAAAAACGCUACUACUAUAGUUGCCAACGGUUGCAUGGCAGUGUAGGUAUACUAGUAGCGCUCUUAAUUAAAAAGCACUACUGCUAUUGUAUAUAGCAAUAGCGUUGUCCUCUGUCGAGCGCUACUGCUAUUUUUUCAGGUGUAUGUGUGGGCUGAUAUAUAACCGUACAACUUUCUCAUGUUGCGAGUGAAAGACAUUGUGAGUUUUCCAUGAUCUUGCUUAAAUACAGGUAUGACUACUGAACUGAAAUUAAUCUUAUCGUGCAUAUUCACUUGCAACUGGUACUCGUAAAUCUACAACACAUGUCAUUAAUGCAACACAGCUUGAUCAUGGAUAUAAAAAAUGAUUAUUGUUCUUUGUAUGCACAAAUGUAUUGGUGGUUCAUCAAUGCCAUAUGCAUCUUGGCUAUAGAUAUCCAAAUUGUUAGUGUUUUAUCUCCACACAAAUACGUUGAUCCUCCUAUUGGACAUGCUGGUCUUAGUGCCCUCUCUAUUCACAAAUAUGUUAAUGCUCAGUUUAGGUCUUCUCGUAUUAAUACACUUCUAGCUUCUAUUGGCUGGUGAAUGCAACAUUUCAUUUGUAUUAAUAUGUCUACUUGUUAUUGCGGGGAAUAUUAAUAUGUCUAAUGUAGCUUCAUUAAUGCAACUCAACUUGAUCAUGGUUUAAAUGAUCAUUGUUCAUUUUACGCCCUUGCAGAAAAAAGAAGGGUUCAGUGUAUGUAUAGAUAUAUUGACAUGAUACCUGUUUUAGAUAACCUUGCAUUAAUAUGUCUAAUUUCCAUUUAUGUUCUCUUUCCUCGUUCUACAGAUUUCAUAUUUGUAUUCAUUUUAAGGGUUCUUCAAGAUGCACAUAAUUUAGUCACUGGUUACAAUCUAAAUGUAAGAAAGCACAUUUUCUGUAGAAGGUGCAACCUAUGUGUUAUCCAUGUGAUAAAAUUAAAAUCAACAUCCUAGAUCAAAUGUCCAAGUCAACUAAAAAAGAGAUUUCCUUACAAGUAAUGUCAAGCCGCAUUUUCAAAUCACAAACAGUUUUGAGCAAUGAAUGAUCUCAAAAAAAAUCAUCCUGCCUGCCACCGUUUAUCUCUUUGGAUGUCCACAUAUUGUUUUUUUUCAUGGUGAGCGUCUGUGCCAAUAGAUAAACUAACGAGUUUUUCAUCUUGUGAUCGAGUCAAAGAUAUUCGAUUCUGUGUUUUUCAUGAUCUUGCUUGUACGUACGACCAUGAAGCUACUAUUGUUAUCGUGUAUGAAUACUUGCAACAGGGUGCUUCAGCGCCAGCACCGACCAUGGAUGCACAUGAGUAUGCAUGGAUGCGUGCAUGUAACGACCUGAUCGCUCCUGCAGGUCAAAGUACAUGUUUCUCUUAGGUCUGUGCACCAUCAAGGCCUUGAACAGUUCCUUGAUGAGUGUCAAGUGAGACUUCAUGUCUCUAUGGUGAACAGACAAACUUCAGCGGAUAUGUUGCUCUCAUGGCACGGCAAAGACAAGAACAAUAGAUGGACUCUUGCCACUAGUAGUAUUGAUCCACGCUUGACACAUGACUACUCAUGGAGAAGACCCAUCCUUUAUAACAUUUCCCUUUUAUUCAGUCUGUUUUGGUGAAUCAGCAGUUAGAAGAACUUCUUCUUCUGUUAAAAAUAGGUUUUCUAACCCAAAUUAAAGUUAGAUUUCACAAGGAGUGAACCAGUGGCAUUGUUGUAUCCCCUUGAAGCAGAGAAGACAAGGGUGCGACAAUCAUAUUUCCAAUUAUCCAGCUGGUAUUUUACAAGUAUCCGUUCUUGAAUACUCGGUUCAAUAAAUAAGUUGUUCACACUUCACAGCCAUCCAUGUGCAUAUACAGUAAGUUAAUAACACAAAAUCCGAGUAAAUUUAUGCCACAACAAGGUUUAUUAUUGUUAUUUCAAAUAACUGAUGCGACAACAAAUAAUAUUAAUCACGGACAUCAUAUGAUAUUAGUAAGGCGUUGUUGAGGAUGAGAAGCAUGUACAACUCCUCGUUUUCUUUGAUGAGCGCCUCCGCACCAGGCAUAUCUGGAAGCUCUAACCAACACAUGAUGAUAGGGUUGUAAUUAAUAUCCACACAGUCGAGCAGAUGCAAGAACUGUUGCCCACUCUUGUCACCUUGGUAGUCCUUGAUCAGGCCGUGGCACACGUUGAGGCGUCUCACCACACCUUCAUACUCCAUCUCACAAUAACUAAGAACGUGCAUUGCCACUGUUCCCUUCUUGGCAUCUUGCAGCUUUUGCUUGAUCUUACCACUAGCGGCAGUGACACGGCUCUUAAAGAUGUCGACAGUGACAAGCACUAAGUCAUGGAGGUCCUUAGCCUCGGCACUUCGAUUGUCCGACUGAAGGGUGGACAAACAGAAUUCUUGCGUGAUAGAUUUGUUGCAGGGGUUGUUGAUCGAGGCCUUCUUGCAUGCUUCCACCAUGAGCUUGGUCGCCUUGGGCUUGCCAGUGUCAGAGCCACUAGCAUGAGUGGAAAAAAGGAAGAAUAUGAUGGUGGAGAGGACGAUGGUAGUCCUUGGCAUUGCUACCAUUACUACAGGGCUAGCUAGAAGCCUUGAAGUACUGAAGCGCUGAGAGGGAGGUGGAGAAAAAUAGACAGAGAAGGAUGUGUAUUGCAGAGAUGGAUGGGUGGAUGGAGGUGAUGUACAUGAGGCUGAGAAUUCUUUAUAAUGCCUGCAAUGGGGUAUCAUAAAUGCAGUAUGCAGCUUUGGUCCAGAAUAUGUGUACUAUCGGUGUCCAGUAAAUGUUGAAUGCCCAUUUUGGAUCUCUACAUAUUAAUGCUCUCUCUAUGUUCACAAAUACACAGAUGCUCACUAUAGAUCUUGUUGUAGUAACACAUAUCUUACUUAUAUGAAUCCAUUAAUGCAACGUAGCUUGAUCAAGGAUAUCCCAAAUGAUUAGUGUGCACCGAAUGCCCAUAGAUAUGUUGAUGCUCAUUUUGGUACGUCUUAUUUGCAUUGGUGUUUUCUAAACAUCAUUUUGUAUAACUGAUUUGUUACUUCUACCUCCCUUUGGGGGACGAAUAUAUUUUCCCUCAUCAAGUCUAUAAUUGCUCAUUUUUUCUUUGCAAUUUUCGAGUAGUUACAAAUAAUUCUCAGGGAGCAGGCACUUAGUUAACUUGGUGACACAAUAAAUAUUUUUGUUAAAAUAUCAAAAUUUUAUAUCAUAAUUUUUUUUAUUUCCAAGUCGAUUAUUGUCUGAUGGAUUGACUUUUACAACAGUUGUAUUCCCCCAGUUAAAAAUCACAACUUAUUUUAGGGAUUAAAUGAUGCCAGCCGGACUAACAUAUCAUUCGUAGGCACUGUCAAAAAAUAAGCAUGUUUACUGCCCACCGCCUAAGAAAAUCAAAAAAAAAUUACCAAUACCAACACGUCACUGUAUGGGUUUAUUUGGUUUCGAUUCUCGUUACUAUGUAGUAGGAAGGAAAAAAAAAGAGCUAUCGAUCAUAAGGAGGUAACCUGUAUCAUAGGUACAUGAUGCGCACGUACACGCCGGUAUCUUAUAUUUUAUAUUUUAUAUCUUAUAUUUACUAAUUGGAAGCACCUUUCAAGCCUUCUCAUUAAUCAACAUUAUAAAAAUUAAUUACACCGUUGUAUUAUAGAAUUUACGUCUAAGAUGAAAGGAGAACUUACGUAACAUAAACUUGGAAGGGAAAAAGAUAUAGGGAAAGGAGAAUAAAAAUAGAAGUAAAACAAAGAAAAUAAUUUAGAUGGGCCAGCCCAUUAUUGUUUGCCUUGUGCGAAAUUCUGACUAUUUAUGGCGCUGUGCGGAAAAUAGAGUUUUUGCAGCUGCAUGGGCAGAAAAAUAACUGGGCUGGCUUUGCUGGGCCACCGCGCGUGGCCCACGUACAACAAUUCUUUUUCUAGCAAACAAACGCAUAAGACCUUUGUACCACCUCGGGUAGAAAGAUUGUUUUUUCGACGGUGAACAGAUGAAAAUAUAGGCAAAACGCACCUUGCUUCAUUAGUAGUAGCACAUAUGCCCGUGCAUUGCAACGGGAGAGAUGUUUCUUUGGAGAAGCAAUAGGAGAGAUAAUUGAUGUCUCCACCAAAAAUGAUCUUCAUAGCGGUGUGAUAGAGAGAGGAGUUGUGGUCUUCUAGCGGGUCAUGUUUCUCCCGCCAGAUAUUGAUAGUGGUGCGGUUAGUCGGCAUAGCGGCAACCAUACAACUCGUGCAUUUUUUUCCUUUGUGUCAGUCUCUGUCUCGGGGUUGUGUCUGCCUCUACGUUUGGUAGCUAUGCGGCGACCUUCAGAGCACGGUUGCUUCGACCACUCUCUCUUACGAUGGCGUAACCGGAUGAAUUACUAAUUGUAGCGCUUAAAUCCUGUUUCAUUAGCAUAUAUAUUUAGCGCAUAACCAGAUAUCAAUGUCCCUUCUUUAUUAGGGUUUAUUUUCUUUGAUUAUUUUAGCGCUCACGUGCCCACAACUAUUUUAUUCGAGCCAAACCAACAUAUUCUCUUUUAUUGGACCAAGAAAAAAUUGCUCCCUCAGACGACCCAGUAGGGAGUGUGGUUGAGGCCCAAUACAGCCUAUAUGACGCUAGUUGCGUAAAAUAAUGUGUGAGAUGCACAUCAGUUCGUGUAUGGACCAACACACUGGUAGGCGCCAAGACGACCUAUGUUAGGAAGGCACGGAAAAAUCCAAAAAAUAAUGAGUUGAAGGAUCAAAAUCAUGUCCUGAAAGAGCCGACUACGUGCUCAUUGCCACUCGAAGAAACGAGUCCUACCAACCAAUGGCCAGCUCAAACCUUUAAGAUCAUACUCCAAUGUGAGAUUGGAUACAAUUUUUUUAACUGUUUAAAAAAUAUAAAUUGCUGAAUAUUCCUGAAAACAUGAAUAAUUUUUAAAAUCACAAACACUUUUUGAAAUUCUUUACAUUUUCAGAAAUACACAAAAAAAUUGGAAACCCUUAAAAUUCACAAAUUUAUUUGAAAUCAUAAACCUUUUAUAAUAACAUGAACACGUUUUGAAAAUGCGAUUUUGUUUGAAAAAGAAACAUAUUUUGAACAUUCAAAACAUUUUUUGAAAAUGUGUUUCUAUAAACUUGGACAUUACUUUGAAUUUGCGAACAUUUCACUAAAACAAAAAUAUUUUUCAUAUUUGGAACAUUUUCUAAAUGCAUUUUUUUUGGGAAUAUCUCAAACAACUUUGGAAAACACAAAGAAAAAAUGGAACAUUUUUUGAAACCUGAACGAAUUUUGGAAUGAGAACAAAGCACUAUUGGGAAAAGGCUAAUUAGUGGCGCACAUAUUUUUGCUAUUAAUGGCGCACUCUUGGUGCGCCAGUAUUAUCACGCCACUAGUAACAAAUAGUAAUGGCGCACCUAUAGUGCGCCAUUACUAUGCCUAGAAGGUGCGCCAUUACUAUCUGACUUAGUAAUGGCGCACCACAUAGAAGUGCGCCAUUACUAACAAUUUUUUUUAAAAAAAAUAUCCAAAAUUUUUCAAAUAUUUUUCCCUUUUUUUCUUAAUCUCAGGUCAAUAUGCUUAAUCUCAAGUCAAAUCGAUCCUAUUAAACCUUAUUGAUGUCUAGGACUUUGUUUAUGUUCAUGAGUGUGAUGAAAUUUCAAACUUCCCGGUCAUAUUACGUAUCAUAUUUUUUUUUCUGUUACUAGUGGCGCACCUAGCAAAUGGUGCGCCACUAGCAAGUUUGAUUUUUUUUGUUUUCCCCUCUCUAGAUCCUAAAAGCCCCGUAUCUUUCAUUCUGUUAGGUUUUUGGGGAUUCUGAAAAUCUUGUAACUUUUCGAGUAGAUGCUUUUUCAUAUAUAAAACUUUUUAAUCCGAGUUCGUAUAUAAAAGUUAUGUCCAUUUUACUAAAUUCCAGAGAGAUUUUGCAAAUAAAGUCGAAAUUCAUAUUUGUAAAUUUUCCCAACAACUAGACCACAUAUCACAUGGGAAACUUAUUUUCUUUUAUUUUUUUGACAUUUCCAUCAUUUUCUUUUAUUUUUUCUAAAACUGAAAAGACGGUCCAGGGGGGUGGGGGUGCAAAGAAAGUUAGUAAUGACGCACCUUCACAAAGUGCACCAUUAUUAUGUGUAUGACUUGGUCAAAUCUUGGUCAAAGUUAGUAAUGACGCACUUUGUGUAGGUGCAUCAUUACUAAGUUUGACAUACUAAUGGCGCACCUAUGCAAAAAUGCGUCAUUACUAAGUUUGAUCAAGGUUUGACCCAGUCAUACACAUAGUAAUGAUGCACUUUGUACAGGUGCGCCAUUACUAUGUCAACUAGUAAUGACGCACUAUCCUCUAGUGCGCCACUGCCAACAAUUUUUUUUAUUUUUACUUCAAAACUAGUACUAGCGCACCACACACCAGGUGCACCACUAGUAAUAUGUCAAUAAUGUCGCACCUGUAUCUAGUGCGCCACUGCAUACAUGGUGCGCCAUUAAUGUCCACAUUAGCUAUAGCCCUUUUCCUAAUAGUGAAGAUUUAAUGUUCUGAACAUUUUUCGAAAAGGAAUAUUUAUUAACAUCCCAAACAUUUUUAAAAAACGGAUUUCUGUGAUAUUAUGAGUUUUAUUGAAAAUUUUGGUUUUACGAAAAAAGGGGAGAUAAAGAAAUAAACUUGAAAGGAAAAAAGAAAAAAGGAAAGGAAAGAAAAUAGAAACCAAUGGAGAAAGAAAAAUAGAAACAUAACACAGAACAAAAAAACGGUUCGACCGAGCUCGAGCGCCCGAUGCGAAUUUGUGACUAUUUUGGAAUGAGAACAAAUAUUUAUAUUAUAAACUUUUUCAAAAAGAAAUAUAUUUAAAGUUCUGAACAUUUUUUAAAAAAUUGAUUCUUAUGAUAUUAUGAAUUUUUUGAAAAUUUUGAAUUUACAAAAAAAAGGGAGAAAAAUAAACUUGAAAGGAGAAAACACCAAAGAAAAAGUGAAAGAAAUGGAAAAAAAUAGAAACAUAUUUUAAAGUUCUGAGCAUUUAAGAAAAUCGAAUUUUUAUGAUAUUAUGUAGUUUUUUGACAAUUUUGAAUUUAAGAAAAAAGGAGAAAAAGGUAAACUUGAAAGGGAAAAAGACCAAACAAAAGGAGAAAGAAACGGAAAAAGAAAAACAGAAACAUAACACAAAACAAAACAAAAGAAUAUAUUUCAGCCCAGCUUGGGCGCCCAGUGCGAAUUUACGACUAUGUAACGCUAAUUGCGAUAAAUAGGAUUUUUCCACCUGCAUGUACACGAAAAUAACUGGGCUGGAUUUCCUGGGCCAAUACUGUGGGCGGCCCAUGUACGAGAUCUGGCGUUUUUCUUUUCUAAUAGACAAACGGACAAAAAAAUUGUACCACCUCGAAUAGAAAAAAAAUCUUUUCGUUGGUGAACGGAUGAAAAAAUCAGAGAAACACACCUUGCUUUAUUAGUAGGUAUAGAGGUAUAGAUAUAGAUAUAGAUAUAGAUAUAGAUAGUAUUGAUAGAAAAAUGAAAUUUUCCAUCCAUGCUAAUCUUAACAUAAAUUGUUUAAGAAUUCGUUGGUACACAUAAAAACAUCUAAUGUGAAUAAUCUAUGGUUCUUAUAGUAUUUGUUAGGAUAUCAUGUAUGUUAAAGGAAAGUCAUGCAUGCAUGUGUCCAUUAUUGUGUAUAGAAACAAAGUAUUUAUAAUUCUACCAUUCUUCCGUGGCAAAAACAAGCAUGUAUUCCUUCUUUUAGGUUAACUAAGAAAGGCUACAAUAGAACACUCGACCUUUAUGCCUUCUAGAAACUUCUAGAUCACGAGUGCAUGAUGCACACAAUAACUUUUGCGUUUGUAACUAUGUUUUCUACCAACAUAAAAAAUAUACCCUUAUAUAACUUUCAUAAAGUAGCACAUUGUUAUUUCCACAUAUCUUCUAUAAAUUUGACAUGAUUUUCCAUCACACAGCGAUAUUUUUAUACUUUCGUCACAAAAUUGGACAUAAACAAUCAAUCACAAAAUAGUCAAAGAAUUGUAACUUCAUUGGAUCCAAUGUGCAUGUGUAAUAAUAAUAACCUAUAUCCAAAUGAUUGUUUGAUAUUUAUAAUUUGUCAAAAAUAUGUUAUAUCUGAUAUUACAAUUGCUAGCCCGUGCAGGUGCACGGAUUGACGACUAGUGAUAUGUAGAUAGAAUUAAUUAUGAUUACCACUCAAUAAUUUUUCUUUAUGGAUAUCCAAAUUUAUGUUUAGAAUCAACAUUUCUACUUCAAUUUUUUCCGGGGAUUUUUUUACUUAGUAAACAUAUGGAUAUUUAGAAAUUUUUUGUGCUAAUUGUGUGCUCUCCUUAGCCUAUGUUACAAUGCAUGGUUUUCUCGGUUAUUUUAGAAAAUGCAUGUAUUUCUCUAUUGCCAACUUCUCACAGAUGCAGUUAAGUUUCGUAAAAGUUUAGAAUGGCAGCCAACAUGAAAAAGGAUAAAAGUAUCAUCAUUUGCACAUUUUUUUCACCUUCUUCAUUAUCUAUAUUUAUGGAUAUUCACUUUGCGAUUUAUAUUUUCCCAAUUCGCUACAAAAGCGCAGAACAAACAUUUUAGAAAAUAAAUGCAAAAUGUGUAAAAUAAAAUGUGUAGGUACAUAAUUAAAAAUCUUGGACGACGAUAACUGCCACACGUGUGGCAUCUAGGGGGUAUGUGCCGCACGCCCCGUGUGGCAUCGACACAGGCCCGCCCGCACGAGCACGUCCGCGCGCACCCCACCACAGCCCGCACGUUCGGUGUGCGGCGCAAUCGCCCGCACUAGCACGUCCGGGCGAGCGACCUCACAGCCCGCACGACCCGUCUCGGCCCUCGCCCCUCCCCGCCUGCGAGCCACACGCCCCGCGUGGCAGUAACCACGCGUCCCGCCGCGAUUGCCAUGGUCUGAACCCUCUUCCAUGUUCGUUUAACUGUAGUUGCCAUGUUGCUGAACUGCAGUUGCCAUGUCUGACAACUACAGUUGCCAUGGUUGCUCAACUGCAGUUGCCAUCUCAGGUCAAGUGUCGGAUGCCAUUUUUGGGCACCUGUAGCUGUUGCCAUGUAUGGUCUGGUCUACUACAGUUGCCAUGAUUUGAAAACUUUAGGAUUUGCAACCUACUAACACUAGACAGUUGCCAUGUAGCACUACAAAAGCAUGGCAAAAAACAUGUUCAGGUAAAAAAGAGAGUUGCCAUCUGCUUACAAGCACACUAGGGCAGUUGCCAUGUACCCUGCAAAAACACAUGGCAACUGAUAGCUUUUGGAGUGUGGGAGAGGAGACGGGCAUGUGGGCGACGGUGGUAUCUUUAGGAGUUGCCACCUACUAACACUAGACAGUUGCCAUGUAGCGCUACAAAACAGACGUGUCAACAAUAACAUGUUCGGGGUAAAGAGAGUUGCCAUCUGCUUAUAAUCACAAAUAGGGCAGUUGUCACACACUAGCACUGGACAGUUGCCAUUUAGCGCUACAAAAACAGACGUGGCAACAAUAACAUGUUCGGGGUAAAGAGAGUUGCCAUCUGCUUACAAUCACAAAUAGGGCAGUUGCCAUGUACCCUGCAGAAAACAUGGCAAAUGACAACUUGGUGUGGGAGAGUGGGAAAAAGGGCAGUCAUGGGAGAUGGGGAACAGAAGUCGUGCGCGGCGUGCGGGCGCGACAGCAGUUCCACCGCACGCCCCGACUCGCAAUCGGUCUCGUCCGAGGGAGAAACAGCGUGCGGGCGAACUACCUACACACCACACACCGGGCUUGUCCUACGUGGCACACCAAAUCCAACUUUUGGUGUCAGGAUUCAUGCAAAAAACAACCAACGACAAUCCAGGCGUGUGGGCGAGUUGAAGACGUUCCACGCGUGUAGGCGUUAGUGUUUCCGAAAAUCUUAUAUCUCCGUCUCAAACAAACAAAAGCCUCCUUCCAUAAGAAACAGCUCAUACGUGAAACUCUUCUCGCCUAUUAAAAAAAAGGAAAAGCAUCCCUCCCCGAAAAAAGAGAAAACGUCUUCACUAGCUCCUGUACUUUUUUAGGCAACCACGUCUCCUCUAUAUGGCCAGAUCUUUCAAGGCUUCUUACUAAUCAGACCACUACGUUGUAAAUUUAUAUCCAAUAAAGAAAACUUGCCGAAUCAUAGAUGGUCUCGUCCAAAAAAAUGUCAUGUGAUACGUCCAACGUUGUCAAAAAAACAUCCUCCAUUCCUUAAAGAGAAAAGAUAGCGUCCUUAGAAAAGCACUACCAAUAAAAAGAAAAGAAAGACGGAAUCCAAUUGAUAACCGAUGAAACUCCAUAAAUAAAAUCUUCUGUCGAUCGAUUUUAAAAGAAGAAACAUCUGGCUCAGUUCCUCUACAUGGCCGCAUACACCACUUCCUCUUCAAUCCGGCUCUCCUACAUGUGGCUGGUGGUGGCGAUUUCUCUAACCGAAGGAUAUACCCAACUCGCCAUCACCAUCAAGUGCGCUCUCCCACCAGCAGGGCCAACAACAAACUGCAAAGGAACCUGACGACAGGUGCUGCGAGGUAUGAUGCAAGAUCGACUGCGACCCCAAGCGGCAAUCGAUCUUCCUUAUUGUUAUUGUCACCGCGUCUCCUUCCAUCCACCCGGGCAUCAAAGUUCACCCUAUUUUAUGAUAAUAAAAAAGUCCAACUACCAAGUACAAGCUCUAAUAAGUUCUUCUUGGAUUCAUGCUCCGACAAGACUAUGAUCCAACUAUGAUAAUAAUGGAUUAAGGCGCAGAUUGCUAACACUUAUCUGCAUAUAUAGUACGUAUGCAUGUCUUUAUUUUGGUCUUAGAAAAAAGAGAAAAUUAGCUAUUAAAGCAUCUUUAAAUACAUACAAAUUACCGAAGUAACAAGAAAAUAUGGAUGUACCAUGCGCCACGAAGAUCUAAUAGACACACAAUUAUCUAUGUGGUAUAGGUAUGUAUACAAUAUGGAUAGAAAAUAUAAAAAAAUGACAUCCGUAUUAAAAAUAUAAGAAAUUCUUUAAGAAUUUGUUUGUUGAGACUAGAACUUAAAACCGGAAUAAUCUAUGGUGCUUAUAGUAAUGAGAAUAUACUACAAACUUUUGUUUGCCAUCACACAAUGACAAUAUUAAUGAGGUUGUCACACAAUUGGAGGCAAACAAUCAAAUAACAAAAUAGUCCGAAGCAAUGUAACACUGUUGAACCUUAUGUCUAACAAAGAUAAACAUGCAUGUGUGACAACAAUAACCCAUAUCAACAUAUUAUUAUUGUCUGACAUUUCUAAUUUGUAACAACUUUGUUGUAUGCAAUAUUAAAAGUGCUAGCCCGUGCAUGUGCACGGGUUGAUGACUAGUAUAAUAUAACUCUGAGACAUGCCUAUAUAACCUCUUAUUUGCAUACGUUCUUUUAAAACAUAGCAUAGACAAACCAUAUUAUAUUAUAAUAAUGAAUUUGUUUUUUCUCGGUGACAGGGUAACUGUUAUUUCUAUGUCGACCAGUUGUAGCUUGAAAGAAAGUGUUAUAAAACAAUUAUGUUACUCCCUCCUCCAUCACUGUUUUCAUUGACCAGAGCCCCCACUCCACACAUAUCGACAAGCUCGGAGUCCCGCUCAUCGAUAUGAUCGUAUGCCAUAUCCACACAACUGGCGAGCUCAUUGGAGCGUAGCCCGUCCUCGUCGCCUUGGUAAUCCCUGAUCAUGGCAUCACAUAUGUUGAGGAUGCUCACCACAGUCAUAAUCCGCCUCACAAAAACUAAGGACACGCAUUGGCACCGUGCCCUUCUUGCUUCAUGUGUCUGUUAUCUUGGCGCACCCAUUUCGUCCACCGCCAUCCGUUUGUGUCGGCGCGGACAGAAAAGUCGGCCCAAUGCGCCGACACAAAUGGACGCGCGUCCGAUUUCGUCCGCCUGCCUAUCCAUUUCCGGCCUAUUUUUGAGCCGGAUUUGCGUCGGCGGAGACAAAAGACGGACGCACGCGCUCACCCUCUCUCCUUUCCGGGCGCGCUGGUCGGUGGCACAUUGGCCUCUCCACAUCAAACAACACACCCUCGCCCGCCUGCUUCAUCGCUGACGCCGCCGGUCAUUUUUUCCGAUAGAAAAAUGAUACAUAGAUAGUUCUAGCAUACACAGAUAAAAAAAAGACCAACUACUCGUCGCUUUCCGACUUCGACUCGGUAAUGUCCUCCUAUGACGUCUAAAUGUAGGCGUCAGCAUGCUGAUCAUCUUCAAAGUCCCACCCCGACGUUUCUCGUAGCUUCAGUUUCAAUUGAGCGGCCUGCUUGCGCGCACGCUUGUCCUCCCGAUAGGCGGCUCGCUCCGUCCUCCUCACCUCCUUCUCCGUCCUCCUUUGCGUGUAGAACUGGCGCUCAUUGACGAUGUCCUGCAGAAAGCGUUCGCGCCACACCACCAUGGCUUUCAAGUCCAUCUCGGUGAUGGCGAGGCGACGCUGCCGCCUCCGGUGGACACGACGAUCCUCGUCGGUGAAAAGCCGCGGGAGAGGCGCGAGAUCCUGCGCCGCUGGCUCGACACGUCAGGAAAAUUCAUAUCCCAACGAGGCCUCAGGAGGCACCACGCCGCCGCGUCGUGCGCGUGGGCCGACUCCUCUACGGUGUUGAAGGUGCCGAGGAUGAGGCGUUUCUCGCCAAACCUGAUCUCGGAGGAGAAGGCACCAGAGCGGCGCUCGCGGACUCCGCGAAAAUUUGAAGCGCCCAGGCGGCGCAUCGACAUGGUGGCGCAGAGGCGGCGAGGCUAGUGAUAGGGGGCGACACAAGUGGGCGGCGGACAGAGUGUGGAGGGAGCGCCUUCUUAUAACGAGCGCCGGCCGCGGCGCGCGCGCGAACCUUUCCCGCGCGCUGGAGCACCGAAACCAGCACGCGCUAGGCCACUUUUCCCCCACGCGUGUGAACCUUUCCCGCGCGCUGGAGCGCCAAAACCAGGGAGACGGCAUGGCAGCUGGCAUGAUCGAAAGCGCGUGCGAUCAUGAAGUGGGUCGGCCCGUUGGACGCACUGCCGACCCAAAUCUAAAAGAGGGCGAACGGCGGGCGGGCGGCAGACCCAAACGUACAAAAAGCGGACAACAACGCCGUCCAUCUGGGUCGGCCCGUUGAAGUUGCUCUUAGGGGUGAAACCUCUGUCUCCCGUAGGGCCCCAUGUGUUUGACAACACAUGGGGUGGCCUGUUCAGCACGCUAGUGUGAAAAAUCAUGACACAGGCAUGAGGUAAUAGUUAGUGGUCUACUCCCUACGCCUGGGAGUUAUCACAUCAUAGGAGUAGGUAGCUCCAGUAGAUAAGUUUCCCUAUAUUGGAUAAAGAUCAAUGGAACGCCUCGUAGGUGUGAGUAGCGAGUUGCCAAAUAUAUAUGUUAUACGGAAUUAAAUUAUAGGAAUCCUGCUAGCUGAGCAGCUGUGAUUUUCCUUUUGAAAAGUAAGGAAAUGGAAUAGGGAGAAGAUUUUGCAUUUUAGAAUAAAGAAUCUGCUCAAGAUGCUCUAUAAUAUUUCCUGACUUGGGCACAUCAUUGUUUUCUUUUAUUUGAGACGCAGAUUGGAGCACAGCAUUUGCUGGUAAUUAAGCAAAUGCAUGAUGCAUGCCAACAUGAUACUUGGGAAAAUAACAAGACUACACUUCCUACAGUAAUACAGAUUCACGCGUAAGGUCAAGUCUAAAAAGAUGUAUCGGGAUCAGCUUCCAUUUCAUAUACUCCAUGGUGGAAUAUGAUGUCACGCUUGUUAUCAAGGUUUUGGAUCGGGAGUGAACAGUGGACUAGACAAACCAGUGUGCCAGGGUGGUCCAAUAGUAGAAAUCUUUACAUAAAUUUAUUUAUUUUCAAAGAAAUAAUUUUUCUACUACACUAUAUACAUGCUGUGGGGAAAAUUCAGGGUGGUCCAUGUCCACCCCCUAGCUAAGCCACUACGAGCGGACCUUUUCUCUAAAGGGGCACCAAAAUUCGAGGUUACUAAGGUAACCACGAAAUACAAAAAAAUCAGACGAAAUUAGAAAUCAUUUUAAGUUGAUAUAGAUAGUUAUUUAUCUUUACCUAAUAAUAAAGUAUAAAGUGUGUCUACCCGUUCACCAUCAUCCAAAUUACCCUCGAAGUUGGCGAGAAUUACCCACUAAUGCCACCUGUAAGUGGCAAAAAUAAUUCGCUUUUUUCCAUGCUGGUUCAAUAUGAAGCUAUCUUCUUAUGUGACACAAGUACAUGCGCAUCCCACCGGCUAGAGGUUCGAUCCCAUAUUCUCCCCAUUCUAUCUCCCUUUUCUCUCUUGUUGUUAGAGGGUUGAUUGCGCCAGCCCAGCACGGCCUUCAACUCUCUUUCUUUCCUUUCUUACAGACGGUUUUUCUUUCUUUCGGCUUUAUUUCGAAAUACUCUAAAUAUUUCUAUGCAUUAAAGAAAUGUUAAACUUCUCUACAAAAAAUAUUUCCACCAUGUAUAAACAAAUGGGUAGUUUGUAUGGAAAGCAAAAUUAGGAAAAUAAUAACGUAAGUUUCUGUUUUUUUGAAAAAAAUUAAGCAUGCAUUUAAAUAAAUUUAAAUGUGUACAAAAAUUGUUUAUGAUGUAUACAAAAAUAUACAAUAUGUUUAGAACAAAGUAGACAUAAAAAAGUAUAUGUCUUCAAAAAUAUUAAUCAUGUAUUUGGACGAUGUUAACUGUGUACAUAAAAAUGAUCAUGAUGUACACAAGAAAUAUAGAAUGCGUAUAGGAAAAUGGGAAAUCAAAAAACUUAUGGUUAAAAAAAGUUGAAAACUAAAUUGGAAAAAUGUUAUACUUGUAUAUCUAAAUGUUUGUCAUGUAUACAAAAAAAAUACUGUGUUCAUGGAGAAUAUAGAGAUAAACAAAAUAUUUUACCAAAUGUUAAUUAAUUAUUUAAAAAUGUAAUAAUUUAUUUUUAAAUUUCUAAAUGUGAUAUAAAAUGUUUCUGGUAUAUACAAAAAAAUUAUAGUGUAUAUGAGCAAACGUAGACAUAAAAAAUAUAAGUUCUCAAAAAUAUUAAUUAUAUAUUUAGAAAAUGUUAAACAUGUAUAUAAAAAUUGUUCUUGGCGUAUAAAAAAUGUAGAAAGAAAACGAACAAAAACUAUAAAAUUGAAAAAGAAACAAAAAAAGCAAAGAAAGCAAAAAAAAUAGCAAAACCCGUAAAACCAAAAGAAUAUACCAAAAAAUAAGAAAGAAAAAACAAGAAUGAUAAAAACGUGCUAUCAUUAAUUACUAACAUGUACUUUGUUAUCUUCAUCACACUACAAAUAUUUGUUGGGCAUCAUCAAGGACGAACGACAACAAAUGCGUAAUGAGAUACCUCCAACUAGGUAGAUAUUUUUGUUGUCUAAUAAGUUAAAAACAUCUUGAGUACACUUCAAAAAUCAUCCCAUUUUUAUAUUUUUACACAACACCACUUAUCAUGUUAUUUGUCAUGUGACAUCGUGAAAGAUUUCAAGGGAUUUACUAAUGUCUUGAGAGUGUGUAUGAGGGGUGACUUUUUCUCCCCCGUUGAAAGAACACAAAGCCUGCCCUUCUUCGGAAAACACACACACACACACAUACACACACAAAGCAAGCCCUACUGUAUUGGCUGUUCACCCUUAGCUGCCGCUUGGUCAAACGUCGCGAGUUUGACGUUCUUACCUUUUGCAUCCUCUAAAAGAAGUAAAAAUGAAAGCGACGAGACUCGAACCCGAGACUUGCUGCUGCGGAAAGCUUGGCUUUGCCACCUAGGCCAUGACCUGUCACGAUGUUCAAUAAGAGAUGCCACAUAUUUAACUAUGAGGUGAGCGUUUGAAUUCAAAAGUUUCAAAAUAUUUGAGAUUUUUCGCACGGUAUAAGUGUUUCUCGUGGGGGGGGGGCUAAACUCGAUAUCAAAAGAACAUUAUUAUUAUUAUUUCAAAUGGAAGUAAUGUUGGUUUUACAUGAACAUUGUUUCUGGCAGAAAAUCUUAUAUUUACUAAUUGGAGGCACCUUUCAUGAUCUCUCAUUAAUCCACAUCAUCAAAAUUAAUUAAACCGUUGGAUUGUAAAAUUUAUGACCAGGAUUAAAAAAACAACUUGUGUAACGCAGAUGAUGCUGUCCUAUAAAAAGUGCACCUGACACGUACAACUUUUGUUAAACAAACAAAGAAAAGACUCACAUAAAAAAACGAAAGCCACAAGUAAAAAAGGGAAAGGCCCCACCAGUUCCCACAAAUUAAGUAGAAAAACAGCCUCAUGCAAGAAAAAGAGGAAAGUCCCUACCGUAUCCCACAAAUUAAGAAGCAAAAUUUUCCAUAAGAAAACCUAACGAUAAGAUGCCAAAACAAAAUCCCAACGUUAAAGGAAAAAAAUCGACUAUCGGGCAGAUUGCCCGUGAAAUAAAAGAAAGCAAACUCGCGUAACAAAACUUAAACCUCCACCCAUCUGAACAAAUAAAAACACUAUGUACCAAACAGAUCAAGCCAAAAUGUACAAAAAAAAUAGAAGUCAUGUAAAGAAAAAGGGAAAGUCCUUAGCAUCCGCUACUUCUCAUAAAAAAAUAGGGUUCUCACCACGUACAUAUAAUUGAAGAUUAAGCACACGCCUUCCAAAAAAAAUAGUCCUUAGCAUACACGUUACUUCCCAGAAGAAAAACAAGCUACAAAAACAGUUUUCACCACAUACAUGAAAUAAAAUCUUACAAAGAAACAUACGACUUGAUCUUUGGUAUGGGACAUGACAAAAAAAGACACAACCUCAAAAAAUGACUUCGCAUUACGUAUGUGAAAUAAAACCUUGCAGAAAAAAUACAUACAUGAAAUAAAAGAUUAAACAUACAUGACCAAAUAAAAACAAGGAAAGCCUCACGUCAAUCGAAAAAGCAAAGGAAAAACUCCACCCGUUGCACAAAUUAAGAAGGAAUGUCUCUGUUAAAAACUCCAAGAUAAAAUGUAAAAAAAGUCCAAUGAUAAAAAUGGAAAAAUUCCGCGAUCCAGCUGAUUGACCGUGAAAUAAAAACUAGACCCAAUGGCUCCAUCAAUAAAAUAUUCUCCCGACAAAAAUCUGUGUCGACUCAUCUGUACGGCCGAUGCCUCCUCCUCUGCUUCAAUCCUGCUGUCCUACCAAUGGCCGCCGAUCACGAUUAUUUGUCACUGAAUGUGCUUUCCCACCUGCAUGGCCAUCGGUGAACCACAAAGUGUCACAAGGGCGGCCUAAUUUAUUUUUAUAUAUGCUACAACAAAAAUACCUCUCAUGUUUAGUUGGACAGUAUAUUUUUUAAAGGGAUAUUGAAGCUGAAGUUUGUCAACCACGGAUGUGGAGCUGGUCGAGACUGGUGGCUAGAUGACAAAGGCUCCGCUCGGCAAGGAAAGAUUUGCAUUGAGCUAAGACUCAUGACUAAUUGAUAUAAUCUAAGAGAUGAUGAACCAAGAAAAUUAUAUUAGAAUUAAGUUGGAUGUUAUUUGCAUUAUUCUAUUUUGAGGAGUAAAAUUAUUUUUUGGGAAUUACACAAUCAAACUAUUGUUAUGAUUUCUUGAACUGGCCAUAUAGGCCACAUAAAUUAUGAAAUUACUUUUCAUUGACGGAAUUUCGUUUGUGAAGAUAGCAUAGGGGCAACCGAUCAAUGUCCCCGGUAAUGAGUACUCAAUCACAUCAUGUUUGGUAGUACUACUGUAUGGGUGUUCUACAUAAAAGCAAAUGUAAGUAGACAACAUUAUAAUUAUUAAUUUUGUCCAUUAUAUUGCAAAGUAAAGGAUAUCCGUGUGGUCAAAAAAAUUUAGAUCAAUAUUGCACCACUAUAUGUCUUUUUUUCAAAUUUAAAUCCUGUUCAAGUUUAUACUGCUUUUCUUACUACUCCUAAUAAAUGAUCAGAACAAGGAAGCUUGCAGUUCUGUAGGGGAAGACCGAUCCUUGACGAGCAUUUCUAGCGUGACACAUAUAAAUAACAUUGGAUGGAGCGGCUCGAUGACCUCCUCAUGUACGCUGCCGGACGCUGGCUGCAUCCGAUGACGCCGGGAGCAAGGUAGUGGUGUCGUGUAAGUUCAUUUUAGAUGCUAAGGACUAUUAUGCACAACUUAGUACUAUUCUCUUGAAAGAUAAACUACUUUGUCUGACAUGCAUACUUGCGAUUAUGUAGACUUAACAUGUUUUUACACAGGUGCAGAUUACGAAUGCUAAUUAUUUGCACAUAUAGUACGGUUGCACAUCUCUUUUUUUUGUCCUGAUAAGUUAUAAAAAAUAUAACUAUUAAAGUAUCUUUAAUACACAUAAAUUUUUUUAGUAAAAAAUAAUGUGGAUGUUUCCUGCACGACAAAGAUCUCAUAUAAACAAAUGAUUAUGUAUGUGAUAUACAUAUGUGUAGCAAGGAUAGAAAGUACAAUAAACUUUCAAGCACAUUAAUCUGAAAAGAAAUCCUCUUAUGAUUUUCUUUGCACAAAUAUGAUAGUGAAAUACGAUUAAUCUAUCACACAACUCCAAUUCAAUCGUGAAAGAUUUUCUUUAAGAAUUUAUUGGUUAAUACAAGAAUAUAAAAUACAAAUAACCUAUGGUGCUUAGCGUAAUCAAGAAUUGCAGAAAUCAAACUUUUAUAUAUUAUUUGCUACAGUGUUACAUACUACUUCUCCAAAUAAUUCUUUUUAGUCUGCAUAUAAGAUUUGCCUGAAGUCAAACUUCAUAAAGUUUGAGCAUAUUUAUAUUGAAAAAUAUUAACAUGUACAAUACUAAAGUCAUAGAGUAUAAAAAUUAAGAUUCAUGCCGCAUUUAAUGAUAUUGAUUACACAUGGAGAAUAUUGAUAUUUUUUCUGUAAGUUGGUCAAACUUUACGUUGUUUUACUUCAAAUAAAUCUUCUAUACAGAGUAAAAUAUCUGGCGGGAGUAUUUAAUAUUAGAAGUGCUAGCCCGUGCUGAUGCACGGGUUGAUGACUAGUAGAUUAUUAACUAUCAAAGUCAUAUGGCCCUAGCAAGACAUUGUUCAGGCCGCCCAGCUUGAUCAACUCCUCGUUAUCGUUGAUAACUGUCUGGCUUUUCAUGGGAAGCUCAUGCCGGCAGUUGCUGACAUGGUCAGUCGCCUUCUCCACACACUCGGGCAAUUCAAAGAACCACGGGCCGUCGGCGUCGCCCAUGGGGACACGGAAGUCCCUGAGCAUGGCGUCGCAGAGGCCGAGGGUACCGAUAGCAGCAUCGUAAUCCACCUGGCAAUACCUGAGGCCGAGCGCCUCCUCCAUACCUUUCUUGGCUUUCUGGAGUGCUUCCUUCACCUUGCCGCCGGCAGCCGCCACGUGGAUCUUGAGGAUGUCAACGGCGACGAGCGACAGGUCGCGGAGGUCCUUGGACUCAGAGCUCCUUUUGUCGGACCGGAGAGUCUGCACGCAGAAUUCCUGGGUGACGUUCAGGUGCUUGUUGCGGCAGCUGCUCGAAGCGUUCUUGCAGGUUUCUACCACGAGGUCUACCACCUUGACCUUGUCGUUGCGCCGCCGGCAUGUGCGCCGAUGCACACAAAAAGGAGCAUGAUUGCAACCAAGAAGGCAGCGGUCGCCCGUGUGGUUGCCAUUGCUGCAAGGAUAGCUGCAAUUGUAUUGUAGGCUUUGUAGCUGAGAGAGAGGUGAAGAUGAAUUGAUAGUCAGAUUUUGUAGUGCAAAGAUGGAGGUGGUGUACGGUUCUUGUGACAUCUAUAUAGUGCAGCAGCAGGUUCAUAAAUCCAAUGCAGCUUAGUCACGGAUAUCCAAAUAAUUAGUAUUUCAGACACUAUAUGCACAGAUAUGUGUUGGAAAAAUGAGCAAAUUACUACGAGAUUUAAUCCGAAUAAAUAGGAAAUAGAUCAUGACAGCAAUAGCAGAGAUUAAACUAAUCAUGCGAACUAGCAUACUAGAUGAACAGAUCACAUCUAGGGCACAUACUAGAAACAUGAGUUCUACCACGAUCUCGAACAAGAAGGAUAGAAUAACAUACGGUGCCGCGGGUGCAGCACCGCCGGCGUUGACGUUGUCGCCCAUGUCGUCGAGGAUGAGGUUGCCGAGGUCGGGGAAGAAGUCGUCGUUCGCGAAGUCGUCGCUGCCAGCAGUCGCGCGAGUGCGCUCCCCAAAAACCUGAUCGCCCCUCUCCCAUACAGGAUCACGAGAGGCGGGGUUCUAGAGGCCUGCUGUCCCUUCUCCCGGUGCACGCCGAAAGGAGGGAUGGAGAAGACUUGCUUGGCGGCGCAAUGAUCUAGAACGGUGGUCAGAAACCAUACGAAGCGGCGGCGGCUAGGAUAGACGUCUGCCUGACUAUAUAGUGCGGGCCGGGUAGGUCGUGGGAGUAAACCUCACGUCCGAGUCAUCACGAUCCAAAAGAAUCGGAAAUGGUUCAGUAAUUAAUGAGUCCAUUAAUUAUUAAUUAAUGAGUCCAUUAAUUAUUAAUUAAUGACUCAUUAAUUUUUCCCGAGCAGCAAAAAUAUAGACAACGUGCAUAGCUCUGUCCUCGGCUUGGCUCAAUCCCGCGGCGCGGCGUGGCGAGGCGAGCGAGGAGGAGGAGCGCGCGUGUAGGUCUCCUCUUCUCAUGCUCAUACAAGUGGUAGAAAAGCUCACCUUAUAAAGAGGUGCAACUCUCUCUCAACUUCCGGGGUGGGACUAAACUUUAGUCUCACCCACUCCAGUCACAUGUGUGCAUGAAUGGGCCAAGAGAAUUUCAGAAUUUUAGUUGGGCUUUGGGCCAAGGCCUACUAGCAAAAUUCCAACAAUCCCCCACAAAGUCUCAUUGGCACUUCUCAUCAUUUAGUUCCAAAACAUUGUUUAUAUACCGGUGCUUAGUGGAGACUGUGAAGUUGAACUUCCACUUAAAGAUUUAUGCUACACUGGAUCACAACUUGAAUAGUGGACUAUGCCUUGAACUACAAGUUUUCUGCGAAACUAGUUUCACACAAAUUCUUGACCGAUACUGGGCUGCCGCAAGGCUUCCCCGCGGGUGGAGCGUAUACGCCAUACUCCAGGGCAUUUUCAUGAAUUUAUUAGAGAACACCCAAUUCUCACAGACUGCGACGUUAACAGUCAAAUUCAUAUAGGUGUGUUCCUCAGAAGAUGUUCUGCAGGACAACAUCUCUGCUUACCUGAAUAAGCCACUUGGAACACAUUAAGAUAAGUAUCAACCUGCCAUGCAGAUCAGGAGAGUAUUGCAUCUUCACGGAGUGGGAUAGUUAAUAUAGGGAUACUCUCCUCCCAGCUGACCAACAGCUUGUCUCCCACUUCUACUUCACGGGAUCUCCGAUCACAUAGAGUGGGUUACCACUAUGGACAACUCAUGCGGUGGGUCUCAAACCCAUCUCCAUCGAUGCAUUAUCUAUCACAUUAUGUGAUAGACCCUUUGUGAAGGGAUCUGCCAUGUUUUUCGAUAUUUGGAUAUAAUCCAACGUAAUAACUCCGGAGUUCCUCAAUUUUCUGACAGAUUUUAGUCUCCUCUUCACAUGUCUUGAGGACUUCAUGUUGUCCUUCGAACUGUUUAUCUUGACAAUCACAGUUUGAUUAUCACAGUUCAUCAGGAUAGGGGGUAUUGGUUUUUCAACCAUAGGUAAGUCCAUCAAGAGUUCACGAAGCCACUCUGCUUCAACAGUGGCAGUGUCUAAUGCUGUGAGUUCUGCUUCCAUAGUUGACCUCAUUAAGAUGGUCUACUUGCAAGACUUCCAGGAAACAGCGCCACCACCAAGUGUAAAAACAUAACCACUCGUGGGCUUUAUCUCAUCAGAAUCAGAUAUCCAGUUUAAGUCACUAUAACCCUGCAGUACCCUUGGAUACCCGGUGUAGUGAAUCCCAUAGCUCGCGUAGCCUUUCAAAUAGCGAAUAACUCUCUCAAGAGCAUGCCAAUGAUCAUCUCCCGGUUUUGACACAAACCGACUCAGCUUGCUCACAGCAAAAGAGAUGUCAGGCCUCGUGGCACUCGCCAAAUACAUAAGCGAGCCAAUAAUCUGAGAAUACCUCAGUUGAUCUCUAGCAAUCCGUCGAUUCUUUCGAAGCAACACACUAGCAUCAUAUGGAGUUGGAGAAGGUGUGCAGUCGCUAUACCCAAAACGACUCAAGACCUUUUCCACAUAGUGAGACUGAAGCAGUGUGAUCCCACCAUUCUCAUCUCUCAACAGCUUGAUGUUUAAGAUAACAUCAGCUACUCCUAGAUCCUUCAUCUCAAAACAGCGAGAUAAGAAAUCCUUAACCUCCUUGAUUAAAUCAAGUUUGGUUCCAAAGAUCAAUAUGUCGUCGACAUACAGACAAAGAAUAACUCCUUCACCCCCACCAUAGCAAUAGUACACGCACUUGUCACCAUCAUUUACUACAAAGCCGGCAGCAGUUAAUGUCCUUUCGAACUUCUCAUGCCACUCCUUAGGAGCUUGUUGAAGGCCAUAUAAAGACUUUAAUAACUUGCACACCUUUCCUUCCUGACCAGGUACUACAAAACCAUCUGGCUGAUCCAUGUAAAUUUCCUCCUUCAACUCUCCAUUGAGGAAAGCCGUCUUGACGUCCAUUUGAUGAACGAGAAGACCAUGUGAGGCAGCCAGUGAUAGUAGCACCUGAAUUGUGGUCAGUCUAGCCACAGGUGAGUAAGUAUCAAAGAAGUAUUCACCUUCUUUCUGGGUAUAACCCUUAGCCACAAGCCGUGCCUUGUUCUUUUCAAUCGUACCAUCAGGUCUAAGAUUCUUCUUGAACACCCACUUACAUCCUAAAGGUUUGCACCCAUAAGGACGGCCAGUGAUCUUAUGGGACUUGCGAGGUUGCUUAGCUUGCACACAUACUUGGCACUUAGAGCCUUUGACAGUAGAGAUUUUCAGAAUUAAAUUCAUAUUGGCUAGCCACGUCAUGCAACCAAAGUUAAUGUGACAAAGUCGUGAAUGCCAAAUAUCUGACUCAUUGCUGUGGCAAACAUUAUUAAUAACUUUAGUGCAAAUAUCUGACAAAGACAGGCGGAACAAGCCUCGGCUCUCAUAGCCUUUUCCAACAAAUUGUCCAUACUUAGAAAUUACAACAUUAUUGGAUUCGAAAACCAACUUAAAACCAUCUCAACAUCAAUGGGAACCGCUAACGAGAUUUUUAUUGAUGGACGGCACAUGAUGAACGUUCUUCAGACGCACGGUCUUCCCCGAAGUAAACUUCAGAUCGACCGUACCAACACCUCGAACGAUGGCAUGUGACCCGUUCCCCAUCAGCAUGGGAGAAGUCCCAGUGGCCUGGUAAGAAGAAAACUUGGAGGCGUCAGCACAAACAUGUACAUUGGCACCGGUGUCAAUUAACCAAUCAGGGGAUCGAAAUACUGAAAGGAUGGUAGGAAAAAUAUCGUAUCCUGAUUCCUUCAUAUCAGUAUCACCGAUAACAACAUUAGCGGACUUGCCGCUCUUGUCAUGUUCGCGCUCCUCAAAACGGUUAGGACACUUCGGAGCCCAGUGAUUAGGAUCACCGCAAACAUGGCAAAGUCCCUUCCCCUUCUUAUGAGAAUUCUUCUUGAAGUUGGUAGAAUGUGCUGGCUUGUUCUUUGUAUCAAACUUACCUUUGCCCUGAGUUUUGUUCUUGUUGUUUUUGAACUUUUUGGGAUGGAAGUUCUUCUUCUGUACCAUGUGGGCACUAGAACCUCCCUCAGCAACUCGAGCACGUGUGUCCUUUGCUCUCGCCUUCUCUUCAACAUCAAGAGUACCAAUGAGAUCCGCAACGGAAAACUCCUGUCUCUUGUGUUUCAAGGAAGUAGAAAAAAUUAUUCCACGAAGGUGGAAGCUUGGCAAUGAUGCCUCCGGCAACACACACUUGAAGUAAUCAAGUUCUUUUGCGAGUGACUAUAUCUCAUUAGCCUGCUGUACAACAAGGCGCUCAUCAGUCAUCUUGUAGUCAUAGAAUUGCUGCAUGACGUACAACUCGCCGCCGACGUCCGAGGCACCAAACUUGGCCUCGAGCGCAGCCCACAUGUCCUUGCCGUUGUAAAAUGACAUAUACGAAUCGAUCUUCUCAAAAGCUUCCAGCUGUGCUGGAUUAAGAUCGCCCUCAGGCUUGCCCUUGGUGGCGUCAUAGCAGCCCAUGGUCUGAAACCAGUAGACUGCUAUCGUGCGCCACCUCUUAUAUUGCGCCCCUUUAAUGGCAGGCAGCUUCAAAUGCGCAGCAAAAUACGAGAUUUAAUCCGAAUAAAUAGGAAAUAGAUCAUGACAUCAAUAGCAGAGAUUAAACUAACCCCGAGUAGGUCAUGGGACAACGUGCAUAGCUCUGUCCUCGGCUCAAUCCCGCAACCCGCGGCGCGGCACUCGUGUAGGUCUCCUCUUCUCAUGGUCAUACAAGUGGUAGAAUAGCUCACCUUAUAAAGAGGUGCAACUCUCUCUCAACUUCCGGGGUGGGACUAAACUUUAGUCUCACUCACUCCACUCACAUGUGUGCAUGAAUGGGCCAAGAGAAUUUCAGAAUUUUAGUUGGGCUUUGGGCCAAAGGCCUACUAGCAAAAUUCCAACAAUAUGUAGAUCCACAUUUUGGGUGUGCUAGUAUUAAUACGUGUGGCAUGAGUGUGUUCUUGUUUUAUGUAUUUCUAGAGUGAAUCUCACGUUAUUUCCCCAUAUCAUAAAAUGGAUUUGGGACAUUAAAGGAAGAUUAUGCGCAUUUUGCACUUGAUAAUCUAUCUAUCUUCUACAUUUAUAUAUCUAUCUAUAUCUAUCUCUAUAUUCAUCCCUAUAUCUAUACCUAUCUAUAUGUAUACUAUAUAUGUAUAUUUAUAUCUACACCUAUCUAUCUAUCUAUCUAUCUAUCUAUCUUUAUAUCUAUAUCUCUAUCUAUCUAUACCUAUACUUCUACUCCCUCCGUCCCAAAAUAAGUAUCUCAAGCUUAGUACAAGUUCGUACUAAAGUUAAUACAAAGUUGAGACACUUAUUUUGAGACGGAGAAAGUACUAAUUAGGCACUCCCUAGAAAUUACCAUGUUAAUCGGUAAAAUUCAAGAUAAUUGGAAACCCAUGCCCCUUCGUAAAUACAUGUAAUUGCUUACACCAUUUAGGAUAUGCUUGCAUGAUGGAUAUAUACGAUACACAUGCAUCAUUAUUAACCCGGAACACCUUUAAGAUUACAUUAAAAAUGGCAUCCAGGAGACACUAUAUUAAAUAAUACUGCCCAUGAUUAAAUAGGAGGAAAUCCAAUUCUCCAUCGAGGUAUAUGUGCAAAGAGUUAAACAUUGAUCAUUUGGAUAUUCAUGGGGCAUAUUGCAUUUGGAAACCCCUACUCAGUGCACUAUAUAGUAUAUAUAAGCCAUAAUCAUAGCUAUGUACUCCACCUCAACCCAUCCAUCUCUGCACUGCAGUUCCAUUUGAUCCAUUCAUCGUCUCCCUCAGUUACAAUAUAAUUUUCUAGCAAGCCUGGCAGCAAUGGAAAUGGUGCAAACCACCUCCUUAGCAUUCACUGGAAUUGUCAUCAUUCUCCUUUCCAUGGCCAUCACCAAUCAAGCUUCCGACACCAAGCCCAUGCCGUCAGGCAUCACGUUGGAAGCAUGCAAGAAUGUCUCGAGUGACUUCUUCAAGGUGCGCUCCACAUAUGACUUUUGUGUAUCAACGCUCCAGUCAGACAAACGAAGCAUCAACGCGAAGGACUGCCGCAUCCUAGCUCUUGUGGACGUCGACGCCAUGAAGCCCCAAGCCACGGCCGUGAUGGCCAAGGUUGAGAACUUGAUCCAUGGUGCCACCAAGGACAAGCUCGCGACUCGCGCCCUUGGGUUCUGCCAAGUGGACUACGGUGGCAUGGUGAGCACCCUCGAAAUCUGCCAUGAUAUCAUCCAGAACUUUGAGGUUCGUAAAGGCAAUGAAGGUCCGACGCCCUACGACCUGCCUGAUUGCAUUGCGAAAACAACCAAAGCCAUCAACGAUUGCUCUGACAAAACAAAGUUUACGUCGGUUACAAAAGGGCUAACAAAGGAAUAUGAGGAGUUAUCUAUGAUGAUCAGCCUCAGCAGCUCUUUGCCACAUCUCUACAUCACAUCACCCUGAUUUUUCUGGAAAAAUAUGAUUUUAUAGCAUCGGUUUUAGGGUCUGCGAGGCCACCAGGUGGGGACAACCCACCUAGGCGCGCUUGGAGGGGGCACGCCUUGGUGGGUUGUGCCCACCCAGGUGCCCCCCUUCCGGUGGUUCAUGGCUCCAGAAAUUCUCUUUAUUGAUAUAAAAAAUCCUUGCAAAGUUUCGUUCCAUUCCUAAAACUUUUAUUUCUGCACAAAAACAACACCAUGGUAGUUCUGCUGAAAACAGCAUCAGUCCGGGGUUAGUUUCAUUCAAGUCAUGCAAAUUAGAGUCCAAAACAAGAGGAAAAGCAUUGGGAAAAGUAGAUGUGUUGGAGACCUAACGGUGGCGGCGGGAAACAAAUGAGGAAAGGGUGGCGUGUUCAUAAAACGCCACCAAUCAAUGGAAACUUAGCAUAGAAGGAACAUUGAGCUAGCACAACGCGUGUGUGCACAUUGCUCACCCAAGGCUAUGAUCCAUAUACUUGUGUGCCCAACAGAGCACACUAUUCAUAGUAAAGAAUAUUGUUCUGUUUAUCCUAGUAGAGCAGUGGCAGCAAGCGACACAAGAAGAAGUAGAUGAUGAUCAGAUGAUGGUUUAUCCUAAUUAAUUAUGCAUGUAAUAGUUUACUUUGGCGUGUGGAAAUGUCAUGUGUACUAGGCAACUAUGUAAUUGGAUGUUUAAUUUGAUUGUGGAAUCAUGUCCUUAUAUCAUGAUAAAUGUUUAUUAUUCAUGCUAGAAUUGUAUUAACUGAAAACAUAAUACAUGUGUGAAUACAUAGACAAACAAAGUGUCACUAGUAUGCCUCUACUUGACUAGCUUGUUGAUCAAAGAUGGUUAUGUUUCCUAGCCAUAGACACGAGUUGUCAUUUGAUUAACGGGAUCACAUCAUUAGGAGAAUGAUGUGAUUGACAUGACCCAUUCCGUUAGCUUAGCACCGGAUCAUUUAGUAUGUUGCUAUUGCUUUCUUCAUGACUUAUACAUGUUCCUAUGACUAUGAGAUUAUGCAACUCCUCUUUACCGGAGUAACACUUUGUGUGCUACCAAACGUCACAACGUAACUGGGUGAUUAUAAAGGAGCUCUACAGGUGUCUCCAAAGGUACAUGUUGGGUUGGCGUAUUUCGAGAUUAGGAUUUGUCACUCCGAUUGUCAGAGAGGUAUCUCUGGGCCCUCUCGGUAAUGCACAUCACUUAAGCCUUGCAAGCAUUGCAACUAAUGAGUUAGUUGCGGGAUGAUGUAUUAUGGGACGAGUAAAGAGACUUGCCGGUAACGAGAUUGAACUAGGUAUUGAGAUACUGACGAUCGAAUCUCGGGCAAGUAACAUGCCGAUGACAAAGGGAACAACGUAUGUUGUUAUGCGGUCUGACCGAUAAAGAUCUUCGUAGAAUAUGUAGGAGCCAAUAUGAGCAUCCAGGUUCCUCUAUUGGUUAUUGACCGGAGACGUGUCUCGGUCAUGUCUACAUAGUUGUCGAACCCGUAGGGUCCGCACGCUUAACGUUUCGAUGAUAGUUAUAUUAUGAGUUUAUAUGUUUUGAUGUACCGAAGGUUGUUCGGAGUCCCGGAUGUGAUCACGGACAUGAAGAGGAGUCUCGAAAUGGUCGAGACAUGAAGAUUGAUAUAUUGGAAGCCUAUGUUUGGAUAUCAGAAGUGUUCCGAGUGAAAUCAGGAUUUUACCGGAGUACCGGGAGGUUAGCGGAACCCCCCAGUAACUUAAUGGGCCUUAGUGGCCCUAGGUGGAAGAGAGGAGAGGAGGCAAGGGCUGGCCGCGCGCCCCUCCCCCCUAGUCCGAAUAGGACAAGGAGAGGGGGGUGGCGCCCCCCUUCCUUCUCGUCCACUCCUUCCCCCUCCCAAGUCCUAAUCCAACUAGGAAAGGGGGGAGUCCUACUCCCGGUGGGAGUAGGACUCCUCCGGCGCGCCUCCUCCUAUGGCCGGCCGCACCCCCCCCCCCUUGCUCCUUUAUAUACGGGGGCAGGGGGGCAUCCCAUAGAUACAACAAUUGAUCGUUUGAUCUUUUAGCCGUGUGUGGUGCCCCCCUCCACCAUAGUCCACCUCGAUAAUACUGUAGCGGUGCUUAGGCGAAGCCCUGCAUUGGUAGAACAUCAUCAUAUUCACCACGCCGUCGUGCUGACGAAACUCUCCCUCAACACUCGGCUGGAUCGGCGUUCGAGGGACGUCAUCGGGCUAAACGUGUGCUGAACUCGGAGGUGUCGUGCGUUUGGUACUUGAUCAGACAGAUCGUGAAGACAUACGACUACAUCAACCGCGUUGUGCUAAGGCUUCCGCUUUCGGUCUACGAGGGUACGUGGCCAACACUCUCCCCUCUCGUUGCUAUGCAUCACCAUGAUCUUGCGUGUGCAUAGGAAAUUUUUUGAAAUUACUACGUUCCCCAACAAUGGCAUCCGAGCCUGAUUUUAUGUGUAGAUGUCAUAUGCACGUGUAGAACACAAGUGAGUUGUGGUCGAUAUAAGCCAUACUGCUUACCAGCAUGUCAUACUUUGGUUCGGCGGUAUUGUUGGAUGAAGCGGCCCGGACCGACAUUACGUGUACGCUUACGCGAGACUGGUUCUACCGACGUGCUUUGCACAGAGGUGGCUGGCGGGUGUCAGUCUCUCCAACUUUAGUUGAACCGAGUGUGGCUACGCCCGGUCCUUGCGAAGGUUAAAACAACACCAACUUGACAAACUAUCGUUGUGGUUUUUGAUGCAUAGGUAAGAAUGGUUCUUGCUAAGACCGUAGCAACCAUGUAAAACUUGCAACAACAAAGUAGAGGAUGUCUAACUUGUUUUUGCAGGGCAUGUUGUGAUGUGAUAUGGUCAAGACAUGAUGCUAAAUUUUAUUGUAUGAGAUGAUCAUGUUUUUUACCGAGUUAUCGGCAACUGGCAGGAGCCAUAUGGUUGUUGCUUUAUUGUAUGCAAUGCAAUCGACCUGUAAUGCUUUACUUUAUCACUAAGCGGUAGCGAUAGUCGAAGAAGCAUAAGAUUGGCGAGACGACAACGAUGCUAUGAUGGAGAUCAAGGUGUUGCGCCGGUGACGACGGUGAUCACGGAGGUGCUUCGGAGAUGGAGAUCACAAGCACAAGAUGAUGAUGGCCAUAUCAUAUCACUUAUAUUGAUUGCAUGUGAUGUUUAUAUUUUGUGCAUCUUAUCUUGCUUUGAUUGACGGUAGCAUUAUAAGAUGAUCCCUCACUAAAUUAUCAAAGUAUAAGUGUUCUCCCUGAGUAUGCACUGUUGCGAAAAUUCUUCGUGCUGAGACACCACGUGAUGAUCAGGUGUGAUAGGCUCUACGUUCAAAUACAAUGGGUGCAAAACAGUUGCACAUGUGGAAUACUCAGGUUAAACUUGACGAGCCUAGCAUAUAACAGAUAUGGCCUCAGAACACGGAGACCGAAAGGUCGAGCGUGAAUCAUAUAGUAGAUAUGAUCAGCAUAGUGAUGUUCACCAUUAAAACUACUCCAUCUCACGUGAUGAUCGGACAUGGUUUAGUUGAUUUGGAUCACGUGAUCUCUUAGAGGAUUAGAGGGAUGUCUAUCUAAGUGGGAGUUCUUAAGUAAUAUGAUUAAUUGAACUUAAAUUUAUCGUGAACUUAGUACCUGAUAGUAUCUUGCUUGUUUAUGUUGAUUGUAGAUAGAUGGCCCGUGCUGUUGUUCCGUUGAAUUUUAAUGUGUUCCUUGAGAAAGCAAAGUUGAAAGAUGAUGGUAGCAAUUACAUGGACUGGGUCCGUAACUUGAGUAUUAUCCUCACUGCUGCACAGAAGAAUUACGUCCUGGAAGUAUCGCUGGGUGCCAGGCCUGCUGCAGGAGCAACACCAGAUGUUAUGAACAUCUGGUAGAGCAAAGCUGAUGACUACUCGAUAGUUCAGUGUGCCAUGCUUUACGGCUUAGAACCGGGACUUCAACGGCGUUUUGAACGUCAUGGAGCAUAUGAGAUGUUCCAGGAGUUGAAGUUAAUAUUUCAAGCAAAUGCCCGGAUUGAGAGAUAUGAAGUCUCCAAUAAGUUCUAUAGCUGCAAGAUGGAGGAGAACAGUUCUGUCAGUGAGCAUAUACUCAAAAUGUCUGGGUAUAAUAAUCACUUGAUUCCAUUGGGAGUUAAUCUUCCAGAUGAUUUCGUCAUUGACAGAAUUCUCCAAUCACUGCCACCAAGCUACAAGAGCUUCGUGAUGAACUAUAAUAUGCAAGGGAUGAAUAAGACUAUUCCCGAGCUCUUCGCAAUGCUGAAAGCUGCGGAAGUAGAAAUCAAGAAGGAGCAUCAAGUGUGUAUGGUCAACAAGACCACUAGUUUCAAGAAAAAGGGCAAAGGGAAGAAGAAGGGGAACUUCAAGAAGAACAGCAAACAAGUUGCUGCUCAAGAGAAGAAACCCAAGUCUGGACCUAAGCCUGAAACUGAGUGUUUCUACUGCAAGCAAACUGGUCACUGGAAGCGGAACUGCCCCAAGUAUUUGGCGGAUAAGAAGGAUGGCAAGGUGAACAAAGGUAUAUGUGAUAUACAUGUUAUUGAUGUGUACCUUACUAAUGCUCGCAGUAGCACCUAGGUAUUUGAUACUGGUUCUAUUGCUAAUAUUUGCAACUCGAAACAGGGGUUACGGAUUAAGCAAAGAUUGGCUAUGGACAAGGUAACGAUGCGCGUGGGAAAUGGUUCCAAAGUUGAUGUGAUCGCAGUCGGAACGCUACCUCUACAUCUACCUUUGGGAUUAGUAUUAGACCUAAAUAAUUGUUAUUUGGUGCCAGCGUUGAGCAUGAAUAUUAUAUCUGGAUCUUAUUUGAUGCAAGACGGAUAUUCAUUUAAAUCAGAGAAUAAUGGUUGUUCUAUUUAUAUGAGUAAUAUCUUUUAUGGUCAUGCACCCUUGAAGAGUGGUCUAUUCUUAUUGAAUCUUGAUAGUAGUGACACACAUAUUCAUAAUGUUGAAGCCAAAAGAUGCAGAGUUGAUAAUGAUAGUGCAACUUAUUUGUGGCACUACCGUUUAGGUCAUAUCGGUGUAAAGCGCAUGAAAAAACUCCAUACCGAUGGACUUUUGGAACCACUUGAUUAUGAAUCACUCUCUACUUGCGAACUGUGCCUCAUGGGCAAAAUGACUAAAACACCGUUCUCCGAUACUAUGGAGAGAGCAACAGAUUUGUUGGAAAUCAUACAUACAGAUGUAUGUGGUCUGAUGAAUGUUGAGGCUCAUGGCGGAUAUCGUUAUUUUCUCACCUUCACAGAUGACUUAAGCAGAUAUGGGUAUAUCUACUUAAUGAAACAUAAGUUUGAAACAUUUGAAAAGUUCAAAGAAUUUCAGAGUGAAGUUGAAAAUCAUCGUAACAAGAAAAUAAAGUUUCUACGAUCUGAUCAUGGAGGAGAAUAUUUGAGUUACGAGUUCGGUGUACAUUUGAAAAAGUGCGGAAUAGUUUCGAAACUCACGCCACCCGGAACACCACAACAUAAUGGUGUGUCCGAACGUCGUAAUCGUACUUUAAUAGAUAUGGUGCGAUCUAUGAUGUCUCUUACUGAUUUACCGCUAUCGUUUUGGGGUUAUGCUUUAGAGACGGCCGCAUUUACGUUAAAUAGGGCACCAUCAAAAUCCGUUGAGACGACGCCUUAUGAACUGUGGUUUGGCAAAAAACCAAAGUUGUUGUUUCUGAAAGUUUGGGGCUGCGAUGCUUAUGUGAAAAAGCUUCAACCUGAUAAGCUCGAACCCAAAUCGGAGAAAUGUGUCUUCAUAGGAUACCCAAAGGAGACCGUUGGGUACACCUUCUAUCACAGAUCCGAAGGCAAGAUUUUUGUUGCUAAAUUAGGAAACUUUCUAGAGAAGGAGUUUCUCUCGAAAGAAGUGAGUGGGAGGAAAGUAGAACUUGAUGAGGUAACUGUACUUGCUCCCUUAUUGGAAAGUAGUUCAUCACAGAAACCGGUUUCCGUGACACCUACACCAAUCAGUGAGGAAGUUAAUGAUGAUGAUCAUGAAACUUCAGACCAAGUUACUACUGAGCCUCAUAGAUCAACCAGAGUAAGAUCCGCAGCAGAGUGGUACGGUAGUCCUGUUCUGGAAGUCAUGCUACUAGAUCAUGAUGACCCUACGAACUAUGAAGAAGCGAUGGUGAGCCCAGAUUCCGCAAAAUGGCUUGAGGCCAUGAAAUCUGAGAUGCGAUCCAUGUAUGAGAACAAAGUAUGGACUUUGGUUGACUUGCCUGAUGAUCGGCAAGCAAUUGAAAAUAAAUGGAUCUUCAAGAAGAAGACUGACGCUGACGGUAAUGUUACUGUCUACAAAGCUCGACUUGUUGUGAAAGGUUUUCGACAAGUUCAAGGGAUUGACUACGAUGAGACCUUCUCACUCGUAGCGAUGAUUAAGUCUGUCCGAAUCAUGUUAGCAAUUACCGCAUUUUAUGAUUAUGAAAUUUGGCAAAUGGAUGUCAAAACUGCAUUUCUGAAUGGAUUUCUAGAAGAAGAGUUGUAUAUGAUGCAACCAAAAGGUUUUGUGGAUCCAAAGGGAGCUAACAAAAUGUGCAAGCUCCAGCGGUCCAUUUAUGGACUGGUGCAAGUCUCUCAGAGUUGGAAUAAACGCUUUGAUAGUAUGAUCAAAGCAUUUGGUUUUGUACAGACUUUUGGAGAAGCCCGUAUUUAUAAGAAAGUGAGUGGGAGCUCUGUAGCAUUUCUAAUAUUAUAUGUACAUAUUGCUGAUUGGAAAUGAUAUAGAAUUUCUAGAUAGCAUAGGGAUACUUGAAUAAGAGUUUUUCAAUGAAAGACGACCUCGGUGAAGCUGCUUAUAUAUUGGGCAUUAAGAUAUAUAGAGAUAGAUCAAGACGCUUAAUUGGACUUUCACAAAGCACAUACCUUGAAAAAGUUUUGAAGAAGUUCAAAAUGGAUCAAGCAAAGAAAGGGUUCUUGCCUGUGUUACAAGGUGUGAAGUUGAGUAAGACUCAAUGCCCGACCACUGCAGAAGAUAGAGAGAAAAUGAAAGAUGUUCCCUAUGCUUCAGCCAUAGGCUCUAUCAUGUAUGCAAUGUUGUGUACCAGACCUGAUGUGUGCCUUGCUAUAAGCCUAGCAGGGAGGUACCAAAGUAAUCCAGGAGUGGAUCACUGGACAGCGGUCAAGAACAUCCUGAAAUACCUGAAAAGGACUAAGGAUAUGUUUCUCGUUUAUGGAGGUGACAAAGAGCUCAUCGUAAAUGGUUACGUUGAUGCAAGCUUUGACACUGAUCCGGACGAUUCUAAAUCACAAACCGGAUACGUGUUUACAUUGAACGGUGGUGCUGUCAGUUGGUGCAGUUCUAAACAAAGUGUAGUGGCGGGAUCUACGUGUGAAGCGGAGUACAUAGCUGCUUCAGAAGCAGCAAAUAAAGGAAUCCAGAUUUCAGAAGAGAUAUAGAUUUGCAAGAUACAUACGGAUCUGAAUGUUGCAGACCCGUUGACGAAGGGCACGGUGCCAAUGCGCGUCCUCAGUUUGUGUGAGGUGGAUUAUGACACCAUGGUGAGCGUCAUCAACAUAUGUGAUGCCAUUAUCAGGGAUUACCAACGUGACGAGGGCAGGCAAUGGUCCAAAGAGCUAGUCCGUUGGAUGGAUAUGGCACGUGAUCAUGUCAAUGAGUGCAUCUCUGAGCUUGUUGACAUGCCUGCAGUGGGGGCUCUUGUCAAUGAAAACAAUGAAUUGGGAAUGCUGGUUAAACUGAACACCGCCUUGGUAGCAGCCCGUAUGUUUCCCGAGUAAUAGGAUGUUUGUGUUUAUAUGGCAAAAAAUAUGUCGAUGAGAAAUAAAUUGUACUAUUAAUAGUUAUUACUAUAAAUAUAAUGAUAAAUGUGUUGUGGCAUCAAUAUGCAUGGUUUUCCACAAAUUUUUCAUUUUGCUAUGAUAAUUCUAGAUUUUUUGGGGCCCAUUCGUCUUUCUUUCUUCAAAGUCUUACAAUAAUGACAUCUAUCACUCGUUGUGGAACCUCUCUUUUAAAUUGGCUCUUGAAAUCCGAUUGUCAGUAUUUUUCUAAUAUACCAUUGUUAGUAUGUUAUUCUGAUGUGUUGAACUUAUCUAUCUCCCGAGUUAUCUCUAUGCGUGAAUAUUUUCAAGUAUGAAGAGCCGAGGUCAAUGUAACAGCGCAAACAAUUGCAACCACCCGUUUAGCCAACAGGCUACUACCAUCUACGUGCCAAUCCUUAUCUUUACAUAAUAUAAUAAUAAAGAACGGAGGCUUUCAUAUUGUCCAUCCGUCAUCUGUUUAUAUCCAUCGAUUUUAUGUUAACCAUAAAAAUUAACGGCUGGGAUUUAAAAAUAAAUCAACACACAUGUAAUAAGGAAAGCAAACAAACAAACGCUAUGGAACAAAGUAAAAAAAAGUCACGAACGUUGCACGUCUCUCUUGACAAUGAGAAAAAGGAAAACAAUCAUAUAUAUCAGAUCAAUUUCCUGACAAUCCCUAUUUGGCACUACAAGCGCCGGUUAUAACUGUUUUGUGCAAACCGGCGCCUGCAGCCCACAUCCCUCUGAUGCGACUGGGCCGGUCCAUGUAUCUGCUUUUAAAUUUUUUUUCUAAAGGUUCAGAAAAUGUGCGUCCGCACGAAAUCGAACUCAAGAUCUGCUCUAGUAAAUUAGCACCGCAACCAUCAGGCCACAAAAUAUCGCGGUAACUCCUCCGUUUGGGAAUCUUCCAGAACCUUCCCUAAACCGUUUUUUGGUUCGUUGGUCAUUUUAAGGUGCGAUUUUACUCGGUUUUCUUUUGUUCUUUUCCUUUUAUUUCUUAAAUGCGUUUUUUAUCAUGUUAUUUUUCAAAAUCAAUCAUGUUUUUCUCUUUCACGUAUUUAACAAAAUCGAUGAACUUUUUUCCAAAUUCGAUGAACCUUUUUAAAAAUUGAUGAACUUUUUCGAAAUACGAGUAACUUUGUUCAAAUCCGAUGAACUUUUUUUUUCAAAAUUGAUUCUACAACUAUCGCUAACGCAUAGUGAUAAAGUAAAGCAAUUACAUGGCAUUUGCAUCUCAUACAAUAAAGCGACAACCAUAAGGCAACUGCCAGUUGCCGAUAACUUUUACAAAACAUGAUCAUCUCAUACAAUAACGUAUAUCACAUCAUGUCUUGACCAUAUCACAUCACAACAUGCCCUGCAAAAACAAGUUAGACAUCCUCUACUUUGAUGUUGCAAGUUUUACGUGGCUGCUACGGGCUUCUAGCAAGAAACAUUCUUAACUACGCAUCAAAAUCACAACGGUGAUUUAUCAAGUUUGUUGUUUUAGCCUUCAACAAGGACCGGUCGCAGUCAAAUUCGAUUCAACGAAAGUGGGAGAAACAGACACCCACCAGCCACCUUUAUGCAAAACUAGUUGCAUGUCUGUCGGUGCAACAGGUCUCAUGAACGUGGUCAUGUAAGGUUGAUACGGGCCGCUUCAUCCAACAAUACCGCCGAAUCGAAAUAAGACAUUGGUGGUAAGCAUAGACCUGGCUCGGAUGCCACUGUUGGGGAACGUAGCAUGCAGUUUCAAAAAAAAUCUUACGCUCAUGCAAGAUCUAUCUAGGAGAUGUAUAGCAACAAGAGGGGGAGAGUGUUUCCACGUACCCUCGUAGACCAAAAGCAGAAUCAUUUUGACAACGUGGUUGAUGUAGUCGAACUUCUUCUCGUUUCGACCGAUCAAGCACCGAACGUACGGCACCUCCGAGUUCUGCACACGUUUAGCUCGAUGACGUCCCUUGAACUCUUGAUCCAACAAAUUGUCGAGGGAGAGUUUCGUCAGCACGAUGGUGUGGUGAUGGUGAUGGUGAAGUGAUCCGCACAGGGCUUCGCCUAAGCACUGUGACAACUAGUCAUCUACCCGUGCGUUCGCACGGGCUAUAGAAAUUAUAUAUUUACAAAAUCUUCACAAUAUAUAUUCUAAGGACAAUGGUGAUUGAUAUUAGAUGAAAUUUCAUUUUCCUAUCCUCACUGUAAUGGAUGAGCCCAAAAUUAGAAAGAUAACAAUACAUGCCAUAGCAUUAAUAAUUAACAUAGAGAACCUUUUGUUGUAUAAAUCAUUCUUAGAUUCUCGUUGACAACCUUGAAUCAUAAGAACUGGCCAAAUUAUGUCUCCGUAUAACUUGUGUUGGUAUAUUUUAGUUAGAAAUCAAUAAUACUUUUUGCUAAUAUUUGACCUGCAAAGGAGAAUGUUUUUUAUAAUUUAUACCACGAUGUAUGUCAGGAAGAACCUAUAAAUAUAAUAAAGUGGUGUUGUCUAUGUAAAAAAAGUCUCGCAUAAAUUUGAAUAUAAAGACAUUAUUUUGUUUCUUCUUGGAAUUAUUAUAUCCUCGAGUAAUAUUGUAUGAAGAAAUGUAUGACAACCCGAUUGUAUAGUUGGAUUAUUUUUAAUAUGCAGAACUCCAAAGCACGGAAGGUUCAUAUUAGAAUGUUUAAUGCAUGUAAUGUAUCAAAUUAUGCCAAAUAAAUAUUUAGUAGCUACUCGCAUUUUAGCCUAUUGGUCCCUUUGAUGACUUCGAGAGUGCUUAAAGUUACCUCACCCUUUCUACUAUAUCUUCUCUAGAUCAUGGUACAAACUCGUGCUUGCAAAUAAGAAUUACCUUUUCUACCGAAGGUUUUCCCUAAUUGUGUCUGAACGUGUACCCCUAUAGACUUCCAUCAAAUAGAAUGCUAUCCCUUUGCUUGGUACAGCUUUAUGUGUAGUAGGUAGAAUUUUCUUACGACGGAGCUAGAAAGUAACCCUUGAUCCAUUCUGAAGUAGAUUUGAAAGUCUGAUAUCAUAAUACAUUUCACAAUGACUCCAAAAAAGAUUUUGGUUGAUGGCUUGCGUGAAAUUUGUUUCAUUAGAUUUUUCACAUGAAAUAUGUUCAGAGUAUUACUUUUUGAACUUGUUGUGUUUGCAUGCUCGAGCAAAAAAUAAUGAUCAAGUUUAAUAGUAAGAAACUUAAAACGAUUAGAAACUUUAAAUAGUAUUGGGACUCAUAGAGUGCAAUUUUUAAAUGUUACCAGUUCCUCUCAUCAUGGGCGUAGUCAAUUGGAACACUUGGUUUGUUUUUCCUGUUUGCGGUUAAGAAGGUGAAUCUUACUGACUACAUAUAAUGUAUUGAUUUCUACUCCAGCACGUACGCCAUGACAAACUUGUACCUGCUGCGAGGCCCUCUCGAGCAAUCGAUACAUACAUAUGUUAGUGCGUAUACUUUCUUUUAAUGUAUAUACUUGUCUUUGCUAUAGCCUUCUUCCUACAUCUGCGAGUAAGCAGCAACCUGUUUUUUUAAUAAUUGUCACCUUGAACAUGGCACACAUGAAACCUAUAUUCCUCCAUUGCCGAACCAUCUAAAACAACUAACUUUUCCUUACUCACUGACACACGGUUUUAAGCAUCAUCCCAUACUGUUCAUUUUUCAUAUUCUAAUAUGUUUUCCAAACUGAGAAAAUGAUACAACCAAUCAUAUCUUGCGAAAUUGUUCUGCAACUUUCUUGCUUUAAGCAUGAUAUAAUUCUUCCUUGAAAUUGAUGGGAAAUAGGCUAAAGGGUAAUCUGUUUCUAUUAAAAACUACAACGCAGAAUCAGGUUUUUCGUCUUAGUUUGCAAACCCUAAACAAGAAUCGAACGAAAUUGGUACCACUGGAAAGCUUGCAACAUAUCCCAUAACUUUUACCACUGUCUUAAUUUCAGAUUAUGCAAUGUUUUAUCACAGUUUUAAACUUAACUCUACCGGCUCAGACAACCCAUGCCUAGAUAAAUACUUAGCGUCAGUCUCUCCAAUCCAUCUUUCUACUUUGCCAAUAAUGACUAAUUAGGGUUUACCUUUUCUGUGUGGAAUCAUUCUUCCAGUUCCAUGGCAAGAUCACAAAUUUUGGACGACCCAACGGAUUCUCCUUCCUCCAGAGUCUUCUUCUCCGCUCAGAUUGGCUACUGCGCCUUACUCUUCUGAUUACAUGUAUUCCCUUCUCUCUUCUGACUAAAUUCUCCCUGGUGCAAUAUGUGCAGUCUACUGCCUUGAGCUGCUCCUUGUCAUAGCCUGCUCUGCACUCCAGAUCUCUUGCUCUGAUUGGUGGCUGGAUCAAAUGCAACCCACCCAACAGUAGUUAGCUCAACAUAAGCGGCUUCAAAAAAACGCAAGGAGCAGCACGUAAACGUAAAGGUCGACGACUGAAAAUGGCAACACCAUCCUAGAGCAGUGGAGCUCACGGCUAUAGGUAGAACUUGGUGGUGGUAGUCAUGAACAGCGACCAGCACCAGCCUCCGAUAGAAGGGGGCAGUUCAUCCAUGUGCUUGAGUGUUGACGGCUGGCCAUAUUGUGAACGACAGAGUCGUCAAUUCUGACUAAGUGUAGUCUCAUGCUGAUUCUCUACUGACGCAUAGGCAUGUCCGGCGGUGGCCAGCGUGACUGCAUACUGGGUCAUCGAUCAAUGAUCCGGGCAAUUCAAUUGUAAACCCCAAAAAAGCAAAUUCAAAGCAAAUCAGUGUGAGAUGAGGAACCUGAUUUAGAUAAGGAACAAAAUUCUAAUGUGAUAACUUCAGCGAGAGCUUGGGAUCCAUGCCCUAACAUCCUUGCUCCAAUUUGAGAGAGAGAACGAUCUGUUUACCGUGUGUGAAGUAAAGAGAGACAUGAGAGAAGAGAUAUAUGAGAGUUUGAGAGAGGGAGAAACGGGAUAGAUUGAGAGAGAUAGACGAAGAGAGAUAUGACAGUUUGAGAGAGAGAAAGAGACGUGAGGGACUGAGAGAGAGAGUUUGAGAGAGGGACGUCAGAGAUUGUGAGAGACCACGAUUUCUUAGGUUGUUGUUUUUCUUUUACUUUGAGAGGAAUAGAAAGAGGUAGAUAUUUUAUGGUUUACUAUUCAAAAGUUUUUUUGGCCGAACUAAGCUGCCUGAAUGGUCAAAAAAAUAUUGUUCUCUGAAGAUUAAUCUACACCGUAAUAACUCGGUCCCACCAGAUGAACGGCUGGUAAAUUCUAAUUAACGUGGUAAUUUUUAGGGAGUCUAUAAUUAGUAUAGAAUAUAGAUAUAGAUAUAGAUAUAGAUAUAGAUAGAUAGAUAUAGAUAUAGAUAUAGAUAUAGAUAGAUAGAUAGAUAGAUAGAUAGAUAGAUAUGACUGAAGGCGUAAACUGUGGAGGGGCGCCGCACACGGCUAGGAAUCAAUGUUGUGUGUUCUAGAGGUGCCCCUCCCACAUAUAUAUUAGGUGGGAGAGGGAGGGGAGCAGCAAGGGGCGCCUCCUCCAAGUCGCCCCCCCCCCUUCAUAAGUGUUGGAGGGGGAAGGAAAGAGAGGGGGAGAGAGGGAAAGGGGGAGGCUGAAUCCUCCCCUUUCCUUCUCCCUUCCCUCCUUUCCUUCUUCUCCUAUUUUGGUCUACAUGGGGCGCACCAGCCCACUAGGGGCUGGUCUGUCCCCUGCUUGGCCCAUUAGGCCCAUAUAGUUGCCGGGGGAUGCUCAGAACCCCUUCCGUUGACCCGAUAUGUACCAGGAACCCUCGGAACACUUCCAGUGUCCAAAUACCAUCGUCCUAUAUAUGAAUCUUUACCUCUCGACCAUUUCGAGACUCCUCGUCAUGUCCGUGAUCUCAUCCGGGACUCCGAACUACAUUCGGUCACCAAAUUGCAUAACUCAUAUAAUACAAAAUCGUCAUCAAACGUUAAGCGUGCGGACCCUACGGGUUCGAGAACUAUGUAGACAUGACUAAGACACCUCUCCGGUCGAUAACCAACAGCGGAACCUGGAUGCUCAUAUUGGUUCCUACAUAUUCUACGAAGAUCUUUAUCGGUCGUACCGUAAUGACAACAUACGUUAUUCCCUUUGUCAUUGGUAUGUUACUUGCCCGAGAUUCGAUCGUCGAUAUCUUCAUACCUAUUUCAAUAUCGUUACCGGAAAGUCUCUUCACUCGUUCCAUAAUAGAUCAUCCCAAAAUUAACUCAUUAGUCACACUGCUUGCAAGGCUUAUUAUGAUGUGCAUUACCGAGAGGGCCCAGAGAUACCUCACCGAUACUCGGAGUGACAAAUCCUAAUCUCAAUCUAUGCCAACCCAACAAACACCUUCGAAGAUACCUGUAGAGCAUCUUUAUAAUCACCCAGUUCCGUUGUGACGUUUGAUAGCACAUAAGGCAUUACUCCGGUAUCCGAGAGUUGCAUAAUCUCAUAGUCAAAGGAAUAUGUCUAUGACAUGAAGAAAGUUGUAGCAAUAAAACUGAACAAUCAAUAUGCUAAGCUAACCGAUGGGUCUUUUCCAUCACAUCAUUCUCCUAAUGAUGUGAUCCCGUCCAUCAAAUGACAACACAUGUCUAUGGUUAGGAAACUCAACCAUCUUUGAUUAACGAGCUAGUCUAGUAGAGGCUUACUAGGGAAACUAUGUUUUGUCUAUGUAUCCACACAUGUAUCUAGUUUCCGGUUAAUACAAUUCUAGCAUGAAUAAUGAACAUGUAUCAUGAUAUAAGGAAAUAUAAAUAACAACUUUAUUAUUGCCUCUAGGGCAUAUUUCCUUCACUAAGAGAGGAAGGCGGUUGUCGCUCUUGUCCCUUGUUGCCAGCCUACCAUGCCGUCAUCGAUCACUGGCUCACUUAGAACACGAGCUAGUAGAUUUUGUGAUAAGAGUGAGGAGGAUGGUACCGUAGAAAAUGUGGAAAAUUGCAUUUUAUUAGAGAUGGAUUCAAAACAAAUUGCUUGAGUGAGUGGUUAAUAUAUUUUCUUCAUCAAUUCGUACAAUUUUUUGGUUAGGAUAGAGGGGUAAAUGCAUUGGUUGGGUGCUUCAAGAGUUAAUAACGGACACAGUGGCAUACCGGUUUCAUGCCAAACAACCGACAUCAUAUUUUUCUUUUUCGUAAGGUACGACAUUCAACUGUAUGUUGGCAAUGUCUAAGGACAAUCAUAUCUGCCUUCUUGGGCGUCACGGGAGGCACAUGCCUUGUUCCCCUUGAUGGAGGUGGCAGAUGGCAUGAUCACGGGGGGAGGGGAUCAGGGCAGAGAGCGGGGCGGUUGGCAGGUGAUAACCCACAAGUAUAGGGGAUCGCAACAGUUUUCGAGGGUAGAGUAUUUAACCCAAAUUUACUGAUUCGACACAAGGGGAGCCAAAGAAUAUUCUCAAGUAUUAGCAGUUGAUUUGUCAAUUCAACCACACCUGUAAGACUUCAUAUCUGCAGCAAAAUAUUUAGUAGCAAAGUAGUAUGGAAGUAACGGUAACGGUGGUAAAAGUAACAGUAACAGUUCUGUAGUAAUUGUAACAGUGGCAACAGUAAAGUAACUAAGCAAAGAUCAAUAUGUGAAAAUCUCGUAGGCAUUGGAUCAAUGAUGGAUAAUUAUGUCAGAUGUGAUUCCUCAUGCAACAGUUAUAACAUAGGGUGACACGGAACUAGAUCCAGUUCAUCAAUGUAAUGUAGGCAUGUAUUCCGAAUAUAGUCAUACGUGCUUAUGGAAAAGAACUUGCAUGACAUCUUUUGUCUUACCCUCCCGUGGCAGGGGGUCCUAUUGGAAACUAAGUGAUAUUAAGGCCUCCUUUUAAUAGAGUACCGGACCAAAGCAUUAACACUUAGUGAAUACAUGAACUCCUCAAACUAUGGUAAUCACCGGGAGUGGUCCCGAUUAUUGUCACUUCGGGGUUACCGGAUCAUAACACAUAGUAGGUGACUAUUGACUUGCAAGAUAGGAUCAAGAACUCACAUAUAUUCAUGAAAACAUAAUAGGUUUAGAUCUGAAAUCAUGGCACUCGGGCCCUAGUGACAAGCAUUAAGCAUAGCAAAGUCAUAGCAACAUCAAUCUCAGAACAUAAUGGAUACUAGGGAUCAAACCCUAACAAAAAUAACUCGAUUACAUGGUAAAUCUCAUCCAACCCAUCACCGUCCAGCAUGCCUAUGAUGGAAUUACUCACGCACGGCGGUGAGCAUCAUGAAAUUGGUGAUGGAGGAAGGUUGAUGAUGACGAUGGCGAUGGAUUCCCCUCUCCGGGGCCCCAAACGGACUCCAGAUCAGCCCUCCCGAGAGAGAUUAGGGCUUGGCGGCGGCUCCAUAUCGUAAAACGCGAUGAAUUCUUCUCUCUGAUUUUUUUUCUCCCUGAGCGUGAAUAUAUAUAGUUGGAGUUGAGGUCGGUGGAGCUUCAGGGGGCCCACGAGGCAAGGGGGCGCGCAGCCCACCCUCGUGGACAGGGUGUGGGCCCCUUGGUGUUGAUUCUUUCGCUAGUAUUUUUUAUAUAUUCUAAAAUAUUCUCCGUGAAGUUUCAGGUCAUUCCGAGAACUUCUAUUUCUGCACAAAAAUAACACCAUGGCAAUUCUACUGAAAACAGGGUCAGUCCGGAUUAGUUCCAUUCAAAUCAUGCAAGUUAGAGUCCAAAACAAGGGCAAAAGUGUUUGGAAAAGUAGAUACGAUGGAGACGUAUUAGCAGGGGAUUCCUCCUUGAUGGUCCAUGGGGUUGUAUGUUGUGAAGGAGAAAGGAGACUAUAGCGAAGGUCAAGUGAGCGUCAUCAGAUUUUAAUGUAGAGAGCACCAACGACAAAUUCCCGUUUAUGGCGGAAAAUUGAGCGAGAAGGGGACGUUCCGAUAGGAAAAGGGAAGGGUGCAUCGUCGAGUGGAGUUUUUGUGUUGGAACGGCGUGUUGGAGAUGAUGGAGGAUAAUCUGGAAAACCACAUAUCUCCCUCACAUAUAGGUUGGAUUUCGGUGAGCCUGGACUAUCUAAACGGUUGGAUUUUCGGGAGCCUUUUAGGCGCCUGUCUGAUGUCCGAACACUCUCGGACAUAUGAGAGAGAAAUGAGCUUCAACCUUGGAGAUGAUCUUAAUCAUUUGUCUUGUCUAAUUCAUUUAUAUAUAUUAUAGCCUGUAGCAACACACGGGCAUUCCACUAGUAUUAAUUAGUGCUCUGGAAGACACCCGUUAAGAUGUGCUUCCAACACUCGAAGUGGGGGGAUGUGUCUAAAUUAUGUCUUGACCAAAACGCGCCCUGCAUCAAGAGUCAGUUGUCUAGCUGUAUGCCCUAUUCGCCACGCGGAGUUUCCUCGGUAAUUAAGGUAAAUCAAACAAAAUCAUUGGACAUUUAAUGACUACACCUUAUGCAUCCCCAGAUAUUGGAUCCACCCUACCAUACUAAGCCCUUCUAUCACUUGUGUUCGAAAUUGCGCUUCAUGUUGUCCCGUGUCCUAACCUCCACUUGGACCGAACUCCAGGAUCCAUGGAACCUGCAGGGCCGAAGAACGAGGUUGGAGGGAGAGAGAGAGAAGAGACUACUAUGAUGUAAUUUUAUUUUAUAUAUACAUGACGUCCAUUCAAAGUCAUUCCAUCAACCCCUCAAACAAAUACAUCAGGUUGCAAGGACAUUGGACAUUGCCUUACCGAAUUACUCACACAUGGCGAUCGGAUCGCAAGAAGUAAUCAGUGAAGAAGACAUCGGAUCGGAUCACAAAACAAAGAGAGGAUUUCACAAUCCCUUGCAUUCAUCAGUCAUUAGUGGCAAUAUCAAUGGGAGUAUCAUAGAUUUAUAAGAUAAACAUGUUUAAACUAUGGCAUGAUGAGCAUAAAAGUAACACACGUCAACUCUUCAAGAUUAAACUUGAUCAUCCUCCAGUAACAUAGAUAGAAAUCCAAACCGUAAGGAACUAGGUUGUUUAAUGCCUAGAUAGACCUCCGCUUCUUCACAUGAAAAGUUAGUAUAGCUGUAGCGGUGGCAUGGUUAUUAUGCAAGUGUUAUUGAAGCAAAGAUAAUCAACACAAAGCUCUUGCUCACCUAGAAAAAAAUAAAAAGUAGCUUUUAUUCUAUUUAAUCUAGUUAACACUUGCUUGCGGGGAACACAUGGAAGAGAAUUUUCUUUCUUGAGCAACGAAAACAUAAAUUAAGGGAGUGAAAGUUAUGAAAAUACAACAUGGUACUAGAGUAACUCAUUAACACCCACGAGUGUCUCAUCAUUAAUUCUCUCAAGGACUUCGCUUCAAUCAUUGCUUGCUGAAACUUUUCUUGUCUAGUGACGAGAUUAUGCCAAAGAAAUUAUUCAUGCAUAAGGUUUCGCAGAGGCUUAAGCUUGAGUACUAUUGAUGAGUCCAAAUUGUGUGAUUAUUUCGACGAGUAUUUUGUGCCAACUCCAUUGGCUUUGUGGAAUGUUACUGCGUUCACACACUGUUUUUGUCGGUUUUCCCCAGGACACUUCUUUUGGAACAAAUGGAAAACUAUGGUAGGAAUCACAUGAUAUUAUGGUGGAAUCACAUAAAUCAAUGUGAUUAUACCUUACCAUAAAUAGAAUAAAAUACGUAAAGGAAAUUGGAUCUGGCGCAGUCCAACAAAGUGCAACACGGGCAACCAUACGAGCGCACGUGCUCGUGCAUGCAGCCGUAUGGCAUGCUGGUAGCUCCCUCCUGUCGACUACUUCUUCCCUAUGGAUAAAGAUUGAGGAAUAGACACACACACACACAUACACACAACCACCAGAAACACAUCCAGAAGGAGAACCCUAACUUUUUGAACCCAUCCAGAGGGGAAUUGGUAAGGAGGAGAUCGCCAUCUUCACCACCAGGUGCAAGGGGACGUCGGCAUCAUCACCACUGUCAUCAUCGUCAUAAUCCACAUCAAUCUUCAUCUCGUUGUAAUAUCAGAACUCUAGUGGAUCAUCAUGCAUGUUACUUGUUUGAUUCAUCCAUGUUUAUCAUCACCGCAUUCAUGCUAUUUUGCUUCCCCUAUGUAUGAGUAAACCCCCUAGUUCUUAGGGAUAUGGAUGAAUCUUGGUAUGUAUAGGAGCUGAAACGUUAAUAUGUGAUAUUUUCUAUUGAAUGAUUUAGUUUAAUAGACUUCGUGAAUGUUGUGAAGGCUCCUCCCUCAAAAUUAUCACCGAAAGGUCACAAAGUAUAUUACUGUCGUUUUAAGAGUUAGCGAGUGAAGGUAAUUCGAGGUGACAGCAAAAGCCUUCACCCCUAGGUUUUACAAUUGAUUAGGGAAUUACGGAGAACCUUAGUGAGGCCGCGUCCAUAGAGAGACCCUUAAUUACCGUAGUCGUAACUUGUUGCGGGAGACUACUGUAGUGGCAUGCGUGGCACGAAGUCUACCUAGAGUAGAAUGUGCUCUGUACCCGGCUAUGCCCGGUGUAAACGUCAAGAAUGGUGUAAGUGCAUCUAGUGCCUCCUUUGUGGUUAUGGACUAUUGAAGACAAAUGUGUUAAGAGACUAAUGUGUUUGUGAGUAUACAUAGGUGAAAAGUCACAGAAGAUGUUGUUUAACCAUGAAAGACGACCCCUAAAAUUGUACGUUUAGGUUGAAUAAAUUGGUGCGCCCCUUUGAAGGAAUUGACGUGACGAAUUGGAACGUGAAGAUUUUGUUCCAGUAGUUUCUUUUUUCUUAUAUUGAUUCAUAGGGAACACCAUACUGUUAAAGGGGGUCUAGGUCAUAUGUAUGCGUAUUUCCGAAGUGAUGCUCAACCUACCUAUUUCUUCGAGUGAAGACUAUGAAAAUCUCUUGAAGUGCAGUCGAGUUCCACAACAACAGAGACACAGUUCUUCUGUUCGUUGACGAAAUUGGUCUGGAGGAAGAGUUAGGAUUUCGCCGGUGUGAUUCUCCUACCGCGAGAAAUUUGAGAGUUUAAAUUUCCAACCGUUGCCGGACUAAGGCGGUGCUCGAGUCUAAGCCCGUCAUAAGUGUUGUGGCAACGGAGGUGCAAGAAGUGCUGAAGGUGGGGUAGUAUCGAUGUCAUGGAGAGCGGUCUGAGGACCGGCAUGUCAUUGUCCAGUGACAAGAGGUCCGAGGUGGUGUACAAGUCAUCCUUCAUGUGUUUCUUGGUGUAGGAUCGGAUCUAGAAGAAACACAAGGAUGCUGAACAAAAGCACCCCAUCUCAUAUGAGCUGGCGCUAGUCCAGCCUCACCGUGCUGCCGCCACCACCUAUGUUAUUUGGCUUCGCAAUCCCCUCCUCCACGGCGGGAGGCAUGGGUUUACUUGGUGUGGAGUUCGACGUCACCUGCGGCGAGAGUGGAUGUCGCAUAACUUUACAAGUGGGAUCCACCAAGAUACAGUGCCACGUAGGCAAAGUUUGCGGUUACAUGCGAGAAAUGCACCAUAUUAGCCAACUGAUUGUACCAGAAAUCGAUUUCCAUCUUUCGGCAUGAAAAUGAACAUGCAAGCCAAGUUUAGGGACCACGGGUAAAUUCAUCUCUUAAAUAAUACAAAAGGCUUUUUCAUCCUCCCACAUCCUCCCUUUUACUCGUUGGAUAUCCACACACUACAGAGGAGCUUAGUAGUAGCGCUUUUUAUAAGAAAGCGCUGCUACUAAAGAACGGUAGCGCUUGUCACCGAAGAGCACUGCUAAUAUCCAUCUAGCAGUAAUGCUUUUGUUAUAAAAAACGCUACUACUAUAGUUGCCAACGGUUGCAUGGCAGUGUAGGUAUACUAGUAGCGCUCUUAAUUAAAAAGCACUACUACUAUUGUAUAUAGCAAUAGCGUUGUCCUCUGUCGAGCGCUACUGCUAUUUUUUCAGGUGUAUGUGUGGGCUGAUAUAUAACCGUACAACUUUCUCAUGUUGCGAGUGAAAGACAUUGUGAGUUUUCCAUGAUCUUGCUUAAAUACAGGUACGACUACUGAACUGAAAUUAAUCUUAUCGUGCAUAUUCACUUGCAACUGGUACUCGUAAAUCUACAACACAUGUCAUUAAUGCAACACAGCUUGAUCAUGGAUAUAAAAAAUGAUUAUUGUUCUUUGUAUGCACAAAUGUAUUGGUGGUUCAUCAAUGCCAUAUGCAUCUUGGCUAUAGAUAUCCAAAUUGUUAGUGUUUUAUCUCCACACAAAUACGUUGAUCCUCCUAUUGGACAUGCUGGUCUUAGUGCCCUCUCAAUUCACAAAUAUGUUAAUGCUCAGUUUAGAUCUUCUCGUAUUAAUACACUUCUAGCUUCUAUUGGCUGGUGAAUGCAACAUUUCAUUUGUAUUAAUAUGUCUACUUGUUAUUGCGGGGAAUAUUAAUAUGUCUAAUGUAGCUUCAUUAAUGCAACUCAACUUGAUCAUGGUUUAAAUGAUCAUUGUUCAUUUUACGCCCUUGCAGAAAAAAGAAGGGUUCAGUGUAUGUAUAGAUAUAUUGACAUGAUACCUGUUUUAGAUAACCUUGCAUUAAUAUGUCUAAUUUCCAUUUAUGUUCUCUUUCCUCGUUCUACAGAUUUCAUAUUUGUAUUCAUUUUAAGGGUUCUUCAAGAUGCACAUAAUUUAGUCACUGGUUACAAUCUAAAUGUAAGAAAGCACAUAAUCUGUAGAAGGUGCAACCUAUGUGUUAUCCAUGUGAUAAAAUUAAAAUCAACAUCCUAGAUCAAAUGUCCAAGUCAACUAAAAAAGAGAUUUCCUUACAAGUAAUGUCAAGCCGCAUUUUCAAAUCACAAACAGUUUUGAGCAAUGAAUGAUCUCAAAAAAAAUCAUCCUGCCUGCCACCGUUUAUCUCUUUGGAUGUCCACAUAUUGUUUUUUUUCAUGGUGAGCGUCUGUGCCAAUAGAUAAACUAACGAGUUUUUCAUCUUGUGAUCGAGUCAAAGAUAUUCGAUUCUGUGUUUUUCAUGAUCUUGCUUGUACGUACGACCAUGAAACUACUAUUGUUAUCGUGUAUGAAUACUUGCAACAGGGUGCUUCAGCGCCAGCACCGACCAUGGAUGCACAUGAGUAUGCAUGGAUGCAUGCAUGUAACGACCUGAUCGCUCCUGCAGGUCAAAGUACAUGUUUCUCUUAGGUCUGUGCACCAUCAAGGCCUUGAACAGUUCCUUGAUGAGUGUCAAGUGAGACUUCAUGUCUCUAUGGUGAACAGACAAACUUCAGCGGAUAUGUUGCUCUCAUGGCACGGCAAAGACAAGAACAAUAGAUGGACUCUUGCCACUAGUAGUAUUGAUCCACGCUUGACACAUGACUACUCAUGGAGAAGACCCAUUCCUUUAUAACAUUUCCCUUUUAUUCAGUCUGUUUUGGUGAAUCAGCAGUUAGAAGAACUUCUUCUUCUGUUAAAAAUAGGUUUUCUAACCCAAAUUAAAGUUAGAUUUCACAAGGAGUGAACCAGUGGCAUUGUUGUAUCCCCUUGAAGCAGAGAAGACAAGGGUGCGACAAUCAUAUUUCCAAUUAUCCAGCUGGUAUUUUACAAGUAUCCCUUCUUGAAUACUCGGUUCAAUAAAUAAGUUGUUCACACUUCACAGCCAUCCAUGUGCAUAUACAGUAAGUUAAUAACACAAAAUCCGAGUAAAUUUAUGCCACAACAAGGUUUAUUAUUGUUAUUUCAAAUAACUGAUGCGACAACAAAUAAUAUUAAUCACGGACAUCAUAUGAUAUUAGUAAGGCGUUGUUGAGGAUGAGAAGCAUGUACAACUCCUCGUUUUCUUUGAUGAGCGCCUCCGCACCAGGCAUAUCUGGAAGCUCUAACCAACACAUGAUGAUAGGGUUGUAAUUAAUAUCCACACAGUCGAGCAGAUGCAAGAACUGUUGCCCACUCUUGUCACCUUGGUAGUCCUUGAUCAGUCCGUGGCACACGUUGAGGCGUCUCACCACACCUUCAUACUCCAUCUCACAAUAACUAAGAACGUGCAUUGCCACUGUUCCCUUCUUGGCAUCUUGCAGCUUUUGCUUGAUCUUACCACUAGCGGCAGUGACACGGCUCUUAAAGAUGUCGACAGUGACAAGCACUAAGUCACGGAGGUCCUUAGCCUCGGCACUUCGAUUGUCCGACUGAAGGGUGGACAAACAGAAUUCUUGCGUGAUAGAUUUGUUGCAGGGGUUGUUGAUCGAGGCCUUCUUGCAUGCUUCCACCAUGAGCUUGGUCGCCUUGGGCUUGCCAGUGUCAGAGCCACUAGCAUGAGUGGAAAAAAGGAAGAAUAUGAUGGUGGAGAGGACGAUGGUAGUCCUUGGCAUUGCUACCAUUACUACAGGGCUAGCUAGAAGCCUUGAAGUACUGAAGCGCUGAGAGGGAGGUGGAGAAAAAUAGACAGAGAAGGAUGUGUAUUGCAGAGAUGGAUGGGUGGAUGGAGGUGAUGUACAUGAGGCUGAGAAUUCUUUAUAAUGCCUGCAAUGGGGUAUCAUAAAUGCAGUAUGCAGCUUUGGUCCAGAAUAUGUGUACUAUCGGUGUCCAGUAAAUGUUGAAUGCCCAUUUUGGAUCUCUACAUAUUAAUGCUCUCUCUAUGUUCACAAAUACACAGAUGCUCACUAUAGAUCUUGUUGUAGUAACACAUAUCUUACUUAUAUGAAUCCAUUAAUGCAACGUAGCUUGAUCAAGGAUAUCCCAAAUGAUUAGUGUGCACCGAAUGCCCAUAGAUAUGUUGAUGCUCAUUUUGGUACGUCUUAUUUGCAUUGGUGUUUUCUAAACAUCAUUUUGUAUAACUGAUUUGUUACUUCUACCUCCCUUUGGGGGACGAUUAUAUUUUCCCUCAUCAAGUCUAUAAUUGCUCAUUUUUUCUUUGCAAUUUUCGAGUAGUUACAAAUAAUUCUCAGGGAGCAGGCACUUAGUUAACUUGGUGACACAAUAAAUAUUUUUGUUAAAAUAUCAAAGUUUUAUAUCUUAAAUUUUUUUAUUUCCAAGUCGAUUAUUGUCUGAUGGGUUGACUUUUACAACAGUUGUAUUCCCCCAGUUAAAAAUCACAACUUAUUUUAGGGAUUAAAUGAUGCCAGCCGGACUAACAUAUCAUUCGUAGGCACUGUCAAAAAAUAAGCAUGUUUACUGCCCACCGCCUAAGAAAAUAAAAAAAAAUUACCAAUACCAACACGUCACAGUAUGGGUUUAUUUGGUUUCGAUUCUCGUUACUACGUAGUAGGAAGGAAAAAAAAGAGCUAUCGAUCAUAAGGAGGUAACCUGUAUCAUAGGUACAUGAUGCGCACGUACACGCCGGUAUCUUAUAUUUUAUAUUUUAUAUCUUAUAUUUACUAAUUGGAAGCACCUUUCAAGCCUUCUCAUUAAUCAACAUUAUAAAAAUUAAUUACACCGUUGUAUUAUAGAAUUUACGUCUAAGAUGAAAGGAGAACUUACGUAACAUAAACUUGGAAGGAAAAAAGAUAUAGGGAAAGGAGAAUAAAAAUAGAAGUAAAACAAAGAAAAUAAUUUAGAUGGGCCAGCCCAUUAUUGUUUGCCUUGUGCGAAAUUCUGACUAUUUAUGGCGCUGUGCGGAAAAUAGAGUUUUUCCAGCUGCAUGGGCAGAAAAAUAAGUGGGCUGGCUUUGCUGGGCCACCGCGCGUGGCCCACGUACAACAAUUCUUUUUCUAGCAAACAAACGCAUAAGACCUUUGUACCACCUCGGGUAGAAAGAUUGUUUUUUCGACGGUGAACGGAUGAAAAUAUAGGCAAAACGCACCUUGCUUCAUUAGUAGUAGCACAUAUGCCCGUGCAUUGCAACGGGAGAGAUGUUUCUUUGGAGAAGCAAUGGGAGAGAUAAUUGAUGUAUCCACCAAAAAUGAUCUCCAUAGCGGUGUGAUAGAGAGAGGAGUUGUGGUCUUCUAGCGGGUCAUGUUUCUCCCGCCAGAUAUUGAUAGUGGUGCACUUAGUCGGCAUAGCGGCAACCAUACAACUCGUGCAUUUUUUUCCUUUGGGUCAGUCUCUGUCUCGGGGUUGUGUCUGCCUCUACGUUUGGUAGCUAUGCGGCGACCUUCAGAGCACGGUUGCUUCGACCACUCUCUCUUAUGAUGGCGUAACCGGAUGAAUUACUAAUUGUAGCGCUUAAAUCCUGUUUCAUUAGCAUAUAUAUUUAGCGCAUAACCAGAUAUCAAUGUCCCUUCUUUAUUAGGGUUUAUUUUCUUUGAUUAUUUUAGCGCUCACGUGCCCACAACUAUUUUAUUCGAGCCAAACCAACAUAUUCUCUUUUAUUGGACCAAGAAAAAAUUGCUCCCUCAGACGACUCAGUAGGGAGUGUGGUUGAGGCCCAAUACAGCCUAUAUGACGCUAGUUGCGUAAAAUAACGUGUGAGAUGCACAUCAGUUCGUGUAUGGACCAACACACUGGUAGGCGCCAAGACGACCUAUGUUAGGAAGGCACGGAAAAAUCCAAAAAAUAAUGAGUUGAAGGAUCAAAAUCAUGUCCUGAAAGAGCCGACUACGUGCUCAUUGCCACUCGAAGAAACGAGUCCUACCAACCAAUGGCCAGCUCAAACCUUUAAGAUCAUACUCCAAUGUGAGAUUGGAUACAAUUUUUUUAACUGUUUAAAAAAUAUAAAUUGCUGAAUAUUCCUGAAAACAUGAAUAAUUUUUAAAAUCACAAACACUUUUUGAAAUUCUUUACAUUUUCAGAAAUACACAACAAAAUUGGAAACCCUCAAAAUUCACAAAUUUAUUUGAAAUCAUAAACCUUUUAUAAUAACAUGAACACGUUUUGAAAAUGUGAUUUUGUUUGAAAAAGAAACAUAUUUUGAACAUUCAAAACAUUUUUUGAAAAUGUGUUUCUAUAAACUUGGACAUUACUUUGAAUUUGCGAACAUUUCACUAAAACAAAAAUAUUUUUCAUAUUUGGAACAUUUCCUAAAUGCAUUUUUUUUGGGAAAAUCUCAAACAACUUUGGAAAACACAAAGAAAAAAUGGAACAUUUUUUGAAACGUGAACGAAUUUUGGAAUGAGAACAAAGCACUAUUGGGAAAAGGCUAAUUAGUGGCGCACAUAUUUUUGCUAUUAAUGGCGCACUAUAGGUGCGCCAGUAUUACCACGCCACUAGUAACAAAUAGUAAUGGCGCAUCUAUAGUGCGCCAUUACUAUGCCUAGAAGGUGCGCCAUUACUAUCUGACUUAGUAAUGGCGCACCACAUAGAAGUGCGCCAUUACUAACAAUUUUUUUUCAAAAAAAAUAUCCAAAUUUUUUCAAAUAUUUUUCCCUUUUUUUCUUAAUCUCAGGUCAAUAUGCUUAAUCUCAAGUCAAAUCGAUCCUAUUAAACCUUAUUGAUGUCUAGGACUUUGUUCAUGUUCAUGAGUGUGAUGAAAUUUCAAACUUCCCGGUCAUAUUACGUAUCAUAUUUUGAAAUGUUACUAGUGGCGCACCUAGCAAAUGGUGCGCCACUAGCAAGUUUGAUUUUUUUUGUUUUCCCCUCUCUAGAUCCUAAAAGCCCCGUAUCUUUCAUUCUGUUAGGUUUUUGUGGAUUCUGAAAAUCUUGUAACUUUUCGAGUAGAUGCUUUUUCAUAUAUAAAACUUUUUAAUCCGAGUUCAUAUGUAAAAGUUAUGCCCAUUUUACUAAAUUCCAGAGAGAUUUUGCAAAUAAAGUCGAAAUUUAUAUUUGUAAAUUUUCCCAAAACCUAGACCACAUAUCACAUGGAAAACUUAUUUUCUUUUAUUUUUUUGACAUUUCCAUCAUUUUCUUUUUUUUUCUAAAACUGAAAAGACGGUCCAGGGGGUGGGGGUGCAAAGAAAGUUAGUAAUGACGCACCUUCACAAAGUGCACCAUUAUUAUGUGUAUGACUUGGUCAAACCUUGGUCAAAGUUAGUAAUAACGCACUUUGUGUAGGUGCGUCAUUACUAAGUUUGACAUACUAAUGGCGCACCUAUGCAAAAAUGCGUCAUUACUAAGUUUGAUCAAGGUUUGACCCAGUCAUACACAUAGUAAUGAUGCACUUUGUACAGGUGCGCCAUUACUAUGUCAACUAGUAAUGACGCACUAUCCUCUAGUGCGCCACUGCCAACAAUUUUUUUUAUUUUUUCUUCAAAACUAGUACUAGCGCACCACACACCAGGUGCACCACUAGUAAUAUGUCAAUAAUGUUGCACCUGUAUCUAGUGCGCCACUGCAUAUAUGGUGCGCCAUUAAUGUCCACAUUAGCUAUAGCCCUUUUCCUAAUAGUGAAGAUUUAAUGUUCUGAACAUUUUUCGAAAAGGAAUAUUUAUUAACAUCCCAAACAUUUUUAAAAAACGGAUUUGUGUGAUAUUAUGAGUUUUAUUGAAAAUUUUGGUUUUACGAAAAAAGGGGAGAUAAAGAAAUAAACUUGAAAGUAAAAAAGAAAAAAGAAAAGAAAAGAAAAUAGAAACCAAUGGAGAAAGAAAAAUAGAAACAUAACACAGAACAAAAAAAAACGGUUCGACCGAGCUCGAGCGCCCGAUGCGAAUUUGUGACUAUUUUGGAAUGAGAACAAAUAUUUAUAUUAUAAACUUUUUCAAAAAGGAAUAUAUUUAAAGUUCUGAACAUUUUUUAAAAAAAUUGAUUCUUAUGAUAUUAUGAAUUUUUUGAAAAUUUUGAAUUUACAAAAAAAGGGAGAAAAAUAAACUUGAAAGGAGAAAACACCAAAGAAAAAGUGAAAGAAAUGGAAAAAAAUAGAAACAUAUUUUAAAGUUCUGAGCAUUUAAAAAAAUCGAAUUUUUAUGAUAUUAUGUAGUUUGUUGACAAUUUUGAAUUUACGAAAAAAGGAGAAAAAGGUCAACUUGAAAGGGAAAAAGACCAAACAAAAGGAGAAAGAAACGGAAAAAGAAAAACAGAAACAUAACACAAAACAAAAAAAAGAAUAUAUUUCAGCCCAGCUUGGGCGCCCAGUGCGAAUUUACGACUAUGUAACGCUAAUUGCGAUAAAUAGGAUUUUUCCACCUGCAUGUACACGAAAAUAACUGGGCUGGAUUUCCUGGGCCAAUACUGUGGGCGGCCCAUGUACGAGAUCUGGCGUUUUUCUUUUCUAAUAGACAAACGGACAAAAAAAUUGUACCACCUCGAAUAGAAAAAAAAUCUUUUCGUUGGUGAACGGAUGAAAAAAUCAAAGAAACACACCUUGCUUUAUUAGUAGGUAUAGAGGUAUAGAUAUAGAUAUAGAUAUAGAUAUAGAUAUAGAUAGUAUUGAUAGAAAAAUGAAAUUUUCCAUCCAUGCUAAUCUUAACAUAAAUUGUUUAAGAAUUCGUUGGUACACAUAAAAACAUCUAAUGUGAAUAAUCUAUGGUUCUUAUAGUAUUUGCUAGGAUAUCAUGUAUGUUAAAGGAAAGUCAUGCAUGCAUGUGUCCAUUAUUGUGUAUAGAAACAAAGUAUUUAUAAUUCUACCAUUCUUCCGUGGCAAAAACAAGCAUGUAUUCCUUCUUUUAGGUUAACUAAGAAAGGCUACAAUAGAACACUCGACCUUUAUGCCUUUUAGAAACUUCUAGAUCACGAGUGCAUGAUGCACACAAUAACUUUUGCGUUUGUAACUAUGUUUUCUACCAACAUAAAAAAUAUACCCUUAUAUAACCUUCAUAAAGUAGCACAUUCUUAUUUCCACAUAUCUUCUAUAAAUUUGACGUGAUUUUCCAUCACACAGCGAUAUUUUUAUACUUUUGUCACAAAAUUGGACAUAAACAAUCAAUCACAAAAUAGUCAAAGAAUUGUAACUUCAUUGGAUCCAAUGUGCAUGUGUAAUAAUAAUAACCUAUAUCCAAAUGAUUGUUUGAUAUUUAUAAUUUGUCAAAAAUAUGUUAUAUCUGAUAUUACAAUUGCUAGCCCGUGCAGGUGCACGGAUUGACGACUAGUGAUAUGUAGAUAGAAUUAAUUAUGAUUACCACUCAAUAAUUUUUCUUUAUGGAUAUCCAAAUUUAUGUUUAGAAUCAACAUUUCUACUUCAAUUUUUUCCGGGGAUUUUUUUACUUAGUAAACAUAUGGAUAUUUAGAAAUUUUUUGUGCUAAUUGUGUGCUCUCCUUAGCCUAUGUUACAAUGCAUGGUUUUCUCGGUUAUUUUAGAAAAUGCAUGUACUUCUCUAUCGCCAACUUCUCACAGAUGGAGUUAAGUUUCGUAAAAGUUUAGAAUGGCAGCCAACAUGAAAAAAGAUAAAAGUAUCAUCAUUUGCACAUUUUUUUUCACCUUCUUCACUAUCUAUAUUUAUGGAUAUUCACUUUGCGAUUUAUAUUUUCCCAAUUCGCUACAAAAGCGCAGAACAAACAUUUUAGAAAAUAAAUGCAAAAUGUGUAAAAUAAAAUGUGUAGGUACAUAAUUAAAAAUCUUGGACGACGAUAACUGCCACACGUGUGGCAUCUAGGGGCUAUGUGCCGCACGCCCCGUGUGGCAUCGACACAGGCCCGCCCGCACGAGCACGUCCGCGUGCACCCCACCACAGCCCGCACGUUCGGUGUGCGGCGCAAUCGCCCGCACUAGCACGUCCGGGCGAGCGACCUCACGGCCCGCACGACCCGUCUCGGCCCUCGCCCCUCCCCGCCUGCGAGCCACACGCCCCGCGUGGCAGUAACCACGCGUCCCGCCGCGAUUGCCAUGGUCUGAACCCUCUUCCAUGUUCGUUUAACUGUAGUUGCCAUGUUGCUGAACUGCAGUUGCCAUGUCUGACAACUACAGUUGCCAUGGUUGCUCAACUGCAGUUGCCAUCUCAGGUCAAGUGUCGGAUGCCAUUUUUGGGCAACUGUAGCUGUUGCCAUGUAUGGUCUGGUCUACUACAGUUGCCAUGAUUUGAAAACUUUAGGAUUUACAACCUACUAACACUAGACAGUUGCCAUGUAGCACUACAAAAGCAUGGCAAAAAACAUGUUCAGGUAAAAGAGAGAGUUGCCAUCUGCUUACAAGCACACUAGGGCAGUUGCCAUGUACCCUGCAAAAACACAUGGCAACUGAUAGCUUUUGGUGUGUGGGAGAGGAGACGGGCAUGUGGGCGACGAUGGUAUCUUUAGGAGUUGCCACCUACUAACACUAGACAGUUGCCAUGUAGCGCUACAAAACAGACGUGUCAACAAUAACAUGUUCGGGGUAAAGAGAGUUGCCAUCUGCUUAUAAUCACAAAUAGGGCAGUUGCCACACACUAGCACUGGACAGUUGCCAUUUAGCGCUACAAAAACAGACGUGGCAACAAUAACAUGUUCGGGGUAAAGAGAGUUGCCAUCUGCUUACAAUCACAAAUAGGGCAGUUGCCAUGUACCCUGCAGAAAACAUGACAAAUGACAACUUGGUGUGGGAGAGUGGGAAAAAGGGCAGUCAUGGGAGAUGGGGAACAGAAGUCGUGCGCGGCGUGCGGGCGCGACAGCAGUUCCACCGCACGCCCCGACUCGCAAUCGGUCUCGUCCGAGGGAGAAACAGCGUGCGGGCGAACUACCUACACACCACACACCGGGCUUGUCCUACUUGGCACACCAAAUCCAACUUUUGGUGUCAGGAUUCAUGCAAAAAACAACCAACGACAAUCCAGGCGUGUGGGCGAGUUGAAAACGUUCCACGCGUGUAGGCGUUAGUGUUUCCGAAAAUCUUAUAUCUCCGUCUCAAACAAACAAAAGCCUCCUUCCAUAAGAAACAGCUCAUACGUGAAACUCUUCUCGCCUAUUAAAAAAAAGGAAAAGCAUCCCUCCCCGAAAAAAGAGAAAACGUCUUCACUAGCUCCUGUACUUUUUUAGGCAACCACGUCUCCUCUAUAUGGCCAGAUCUUUCAAGGCUUCUUACUAAUCAGACCACUACGUUGUAAAUUUAUAUCCAAUAAAGAAAACCUGCCGAAUCAUAGAUGGUCUCGUCCAAAAAAAUGUCAUGUGAUACGUCCAACGUUGUCAAAAAAACAUCCUCCAUUCCUUAAAGAGAAAAGAUAGCGUCCUUAGAAAAGCACUACCAAUAAAAGGAAAAGAAAGACGGAAUCCAAUUGAUGACCGAUGAAACUCCAUAAAUAAAAUCUUCUGUCGAUCGAUUUUAAAAGAAGAAACAUCUGGCUCAGUUCCUCUACAUGGCCGCAUACUCCACUUCCUCUUCAAUCCUGCUCUCCUACAUGUGGCUGGUGGUGGCGAUUUCUCUAACCGAAGGAUAUACCCAACUCGCCAUCACCAUCAAGUGCGCUCUCCCACCAGCAGGGCCAACAACAAACUGCAAAGGAACCUGACGACAGGUGCUGCGAGGUAUGAUGCAAGAUCGACUGCGACCCCAAGCGGCAAUCGAUCUUCCUCAUUGUUAUUGUCACCGCGUCUCCUUCCAUCCACCCCGGGCAUCAAAGUUCACCCUAUUUUAUGAUAAUAAAAAAGUCCAACUACCAAGUACAAGCUCUAAUAAGUUCUUCUUGGAUUCAUGCUCCGACAAGACUAUGAUCCAACUAUGAUAAUAAUGGAUUAAGGCGCAGAUUGCUAACACUUAUCUGCAUAUAUAGUACGUAUGCAUGUCUUUAUUUUGAUCUUAGAAAAAAGAGAAAAUUAGCUAUUAAAGCAUCUUUAAAUACAUACAAAUUACCGAAGUAACAAGAAAAUAUGGAUGUACCAUGCGCCACGAAGAUCUAAUAGACACACAAUUAUCUAUGUGGUAUAGGUAUGUAUACAGUAUGGAUAGAAAAUAUAAAAAAAUGACAUCCGUAUUAAAAAUAUAAGAAAUUCUUUAAGAAUUUGUUUGUUGAGACUAGAACUUAAAACCGGAAUAAUCUAUGGUGCUUAUAGUAAUGAGAAUAUACUACAAACUUUUGUUUGCCAUCACACAAUGACAAUAUUAAUGAGGUUGUCACACAAUUGGAGGCAAACAAUCAAAUAACAAAAUAGUCCGAAGCAAUGUAACACUGUUGAACCUUAUGUCUAACAAAGAUAAACAUGCAUGUGUGACAACAAUAACCCAUAUCAACAUAUUAUUAUUGGCUGACAUUUCUAAUUUGUAACAACUUUGUUGUAUGCAAUAUUAAAAGUGCUAGCCCGUGCAUGUGCACGGGUUGAUGACUAGUAUAAUAUAACUCUGAGACAUGCCUAUAUAACCUCUUAUUUGCAUACGUUCUUUUAAAACAUAGCAUAGACAAACCACAUUACAUUAUAAUAAUGAAUUUGUUUUUUCUCGGUGACAGGGUAACUGUUAUUUCUAUGUCGACCAGUUGUACCUUGAAAGAAAGUGUUAUAAAACAAUUAUGUUACUCCCUCCUCCAUCACUGUUUUCAUUGACCAGAGCCCCCACUCCACACAUAUCGACAAGCUCGGAGUCCCGCUCAUCGAUAUGAUCGUAUGCCAUAUCCACACAACUGGCGAGCUCAUUGGAGCGUAGCCCGUCCUCGUCGCCUUGGUAAUCCCUGAUCGUGGCAUCACAUAUGUUGAGGAUGCUCACCAGUCAUAAUCCGCCUCACAAAAACUAAGGACACGCAUUGGCACCGUGCCCUUCUUGCUUCAUGUGUCUGUUGUCUUGGCGCACCCAUUUCGUCCACCGCCAUCCGUUUGUGUCGGCGCGGACAGAAAAGUCGGCCCAACGCGCCGACACAAAUGGACGCGCGUCCGAUUUCGUCCGCCUGCCUAUCCAUUUCCGGCCCAUUUUUUAGCCGGAUUUGCGUCGGCGGAGACAAAAGACGGACGCACGCGCUCACCCUCUCUCCUUUCCGGGCGCGCUGGUCGGUGGCACAUUGGCCUCUCCACAUCAAACAACACACCCUCGCCCGCCUGCUUCAUCGCUGACGCCGCCGGUCAUUUUUUCCGAUAGAAAAAUGAUACAUAGAUAGUUUUAGCAUACACAGAUAAAAAAAAGAUCAACUACUCGUCGCUUUCCGACUUCGACUCGGUAAUGUCCUCCUAUGACGUCUAAAUGUAGGCGUCAGCAUGCUGAUCAUCUUCAAAGUCUCACCCCGGCGUUUCUCGUAGCUUCAGUUUCAAUUGAGCGGCCUGCUUGCGCGCACGCUUGUCCUCCCGAUAGGCGGCUCGCUCCGUCCUCCUCACCUCCUUCUCCGUCCUCCUUUGCGUGUAGAACUGGCGCUCAUUGACGAUGUCCUGCAGAAAGCGUUCGCGCCACACCACCAUGGCUUCCAUGUCCAUCUCGGUGAUGGCGAGGCGACGCUGCCGCCUCCGGUGGACACGACGAUCCUCGUCGGUGAAAUGCCGCGGGAGAGGCGCGAGAUCCUGCGCCGCUGGCUCGACACGUCAGGAAAAUUCAUAUCCCAACGAGGCCUCAGGAGGCACGACGCCGCCGCGUCGUGCGCGCGGGCCGACUCCUCUGCGGUGUUGAAGGUGCCGAGGAUGAGGCGUUUCUCGCCAAACCUGAUCUCUGAGGAGAAGGCACCAGAGCGGCGCUCGCGGACUCCGCGAAAAUUUGAAGCGCCCAGGCGGCGCAUCGACAUGGUGGCGCAGAGGCGGCGAGGCUAGUGAUAGGGGGCGACACAAGUGGGCGGCGGACAGAGUGUGGAGGGAGCGCCUUCUUAUAACGAGCGCCGGCCGCGGCGCGCGCGCGAACCUUUCCCGCGCGCUGGAGCACCGAAACCAGCACGCGCUAGGCCACUUUUCCCCCACGCGUGUGAACCUUUCCCGCGCGCUGGAGCGCCAAAACCAGGGAGACGGCAUGGCAGCUGGCAUGAUCGAAAGCGCGUGCGAUCAUGAAGUGGGUCGGACCGUUGGACGCACUGCCGACCCAAAUCUAAAAGAGGGCGGACGGCGGGCGGGCGGCAGACCCAAACGUACAAAAAGCGGACAACAACGCCGUCCAUCUGGGUCGGCCCGUUGAAGUUGCUCUUAGGGGUGAACCUCUGUCUCCCGUAGGGCCCCAUGUGUUUGACAACACAUGGGGUGGCCUGUUCAGCACGCCAGUGUGAAAAAUCAUGACACAGGCAUGAGGUAAUAGUUAGUGGUCUACUCCCUACGCCUGGGAGUUAUCACAUCAUAGGAGUAGGUAGCUCCAGUAGAUAAGUUUCCCUAUAUUGGAUAAAGAUCAAUGGAACGCCUCGUAGGUGUGAGUAGCGAGUUGCCAAAUAUAUAUGUUAUACGGAAUUAAAUUAUAGGAAUCCUGCUAGCUGAGCAGCUGUGAUUUUCCUUUUGAAAAGUAAGGAAAUGGAAUAGGGAGAAGAUUUUGCAUUUUAGAAUAAAGAAUCUGCUCAAGAUGCUCUAUAAUAUUUCCUGACUUGGGCACAUCAUUGUUUUCUUUUAUUUGAGACGCAGAUUGGAGCACAGCAUUUGCUGGUAAUUAAGCAAAUGCAUGAUGCAUGCCAACAUGACACUUGGGAAAAUAACAAGACUACACUUCCUACAGUAAUACAGAUUCACGCGUAAGGUCAAGUCUAAAAAGAUGUAUCGGGAUCAGCUUCCAUUUCAUAUACUCCAUGGUGGAAUAUGAUGUCACGCUUGUUAUCAAGGUUUUGGAUCGGGAGUGAACAGUGGACUAGACAAACCAGUGUGCCAGGGUGGUCCAAUAGUAGAAAUCUUUACAUAAAUUUAUUUAUUUUCAAAGAAAUAAUUUUUCUACUACACUAUAUACAUGCUGUGGGGAAAAUUCAGGGUGGUCCAUGUCCACCCCCUAGCUAAGCCACUACGAGCGGACCUUUUCUCUAAAGGGGCACCAAAAUUCGAGGUUACUAAGGUAACCACGAAAUACAAAAAAAUCAGACGAAAUUAGAAAUCAUUUUAAGUUGAUAUAGAUAGUUAUUUAUCUUUACCUAAUAAUAAAGUAUAAAGUGCGUCUACCCGUUCACCAUCAUCCAAAUUACCCUCGAAGUUGGCGAGAAUUACCCACUAAUGCCACCUGUAAGUGGCAAAAAUAAUUCGCUUUUUUCCAUGCUGGUUCAAUAUGAAGCUAUCUUCUUAUGUGACACAAGUACAUGCGCAUCCCACCGGCUAGAGGUUCGAUCCCAUGUUCUCCCCAUUCUAUCUCCCUUUUCUCUCUUGUUGUUAGAGGGUUGAUUGCGCCAGCCCAGCACGGCCUUCAACUCUCUUUCUUUCCUUUCUUACAGACAGUUUUUCUUUCUUUCGGCUUUAUUUCGAAAUACUUUAAAUAUUUCUAUGCAUUAAAGAAAUGUUAAACUUCUCUACAAAAAAUAUUUCCACUAUAUAUAAACAAAUGGGUAGUGUGUAUGGAAAGCAAAAUUAGGAAAAUAAUAACGUAAGUUUCUGUUUUUUUGAAAAAAAUUAAGCAUGCAUUUAAAUAAAUUUAAAUGUGUACAAAAAUUGUUUAUGAUGUAUACAAAAAUAUACAAUAUGUUUAGAACAAAGUAGACAUAAAAAAGUAUAUGUCUUCAAAAAUAUUAAUCAUGUAUUUGGACGAUGUUAACCAUGUACAUAAAAAUGAUCAUGAUGUACACAAGAAAUAUAGAAUGCGUAUAGGAAAAUUGGAAAUCAAAAAACUUAUGGUUAAAAAAAGUUGAAAACUAAAUUGGAAAAAUGUUAUACUUGUAUAUCUAAAUGUUUGUCAUGUAUACAAAAAAAAUACUGUGUUCAUGGAGAAUAUAGAGAUAAACAAAAUAUUUUACCAAAUGUUAAUUAAUUAUUUAAAAAUGUAAUAAUUUAUUUUUAAAUUUCUAAAUGUGAUAUAAAAUGUUUCUGGUAUAUAAAAAAAAUUUAUAGUGUAUAUGAGCAAACGUAGACAUAAAAAAUAUAAGUUCUCAAAAAUAUUAAUUAUAUAUUUAGAAAAUGUUAAACAUGUAUAUAAAAAUUAUUCUUGGCGUAUAAAAAAUGUAGAAAGAAAACGAACAAAAACUAUAAAAUUGAAAAAGAAACAAAAAAAGCAAAGAAAGCAAAAAAAUAGCAAAACCCGUAAAACCAAAAGAAUAUACCAAAAAAUAAGAAAGAAAAAACAAGAAUGAUAAAAACGUGCUAUCAUUAAUUACUAACAUGUACUUUGUUAUCUUCAUCACACUACAAAUAUUUGUUGGGCAUCAUCAAGGACGAACGACAACAAAUGCGUAAUGAGAUACCUCCAACUAGGUAGAUAUUUUUGUUGUCUAAUAAGUUAAAAACAUCUUGAGUACACUUCAAAAAUCAUCCCAUUUUUAUAUUUUUACACAACACCACUUAUCAUGUUAUUUGUCAUGUGACAUCGUGAAAGAUUUCAAGGGAUUUACUAAUGUCUUGAGAGUGUGUAUGAGGGGUGACUUUUUCUCCCCCGUUGAAAGAACACAAAGCCUGCCCUUCUUCGGAAAACACACACACACACACAUACACACACAAAGCAAGCCCUACCGUAUUGGCUGUUCACCCUUAGCUGCCGCUUGGUCAAACGUCGCGAGUUUGACGUUCUUACCUUUUGCAUCCUCUAAAAGAAGUAAAAAUGAAAGCGAUGAGACUCGAACCCGAGACUUGCUGCUGCGGAAAGCUUGGCUUUGCCACCUAGGCCAUGACCUGUCAUGAUGUUCAAUAAGAGAUGCCACGUAUUUAACUAUGAGGUGGGCGUUUGAAUUCAAAAGUUUCAAAANNNNNNNNNNNNNNNNNNNNNNNNNNNNNNNNNNNNNNNNNNNNNNNNNNNNNNNNNNNNNNNNNNNNNNNNNNNNNNNNNNNNNNNNNNNNNNNNNNNNNNNNNNNNNNNNNNNNNNNNNNNNNNNNNNNNNNNNNNNNNNNNNNNNNNNNNNNNNNAAGAACAUUAUUAUUAUUAUUUCAAAUGGAAGUAAUGUUGGUUUUACAUGAACAUUGUUUCUGGCAGAAAAUCUUAUAUUUACUAAUUGGAGGCACCUUUCAUGAUCUCUCAUUAAUCCACAUCAUCAAAAUUAAUUAAACUGUUGGAUUGUAAAAUUUAUGACCAGGAUUAAAAAAACAACUUGUGUAACGCAGAUGAUGCUGUCCUAUAAAAAGUGCACCUGACACGUACAACUUUUGUUAAACAAACAAAGAAAAGACUCACAUAAAAAAACGGAAGCCACAAGUAAAAAAGGGAAAGGCCCCACCAGUUCCCACAAAUUAAGUAGAAAAACAGCCUCAUGCAAGAAAAAGAGGAAAGUCCCUACCGUAUCCCACAAAUUAAGAAGCAAAAUUUUCCAUAAAAAAACCUAAUGAUAAGAUGCCAAAACAAAAUCCCAACGUUAAAGGAAAAAAAUCGACUAUCGGGCAGAUUGCCCGUGAAAUAAAAGAAAGCAAACUCGCGUAACAAAACUUAAACCUCCACCCAUCUGAACAAAUAAAAACACUAUGUACCAAACAGAUCAAGCCAAAAUGUACAAAAAAAAUAGAAGUCACGUAAAGAAAAAGGGAAAGUCCUUAGCAUCCGCGUUACUUCUCAUAAAAAAAUAGGGUUCUCACCACGUACAUAUAAUUGAAGAUUAAGCACACGCCUUCCAAAAAAAAUAGUCCUUAGCAUACACGUUACUUCCCAGAAGAAAAACAAGCUACAAAAACAGUUUUCACCACAUACAUGAAAUAAAAUCUUACAAAGAAACAUACGGCUUGAUCUUUGGUGUGGGACAUGACAAAAAAAGACACAACCUCAAAAAAUGACUUCGCAUUACGUAUGUGAAAUAAAACCUUGCAGAAAAAAAUACAUACAUGAAAUAAAAGAUUAAACAUACAUGACCAAAUAAAAACAAGGAAAGCCUCACGUCAAUCGAAAAAGCAAAGGAAAAACUCCACCCGCUGCACAAAUUAAGAAGGAAUGUCUCUGUUAAAAACUCCAAGAUAAAAUGUAAAAAAAGUCCAAUGAUAAAAAUGGAAAAAUUCCGCGAUCCAGCUGAUUGACCGUGAAAUAAAAACUAGACCCAAUGGCUCCAUCAAUAAAAUAUUCUCCCGACAAAAAUCUGUGUGGACUCAUCUGUACGGCCGAUGCCUCCUCCUCUGCUUCAAUCCUGCUGUCCUACCAAUGGCCGCCGAUCACGAUUAUUUGUCACUGAAUGUGCUUUCCCACCUGCAUGGCCAUCGGUGAACCACAAAGUGUCACAAGGGCGGCCUAAUUUAUUUUUCUAUAUGCUACAACAAAAAUACCUCUCAUGUUUAGUUGGACAGUAUAUUUUUUAAAGGGAUAUUGAAGCUGAAGUUUGUCAACCACGGAUGUGGAGCUGGUCGAGACUGGUGGCUAGAUGACAAAGGCUCCGCUCGGCAAGGAAAGAUUUGCAUUGAGCUAAGACUCAUGACUAAUUGAUAUAAUCUAAGAGAUGAUGAACCAAGAAAAUUAUAUUAGAAAUAAGUUGGAUGUUAUUUGCAUUAUUCUAUUUUGAGGAGUAAAAUUAUUUUUUUGGGAAUUAGACAAUCAAACUAUUGUUAUGAUUUCUUGAACUGGCCACAUAGGCCACAUAAAUUAUGAAAUUACUUUUCAUUGACGGAAUUUCGUUUGUGAAGAUAGCAUAGGGGCAACCGAUCAAUGUCCCCGGUAAUGAGUACUCAAUCACAUCAUGUUUGGUAGUACUACUGUAUGGGUGUUCUACAUAAAAGCAAAUGUAAGUAGACAACAUUAUAAUUAUUAAUUUUGUCCAUUAUAUUGCAAAGUAAAGGAUAUCCGUGUGGUCAAAAAAAAUUAGAUCAAUAUUGCACCACUAUAUGUCUUUUUGUCAAAUUUAAAUCCUGUUCAAGUUUAUACUGCUUUUCUUACUACUCCUAAUAAAUGAUCAGAACAAGGAAGCUUGCAGUUCUGUAGGGGAAGACCGAUCCUUGACGAGCAUUUCUAGCGUGACACAGAUAAAUAACAUUGGAUGGAGCGGCUCGACGACCUCCUCAUGUACGCUGCCGGACGCUGGCUGCAUCCGAUGACGCCGGGAGCAAGGUAGUGGUGUCGUGUAAGUUCAUUUUAGAUGCUAAGGACUAUUAUGCACAACUUAGUACUAUUCUCUUGAAAGAUAAACUACUUUGUCUGACAUGCAUACUUGCGAUUAUGUAGACUUAACAUGUUUUUACACAGGUGCAGAUUACGAACGCUAAUUAUUUGCACAUAUAGUACGGUUGCACAUCUCUUUUUUUUGUCCUGAUAAGUUAUAAAAAAUAUAACUAUUAAAGUAUCUUUAAUACACAUAAAUUUUUUUAGUAAAAAAUAAUGUGGAUGUUUCCUGCACGACAAAGAUCUCAUAUAAACAAAUGAUUAUGUAUGUGAUAUACAUAUGUGUAGCAAGGAUAGAAAGUACAAUAAACUUUCAAGCACAUUAAUCUGAAAAGAAAUCCUCUUAUGAUUUUCUUUGCACAAAUAUGAUAGUGAAAUACGAUUAAUCUAUCACACAACUCCAAUUCAAUCGUGAAAGAUUUUCUUUAAGAAUUUAUUGGUUAAUACAAGAAUAUAAAAUACAAAUAACCUAUGGUGCUUAGCGUAAUCAAGAAUUGCAGAAAUCAAACUUUUAUAUAUUAUUUGCUACAGUGUUACAUACUACUUCUCCAAAUAAUUCUUUUUAGUCUGCAUAUAAGAUUUGCCUGAAGUCAAACUUCAUAAAGUUUGAGCAUAUUUAUAUUGAAAAAUAUUAACAUGUACAAUACUAAAGUCACAGAGUAUAAAAAUUAAGAUUCAUGCCGCAUUUAAUGAUAUUGAUUACACAUUGAGAAUAUUGAUAUUUUUUCUGUAAGUUGGUCAAACUUUACGUUGUUUUACUUCAAAUAAAUCUUCUAUACAGAGUAAAAUAUCUGGCGGGAGUAUUUAAUAUUAGAAGUGCUAGCCCGUGCUGAUGCACGGGUUGAUGACUAGUAGAUUAUUAACUAUCAAAGUCAUAUGGCCCUAGCAAGACAUUGUUCAGGCCGCCCAGCUUGAUCAACUCCUCGUUAUCGUUGAUAACUGUCUGGCUUUUCAUGGGAAGCUCAUGCCGGCAGUUGCUGACAUGGUCAGUCGCCUUCUCCACACACUCGGGCAGUUCAAAGAACCACGGGCCGUCGGCGUCGCCCAUGGGGACACGGAAGUCCCUGAGCAUGGCGUCGCAGAGGCCGAGGGUACCGAUAGCAGCAUCGUAAUCCACCUGGCAAUACCUGAGGCCGAGCGCCUCCUCCGUACCUUUCUUGGCUUUCUGGAGUGCUUCCUUCACCUUGCCGCCGGCAGCCGCCAUGUGGAUCUUGAGGAUGUCAACGGCGACGAGCGACAGGUCGCGGAGGUCCUUGGACUCAGAGCUCCUUUUGUCGGACCGGAGAGUCUGCACGCAGAAUUCCUGGGUGACGUUCAGGUGCUUGUUGCGGCAGCUGCUCGAAGCGUUCUUGCAGGUUUCUACCACGAGGUCUACCACCUUGACCUUGUCGUUGCGCCGCCGGCAUGUGCGCCGAUGCACACAAAAAGGAGCAUGAUUGCAACCAAGAAGGCAGCGGUCGCCCGUGUGGUUGCCAUUGCUGCAAGGAUAGCUGCAAUUGUAUUGUAGGCUUUGUAGCUGAGAGAGAGGUGAAGAUGAAUUGAUAGUCAGAUUUUGUAGUGCAAAGAUGGAGGUGGUGUACGGUUCUUGUGACAUCUAUAUAGUGCAGCAGCAGGUUCAUAAAUCCAAUGCAGCUUAGUCACGGAUAUCCAAAUAAUUAGUAUUUCAGACACUAUAUGCGCAGAUAUGUGUUGGAAAAAUGAGCAAAUUACUACGAGAUUUAAUCCGAAUAAAUAGGAAAUAGAUCAUGACAGCAAUAGCAGAUAUUAAACUAAUCAUGCGAACUAGCAUACUAGAUGAACAGAUCACAUCUAGGACACAUACUAGAAACAUGAGUUCUACGGUGCAGCACCGCCGGCGUUGACGUUGUCGCCCAUGUCGUCGAGGAUGAGGUUGCCGAGGUCGGGGAAGAAGUCGUCGUUCGCGAAGUCGUCGCUGCCAGCAGUCGCGCGAGUGCGCUCCCCAAAAACCUGAUCGCCCCUCUCCCAUACAGGAUCACGAGAGGCAGGGUUCUAGAGGCCUGCUGUCCCUUCUCCCGGUGCACGCCGAAAGGAGGGAUGGAGAAGACUUGCUUGGCGGCGCAAUGAUCUGGAACGGUGGUCAGAAACCAUACGAAGCGGCGGCGGCUAGGAUAGACGUCUGCCUGACUAUAUAGUGCGGGCCGGGUAGGUCCUGGGAGUAAACCCCACGUCCGAGUCAUCACGAUCCAAAAGAAUCGGAAAUGGUUCAGUAAUUAAUGAGUCCAUUAAUUAUUAAUUAAUGACUCAUUAAUUUUUCCCGAGCAGCAAAAAUAUAGACAGCGUGCAUAGCUCUGUCCUCGGCUUGGCUCAAUCCCGCGGCGCGGCGGGGCGGGGCGAGGCGAGCGAGGAGGAGGAGCGCGCGUGUAGGUCUCCUCUUCUCAUGCUCAUACAAGUGGUAGAAAAGCUCACCUUAUAAAGAGGUGCAACUCUCUCUCAACUUUCGGGGUGGGACUAAACUUUAGUCUCACCCACUCCACUCACAUGUGUGCAUGAAUGGGCCAAGAGAAUUUCAGAAUUUUAGUUGGGCUUUGGGCCAAGGCCUACUAGCAAAAUUCCAACAAUCCCCCACAAAGUCUCAUUGGCACAUCUCAUCAUUUAGUUCCAAAACAUUGUUUAUAUACCGGUGCUUAGUGGAGACUGUGAAGUUGAACUUCCACUUAAAGAUUUAUGCUACACUAGAUCACAACUUGAAUAGUGGACUAUGCCUUGAACUACAAGUUUUCUGCGAAACUAGUUUCACACAAAUUCUUGACCGAUACUGGGCUGCCGCAAGGCUUCCCCGCGGGUGGAGCGUAUACGCCAUACUCCAGGGCAUUUUCAUGAAUUUAUUAGAGAACACCCAAUUCUCACAGACUGCGACGUUAACAGUCAAAUUCAUAUAGGUGUGUUCCUCAGAAGAUGUUCUGCAGGACAACAUCUCUGCUUACCCGAAUAAGCCACUUGGAACACAUUAAGAUAAGUAUCAACCUGCCAUGCAGAUCAGGAGAGUAUUGCAUCUUCACGGAGUGGGAUAGUUAAUAUAGGGAUACUCUCCUCCCAGCUGACCAACAGCUUGUCUCCCACUUCUACUUCACGGGAUCUCCGAUCACAUAGAGUGGGUUACCACUAUGGACAACUCAUGCGGUGGGUCUCAAACCCAUCUCCAUCGAUGCAUUAUCUAUCACAUUAUGUGAUAGACCCUUUGUGAAGGGAUCUGCCAUGUUUUUCGAUGUUUGGAUAUAAUCCAACGUAAUAACUCCGGAGUUCCUCAAUUUUCUGACAGAUUUUAGUCUCCUCUUCACAUGUCUUGAGGACUUCAUAUUGUCCUUCGAACUGUUUAUCUUGACAAUCACAGUUUGAUUAUCACAGUUCAUCAGGAUAGGGGGUAUUGGUUUUUCAACCAUAGGUAAGUCCAUCAAGAGUUCACGAAGCCACUCUGCUUCAACAGUGGCAGUGUCUAAUGCUGUGAGUUCUGCUUCCAUAGUUGACCUCAUUAAGAUGGUCUGCUUGCAAGACUUCCAGGAAAUAGCGCCACCACCAAGUGUAAAAACAUAACCACUCGUGGGCUUUAUCUCAUCAGAAUCAGAUAUCCAGUUUAAGUCACUAUAACCCUGCAGUACCCUUGGAUACCCGGUGUAGUGAAUCCCAUAGCUCGCGUAGCCUUUCAAAUAGCGAAUAACUCUCUCAAGAGCAUGCCAAUGAUCAUCUCCCGGUUUUGACACAAACCGACUCAGCUUGCUCACAGCAAAAGAGAUGUCAGGCCUCGUGGCACUCGCCAAAUACAUAAGCGAGCCAAUAAUCUAAGAAUACCUCAGUUGAUCUCUAGCAAUCCGUUGAUUCUUUCGAAGCAACACACUAGCAUCAUAUGGAGUUGGAGAAGGUGUGCAGUCGCUAUACCCAAAACGACUCAAGACCUUUUCCACAUAGUGAGACUGAAGCAGUGUGAUCCCACCAUUCUCAUCUCUCAACAGCUUGAUGUUUAAGAUAACAUCAGCUACUCCUAGAUCCUUCAUCUCAAAACAGCGAGAUAAGAAAUCCUUAACCUCCUUGAUUAAAUCAAGUUUGGUUCCAAAGAUCAAUAUGUCGUCGACAUAUAGACAAAGAAUAACUCCUUCACCCCCACCAUAGCAAUAGUACACGCACUUGUCACCAUCAUUUACUACAAAGCCGGCAGCAGUUAAUGUCCUUUCGAACUUCUCAUGCCACUCCUUAGGAGCUUGUUUAAGGCCAUAUAAAGACUUUAAUAACUUGCACACCUUUCCUUCCUGACCAGGUACUACAAAACCAUCUGGCUGAUCCAUGUAAAUUUCCUCCUUCAACUCUCCAUUGAGGAAAGCCGUCUUGACGUCCAUUUGAUGAACGAGAAGACCAUGUGAGGCAGCCAGUGAUAGUAGCACCUGAAUUGUGGUCAGUCUAGCCACAGGUGAGUAAGUAUCAAAGAAGUAUUCACCUUCUUUCUGGGUAUAACCCUUAGCCACAAGCCGUGCCUUGUUCUUUUCAAUCGUACCAUCAGGUCUAAGAUUCUUCUUGAACACCCACUUACAUCCUAAAGGUUUGCACCCAUAAGGACGACCAGUGAUCUCCCAGGUUCCGUCAGCUAAGAUGGAAUCCAUCUCGCUACGUACAGCUUCCUUCCAGUAGUCAGCAUCAGGAGAUGCUUAGGCUUCUCUAAUAGUCCUGGGUGUGUCAUCCACGAGGUACACAAUGAAAUCAUCACCAAAGGACUUUGUAGUCCUCUGUCUCUUACUCCUCACAGGAGUUCCAUUGUCACCCUCAACAGGAUUCUCAACGUGUUCCAUCGCAAUGGUGGGUUCAGGAAUUACAGUGAAUUCCUCACUAGAUGGAGUAGGUAUCUCCUGAUUUGAUGAACUCGACAUGUCCUUCAUAGGAAAUAUGUCCUCAAAGAAAGUUGCAUCAUUCGACUCCAUAAUCGUACCAACAUGCAUGUUGGAUACCUCAAAUUUUAUUAUCAAAAAUCUAUAGCCGAUGCUAUGAAAAGCAUAGCCCAGAAGAACACAAUCCACGGUUUUUGGUCCAAGCUUGCGCUUCUUGGGAAUUGGUAUAUUGACUUUCUCCAAACAACCCCAAGUACGUAGGUAAGAGAGUUUCAACCUUUUCCUUUCCCAUUCCUCAAAUGGAGUCAUGGUCUUAUGCUUUGUGGGAACUCGGUUUACGAUAUGACAUGCAGUCAUUAGCGCCUCCCCCCACCAUUCCUUGGAUAGACCCGAAGUGUCUAACAUGGUGUUAACCAUAUCAGUUAGAGUUCGGUUCUUUCUUUUGGCUACCCCAUUUGACUGGGGUGAGUAGGGAGGCGUCCUCUCAUGGAUUAUACCAUGUUCCGCACAAAACAGAUCAAAUUCAUUGGAAAAAUACUCUCCACCACGAUCAGACCUAAGCCGUUUAAUUUUUCGAUCAAGUUGGUUCUCUGCCUCAGCUUUAUAGUUUUUGAAGAAAGUAAAAGCCUCAUAUUUUGAUUUCAGAAGAUACACAUAACAAUAUCUAGUGGAGUCAUCAAUCAACAUCAUGAAGUAUCUUUUUCCACCUUUUGUCAACACGACAUUCAUCUCACAAAGAUCAGAAUGUAUAAGCUCUAGUGGUGCCAAGUCUCUUGCCUCUGUAGUCUUAUGGGACUUGCGAGGUUGCUUAGCUUGCACACAUACUUGGCACUUAGAGCCUUUGACAGUAGAGAUUUUCAGAAUUAAAUUCAUAUUGGCUAGCCAUGUCAUGCAACCAAAGUUAAUGUGACAAAGUCGUGAAUGCCAAAUAUCUGACUCAUUGUUGUGGCAAACAUUAUUAAUAACUUUAGUGCAAAUAUCUGACAAAGACAGGCGGAACAAGCCUCCGCUCUCAUAGCCUUUUCCAACAAAUUGUCCAUACUUAGAAAUUACAACAUUAUUGGAUUCGAAAACCAACUUAAAACCAUCUCAACAUCAAUGGGAACCGCUAACGAGAUUUUUAUUGAUGGACGGCACAUGAUGAACGUUCUUCAGACGCACGGUCUUCCCCGAAGUAAACUUCAGAUCGACCGUACCAACACCUCGAACGAUGGCAUGUGACCCGUUCCCCAUCAGCAUGGGAGAAGUCCCAGUGGCCUGGUAAGAAGAAAACUUGGAGGCGUCAGCACAAACAUGUACAUUGGCACCGGUGUCAAUUAACCAAUCAGGGGAUUGAAAUACUGAAAGGAUGGUAGGAAAAAUACCGUAUCCUGAUUCCUUCAUAUCAGUAUCACCGAUAACAACAUUAGCGGACUUGCCGCUCUUGUCAUGUUCGCGCUCCUCAAAACGGUUAGGACACUUCGGAGCCCAGUGAUUAGGAUCACCGCAAACAUGGCAAAGUCCCUUCCCCUUCUUAUGAGAAUUCUUCUUGAAGUUGGUAGAAUGUGAUGGCUUGUUCUUUGUAUCAAACUUACCUUUGCCCUGAGUUUUGUUCUUGUUGUUUUUGAACUUUUUGGGAUGGAAGUUCUUCUUCUGUACCAUUUGGGCACUAGAACCUCCCUCAGCAACUCGAGCACGUGUGUCCUUUGCUCUCGCCUUCUCUUCAACAUCAAGAGUACCAAUGAGAUCCGCAACGGAAAACUCCUGUCUCUUGUGUUUCAGGGAAGUAGAAAAAUUAUUCCACGAAGGUGGAAGCUUGGCAAUGAUGCCUCCGGCAACACACACUUGAAGUAAUCAAGUUCUUUUGCGAGUGACUGUAUCUCAUUAGCCUGCUGUACAACAAGGCGCUCAUCAGUCAUCUUGUAGUCAUAGAAUUGCUCCAUGACGUACAACUCGCCGCCGGCGUCCGAGGCACCAAACUUGGCCUCGAGCGCAGCCCACAUGUCCUUGCCAUUGUAAAAUGAGAUAUACGAAUCGAUCUUCUCAAAAGCUUCCAGCUGUGCUGGAUUAAGAUCGCCCUCAGGCUUGCCCUUGGUGGCGUCAUAGCAGCCCAUGGUCUGAAACAAGUAGACUGCUAUCGUGCGCCACCUCUUAUAUUGCGCCCCUUUAAUGGCAGGCAGCUUCAAAUGCGCAGCAAAAUACGAGAUUUAAUCCGAAUAAAUAGGAAAUAGAUCAUGACAUCAAUAGCAGAGAUUAAACUAACCCCGGGUAGGUCAUGGGACAACGUGCAUAGCUCUGUCCUCGGCUCAAUCCUGCAACCCGCGGCGCGGCACUCGUGUAGGUCUCCUCUUCUCAUGGUCAUACAAGUGGUAGAAUAGCUCACCUUAUAAAGAGGUGCAACUCUCUCUCAACUUCCGGGGUGGGACUAAACUUUAGUCUCACUCACUCCACUCACAUGUGUGCAUGAAUGGGCCAAGAGAAUUUCAGAAUUUUAGUUGGGCUUUGGGCCAAAGGCCUACUAGCAAAAUUCCAACAAUAUGUAGAUCCACAUUUUGGGUGUGCUAGUAUUAAUACGUGUGGCAUGAGUGUGUUCUUGUUUUAUGUAUUUCUAGAGUGAAUCUCACGUUAUUUCCCCAUAUCAUAAAAUGGAUUUGGGACAUUAAAGGAAGAUUAUGCGCAUUUUGCACUUGAUAAUCUAUCUAUCUUCUACGUUUAUAUAUCUAUCUAUAUCUAUCUCUAUAUUCAUCCCUAUAUCUAUACCUAUCUAUAUGUAUACUAUAUAUGUAUAUUUAUAUCUACACCUAUCUAUCUAUCUAUCUAUCUAUCUUUAUAUCUAUAUCUCUAUCUAUCUAUACCUAUACUUCUACUCCCUCCGUCCCAAAAUAAGUAUCUCAAGCUUAGUACAAGUUCGUACUAAAGUUAAUACAAAGUUGAGACACUUAUUUUGAGACGGAGAAAGUACUAAUUAGGCACUCCCUAGAAAUUACCAUGUUAAUCGGUAAAAUUCAAGAUAAUUGGAAACCCAUGCCCCUUCGUAAAUACAUGUAAUUGCUUACACCAUUUAGGAUAUGCUUGCAUGAUGGAUAUAUACGAUACACAUGCAUCAUUAUUAACCCGGAACACCUUUAAGAUUACAUUAAAAAUGGCAUCCAGGAGACACUAUAUUAAAUAAUACUGCCCAUGAUUAAAUAGGAGGAAAUCCAAUUCUCCAUCGAGGUAUAUGUGCAAAGAGUUAAACAUUGAUCAUUUGGAUAUUCAUGGGGCAUAUUGCAUUUGGAAACCCCUACUCAGUGCACUAUAUAGUAUAUAUAAGCCAUAAUCAUAGCUACGUACUCCACCUCAACCCAUCCAUCUCUGCACUGCAGUUCCAUUUGAUCCAUUCAUCGUCUCCCUCAGCUACAAUAUAAUUUUCUAGCAAGCCUGGCAGCAAUGGAAAUGGUGCAAACCACCUCCUUAGCAUUCACUGGAAUUGUCAUCAUUCUCCUUUCCAUGGCCAUCACCAUUCAAGCUUCCGACACCAAGCCCAUGCCGUCAGGCAUCACGUUGGAAGCAUGCAAGAAUGUCUCGAGUGACUUCUUCAAGGUGCGCUCCACAUAUGACUUUUGUGUAUCAACGCUCCAGUCAGACAAACGAAGCAUCAACGCGAAGGACUGCCGCAUCCUAGCUCUUGUGGACGUCGACGCCAUGAAGCCCCAAGCCACGGCCGUGAUGGCCAAGGUUGAGAACUUGAUCCAUGGUGCCACCAAGGACAAGCUCGCGACUCGCGCCCUUGGGUUCUGCCAAGUGGACUACGGUGGCAUGGUGAGCACCCUCGAAAUCUGCCAUGAUAUCAUCCAGAACUUUGAGGUUCGUAAAGGCAAUGAAGGUCCGACGCCCUACGACCUGCCUGAUUGCAUUGCGAAAACAACCAAAGCCAUCAACGAUUGCUCUGACAAAACAAAGUUUACGUCGGUUACAAAAGGGCUAACAAAGGAAUAUGAGGAGUUAUCUAUGAUGAUCAGCCUCAGCAGCUCUUUGCCACAUCUCUACAUCACAUCACCCUGAUUUUUCUGGAAAAAUAUGAUUUUAUAGCGUCGGUUUUAGGGUCUGCGAGGCCACCAGGUGGGGACAACCCACCUAGGCGCGCUUGGAGGGGGCACGCCAUGGUGGGUUGUGCCCACCCAGGUGCCCCCCUUCCGGUGGUUCAUGGCUCCAGAAAUUCUCUUUAUUGAUAUGAAAAAUCCUUGCAAAGUUUCGUUCCAUUCUUAAAACUUUUAUUUCUGCACAAAAACAACACCAUGGUAGUUCUGCUGAAAACAGCAUCAGUCCGGGGUUAGUUUCAUUCAAGUCAUGCAAAUUAGAGUCCAAAACAAGAGGAAAAGCAUUGGGAAAAGUAGAUGUGUUGGAGACCUAACGGUGGCGGCGGGAAACAAAUGAGGAAAGGGUGGCGUGUUCAUAAAACGCCACCAAUCAAUGGAAACUUAGCAUAGAAGGAACAUUGAGCUAGCACAACGUGUGUGUGCACAUUGCUCACCCAAGGCUAUGAUCCAUAUACUUGUGUGCCCAACAGAGCACACUAUUCAUAGUAAAGAAUAUUGUUAUGUUUAUCCUAGUAGAGCAGUGGCAGCAAGCGACACAAGAAGAAGUAGAUGAUGAUCAGAUGAUGGUUUAUCCUAAUUAAUUAUGCAUGUAAUAGUUUACUUUGGCGUGUGGAAAUGUCAUGUGUACUAGGAAACUAUGUAAUUGGAUGUUUAAUUUGACUGUGGAAUCAUGUCCUUAUAUCAUGAUAAAUCUUUAUUAUUCAUGCUAGAAUUGUAUUAACUGAAAACAUAAUACAUGUGUGAAUACAUAGACAAACAAAGUGUCACUAGUAUGCCUCUACUUGACUAGCUGGUUGAUCAAAGAUGGUUAUGUUUCCUAGCCAUAGACAUGAGUUGUCAUUUGAUUAACGGGAUCACAUCAUUAGGAGAAUGAUGUGAUUGACAUGACCCAUUCCGUUAGCUUAGCACCGGAUCAUUUAGUAUGUUGCUAUUGCUUUCUUCAUGACUUAUAAUGUUCCUAUGACUAUGAGAUUAUGCAACUCCUCUUUACCGGAGUAACACUUUGUGUGCUACCAAACGUCACAACGUAACUGGGUGAUUAUAAAGGAGCUCUACAGGUGUCUCCAAAGGUACAUGUUGGGUUGACGUAUUUCGAGAUUAGGAUUUGUCACUCCGAUUGUCGGAGAGGUAUCUCUGGGCCCUCUCGGUAAUGCACAUCACUUAAGCCUUGCAAGCAUUGCAACUAAUGAGUUAGUUGCGGGAUGAUGUAUUAUGGGACGAGUAAAGAGACUUGCCGGUAACGAGAUUGAACUAGGUAUUGAGAUACUGACGAUCGAAUCUCGGGCAAGUAACAUGCCGAUGACAAAGGGAACAACGUAUGUUGUUAUGCGGUCUGACCGAUAAAGAUCUUCGUAGAAUAUGUAGGAGCCAAUAUGAGCAUCCAGGUUCCUCUAUUGGUUAUUGACCGGAGACGUGUCUCGGUCAUGUCUACAUAGUUGUCGAACCCGUAGGGUCCGCACGCUUAACGUUUCGAUGAUAGUUAUAUUAUGAGUUUAUAUGUUUUGAUGUACCGAAGGUUGUUCGGAGUCCCGGAUGUGAUCACGGACAUGAAGAGGAGUCUCGAAAUGGUCGAGACAUGAAGAUUGAUAUAUUGGAAGCCUAUGUUUGGAUAUCAGAAGUGUUCCGAGUGAAAUCGGGAUUUUACCGGAGUACCGGGAGGUUAGCGGAACCCCCAGUAACUUAAUGGGCCUUAGUGGUCCUAGGUGGAAGAGAGGAGAGGAGGCAAGGGCUGGCCGCGCGCCCCUCCCCCCUAGUCCGAAUAGGACAAGGAGAGGGGGGUGGCGCCCCCCCCCCUUCUUUCUCCUCCACUCCUUCCCCCUCCCAAGUCCUAAUCCAACUAGGAAAGGGGGGAGUCCUACUCCCGGUGGGAGUAGGACUCCUCCGGCGCGCCUCCUCCUAUGGCCGGCUGCACCCCCCCCCCUUGCUCCUUUAUAUACGGGGGCAGGGGGGCAUCCCAUAGAUACAACAAUUGAUCAUUUGAUCUUUUAGCCGUGUGUGGUGCCCCCCUCCACCAUAGUCCACCUCGAUAAUACUGUAGCGGUGCUUAGGCGAAGCCCUGCAUUGGUAGAACAUCAUCAUCUUCACCACGCCGUCGUGCUGACGAAACUCUCCCUCAACACUCGGCUGGAUCGGCGUUCGAGGGACGUCAUCGGGCUAAACGUGUGCUGAACUCGGAGGUGCCGUGCGUUUGGUACUUGAUCAGACAGAUCGUGAAGACGUACGACUACAUCAACCGCGUUGUGCUAAGGCUUGCGCUUUCGGUCUACGAGGGUACGUGGCCAACACUCUCCCCUCUCGUUGCUAUGCAUCACCAUGAUCUUGCGUGUGCAUAGGAAUUUUUUUGAAAUUACUACGUUCCCCAACAAUGGCAUCCGAGCCUGAUUUUAUGCGUAGAUGUCAUAUGCACGUGUAGAACACAAGUGAGUUGUGGGCGAUAUAAGCCAUACUGCUUACCAGCAUGUCAUACUUUGGUUCGGCGGUAUUGUUGGAUGAAGCGGCCCGGACCGACAUUACGCGUACGCUUACGCGAGACUGGUUCUACCGACGUGCUUUGCACAGAGGUGGCUGGCGGGUGUCAGUCUCUCCAACUUUAGUUGAACCGAGUGUGGCUACGCCCGGUCCUUGCGAAGGUUAAAACAGCACCAACUUGACAAACUAUCAUUGUGGUUUUUGAUGCGUAGGUAAGAAUGGUUCUUGCUAAGACCGUAGCAGCCAUGUAAAACUUGCAACAACAAAGUAGAGGAUGUCUAACUUGUUUUUGCAGGGCAUGUUGUGAUGUGAUAUGGUCAAGACAUGAUGCUAAAUUUUGUUGUAUGAGAUGAUCAUGUUUUUAACCGAGUUAUCGGCAACUGGCAGGAGCCAUAUGGUUGUCGCUUUAUUGUAUGCAAUGCAAUCGACCUGUAAUGCUUUACUUUAUCACUAAGCGGUAGCGAUAGUCGAAGAAGCAUAAGAUUGGCGAGACGACAACGAUGCUACGAUGGAGAUCAAGGUGUCGCGCCGGUGACGACGGUGAUCACGGAGGUGCUUCGGAGAUGGAGAUCACAAGCACAAGAUGAUGAUGGCCAUAUCAUAUCACUUAUAUUGAUUGCAUGUGAUGUUUAUCUUUUAUGCAUCUUAUCUUGCUUUGAUUGACGAUAGCAUUAUAAGAUGAUCCCUCACUAAAUUAUCAAAGUAUAAGUGUUCUCCCUGAGUAUGCACUGUUGCGAAAAUUCUUCGUGCUGAGACACCACGUGAUGAUCAGGUGUGAUAGGCUCUACGUUCAAAUACAAUGGGUGCAAAACAGUUGCACACGCGGAAUACUUAGGUUAAACUUGACGAGCCUAGCAUAUAACAGAUAUGGCCUCAGAACACGGAGACCGAAAGGUCGAGCGUGAAUCAUAUAGUAGAUAUGAUCAGCAUAGUGAUGUUCACCAUUGAAACUACUCCAUCUCACGUGAUGAUCGGACAUGGUUUAGUUGAUUUGGAUCACGUGAUCACUUAGAGGAUUAGAGGGAUGUCUAUCUAAGUGGGAGUUCUUAAGUAAUAUGAUUAAUUGAACUUAAAUUUAUCGUGAACUUAGUACCUGAUAGUAUCUUGCUUGUUUAUGUUGAUUGUAGAUAGAUGGCCCGUGCUGUUGUUCCGUUGAAUUUUAAUGUGUUCCUUGAGAAAGCAAAGUUGAAAGAUGAUGGUAGCAAUUACACGGACUGGGUCCGUAACUUGAGGAUUAUCCUCACUGCUGCACAGAAGAAUUACGUCCUGGAAGUACCGCUGGGUGCCAGGCCUGCUGCAGGAGCAACACCAGAUGCUAUGAACAUCUGGCAGAGCAAAGCUGAUGACUACUCGAUAGUUCAGUGUGCCAUGCUUUACGGCUUAGAACCGGGACUUCAACGGCGUUUUGAACGUCAUGGAGCAUAUGAGAUGUUCCAGGAGUUGAAGUUAAUAUUUCAAGCAAAUGCCCGGAUUGAGAGAUAUGAAGUCUCCAAUAAGUUCUAUAGCUGCAAGAUGGAGGAGAACAGUUCUGUCAGUGAGCAUAUACUCAAAAUGUCUGGGUAUAAUAAUCACUUGAUUCAAUUGGGAGUUAAUCUUCCAGAUGAUUGCGUCAUUGACAGAAUUCUCCAAUCACUGCCACCAAGCUACAAGAGCUUCGUGAUGAACUAUAAUAUGCAAGGGAUGAAUAAGACUAUUCCCGAGCUCUUCGCAAUGCUGAAAGCUGCGGAAGUAGAAAUCAAGAAGGAGCAUCAAGUGUGUAUGGUCAACAAGACCACCAGUUUCAAGAAAAAGGGCAAAGGGAAGAAGAAGGGGAACUUCAAGAAGAACAGCAAACAAGUUGCUGCUCAAGAGAGGAAACCCAAGUCUGGACCUAAGCCUGAAACUGAGUGUUUCUACUGCAAGCAAACUGGUCACUGGAAGCGGAACUGCCCCAAGUAUUUGGCGGAUAAGAAGGAUGGCAAGGUGAACAAAGGUAUAUGUGAUAUACAUGUUAUUGAUGUGUACCUUACUAAUGCUCGCAGUAGCACCUAGGUAUUUGAUACUGGUUCUAUUGCUAAUAUUUGCAACUCAAAACAGGGGUUACAGAUUAAGCAAAGAUUGGCUAAGGACAAGGUAACGAUGAGCGUGGGAAAUGGUUCCAAAGUUGAUGUGAUCGCAGUCGGAAUGCUACCUCUACAUCUACCUUCGGGAUUAGUAUUAGACCUAAAUAAUUGUUAUUUGGUGCCAGCGUUGAGCAUGAAUAUUAUAUCUGGAUCUUAUUUGAUGCAAGACGGUUAUUCAUUUAAAUCAGAGAAUAAUGGUUGUUCUAUUUAUAUGAGUAAUAUCUUUUAUGGUCAUGCACCCUUGAAGAGUGGUCUAUUCUUAUUGAAUCUUGAUAGUAGUGACACACAUAUUCAUAAUGUUGAAGCCAAAAGAUGCAGAGUUGAUAAUGAUAGUGCAACUUAUUUGUGGCACUACCGUUUAGGUCAUAUCGGUGUAAAGCGCAUGAAAAAACUCCAUACCGAUGGACUUUUGGAACCACUUGAUUAUGAAUCACUCUCUACUUGCGAACUGUGCCUCAUGGGCAAAAUGACUAAAACACCGUUCUCCGAUACUAUGGAGAGAGCAACAGAUUUGUUGGAAAUCAUACAUACAGAUGUAUGUGGUCCGAUGAAUGUUGAGGCUCGUGGCGGAUAUCGUUAUUUUCUCACCUUCACAGAUGACUUAAGAAGAUAUGGGUAUAUCUACUUAAUGAAACAUAAGUUUGAAACAUUUGAAAAGUUCAAAGAAUUUCAGAGUGAAGUUGAAAAUCAUCGUAACAAGAAAAUAAAGUUUCUACGAUCUGAUCAUGGAGGAGAAUAUUUGAGUUACGAGUUUGGUGUACAUUUAAAAAAUGCGGAAUAGUUUCGAAACUCACGCCACCCGGAACACCACAACAUAAUGGUGUGUCCAAACGUCGUAAUCGUACUUUACUAGAUAUGGUGCGAUCUAUGAUGUCUCUUACUGAUUUACCGCUAUCGUUUUGGGGUUAUGCUUUAGAGACGGCCGCAUUCACGUUAAAUAGGGCACCAUCAAAAUCCGUUGAGACGACGCCUUAUGAACUGUGGUUUGGCAAAAAACCGAAGUUGUUGUUUUUGAAAGUUUGGGGCUGCGAUGCUUAUGUGAAAAAGCUUUAACCUGAUAAGCUCGAACCCAAAUCGGAGAAAUGUGUCUUCAUAGGAUACCCAAAGGAGACCGUUGGGUACACCUUCUAUCACAGAUCCGAAGGCAAGAUUUUUGUUGCUAAAUUAGGAAACUUUCUAGAGAAGGAGUUUCUCUCGAAAGAAGUGAGUGGGAGGAAAGCAGAACUUGAUGAGGUAACUGUACUUGCUCCCUUAUUGGAAAGUAGUUCAUCACGGAAACCGGCUUCCGUGACACCUACACCAAUCAGUGAGGAAGUUAAUGAUGAUGAUCAUGAAACUUCAGACCAAGUUACUACUGAGCCUCAUAGAUCAACCAGAGUAAGAUCCGCAGCAGAGUGGUACGGUAGUCCUGUUCUGGAAGUCAUGCUACUAGAUCAUGAUGACCCUACGAACUAUGAAGAAGCGAUGGUGAGCCCAGAUUCCGCAAAAUGGCUUGAGGCCAUGAAAUCUGAGAUGGGAUCCAUGUAUGAGAACAAAGUAUGGACUUUGGUUGACUUGCCUGAUGAUCGGCAAGCAAUUGAAAAUAAAUGGAUCUUCAAGAAGAAGACUGACACUGACGGUAAUGUUACUGUCUACAAAGCUCGACUUGUUGUGAAAGGUUUUCGACAAGUUCAAGGGAUUGACUAUGAUGAGACCUUCUCACUCGUAGCGAUGCUUAAGUCUGUCCGAAUCAUGUUAGCAAUUACCAUAUUUUAUGAUUAUGAAAUUUGGCAAAUGGAUGUCAAAACUGCAUUUCUGAAUGGAUUUCUAGAAGAAGAGUUGUAUAUGAUGCAACCAGAAGGUUUUGUGGAUCCAAAGGGAGCUAACAAAAUGUGCAAGCUCCAGCGGUCCAUUUAUGGACUGGUGCAAGCCUCUCAGAGUUGGAAUAAACGCUUUGAUAGUAUGAUCAAAGCAUUUGGUUUUGUACAGACUUUUGGAGAAGCCUGUAUUUAUAAGAAAGUGAGUGGGAGCUCUGUAGCAUUUCUAAUAUUAUAUGUACAUAUUGCUGGUUGGAAAUGAUAUAGAAUUUCUAGAUAGCAUAGGGAUACUUGAAUAAGAGUUUUUCAAUGAAAGACGACCUCGGUGAAGCUGCUUAUAUAUUGGGCAUUAAGAUAUAUAGAGAUAGAUCAAGACGCUUAAUUGGACUUUCACAAAGCACAUACCUUGAAAAAGUUUUGAAGAAGUUCAAAAUGGAUCAAGCAAAGAAAGGGUUCUUGCCUGUGUUACAAGGUGUGGAGUUCAGUAAGACUCAAUGCCCGACCACUGCAGAAGAUAGAGAGAAAAUGAAAGAUGUUCCCUAUGCUUCAGCCAUAGGCUCUAUCAUGUAUGCAAUGUUGUGUACCAGACCUGAUGUGUGCCUUGCUAUAAGCCUAGCAGGGAGGUACCAAAGUAAUCCAGGAGUGGAUCACUGGACAGCGGUCAAGAACAUCCUGAAAUACCUGAAAAGGACUAAGGAUAUGUUUCUCAUUUAUGGAGGUGACAAAGAGCUCAUCGUAAAUGGUUACGUUGAUGCAAGCUUUGACACUGAUCCGGACGAUUCUAAAUCACAAACCGGAUACGUGUUUACAUUGAACGGUGGUGCUGUCAGUUGGUGCAGUUCUAAACAAAGCGUCGUGGCGGGAUCUACGUGUGAAGCGGAGUACGUAGCUGCUUCAGAAGCAGCAAAUAAAGGAAUCCAGAUUUCAGAAGAGAUAUAGAUUUGCAAGAUACAUACGGAUCUGAAUGUUGCAGACCCGUUGACUAAGCCUCUUCCACGAGCAAAACAUGAUCAGCACCAAGGCUCCAUGGGUGUUAGAAUCAUUACUGUGUAAUCUAGAUUAUAGACUCUAGUUUAAGUGGGAGACUGAAGGAAAUAUGCCCUAGAGGCAAUAAUAAAGUUAUUAUUUAUUUCCUUAUAUCAUGAUAAAUGUUUAUUAUUCAUGCUAGAAUUGUAUUAACCGAAAACAUAAUACAUGUGUGAAUACAUAGACAAACAAAGUGUCACUAGUAUGCCUCUACUUGACUAGCUUGUUGAUCAAAGAUGGUUAUGUUUCCUAGCCAUAGACAUGAGUUGUCAUUUGAUUAACGGGAUCACAUCAUUAGGAGAAUGAUGUGAUUGACAUGACCCAUUCCGUUAGCUUAGCACCCGAUCGUCUAGUAUGUUGCUAUUGCUUUCUUCAUGACUUAUACAUGUUCCUAUGACUAUGAUAUUAUGCAACUCCCGUUUACCGGAGGAGCACUUUGUGUGCUACAAAACGUCACAACGUAACUGGGUGAUUAUAAAGGAGCUCUACAGGUGUCUCCAAAGGUACAUGUUGGGUUGGCGUAUUUCGAGAUUAGGAUUUGUCACUCCGAUUGUCGGAGAGGUAUCUCUGGGCCCUCUCGGUAAUGCACAUUACUUAAGCAUUGCAACUAAUGAGUUAGUUGCGGGAUGAUGUAUUAUGGGAUGAGUAAAGAUACUUGCCGGUAACGAGAUUGAACUAGGUAUUGAGAUACUGACGAUCGAAUCUCGGGCAAGUAACAUACCGAUGACAAAGGGAACAACGUAUGUUGUUAUGUGGUCUGACCGAUAAAGAUCUUCGUAGAAUAUGUAGGAGCCAAUAUGAGCAUCCAGGUUCCUCUAUUGGUUAUUGACCAGAGACGUGUCUCGGUCAUGUCUACAUAGUUCUCGAACCCGUAGGGUCCGCACGCUUAACGUUUCGAUGACAUUUAUAUUAUGAGUUUAUAUGUUUUGAUGUACCGAAGGUUGUUCGCUGUCCUGGAUGUGAUCACGGACAUGACGAGGAGUCUCGAAAUGGUCGAGACAUGAAUAUUGAUAUAUUGGAAGCCUAUGUUUGGAUAUCGGAAGUGUUUCGGGUGAAAUCUGGAUUUUACCGGAGUACCGGGAUGUUACCGGAACCCCCCGGUAACUAAAUGGGCCUUAGUGGGCCUAGGUGGAAGAGAGGAGAGGAGGCAAGGGCUGGCUGCGCGCCCCUCCCCCCCCCCCUAGUCCGAAUAGGACAAGGAGAGGGGGGCGGCGCCCCCCCCCCUUCCUUCCUUCUCCUCCACUCCUUCCCCCUCCCAAGUCCUAAUCCAACUAGGAAAGGGGGGAGUCCUACUCCCGGUGGGAGUAGGACUCCUCCGGCGCGCCUCCUCCUAUGGCCGGCCGCACCCCCCUUGCUCCUUUAUAUACGGGGGCAGGGGGCACCCCAUAGAUACAACAAUUGAUCGUUUGAUCUUUUAGCCGUGUGCGGUGCCCCCCUCCACCAUAGUCCACCUCGAUAAUACUAUAGCGGUGCUGAGGCGAAGCCCUACGUCGGUUGAACAUCAUCAUCGUCACCAUGCCGUCGUGCUGACGAAACUCUCCCUCAACACUCAGCUGGACCGGAGUUCAAGGGACGUCAUCGGGCUGAACGUGUGCUGAACUCGGAGGUGCCGUGCGUUCGGUACUUGAUCGGUCGGACCGUGAAGACGUAUGACUACAUCAACCGCGUUGUGCUAACACUUCCGCUUUCGGUCUACGAGGGUACGUGGACAACACACUCCCCUCUCGUUGCUAUGCAUCACCAUGAUCUUGCGUGUGCGUAGGAAAUUUUUUCAAAUUACUACGUUCCCCAACAGUCCUCAUAAAUGGCAUUGUACCUGCCCUACAACCUAGCUAUGAGCACUUGCCAUCGAAAGCAAAAAUAUGCUUCUCCUUCUGUGUUGUUUAUCCCAAGGAUAGGAUGAUGGAUAAAGACAUAUUAAUCCGGCUAUGGAUGGAAAGUGUCUUCGUUGCAUCAGAAACAGCAGGCCAACAAAUUUGCGAUGUUCUAUUUUGGAGAUGUUUCUUACAAGAUGUGGAUAUUGGUAGGAUGUCUUCAUACAUAAUAUACAUGAUUUCAUGCAUGAUCUUGUUGACUCUGUAAGAAGAAAUAAUUGCUUACUUAUGCAAGAAUCUUCAUCGUCCCAAGAAAUUGUGGAACGAUCUACUGAUGGGAGUUCAUUUCAAUAUGAGGUUCAACAUUCGUCACUUGAUUUUUUAGUAAUAUUGCCACUUCGUAGGAAAUUAUUGCUCCCUGUCCGCUCACGAUAUUAGUCUCAUGAGAGAAGGACUGUAUUAAGACUCCGCUGCAUAUGGUCACAUAUAAAUUCAUGUUCCUGCAAGCAUUGAAGUCAUCCUCAAUCAAAACGCACAUGGGAAACUUAAAGCAUCUUCACUACCUAGAUUGUUCUAAUUCUUGUAUGUUUGAAUUGCCUGAAUCCACUACGUACCAUCUUGCAUAUAUAGCUUCCAAAAACUAAGGCUCAACCAUCAUUUAUUCCUUUACUAGAAGAGAUGAAAUUUAUGAGAAGUCUUCGGCACAUCUUCCUUACUAACUAUGGUUGUUUGGACCACAUGCCACAAGGUAUUGGUUAAUUGAAUUCUCCGACCACAUUGAUGAAUUAUGUCAUUGAUAGUGAUUCGGGUUAUGGGAAUUGAUCAACAUGAAAAUUUGAGUCUAGGUGGUGCUCUUUCUUUUACUCAAUUGAUAAAGGUGAGUAGUGCAAAAAAGUGUUAAACAAGGCAAUAUGUCCACCAAAGCAUAAGUUGAAAUGAUUAUCACUCGAUUUGUACUGGGAUUAUAGAAGAAACUAUGGAGAUAAAGUACAUAAUAAUGCGAAAGGAAUAUUACAAGCCCUUCACCCUAAAAAAGGAUUAAAUUUUUAUUGUUAAUUAUGUUGUUAUACUGGAGCUAAAUUAUCAUCGUGGAUGCAAAACUCUACACUGUUCAAACACCUCCCUGAUUGCUAUUCAAGUAGAUGCAAGAACGGCAAGGAUCCCCACCAUUAUGGCAGCUUCCUUGCAUCAAGUAGUGGCGUUUGGAAUGCUUGAUGUGUAUAUGUGUUUGUAAUAAUGAUAAAAAAUGUGAGGAAUCCUGUAUUUCUCCACAAUCAUUCUUCCCAAAACUAGAAAACCUAAUAGAUAGCAACAUUCCAAAGCUACAGAGAUGGCACCAUGAGGUUGUGAUACGUCUCCAACGUAUCUAUAAUUUUUGAUUGUUCCAUGCUAUUAUAUUAUCUGUUUUGGAUGUUUAAUGGGCUUUAAUAUGCUCUUUUAUAUUAUUUUUGGGACUAACCUAUUAACCGAAGGCCCAGUGCAAAUUGCUGUUUUUUUUUGCCUAUUUCAGUGUUUCGCAGAAAAGGUUAUCAAAUGGAACGAAACCUUCGCGAGGAUCUUUCUUGGAACAAACGCAACCCAAGAGACUUGGAGUGGAAGUCAAGGAAGAAACGAGGCAGCCACGAGGCAGGAGGGCGCCCCCCCACCCUCGUGGGCCCCUCAUAGCUCCACCGACCUACUUCUUUCGCCUAUAUAUACUCUUAUACCCUGAAAACAUCGAGGGGAUCCACGAAACCACUUUUCCACUGCCGCAACCUUCUGUACCCGUGAGAUCCCAUCUUGGGGCCUUUUCCGGUGAUCGUCCAGAGGGGAUUCGAUCACGGAGGGCUUCUACAUCAACACCAUAGCCUCUCCGAUGAUGUGUGAGUAGUUUACCAUAGACCUUCGGGUCCAUAGUUAUUAGCUAGAUGGCUUCUUCUCUCUCUUUGGUUCUCAAUACAAAGUUCUCCUCGAUUUUCUUGGAGAUCUAUUCGAUGAAAAACCUUUUGCGGUGUUUUUGCCGAGAUCCAAUGAAUUGUGGGUCUAUGAUCAAGAUUAUCUAUGAAAAAUAUUUGGUUCUUCUCUGAAUUCUUAUAUGCAUGAUUUAAUAUCUUUGCAAGUCUCUUCGAAUUAUCGGUUUAGUUUGGCCUACUAGAUUGAUCUUUCUUGCAAUGGGAAAAGUGCUUAGCUUUGGGUUCAAUCUUGCGGUGCUCGAUCCCAGUGACAGAAAGGGAAACGACAUGUGUUGUAUUGUUGCCAUCGAGGAUAAAAAUAUGGGGUUUAUAUCAUAUUGCUUGAGUUUAUCCCUCUACAUCAUGUCAUCUUGCCUAAUGCGUUACUCUAUUCUUAUGAACUUAAUACUCUAGAUGCAUGCUCGAUAGCGGUCGAUGUGUGGAGUAAUAGUAGUAGAUGCAGAAUCGUUUCGGUCUACUUGUCACGGACGUGAUGCCUAUGUUCAUGAUCAUUCCUAGAUAUUCUCAUAACUAUGUGCUUUUCUAUCAAUUGCUCAACAGUAAUUUGUUCACCCACCGUAAUAUAUGCUAUCUUGAGAGAAGCCACUAGUGAAACCUAUGGCCCCCGGGUCUACUUUACAUCAUAUAAGUUUCCGAUCUACAAUUCUAGUUUACUAUUUAUUUUCAAUCUUUACUUUUCCAAUCUAUACAACAAAAAUACCAAAAAUAUUUAUCUUAUUAUCUUUAUCAGGUCUCACUUUUGCAAGUGGCCGUGAAGGGAUUGACAACCCUUUUAUCGCAUUGGUUGCAAGGUUCUUGAUUGUUUGUGCAUGUACUAGGAGAUUUGUGUGUAGUCUCCUACUGGAUUGAUACCUUGGUUCUCAAAAACUAAGAGAAAUAAUUACACUACUUUGUUGCAUCACCCUUUCUUGUUCAAGGGAAAACCAAUGUAUGCUCAAGAGGUUGCAGGAGAAGUAACAGAUGUAGCAUUCCUUUAGCUCAAGAUGUUAAAUAUUCGUAAUUACUCAGUGCGAGAAAGUACACCUCAGAUGCUCCCUUUGGUUGAAGAUCUAUAGGUGUUUGGAAAAAACAUUUUUCCAAUUUACCAUUAGAUGAAUUUGUGAGUGCAAUCUAAUCUUGAGUGCGAAGGUAUAUUUUGUGGAACCUACAGUCGAUUGUCUGCUUACUGAUGACCUUCAUAUCCCAAGUCAUGGAGACUAACAUGUCACUAAUGCUCAUAGGUCUGACAAAAAAAUGUGGAAUUCUUUGAAGAAGAGCUUAACAGAAUAUGCAAAGGUGGAGAUAAUAGAUCGUGACUGUGUAGUUGCUUGUUUGAUGCUAUGUGAUUCAUUUGGUUAGGUUGCUUGUUUUGAGGGCUCAUAUUAUCAAACUUGUUGAACAACCACUGCAGAUGCUUUGAUUUCUUUUAUUUGGAAAUUGUUAAUUAUUGAAUGUUGAGCAUCAAAGAAAAUUGACCGAGUACAAAAAAAUAGGGGGGGGGGAGGAGGUGGCGAACGUGUCCGUGCUCUAGCACCCUCCCGGUUGUCCACGAACAUGUUCAGACAUGCGUCCAUGGAUGUUUGACGGUGUUCAUUUGAUGAAUAGAAAAGUGUAGGAUAUGCCCUUUGUCUUCAAGGCAACUUUUAAUGCUUAAAAAUUGACUUUGAUUUUUAGAAGGGACAUAGGUUUAUUGUAAAGGUCUAUCCUCUUUAUAAUAGUUGAUUUAGGAAUAAUUAUUUCCAACCUAGUACAUAUUGAUAAUUUGUUUGAAGGUUACACGAGUAAAUUGAAAUUGAGAAACUAUUUGAAAGUUUUGUGCAUAUAUUUUUGAAACUCAGAAGUUGCAACAAUGUGUUGCGGAAUCAAUGACUUGAUGAGGGGCAAAUUGAUCAAUCCUGAAAGCCAUGUAGAAAUAUCAAAUCGGUUAUACCAAAGUAUGUAUAGAACACAUCAAUCUAGAUUUGACAUAUCAAUGCGAGGGGAUACAAACUUAGUAUCAACAUAUCUUUUUGCAUUCACUGGACACUAUUCUUUUGGAUAUCCAUGAUCAAGAUAUGUUGCAUUAAAGAAAUGGUGGAAGUCAGAUGUGUAGUAUCAACAUCAUUAAUAAAGGAUAUCCAAAUUGAGUAUAUACAUAUUUGUAUAUAGAUUUGACACUAAUCAUAUGCAUAUCCAUGACGCAACUUGCAAACUUCAUUUAUGAAACCCAACUAUACGCAUUAUAAAUAAACAUCAACCUCCCAUACAUCAUAUCCCUCCAACUCCUCACCCCCCCCCCCACGCAAAUAUCCAUGCACAUAUUAGAUAUCAUUAAAAAGGAGAUCAAAACUGAGCACUCAAAUAUUUAUGCACAGAUUAACCAAUAAUAAUAGGCAUAUCCAUGACCAAGCUCCAUACUGCAUUUAUGAACCCCACUAUACACAUUAUAAAUAAAUCUCAACCUCUCAUACAUCAUAUCCAACCAUUUUCCCCCUACACAACCAUCUAUAUCCAUUUAUCCCCACCUCUCUAGGUUGUAGUACAAUUCAACGCUUCUAACAAGCCUUGCAACAAUAUAUAUAUGGCACGAACACAGAUGGACACCAUCAUCUUUUCCGCCAUUGUCUUCAUGUUGCUUUUCGUGACCACGACGGCUCAAGCCAGUGGAUCUGGUGGUGCCAAGCCCAAGGCGACCGACCUCGUGAUAGAAGUGUGCAAGAACGCCACAUUAAACAACGCAAAUGUGGAUCCUCUCAGAGAGGAAUUCUGUUUAACGACCCUCUAGUCAGACAAUCGAAGCGCUGAGGCUAAGGAACUCCGUGACUUGCUGCAAGUCACCGUCGACAUCCUUAGGGGUCGAGUCACUACUACCAGCAGCAAGGUCAAGAAAAUGUUGGAAAACACCAAGAAGGGCACGGUGCCAAUGCGCGUCUUCAGUUUGUGUGAGGUGGAUUAUGACACCAUGGUGAGCGUCAUCAACAUAUGUGAUGCCAUUAUCAAGGAUUACCAACGUGACGAGGGCAGGCAAUGGUCCAAAGAGCUAGUCCGUUGGAUGGAUAUGGCACGUGAUCAUGUCAAUGAGUGCAUCUCUGAGCUUGUUGACAUGCCUGCAGUGGGGGCUCUUGUCAAUGAAAACAAUGAAUUGGGAAUGCUGGUUAAACUGAACACCGCCUUGGUAGCAGCCCGUAUGUUUCCCGAGUAAUAGGAUGUUUGUGUUUAUAUGGCAGAAAAUAUGUCGAUGAGAAAUAAAUUGUACUAUUAAUAGUUAUUACUAUAAAUAUAAUGAUAAAUGUGUUGUGGCAUCAAUAUGCAUGGUUUUCCACAAAUUUUUCAUUUUGCUAUGAUAAUUCUAGAUUUUUUGGGGCCCAUUCGUCUUUCUUUCUUCAAAGUCUUACAAUAAUGACAUCUAUCACUCGUUGUGGAACCUCUCUUUUAAAUUGGCUCUUGAAAUCCGAUUGUCAGUAUUUUUUUAAUAUACCAUUGUUAGUAUGUUAUUCUGAUGUGUUGAACUUAUCUAUCUCCCAAGUUAUCUCUAUGCGUGAAUAUUUUCAAGUAUGAAGAGCCAAGGUCAAUGUAACAGCGCAAACAAUUGCAACCACCCGUUUAGCCAACAGGCUACUACCAUCUACGUGUCAAUCCUUAUCUUUACAUAAUAUAAUAAUAAAGAACGGAGGCUUUCAUAUUGUCCAUCACUCAUCUGUUUAUAUCGAUCGAUUUUAUGUUAACCAUAAAAAUUAACGGCUGGGAUUUAAAAAUAAAUCAACACACAUGUAAUAAGAAAAGCAAACAAACAAACGCUAUGGAACAAAGUAAAAAAAGUCAUGAACGUUGCACGUCUCUCUUGACGAUGAGAAAAAGGAAAACAAUCAUAUAUAUCAGAUCAAUUUCCUGACAAUCCCUCUUUGGCACUGCAAGCGCCGGUUAUAACUGUUUUGUGCAAACCGGCGCCUGCAGCCCACAUCCCUCUAAUGCGACUGGGCCGGUCCAUGUAUCUGCUUUUAUAUUUUUUUCUAAAGGUUCAGAAAAUGUGUGUCCGCACGAAAUUGAACUCAAGAUCUGCUCUAGUAAAUUAGCACCGCAACCAUCAGGCCACAAAAUAUCGCGGUAACUCCUCCGUUUGGGAAUCUUCCAGAACCUUCCCUAAACCGUUUUUUGGUUCGUUGGUCAUUUCCAGGUGCGAUUUUACUCGGUUUUCUUUUGUUCUUUUCCUUUUAUUUCUUAAAUGCGUUUUUUUAUCGUGUUAUUUUUCAAAAUCAAUCAUGUUUUUCUCUUUCACGUAUUUAACAAAAUCAAUGAACUUUUUUCCAAAUUCGAUGAACCUUUUUAAAAAUUGAUGAACUUUUUUGAAAUACGAGUAACUUUGUUCAAAUCUGAUGAACUUUUUUUUCAAAAUUGAUUCUACAACUAUCGCUAAUGCAUAGUGAUAAAGUAAGUCAAUUACAUGGCAUUUGCAUCUCAUACAAUAAAGCGACAACCAUAAGGCAACUGCCAGUUGCCGAUAACUUUUACAAAACAUGAUCAUCUCAUACAAUAACGUAUAUCACAUCAUGUCUUGACCAUAUCACAUCACAACAUGCCCUGCAAAAACAAGUUAGACAUCCUCUACUUUGAUGUUGCAAGUUUUACGUGGCUGCUACGGGCUUCUAGCAAGAAACAUUCUUAACUACGCAUCAAAACCACAACGGUGAUUUAUCAAGUUUGUUGUUUUAGCCUUCAACAAGGACCGGACGCAGUCAAAUUCGAUUCAACAAAAGUGGGAGAAACAGACACCCACCAGCCACCUUUAUGCAAAACUAGUUGCAUGUCUGUCGGUGGAACAGGUCUCAUGAACGUGGUCAUGUAAGGUUGGUACGGGCCGCUUCAUCCAACAAUACCGCCGAAUCAAAAUAAGACAUUGGUGGUAAGCAUAGACCUGGCUUGGAUGCCACUGUUGGUGCAAUUUCAAAAAAAAUCCUACGCUCACGUAAGAUCUAUCUAGGAGAUGUAUAGCAACAAGAGGGGGAGAGUGUGUCCACGUACCCUCGUAGACCAAAAGCAGAAUCAUUUUGACAAUGUGGUUGAUGUAGUCGAACUUCUUCUCGUUCCGACCGAUUAAACACCGAACGUACGGCACCUCCGAGUUCUGCACACGUUUAGCUCAAUGACGUCCCUCGAGCUCUUGAUCCAACAGAUUGUCGAGGGAGAGUUUCGUCAGCACAAUGGCGUGGUGAUGGUGAUGGUGAAGUGAUCCGCACAGGGCUUCGCCUAAGCACUAUGACAACUAGUCGUCUACCCGUGCGUUCGCACGGGCUAUAGAAAUUAUAUAUUUACAAAAUCUUCACAAUACAUAUUCUAAGGACAAUGGUGAUUGAUAUUAGAUGACAUUUCAUUUUCCUAUCCUCACUGUAAUGGAUGAGCCCAAAAUUAGAAAGAUAACAAUACAUGCCAUAGCAUUAAUAAUUAACAUAGAGAACCUUUUGUUGUAUAAAUCAUUCUUAGAUUCUCGUUGACAACCUUGAAUCAUAAGAACUGGCCAAAUUAUGUCUCUGUAUAACUUGUGUUGGUAUAUUUUAGUUAGAAAUCAAUAAUACUUUUGCUAAUAUUUGACCUGAAAAUGAGAAUGUUUUUUAUAAUUUAUACCACGAUGUAUGUCAGGAAGAACCUAUAAAUAUAAUAAAGUGGUGUUGUCUAUGUAAAAAAAGUCUCGCAUAAAUUUGAAUAUAAAGACAUUAUUUUGUUUGUUCUUGGAAUUAUUAUAUCCUCGAGUAAUAUUGUAUGAAUAAAUAUAUGACAACCCAAUUGUAUAGUUGGAUUAUUUUUAAUAUGCAGAACUCCAAAGCACGGAAGGUUCAUAUUAGAAUUUUUAAUGCAUGUAAUGUAUCAAAUUCUGAAGUAGAUUUGAAAGUCUGAUAUCAUAAUACAUUUCACAAUGACUCCAAAAAAGAUUUUGGUUGAUGGCUUGCGUGAAAUUUGUUUCAUUAGAUUUUUCACAUGAAAUAUGUUCAGAGUAUUACUCUUUGAACUUGUUGUGUUUGCAUGUUCGAGCAAAAAAUAAUUAUCAAGUUUAAUAGUAAGAAACUUAAAAUGAUUAGAAACUUUAAAUAGUAUUGGGACUCAUAGAGUGCAAUUUUUAAAUGUUACCAGUUCCUCUCAUCAUGGGCGUAGUCAAUUGGAACACUUGGUUUGUUUUUCCUGUUUGCAGUUGAGAAGGUGAAUCUUACUGACUACAUAUAAUGUAUUGAUUUCUACUCCAGCACGUACGCCAUGACAAACUUGUACCUGCUGCGAGGCCCUCUCGAGCAAUCGAUACAUACAUAUGUUAGUGCGUAUACUUUCUUUUAAUGUAUAUACUUGUCUUUGCUAUAGCCUUCUUCCUACAUCUGCGAGUAAGCAGCAACCUGUUUUUUUAAUAAUUGUCACCUUGAACAUGGCACACAUGAACCCUAUAUUCCUCCAUUGCCGAACCAUCUAAAACAACUAACUUUUCCUUACUCACUGACACACGGUUUUAAGCAUCAUCCCAUACUGUUCAUUUUUCAUAUUCUAAUAUGUUUUCCAAACUGAGAAAAUGAUACAACCAAUCAUAUCUAGCGAAAUUGUUCUGCAACUUUCUUGCUGUAAGCAUGAUAUAAUUCUUCCUUGAAAUUGAUGGGAAAUAGGCUAAAGGGUAAUCUGUUUCUAUUAAAAACUACAACGCAGAAUCAGGUUUUUCGUCUUAGUUUGCAAACCCUAAACAAGAAUCGAACGAAAUUGGUACCACUGGAAAGCUUGCAACGUAUCCCAUAACUUUUACCACUGUCUUAAUUUCAGAUUAUGCAAUGUUUUAUCACAGUUUUAAACUUAACUCUACCGGCUCAGACAACCCAUGCCUAGAUAAAUACUUAGCGUCAGUCUCUCCAAUCCAUCUUUCUACUUUGCCAAUAAUGACUAAUUAGGGUUUACCUUUUCUGUGUGGAAUCAUUCUUCCAGUUCCAUGGCAAGAUCACAAAUUUUGGACGACCCAACGGAUUCUCCUUCCUCCAGAGUCUUCUUCUCCGCUCAGAUUGGCUACUGCGCCUUACUCUUCUGAUUACAUGUAUUCCCUUCUCUCUUCUGACUAAAUUCUCCCUGGUGCAAUAUGUGCAGUCUACUGCCUUGAGCUGCUCCUUGUCAUAGCUUGCUCUGCACUCCAGAUCUCUUGCUCUGAUUGGUGGCUGGAUCAAAUGCAACCCACCCAACAGUAGUUAGCUCAACAUAAGCGGCUUCAAAAAAACGCAAGGAGCAGCACAUAAACGUAAAGGUCGACGACUGAAAAUGGCAACACCAUCCUAGAGCAGUGGAGCUCACGGCUAUACGUAGAACUUGGUGGUGGUAGUCAUGAACAGCGACCAGCACCAGCCUCCGGUAGAAGGGGGCAGUUCAUCCAUGUGCUUGAGUGUUGACGGCUGGCCAUAUUGUGAACGACAGAGUCGUCAAUUCUGACUAAGUGUAGUCUCAUGCUGAUUCUCUACUGCCGCAUAGGCAUGUCCGGCGGUGGCCAGCGUGACUGCAUGCUGGGUCAUCGAUCAAUGAUCCGGGCAAUUCAAUUGUAAACCCCAAAAAAGCAAAUUCAAAGCAAAUCAGUGUGAGAUGAGGAACCUGAUUUAGAUAAGGAACAAAAUUCUAAUGUGAUAACUUCAGCGAGAGCUUGGGAUCCAUGCCCUAACAUCCUUGCUCCAAUUUGAGAGAGAGAACGAUCUGUUUACCAUGUGUGAAGUAAAGAGAGACAUGAGAGAAGAGAUAUAUGAGAGUUUGAGAGAGGGAGAAACGGGAUAGAUUGAGAGAGAUAGACGAAGAUAAAUAUGACAGUUUGAGAGAGAGAAAGAGACGUGAGGGACUAAGAGAGAGAGAGUUUGAGAGAGGGACGUCAGAGAUUGUGAGAGACCACGAUUUCUUAGGUUGUUGUUUUUCUUUUACUCUGAGAGGAAUAGAAAGAGGUAGAUAUUUUAUGGUUUACUAUUCAAAAGUUUUUUUGGCAGAACUAAGCUGCCUGAAUGGUCAAAAAAAAUAUUGUUCUCUGAAGAUUAAUCUACACCGUAAUAACUCGGUCCCACCAGAUGAACGGCUGGUAAAUUCUAAUUAACGUGGUAAUUUUUAGGGAGUCUGUAAUUAAUAUAAGUAUAGAUAUAGAUAUAGAUAGAUAGAUAGAUAUAGAUAGAUAGAUAUAGAUAGAUAGAUAUAGAUAUAGAUAGAUAGAUAGAUAGAUAGAUAGAUAGAUAUAGAUAGAUAGAUAUGACUGAAGGCGUAAACUGUGGAGGGGCGCCGCACACGGCUAGGAAUCAAUGUUGUGUGUUCUAGAGAUGCCCCUCCCACAUAUAUAUUAGGUGGGAGAGGGAGGGGAGCAGCAAGGGGCGCCUCCUCCAAGUCGCCCCCCCCUCCCUUUCAUAAGUGUUGGAGGCUGAAUCCUCCCCUUUCCUUCUCCCUUCCCUCCUUUCCUUCUUCUCCUAUUUUGGUCUACAUGGGGCGCACCAGCCCACUAGGGGCUGGUCUGUCCCCUGCUUGGCCCAUUAGGCCCAUGUAGUUGCCGGGGGAUGUCCGGAACCCCUUCCGUUGACCCGAUAUGUACCAGGAACCCUCGGAACACUUCCAGUGUCCAAAUACCAUCGUCCUAUAUAUGAAUCUUUACCUAUCGACCAUUUUGAGACUCCUCGUCAUGUCCGUGAUCUCAUCCGGGACUCCGAACAACAUUCGGUCACCAAAUCGCAUAACUCAUAUAAUACAAAAUCGUCAUCAAACGUUAAGUGUGCGGACCCUACGGGUUCGAGAACUAUGUAGACAUGACUAAGACACCUCUCCGGUCAAUAACCAACAGCGGAAACUGGAUGCUCAUAUUGGUUCCUACAUAUUCUACGAAGAUCUUUAUCGGUCGUACCGUAAUGACAACAUACGUUAUUCCCUUUGUCAUUGGUAUGUUACUUGCCCGAGAUUCGAUCGUCGAUAUCUUCAUACCUAUUUCAAUAUCGUUACCGGCAAGUCUCUUCACUCGUUCCAUAAUACAUCAUCCCAAAAUUAACUCAUUAGUCACAUUGCUUUCAAGGCUUAUUAUGAUGUGCAUUACCGAGAGGGCCCAGAGAUACCUCACCGAUACUCGGAGUGACAAAUCCUAAUCUCAAUCUAUGCCAACCCAACAAACACCUUCGGAGAUACCUGUAGAGCAUCUUUAUAAUCACCCAGUUCCGUUGUGACGUUUGAUAGUACACAAGGCAUUACUCCGGUAUCCGAGAGUUGCAUAAUCUCAUAGUCAAAGGAACAUGUCUAUGACAUGAAGAAAGCUGUAGCAAUAAAACUGAACGAUCAAUAUGCUAAGCUAACCGAUGGGUCUUUUCCAUCACAUCAUUCUCCUAAUGAUGUGAUCCCGUCCAUCAAAUGACAACACAUGUCUAUGGUUAGGAAACUCAACCAUCUUUGAUUAACGAGCUAGUCUAGUAGAGGCUUACUAGGGAAACUGUGUUUUGUCUAUGUAUCCACACAUGUAUCUAGUUUCCGGUUAAUACAAUUCUAGCAUGAAUAAUAAACAUGUAUCAUGAUAUAAGGAAAUAUAAAUAAGAACUUUAUUAUUGCCUCUAGGGCAUAUUUCCUUCACUAAGAGAGGAAGGCGGUUGUCGCCCUUGUCCCUUGUUACCAGCCUACCAUGCCGUCAUCGAUCACUGGCUCACUUAGAACACGAGCUAGUAGAUUUUGUGAUAAGAGUGAGGAGGAUGGUACCGUAGAAAAUGUGAAAAAUUGUAUUUUAUUAGAGAUGGAUUCAAAACAAAUUGCUUGAGCGAGUGGUUUAUAUAUUUUCUUCAUCAAUUCGUACAAUUUUUUGGUUAGGAUAGAGGGGUAAAUGCAUUGGUUGGGUGCUUCAAGAUUUAAUAACGGACACAGUGGCAUAUUGGUUUCAUGCCAAACAACCGACAUCAUAUUUUUCUUUUGUCGUAAGGUACGACAUUCAACUGUAUGUUGGCAAUGUCUAAGGACAAUCAUAUCUGCCUUCUUGGGCGUCACGGGAGGCACAUGCCUUGUUCCCUUGAUGGAGGUGGCAGAUGGCAUGAUCACGGGGGGAGGGGAUCAGGGCAGAGAGCGGGGCGGUUGGCAGGUGAUAACCCACAAGUAUAGGGGAUCACAACAGUUUUCGAGGGUAGAGUAUUCAACCCAAAUUUACUGAUUCGACACAAGGAGAGCCAAAGAAUAUUCUCAAGUAUUAGCAGUUGAUUUGUCAAUUCAUCCACACCUGUAAGACUUCAUAUCUGCAGCAAAUUAUUUAGUAGCAAAGUAGUAUGGAAGUAACGGUAACGGUGGUAAAAGUAACAGUAACAGUUCUGUAGUAAUUGUAACAGUGGCAAUGGUAAAGUAACUAAGCAAAGAUCAAUAUGUGAAAAGCUCGUAGGCAUUGGAUCAAUGAUGGAUAAUUAUGUCGGAUGUGAUUCCUCAUGCAACAGUUAUAACAUAGGGUGACACAGAACUAGCUCCAGUUCAUCAAUGUAAUGUAGGCAUGUAUUUCGAAUAUAGUCAUACGUGCUUAUGGAAAAGAACUUGCAUGACAUCUUUUGUCUUACCCUCCCGUGGCAGGGGGUCCUGUUGGAAACUAAGGGAUAUUAAGGCCUCCUUUUAAUAGAGUACCGGACAAAAGCAUUAACACUUAGUGAAUACAUGAACUCCUCAAACUAUGGUAAUCACCGGGAGUGGUCCCGAUUAUUGUCACUUCGGGGUUACCGGAUCAUAACACAUAGUAGGUGACUAUUGACUUGCAAGAUAGGAUCAAGAACUCACAUAUAUUCAUGAAAACAUAAUAGGUUCAGAUAUGAAAUCAUGGCACUCGGGCCCUAGUGACAAGCAUUAAGCAUAGCAAAGUCAUAGCAACAUCAAUCUCAGAACAUAAUGGAUACUAGGGAUCAAACCCUAACAAAAAUAACUCGAUUACAUGGUAAAUCUCAUCCAACCCAUCACCGUCCAGCAUGCCUAUGAUGGAAUUACUCACGCACGGCGGUGAGCAUCAUGAAAUUGGUGAUGGAGGAAGGUUGAUGAUGACGAUGGCGACGGAUUCCCCUCUCUGGUGCCCCAAACGGACUCCAGAUCAUCCCUCCCGAGAGAGAUUAGGGCUUGGCGGCGGCUCCGUAUCGUAAAACGCGAUGAAUUCUUAUCUCUGAUUUUUUUCUCCCCGAGCGUGAAUAUAUACAGUUGGAGUUGAGGUCGGUGGAGCUUCAGGGGGCCCACGAGGCAAGGGGGCGCGCCCCCCACCCUCGUGGACAGGGUGUGGGCCCCUUGGUGUUGAUUCAUUCGCCAGUAUUUUUUAUAUAUUCCAAAAUAUUCUCCGUGAAGUUUCAGGUCAUUCCGAGAACUUCUAUUUCUGCACAAAAAUAACACCAUGGCAAUUCUACUGAAAACAGGGUCAGUCCGGAUUAGUUCCAUUCAAAUCAUGCAAGUUAGAGUCCAAAACAAGGGCAAAAGUGUUUGGAAAAGUAGAUAUGAUGGAGACAUAUUAGUAGGGGAUUCCUCCUUGAUGGUCCAUGGGGUUGUAUGUUGUGAAGGAGAAAGGAGACUACAGCGAAGGUCAAGUGAGCGUCAUCAGAUUUUAAUGUAGAGAGCACCAACGACAAAUUCCCGUUUAUGGCGGAAAAUUGAGCGAGAAGGGGACGUUCCGGUAGGAAAAGGGAAGGGUGCAUCGUCGAGUGGAGUUUUUGUGUUGGAACCGCGUGUUGGAGAUGAUGGAGGAUAAUAUGGAAAACCACAUAUCUUCCUCACAUAUAGGUUGGAUUUUGGUGAUCCCAGACUAUCUGAAUGGUUGGAUUUUCAGGAGCCUUUUAGGCGCCUAUCUGAUGUUCGAACACUCUCGGACAUAUGAGAGAGAAAUGGGCUUCAACCUUGGAGAUGAUCUUAAUCAUUUGUCUUGUCUAAUUCAUUUUUAUAUAUUAUAGCCUGUAGCAACACACGGGCAUUCCACUAGUAUUAAUUAGUGCUCUGGAAGACACCCGUUAAGAUGUGCUUCCAACACUCGAAGUGGGGGAUGUGUCCAAAUUAUGUCUUGACCGAAAUGCGCCCUGCAUCAAGAGUCAGUUGUCUAGCUGUAUGCCCUAUUCGCCACGCGGAGUUUCCUCGGUAAUUAAGGUAAAUCAAACAAAAUCAUUGGACAUUUAAUGACUACACCUUAUGCAUCCCCAGAGAUUGGAUCCACCCUACCAUACUAAGCCCUUCUAUCACUCGUGUUCAGAAUUGCACUUCACGUUGUCCCGUGUCCUAACCUCCACUUGGACCGAACUCCAGGAUCCAUGCAACCUGUAGGGCCGAAGAACGAGGUUGGGGGAGAGAGAGAGAAGAGACUACUAUGAUGUAAUUUUAUUUUAUAUAUACAUGACGUCCAUUCAAAGUCAUUCCAUCAACCCCUCAAACAAAUACAUCAGGUUGCAGGGACAUUGGACAUUGCCUUACCGAAUUACUCACACAUGGCGAUCGGAUCGCAAGAAGUAAUCAGUGAAGAAGACAUCGGAUCAGAUCACAAAACAAAGAGAGGAUUUCACAAUCCCUUGCAUUCAUCAGUCAUUAGUGGCAAUAUCAAUGGGAGUAUCAUAGAUUUUAUAAGAUAAACAUGUUUAGACUAUGGCAUGAUGAGCAUAAAAGUAACACACGUCAACUCUUCAAGAUUAAACUUGAUCAUCCUCUAGUAACAUAGAUAGAAAUCCAAACCGUAAGGAACUAGGUUGUUUAAUGCCUAGAUAGACCUCCGCUUCUUCACAUGAAAAGUUAGUAUAGCUGUAGCGGUGACAUGGUUAUUAUGCAAGUGUUAUUGAAGCAAAGAUAAUCAACACAAAGCUCUUGCUCACCUAGAAAAAAUAAAAAGUAGCUUUUAUUCUAUUUAAUCUAGUUAACACUUGCUUGCGGGGAACACAUGGAAGAGAAUUUUCUUUCUUGAGCAAUGAAAACAUAAAUUAAGGGAGUGAAAGUUAUGAAAACACAACAUGAUACUAGAGUAACUCAUUAACACCCACGAGUGUCUCAUCAUUAAUUCUCGCAAGGACUUCGCUUCAAUCAUUGCUUGCUGAAACUUUUCUUGUCUAGUGACGAGAUUAUGCCAAAGAAAUUAUUCAUGCAUAAGGUUUCGCAGAGGCUUAAGCUUGAGUACUAUUGAUGAGUCCAAAUUGUGUGAUUAUUUCUACGAGUAUUUUGUGCCAACUCCAUAGGCUUUGUGGAAUGUUACUGCGUUCACACACUAUUUUUGUCAUUUUUCCCCAGGACACUUCUUUUGGAACAAAUGGAAAACUAUGGUAGGAAUCACAUGAUAUUAUGGUGGAAUCACAUAAAUCAAUGUGAUUAUACCUUACCAUAAAUAGAAUAAAAUACUUAAAGGAAAUUGGAUCUGGCGCAGUCCAACAAAGUGCAACACGGGCAACCAUACGAGCGCACGUGCUCGUGCAUGCAGCCGUAUGGCAUGCUGGUAGCUCCCUCCCGUCGACUACUUCUUCCCUAUGGAUAAAGAUCGCCGAAUAGACACACACACACACACACACACAUACACACAACCACCAGAAACACAUCCAGGAGGAGAACCCUAACUUUUUGAACCCAUCCAGAGGGGAAUUGGUAAGGAGGAGAUCGCCAUCUUCACCACCAGGUGCAAGGGGACGUUGGCAUCAUCACCACUGUCAUCAUCAUCAUAAUCCACAUCAAUCUUCAUCUCGUUGUAAUAUCAGAACUCUAGUGGAUCAUCAUGCGUGUUACUUGUUUGAUUCAUCCAUGUUUAUCGUGCAUAUUCUGCUUCCCCUAUGUAUGAGUAAACCCCCUAGUUCUUAGGGAUAUGGAUGAAUCUUGGUAUGUAUAGGAGCUGAAACGUUAAUAUGUGAUAUUUUCUGUUGAAUGAUUUAGUUUAAUAGACUUCGUGAAUGUUGUGAAGGCUCCUCCCUCAAAAUUAUCACCGAAAGGUCACAAAGUAUAUUACUGUCGUUUUAAGAGUUAGCGAGUGAAGGUAAUUCGAGGUGACAGCAAAAGCAUUCACCCCUAGGUUUUACAAUUGAUUAGGGAAUUACGGAGAACCUUAGUGAGGCCGCGUCCAUAGAGAGACCCUUAAUUACCGUAGUCGUAACUUGUUGGGGGAGACUACUGUAGUGGCAUGCGUGGCAUGAAGUCUACCUAGAGUAGAAUGUGCUCUGUGCCCGGCUAUGCCCGGUGUAAACGUCAAGAAUGGUGUAAGUACAUCUAGUGCCUCCUUUGUGGUUAUAGACUACUGAAGACAAAUGUGUUAAGAGACUAAUGUGUUUGUGAGUGUACAUAGGUGAAAAGUCACAGAAGAUGUUGUUUAACCAUGAAAGACGACCCCUAAAAAUGUACGUUUAGAUUGAAUAAAUUGGUGCGCCCCUUUGAAGAAAUUGACGUGACGAAUUGGAACGUGAAGAUUUUGUUCCAGUAGUUUCUUUUUUCUUAUAUUGAUUCAUAGGAAACACCAUACUGUUAAAGGGGGUCUAGGUCAUAUGUAUGCGUAUUUCCGAAGUGAUGCUCAACCUACCUAUUUCUUCGAGUGAAGACUAUGAAAAUCUCUUGAAGUGCAGUCGAGUUCCACAACAACAGAGACACAGUUCUUCUGUUCGUUGACGAAAUUGGUCUGAAGGAAGAGUUAGGAUUUCGCCGGUGUGAUUCUCCUACCGUGAGAAAUUUGAGAGUUUAAAUUUCCAACCGUUGCCGGACUAAGGCGGUUCUCGAGUCUAAGCCCGUCAUAAGUGUUGUGGCAACGGAGGUGCAAGAAGUGCUGAAGGUGGGGUACUAUCGAUGUCAUGGUGAGCGGUCUGAGGACCGGCAUGUCAUUCGCCAGUGACAAGAGUUCCGAGGUGGUGUACAAGUCAUCCUUCAUGUGUUUCUUGGUGCAGGUUCGGAGCUAGCAAAAACACAAGGAUGCUGAACAAAAGCACCCCAUCUCAUAUGAGCUGGCGCUAGUCCAGCCUCACCGUGCUGCCGCCACCACCUAUGUUAUUUGGCUUCGCAAUCCCCUCCUCCACGGAGAGAGGCAUGGGUUUACUUGGUGUGGAGUUCGACGUCACCUGCGGCGAGAGUGGAUGUCACAUAACUUUACAAGUGGGAUCCACCAAGAUACAGUGCCAUGUAGGCAAAGUUUGCGGUUACAUGCGAGAAAUGCACCAUAUUAGCCAACUGAUUGUACCAGAAAUCGAUUUCCAUCUUUUGGCAUGAAAAUGAACAUGCAAGCCAAGUUUAGGGACCACGGGUAAAUUCAUCUCUUAAAUAAUACAAAAGGCUUUUUCAUCCUCCCACAUCCUCCCUUUUACUCAUUGGAUAUCCACACACUACAGAGGAGCUUAGUAGCAGCGCUUUUUAUAAGAAAGCGCUGCUGCUAAAGAAUGGUAGCGCUUGUCACCGAAGAGCACUGCUAAUAUCCAUCUAGCAGUAACGCUUUUGUUACAAAAAACGCUACUACUAUAGUUGCCAACGGUUGCAUGGCAGUGUAGGUAUACUAGUAGCGCUCUUAAUUAAAAAGCACUACUGCUAUUGUACAUAGCAAUAGCGUUGUCCUCUGUCGAGCGCUACUGCUAUUUUUUCAGGUGUAUGUGUGGGCUGAUAUAUAACUGUACAACUUUCUCAUGUUGCGAGUGAAAGACAUUGUGAGUUUUCCAUGAUCUUGCUUAAAUACAGGUACGACUACUGAACUGAAAUUAAUCUUAUCGUGCAUAUUCACUUGCAAUUGGUAUUCGUAAAUCUACAACACAUGUCAUUAAUGCAACACAGCUUGAUCAUGGAUAUAAAAAAUGAUUAUUGUUCUUUGUAUGCACAUAUGUAUUGGUGGUUCAUCAAUGCCAUAUGCAUCUUGGCUAUAGAUAUCCAAAUUGUUAGUGUUUUAUCUCCACACAAAUAUGUUGAUCCUCCUAUUGGACAUGCUGGUCUUAGUGCCCUCUCUAUUCACAAAUAUGUUAAUGCUCAGUUUAGAUCUUCUCGUAUUAAUACACUUCUAGCUUCUAUUGGAUGGUGAAUGCAACAUUUCAUUUGUAUUAAUAUGUCUACUUGUUAUUGCGGGGAAUAUUAAUAUGUCUAAUGUAGCUUCAUUAAUGCAACUCAACUUGAUCAUGGUUUAAAUGAUCAUUGUUCAUUUUAUGCCCUUGCAAAAAAAAGAAGGGUUCAGUGUAUGUAUAGAUAUAUUGACAUGAUACAUGUUUUAGAUAACCUUGCAUUAAUAUGUCUAAUUUCCAUUUCUGUUCUCUUUCCUCGUUCUACAGAUUUCAUAUUUGUAUUCAUUUUAAGAGUUCUUCAAGAUGCACAUAAUUUAGUCACUGGUUACAAUCUAAAUGUAAGAAAGCACAUAAUCUGUAGAACGUGCAACCUAUGUGUUAUCCAUGUGAUAAAAUUAAAAUCAACAUCCUAGAUCAAAUGUCCAAGUCAACUAAAAAGAGAUUUCCUUACAAGUAAUGUCAAGCCGCAUUUUCAAAUCACAAACAGUUUUGAGCAAUGAAUGAUCUCAAAAAAAAAUCAUCCUGCCUGCCACCGUUUAUCUCUUUGGAUGUCCACAUAUUGUGUUUUUUUUAUGGUGAGCGUCUGUGCCAAUAGAUAAACUAACGAGUUUUUCAUCUUGUGAUCGAGUCAAAGAUAUUCGAUUCUGUGUUUUUCAUGAUCUUGCUUGUACGUACGACCAUGAAACUACUAUUGUUAUCGUGUAUGAAUACUUGCAACAGGGUGCUUCAGCGCCAGCACCGACCAUGGAUGCACAUGAGUAUGCAUGGAUGCGUGCAUGUAACGACCUGAUCGCUCCUGCAGGUGAAAGUACAUGUUUCUCUUAGGUCUGUGCACCAUCAAGGCCUUGAACAGUUCCUUCAUGAGUGUCAAGUGAGACUUCAUGUCUCUAUGGUGAACAGACAAACUUCAGCGGAUAUGUUGCUCUCAUGGCACGGCAAAGACAAGAACAAUAGAUGGACUCUUGCCACUAGUAGUAUUGAUCCACGCUUGACACAUGACUACUCAUGGAGAAGACCCAUUCCUUUAUAACAUUUCCCUUUUAUUCAGUCUGUUUUGGUGAAUCAGCAGUUAGAAGAACUUCUUCUUCUGUUAAAAAUAGGUUUUCUAACCCAAAUUAAAGUUAGAUUUCACAAGGAGUGAACCAGUGACAUUGUUGUAUCCCCUUGAAGCAGAGAAGACAUGGGUGCGACAAUCAUAUUUCCAAUCAUCCAGCUGGUCUUUUACAAGUAUCCCUUCUUGAAUACUCGGUUCAAUAAAUAAGUUGUUCACACUUCACAGCCAUCCAUGUGCAUAUAUAGUAAGUUAAUAACACAAAAUCCGAGUAAAUUUAUGCGACAAUAAGGUUUAUUAUUGUUAUUUCAAAUAACUGAUGCGACAACAAAUAAUAUUAAUCACGGACAUCAUAUGAUAUUAGUAAGGUGUUGUUGAGGAUGAGAAGCAUGUACAACUCCUCGUUUUCUCUGAUGAGCGCCUCCGCACCAGGCAUAUCUGGAAGCUCUAACCAACACAUGAUGAUAGGGUUGUAAUUAAUAUCCACACAGUCGGGCAGAUGCAAGAACUGCUGCCCACUCUUGUCACCUUGGUAGUCCUUGAUCAGGCCGUGGCACACGUUGAGGCGUCUCACCACACCUUCAUACUCCACCUCACAAUAACUGAGAACAUGCAUUGCCACUGUUCCCUUCUUGGCAUCUUGCAGCUUUUGCUUGAUCUUACGACUAGCGGCAGUGACACGGCUCUUAAAGAUGUCGACAGUGACAAGCACUAAGUCACGGAGGUCCUUAGCCUCAGCACUUCGAUUGUCCGACUGAAGGGUGGACAAGCAGAAUUCUUGCGUGAUAGAUUUGUUGUAGGGGUUGUUGAUCGAGGCCUUCUUGCAUGUUUCCACCAUGAGCUUGGUCGCCUUGGGCUUGCCAGUGUCAGAGCCACUAGCAUGAGCGGAAAAAAGGAAGAAGAUGAUGGUGGAGAGGACGAUGGUAGUCCUUGGCAUUGCUACCAUUACUACAGGGCUAGCUAGAAGCCUUGAAGUACUGAAGCGCUGAGAGGGAGGUGGAGAAAAAUAGACAGAGAAGGAUGUGUAUUGCAGAGAUGGAUGGGUGGAUGGAGGUGAUGUACAUGAGGCUGAGAAUUCUUUAUAAUGCCUGCAAUGGGGUAUCAUAAAUGCAGUAUGCAGCUUUGGUCCAGAAUAUGUGUACUAUCGGUGUCCAGUAAAUGUUGAAUGCCCAUUUUGGAUCCCUACAUAUUAAUGCUCUCUCUAUGUUCCACAAAUACACAGAUGCUCACUAUAGAUCGUGUUGUAGUAACACAUAUCUUACUUAUAUGAAUCCAUUAAUGCAACGUAGCUUGAUCAAGGAUAUCCCAAAUGAUUAGUGUGCACCGAAUGCCCAUAGAUAUGUUGAUGCUCAUUUUGGUACGUCUUAUUUGCAUUGGUGUUUUCUAAACAUCAUUUUGUAUAACUGAUUUGUUACUUCUACCUCCCUUUGGGGGACGAUUAUAUUUUCCCUCAUCAAGUCUAUAAUUGCUCAUUUUUUCUUUGCAAUUUUCGAGUAGUUACAAAUAAUUCUCAGGGAGCAGGCACUUAGUUAACUUGGUGACACAAUAAAUAUUUUUGUUAAAAUAUCAAAAUUUUAUAUUUUAAAUUUUUUUAUUUCCAAGUCGAUUAUUGUCUGAUGGGUUGACUUUUACAACAGUUGUAUUCCCCCAGUUAAAAAUCACAACUUAUUUUAGGGAUUAAAUGAUGCCAGCCGGACUAACGUAUCGUUCGUAGGCACUGUCAAAAAAUAAGCAUGUUUACUGCCCACCGCCUAAGAAAAUCAAAACAAAAAUUACCAAUACCAACACGUCACAGUAUGGGUUUAUUCGGUUUCGAUUCUCGUUACUACGUAGUAGGAAGGAAAAAAAAGAGCUAGCGAUCAUAAGGAGGUAACCUGUAUCAUAGGUACAUGAUGCGCACGUACACGCCGGUAUCUUAUAUUUUAUAUUUUAUAUCUUAUAUUUACUAAUUGGAAGCACCUUUCAAGUCUUCUCAUUAAUCAACAUUAUAAAAAUUAAAUACACCGUUGUAGUAUAGAAUUUACGUCUAAGAUGAAAGGAGAACUUACGUAACAUAAACUUGGAAGGGAAAAAGAUAUAGGGAAAGGAGAAUAAAAAUAGAAGUAAAACAAAGAAAAUAAUUUAGAUGGGCCAGCCCAUUAUUGUUUGCCUUGUGCGAAAUUCUGACUAUUUAUGGCGCUGUGCGGAAAAUAGAGUUUUUCCAGCUGCAUGGGCAGAAAAAUAAGUGGGCUGGCUUUGCUGGGCCACCGCGCGUGGCCCACGUACAACAAUUCUUUUUCUAGCAAACAAACGCAUAAGACCUUUGUACCACCUCGGGUAGAAAGAUUGUUUUUUCGACGGUGAACGGAUGAAAAUAUAGGCAAAACGCACCUUGCUUCAUUAGUAGUAGCACAUAUGCCCGUGCAUUGCAACGGGAGAGAUGUUUCUUUGGAGAAGCAAUGGGAGAGAUAAUUGAUGUCUCCACCAAAAAUGAUCUCCAUAACGGUGCGGUUAGUCGGCAUAGCGGCAACCAUACAACUCGUGCAUUUUUUUCCUUUGGGUCAGUCUCUGUCUCGGGGUUGUGUCUGCCUCUACGUUUGGUAGCUAUGCGGCGACCUUUAGAGCACGGUUGCUUCGACCACUCUCUCUUACGAUGGCGUAACCGGAUGAAUUACUAAUUGUAGCGCUUAAAUCCUGUUUCAUUAGCAUAUAUAUUUAGCGCAUAACCAGAUAUCAAUGUCCCUUCUUUAUUAGGGUUUAUUUUCUUUGAUUAUUUUAGGGCUCACGUGCCCACAACUAUUUUAUUCGAGCCAAACCAACAUAUUCUCUUUUAUUGGACCAAGAAAAAAUUGCUCCCUCAGACGACCCAGUAGGGAGUGUGGUUGAGGCCCAAUACAGCCUAUGCGUCGGAGCAAUGUUUUUCUUGGGCCAAGUAUGUGGGGGCUACUAUAUGACGCUAGUUGCGUAAAAUAACGUGUGAGAUGCACAUCAGUUCGUGUAUGGACCAACACACUGGUAGGCGCCAAGACGACCUAUGUUAGGAAGGCACGGAAAAAUCCAAAAAAUAAUGAGUUGAAGGAUCAAAAUCAUGUCCUGAAAGACCCGACUACGUGCUCAUAGCCACUCGAAGAAACGAGUCCUACCAACCAAUGGCCAGCUCAAACCUUUAAUAUCAUACUCCAAUGUGAGAUUGGAUACAAUUUUUUUAACUGUUUAAAACAUAUAAAUUGCUGAAUAUUCCUGAAAACAUGAAUAAUUUUUAAAAUCAUAAACACUUUUUGAAAUUCUUUACAUUUUCAGAAAUACACAACAAAAUUGGAAACCCUCAAAAUUCACAAAUUUAUUUGAAAUCAUAAACCUUUUAUAAUAACGUGAACACGUUUUGAAAAUGCGAUUUCGUUUGAAAAAGAAACAUAUUUUGAACAUUCAAAACAAUUUUUGAAAAUGUGUUUCUAUAAACUUGGACAUUACUUUGAAUUUGCGAACACUUCACUAAAACAAAAAUAUUUUUCAUAUUUGGAACAUUUUCUAAAUGCAUUUUUUUUGGGAAAAUCUCAAACAACUUUGGAAAACACAAAGAAAAAAUGGAACAUUUUUUGAAACCUGAACAAAUUUUGGAAUGAGAACAAAGCACUACUGGGAAGAGGCUAAUUAGUGGCGUACAUAUUUUUGCUAUUAAUGACGCACUAUAGGUGCGCCACUAUUACCACGCCACUAGUAACAAAUAGUAAUAGCGCACCAUUACUAUCACAGAUAGUAAUGGCGCACCUAUAGUGCGCCAUUACUAUGCCUAGAAGGUGCGCCAUUACUAUCUGACUUAGUAAUGGCGCACCACAUAGAAGUGCGUCAUUACUAACAAAAUUUUUUCAUAAAAAAAAUUUCUAAAUUUUUUUCAUAUAUUUUUUCCCUUUUUUUCUUAAUCUCAGGUCAAUAUGCUUAAUCUCAAGUCAAAUCGCACUCCGUGGUCAAACUUGCCGGAAGGUCACCCAUCCUCACACUACUCCGGCCCGAGCACGCUUAACUUCGCAGUUCUAUCCAACCCCAGCACCAGCUUACUUAACAUGCACUUGUUGAUAUAUAUCUAUCAUAUCGAUCCUAUUAAACCUUGUUGAUGUCUAGAACUUUAUUCAUGUUCAUGAGUGUGAUGAAAUUUCAAACUUCCCGGUCCUAUUACGUAUCAUAUUUUGAAAAAAAAUUGAAACCAAUUUUUUUUCUGUUACUAGUGGCGCACCUAGCAAAUGGUGCGCCACUAGCAAGUUUGAUUUUUUUUCUUUUCCCCACUCUAGAUCUUAAAAGCCUCGUAUCUUUCAUUCUGUUAGGUUUUUCGGGAUUCUGAAAAUCUUGUAACUUUUUGAGUAGAUGCUUUUUCAUAUAUAAAACUUUUUAAUCCGAGUUCGUAUGUAAAAGUUAUGCCCAUUUUACUAAAUUCCAGAGAGAUUUUUUAAAUAAAGUCGAAAUUCAUAUUUGUAAAUUUUCCAACAACUAGACCACAUAUCACAUGGGAAAUUUAUUUCCUUUUUUUUUUGACAUUUCCAUCAUUUUCUUUUAUUUUUUCUAAAACUGAAACGGCGGUCCAGAGGGGUGGGGGUGCAAAGAAAGUAAGUAAUGACACACCUUCACAAAGUGCACCAUUAUUAUGUGUAUGACUUGGUCAAACCUUGGUCAAAGAUAGUAAUGGCACACUUUGUGUAGGUGCGUCAUUACUAAGUUUGACAUAGUAAUGGCGCACCUAUGCAAAGUGCGUCAUUACUAAGUUUGAUCAAGGUUUGACCCAGUCAUACACAUAGUAAUGAUGCACUUUGUACAGGUGCGCCAUUACUAUGUCAACUAGUAAUGACGCACUAUCCUCUAGUGCGCCACUGCUAACAAUUUUUUUAUUUUUUUCUUCAAAACUAGUACUAGCGCACCACACACCAGGUGCACCACUAGUAAUAUAUCAAUAAUGACGCACCUGUAUCUGGUGCGCCACUGCAUACAUGGUGCGCCAUUAAUGUCCAAAUUAGCUAUAGCCCUUUUCCUAAUAGUGAAGAUUUAAUGUUCUGAACAUUUUUUGAAAAGGAAUAUAUAUUAAAAUCCCAAACAUUUAAAAAAACGGAUUUGUGUGAUAUUAUGAGUUUUAUUGAAAAUUUUGGUUUUAUGAAUAAAGGGGAGAUAGAGAAAUAAACUUGAAAGGAAAAAAGAAAAAAGAAAAGGAAAGAAAAUAGAAACCAAUGGAGAAAGAAAAGUAGAAACAUAACAUAGAACAAAAAGAAAUGGUUCAACCAAGCUCGAGCGCCUUAUGCGAAUUUGUGACUAUUUUGGAAUGAGAACAAAUAUUUAUAUUAUAAACUUUUUCAAAAAAGAAUAUAUUUAAAGUUCUGAACAUUUUUUUAGAAAAUUGAUUCUUAUGAUAUUAUGAAUGUUUUGAAAAUUUUGAAUUUACAAAAAAAUGGGAGAAAAAUAAACUUGAAAGGAGAAAACACCAAAGAAAAAGUGAAAGAAAUGGAAAAAGAAAAAUAGAAACAUAUUUUAAAGUUCUGAGCAUUUAAAAAAGUCGAUUUUUUAUGAUAUUAUGUAGUUUUUUGACAAUUUUGAAUUUACGAAAAAAGGAGAAAAAGGUAAACUCGAAAGGGAAAAAGACCAAACAAAAGGAGAAAGAAACGGAAAAAGAAAAACAGAAACAUAACACAAAACAAAAAAAGAAUAUAUUUCAGCCCAGCUUGGGCGCCCAGUGCGAAUUUACGACUAUGUAACGCUAAUUGCGAUAAAUAGGGUUUUUCCACCUGCAUGUACACAAAAAUAACUGGGCUGGAUUUCGUGGGCCAAUACUGUGGGCGGCCCAUGUACGAGAUCUGGCGUUUUUCUUUUCUAAUAGACAAACGGACAAAAAAAUUGUACCACCUCGAAUAGAAAAAAAAUCUUUUCAUUGGUGAACGGAUGAAAAAAUCAGAGAAACACACCUUGCUUUAUUAGUAGGUAUAGAGGUAUAGAUAUAGAUAUAGAUAUAGAUAUAGAUAUAGAUAUAGAUAGUAUGGAUAGAAAAAUGAAAUUUUCCAUCCAUGCUAAUCAUAACAUAAAUUGUUUAAGAAUUCGUUGGUACACAUAAAAACAUCUAAUGUGAAUAAUCUAUGGUUCUUAUAGUAUUUGCUAGGAUAUCAUGUAUGUUAACGGAAAGUCAUGCAUGCAUGUGUCCAUUAUUGUGUAUAGAAACAAAGUAUUUAUAAUUCUACCAUUCUUUCGUGGCAAAAACAAGCAUGUAUUCCUUCUUUUAGGUUAACUAAGAAAGGCUACAAUAGAACACUCGACCUUUGUGCCUUUUAGAAACUUCUAGAUCACGAGUGCAUGAUGCACACAAUAACUUUUGCGUUUGUAACCAUGUUUUCUACCAACAUAAAAAAUAUACCCUUAUAUAACCUUCAUAAAGUAGCACAUUCUUAUUUCCACAUAUCUUCUAUAAAUUUGACGUGAUUUUCCAUCACACAGCGAUAUUUUUAUACUUUCGUCACAAAAUUGGACAUAAACAAUCAAUCACAAAAUAGUCAAAGAAAUGUAACUUCAUUGGAUCCAAUGUGCAUGUGUAAUAAUAAUAACCUAUAUCCAAAUGAUUGUUUGAUAUUUAUAAUUUGUCAAAAAUAUGUUAUAUCUGAUAUUACAAUUGCUAGCCCGUGCAGGUGCACGGAUUGACGACUAGUGAUAUGUAGAUAGAAUUAAUUAUGAUUACCAUUCAAUAAUUUUUCUUUAUGGAUAUCCAAAUUUAUGUUUAGAAUCAACAUUUCUACAUCAAUUUUUUCCGGGGAUUUUUUUUACUUAGUAAACAUAUGGAUAUUUAGAAAAAAUUUGUGCUAAUUGUGUGCUCUCCUUAGCCUAUGUUACAAUGCAUGGUUUUCUCGGUUAUUUUAGAAAAUGCAUGUAUUUCUCUAUUGCCAACUUCUCACAGAUGCAGUUAAGUUUCGUAAAAGUUUAGAAUGGCAGCCAACACGAAAAAGGAUAAAAGUAUCAUCAUUUGCACAUUUUUUCACCUUCUUCACUAUCUAUAUUUAUAAGGAUAUUCACUUUGCGAUUUAUGUUUUCCCAAUUUGCUACAAAAGCGCAGAACGAACAUUUUAGAAAAUAAAUGCAAAAUGUGUAAAAUAAAAUGUGUAGGUACAUAAUUAAAAAUCUUGGACGACGAUAACUGCCACACGUGUGGCAUCUAGGGGGUAUGUGCCGCACGCCCCGUGUGGCAUCGACACAGGCCCGCCCGCACGAGCACGUCCGCGCGCACCCCACCACAGCCCGCACGUUCGGUGUGUGGCGCAAUCGCCCGCACUAGCACGUCCGGGCGAGCGACCUCACGGCCCGCACGACCCGUCUCGGCCCUCGCCCCUCCCCGCCUGCGAGCCACACGCCCCGCGUGGCAGUAACCACGCGUCCCGCCGUGAUUGCCAUGGUCCGAACCCUCUUCCAUGUUCGUUUAACUGUAGUUGCCAUGUUGCUGAACUGCAGUUGCCAUGUCUGACAACUACAGUUGCCAUGGUUGCUCAACUGCAGUUGCCAUCUCAGGUCAAGUGUCGGAUGCCAUUUUUGGGCAACUGUAGUUGUUGCCAUGUAUGAUCUGGUCUACUAUAGAUGCCAUGAUUUGAAAACUUUAGGAUUUGCCGCCUACUAACACUAGACAGUUGCCAUGUAGCACUACAAAAACAUGGCAAAAAACAUGUUCGGGUAAAAGAGAGAGUUGCCAUCUGCUUACAAGCACACUAGGGCAGUUACCAUGUACCCUGCAAAAACACAUGGCAAUUGAUAGCUUUUGGUGUGUGGGAGAGGAGACGGGCAUGUGGGCGACGGUGGUAUCUUUAGGAGUUGCCACCUACUAACACUAGACAGUUGCCAUGUAGCGCUACAAAACAGACGUGUCAACAAUAACAUGUUCGGGGUAAAGAGAGUUGCCAUCUGCUUAUAAUCACAAAUAGGGCAGUUGCCACGUACUAGCACUGGACAGUUGCCAUUUAGCGCUACAAAAACAGACGUGGCAACAAUAACAUGUUCAGGGUAAAGAGAGUUGCCAUCUGCUUACAAUCACAAAUAGGGCAGUUGUCAUGUACCUUGCAGAAAACAUGGCAAAUGACAACUUGGUUUGGGAGAGUGGGAAAAAGGGCAGUCAUGGGAGAUGGGGAACAGAAGUCGUGCGCGGCGUGCGGGCGCGACAGCAGUUCCACCGCACGCCCCGACUCGCAACCGGUCUCGUCCGAGGGAGAAACAGCAUGCGGGCGAACUACCUACACACCACACACCGGGCUUGUCCUACGUGGCACACCAAAUCCAUCUUUUGGUGUCAGGAUUCGUGCAAAAAAUAACCAACGACAAUCCAGGCGUGUGGGCGAGUUGAAGACGUUCCACGCGUGUGGGCGUUAAUGUUUCCGAAAAUCUUAUAUCUCCGUCUCAAACAAAAAAAAGCCUCCUUCCAUAAGAAACAGCUCAUACGUGAAACUCUUCUCGCCUAUUAAAAAAAAGGAAAAGCAUCCCUCCCCCAAAAAAAGAGAAAACGUCUCCACUAGCUCCUGUACUUUUUUUAGGCAACCACGUCUCCUCUAUAUGGUCAGAUCUUUCAAGACUUCUUACUAAUCAGAACCACUACGUUGUAAAUUUAUAUCCAAUAAAGAAAACUUGCCGAAUCAUAGAUGGUCUCGUCCAAAAAAAAUGUCAUGUGAUACGUCCAACGUUGUCAAAAAAACAUUCUCCGUUCCUUAAAGAGAAAAGAUAGCGUCCUUAGAAAAGCACUACCAAUAAAAGGAAAAGAAAGACGGAAUCCAAUUGAUGACCGAUGAAACUCCAUAAAUAAAAUCUUCUGUCAAUCGAUUUUAAAAGAAGAAACAUCUGGCUCAGUUCCUCUACAUGGCCGCAUACUCCACUUCCUCUUCAAUCCUGCUCUCCUACAUGUGGCUGGUGGUGGCGAUUUCUCUAACCGAAGGAUAUACCCAACUCGCCAUCACCAUCAAGUGCGCUCUCCCACCAGCAGGGCCAACAACAAACUGCAAAGAAACCUGACGACAGGUGCUGCGAGGUAUGAUGCAAGAUCGACUGCGACCCCAAGCGGCAAUCGAUCUUCCUCAUUGUUAUUGUCACCGCGUCUCCUUCCAUCCACCCCGGGCAUCAAAGUUCACCCUAUUUUAUGAUAAUAAAAAAGUCCAACUACCAAGUACAACCUCUAAUAAGUUCUUCUUGGAUUCAUGCUCCGACAAGACUAUGAUCCAACUAUGAUAAUAAUGGAUUAAGGCACGGAUUGCUAACACUUAUCUGCAUAUAUAGUACGUAUGCAUGUCUUUAUUUUGGUCUUAGAAAAAAGAGAAAAUUAGCUAUUAAAGCAUCUUUAAAUACAUACAAAUUACCGAAGUAACAAGAAAAUAUGGAUGUACCAUGCGCCACGAAGAUCUAAUAGACACACGAUUAUCUAUGUGGUAUAGGUAUGUAUACAGUAUGGAUAGAAAAUAUAAAAAAAUGACAUCCGUAUUAAAAAUAUAAGAAAUUCUUUAAGAAUUUGUUUGUUGAGACUAGAACUUAAAACCGGAAUAAUCUAUGGUGCUUAUAGUAAUGAGAAUAUACUACAAACUUUUGUUUGCCAUCACACAAUGACAAUAUUAAUAAGGUUGUCACACAAUUGGAGGCAAACAAUCAAAUAACAAAAUAGUCCGAAGCAAUGUAACACUGUUGAACCUUAUGUCUAACAAAGAUAAACAUGCAUGUGUGACAACAAUAACCCAUAUCAACAUAUUAUUAUUGUCUGACAUUUCUAAUUUGUAACAACUUUGUUGUAUGCAAUAUUAAAAGUGCUAGCCCGUGCAUGUGCACGGGUUGAUGACUAGUAUAGUAUAACUCUGAGACAUGCCUAUAUAACCUCUUAUUUGCAUACGUUCUUUUAAAACAUAGCAUAGACAAACCACAUUACAUUAUAAUAAUGAAUUUGUUUUUUCUCGGUGACAGGGUAACUGUUAUUUCUAUGUCGACCAGUUGUAGCUUGAAAGAAAGUGUUAUAAAACAAUUAUGUUACUCCCUCCUCCAUAAUCUAGUGCGUAUAGAUUUUUUCUAAAAGUCAAACUUUCCAAACUUUGACCAAGUUUAUUGCAAAAACAAAUUAUAUCUACAAUAGCAAAUAUAUUUAACAUGAAACUACAUCUUAUGGUGAAUCUAAUGAUACACAUUUGUCAUUCUAGAUGUAAAUGUCUUUCUUCACAAAUUUGGUCAAACUUUGUGAGGUUUGACUUUUCAAAUAAAUUAUAUUCACUAUACUACGGAACGGGGGUAGUAUAUUUUAGGUAUAGAAGUUUUCAACACACAUUUUCACAAAUUCUAAGAUUAAAAUUGCAUAUUAUUUGUUAAAAAAUUAACUAUCUAAUUCUCGUUCAACAAAGAAUCAAUAGUCUAGGAAAAUGCGAGCACCAUUGUCAAGUCUAGGACAUGAAGCCUGAAGGGCUGCGGAUACCAUUGUCCUCCUUACCAUUCAACCAGAGGUUGGUUCACGUUGGCUCUCACAUGUUGACGGUCGUGUGCAUCGGUAUGAAGUUUUAUUUCGGACAAAUUUCCUAUGACAGGCCGGCUACUAGAAUUAUCGUUACCCUAGAAAAUGUUGCCAUGGUUCAAAUAAAUCAAAUUCAAAUAAUCCAAAUUUCAAGUAAGAUAUAGAUGAUAUUAUUGACACAAAGAUGGUCAUGGCCUCUUGGCUACACAUGAUUGUUUGCUAGAGAGGGUCGAGGAAUUGAAUUCCGUUUUCCCACCAAUUUUUUUGCGAUGUUACUUUGGCUGCCCAUCGGAUCUUCGCGCUUGAAAAGACUGCAUCCAUAGAGGUAAUGGGAGAGAUAAAUAACUUCAAAACAUCAGAAGAACACAAUGACAACAACAGAAUUUCAGGAGCCAUUUUAAAGAUAUGUUCCACAGGGAGGGACCGAUGGCAUCAUUUUUAGCCUUUGAAGCAAAAAAGACGGAUGACCCCAAACAAGUCUCCAAUUAUCCUAGAAAAAUAAAGAAUUUAUUCAAAACCAUGCAUAUUAAUAUAUCAACAGACAAAAUCAGAGUAAAAUCAAUGCCAUGAUAACUUUAUUAUUAUUAAGAGUACAAUUAAUUUCACAUCAACAUAUUUUCUUAGAAAAAAACAAACAUUAUAUAGUCGAGAAACAUCACAUCUGGUGCUACCAAGGCAGUGUUCAAUUUAACCAGCAUGCCCAGUUCACUGUUUCCAUUGACCAGAGCCCCCACUCCACGCAUAUCGACAAGCUCGGAGUCGCACUCAUCGACAUAAUCAUAUGCCAUAUCCACACAACUGGCGAGCUCAUUGGACCGUAGCCCGUCCUCGUCGCCUUGGUAAUCCUUGAUCAUGGGAUCACAUAUGUUGAGGACGCUCAACACAGAGUCAUAUAAUCCACCUCACACAAACUAAGGUCAACUCCACCGUGUGACUUCAAAUGGACGUCCGUUUUACCCGGAUUCUGUCCGUUUGGAUAGGGCAAUGGGGUCGCGUCCGGGCGGGAUGCGCUGGCCGUUCGCCCAACACGCGGACGCAUCCCGGCCGCAUCUUGUCCGCAUAGAUUUUUCUUUGUAAGCCCUUAACUUUUUUUCAUCAUUCAUUUUUGAUACAUGGAAUACAUCACCAAAUUUUGAAUAGAAAAAUAAGACCAAAAAAAUAAGAACCACAAAAAUACAUUUUAGAAGAUAUUUAACUUCCAUAACUGCUCCUGUAAGUUGGAUUAGUGCCUUCUCGAUGCAUUCAUUGUUUAUCUGCAGAGGAGGCUCGAUCUUGCGUGCUUCUUUCUUCUUCGAGUCUAAAGAAGUAGAGGUUGCUUUCUCGCAUCUAGUCUCAUGUCUAGCCUCUAAUCUAGCAACAAGUGCACUAGUCUCAUCUCUAGCCUCUAUGCUAGCUAAAAGUGCACGAACAUCUAAUAAAUUGCGCUCUAACAAUAUAUCGAUGUACUCUUCUUCCCAAUACCAAAACUUGCAUCCAUGCUACACAAUAAAAUUUUAAGUUAGCACGCAACUAGUCAAAUCUAAGAGCACAACCGAACCUAAAAAGAGCACAUACCCCAUCAUUUAAGCAUUUGAUGAACACCCAUCCUGAAUGUUCCGGCGUUGUAGACAUGCGGCCAACGACCUUCUUUGGGCGGUGGUCGCACUUAAUUAGUGGCAACGGUGCACCGACGAGCUUUUUGGCUAGCACCGAGCCCGGCCGAGCGUCAUAAGUGUAUCUGACGGCAGACCACCAACGGUGUAGAUCCGAGUGGCUAGAGGAGGAGCCACUGCCUGCAUGCGGCCUUGCGGCCCUGCCAGGGCCUUCCGGCCCAGUGCCCAGCCAGUCCAUGGCGCGGCGCGGCCUCCCACAGCCGGGCGAGCUCGAGGCUGACCGGAUCUGCCCCAAAUCCGGCCGGCGGGUGCGCAAAUCAGGUGGCCGUGAUUGGGUAGCUCGGGGGCGCCGAGGGGAAGGGGUUGGGCGAGCGCGCGUCCAAGCUGCACAGCUACAAUGGCAGCGGCGGCGGCGAGGGGAAGAGUGGGGAAAAGUGGAGAAGAGUGGAGGGGGUGCGGCUGGAGGAAGGGAGGGGGGCAGAUAGAAAAAGGUGUCCUUGUGCCAUCAACGGGCGGGCCAGGGAAGGACACGCGCAGACGCCCCGCCCGUCCGCGUGCUGUCCCUUUCACCCCAAAAGCGGCGCAAAUAUGGGCCGGGGAUGGGUCGAAAGCGGACAGAAAACGGAUAAAAAUUUUGCGUCCGCGGUUGGGCCGUCUGGUUCGUCCGUUUUAUCUCAAACGGACGCAUGCGGACAGGAGGGGGGCGCGUGGUGGAGUUAGCAUAAGGACACGCAUUGGCACCGUGCCUUCUUGCUUCAUGUGUUUGUUGUCUUCGCACAGGAGCUCUAGCACAGACGUUCUUAGGGUCAACCUCUGUCAACACAUGGGGUGGCCUGUUCGGCACGCCUGUGUAAAAAAUCAUGACACAGGCAUGAGGUAAUAGUUAGGGGUCUACUCCCUAAUAGUAUAUAGGACAAAGAUCAAUGGAACGCUCAUUGUUGUGGGCAGCGAGUUGCCAGAAACAUUUCUUCCUGCUCUGCUCUGCUCGCUCCUCCUCCAGGCGACAGACUCCUCUUCCCGGGAACGCACCCACAGUCGCCGGUGAAAGAUCCGAUAACAAGCGUGACAUCAUAUUCCACCAUGGCGUGGGUGCCGAGCAUAGUGCCCAUCGCAAGGCUAGCCUUCACCGCGCUCGUCGGCGUCGCCAACGCCGUGCUCAAUGCCAGCAUGAUGGCUGCCGCGUUUCACAUUCACCGUGCUGCCUUCCAGGUGUUUGAUUAAAUGAGCGAACCAAAUAUAUGUUAUAGGGAAUUAAAUUAUAGUUGUUCUUCUUUUUUAGCCCUAACAGUAGAACAAUCGUUAUACAAUAUUUUCAUUAAUAAAGAAAAGUUACAAAAUACAAAUAUUAACAAUGUAUAGACCUCUCAGCCUAUCCCUGUUCUAGGAAUUGGAAGUCAUGCCAUUAUAAAACCAAGUCAGACCAUUGUUUUAUCUUGCUUGCCUUUUCUUCUUUUGCCCGGAGUUGAACAGCCCAUAGUCCUUCCUCCAAAUAAAAUUUCCAUGUAUCUGUACUAGAAGGUGCUGAUUUGAAGAUGUUAUCAUUUCUCACUGACCAGAUGCUCCAACAACUCAUAAUGAUGAUGUCAAGUGCAAAGUCUUUAGGUAACUGAUUGGCAAUGAGAAGGAAUUCAUCAAAAGUAGAGAUGCCUCUGGUUCUUCCUAGUGCUAUAAUAUCCCAACAUGAGAGUGCAAAUGGGCAAUUCCAGAACAAAUGGAUCAAAGUUUCAUCCACAGCAUCACACUACUAAGGAAAACUUUAUACACAGAGAUAUAGAAGUAGCGCUGGACAAAAUGAAGCGCUACUGCUACUUAGUAGUAGCGCGUUGCGGUAAAAGGCGCUACUGCUAUCCUUUUAGCAGUAGCGCGUGUUAGCAAAACGCGUUGCUGCUAAGUUUGAACUGGGCGCACAUGGCUGGCCCCACUUAGCAGCAGUGCGUUAUGCAUACCUAGUGCUACUGCUAUGCUCCAUACUAGUAGUGUUUUUCAUGAACCCGCGCUACUACUAACCCUACCUUAUCGUUCCCGCGUGGCCGACCCUCUCCCUCUCCCUCUCAGUCACUCUCCCCAGCACCCCCCCCUCAUUGUCCGCCACCGCCGCCGUUCCCCAGCCACCGUCGUCGCCGCCGGCACGGACGCUCCUACUCCUCCAAUGAGGUAGCCCCUCCAUCCCUCCUCCUCCCUCCUCCCAUCCCUCCUCCUCCCUCCGCGCCCUCCUCCCUCCGCGCCCUCCUCCCUCCUCCUNNNNNNNNNNNNNNNNNNNNNNNNNNNNNNNNNNNNNNNNNNNNNNNNNNNNNNNNNNNNNNNNNNNNNNNNNNNNNNNNNNNNNNNNNNNNNNNNNNNNNNNNNNNNNNNNNNNNNNNNNNNNNNNNNNNNNNNNNNNNNNNNNNNNNNNNNNNNNNNNNNNNNNNNNNNNNNNNNNNNNNNNNNNNNNNNNNNNNNNNNNNNNNNNNNNNNNNNNNNNNNNNNNNNNNNNNNNNNNNNNNNNNNNNNNNNNNNNNNNNNNNNNNNNNNNNNNNNNNNNNNNNNNNNNNNNNNNNNNNNNNNNNNNNNNNNNNNNNNNNNNNNNNNNNNNNNNNNNNNNNNNNNNNNNNNNNNNNNNNNNNNNNNNNNNNNNNNNNNNNNNNNNNNNNNNNNNNNNNNNNNNNNNNNNNNNNNNNNNNNNNNNNNNNNNNNNNNNNNNNNNNNNNNNNNNNNNNNNNNNNNNNNNNNNNUCUGAUCCCACCGCCCUCCUCCUCCUCCUCCCUCCUCCCUCCUCUCUCCUCCCUCCUCCCUCCAUCUAUUUUUUUUUCUGUUUUUUACUGUAGUUUUUUUUACUAUUGUAUGUAUAGAUAUAUUGAUACAUGUUUUAGAUAACCUUGCAUUAAUAUGUCUAACUUCCAUUUCUGUUCUCUUCUCUCGUUCUACAGAUUUCAUAUUUGUAUUCAUUUUAAGAAUUCUUCAAGAUGCACAUAAUUUAGUCUCUGGUUACAAUCUAAAUGUAAGAAAGCACAUGAUCUGUAGAAGGUGCAACCAAUGUGUUAUCCAUGUGAUAAAAUUAAACUCAACAUGCUAGAUCAAAUAUCCAAGUCAACUAGAAAAGAGAUUUCCUUACAACUAUUGUCAAGCCGCAUUUUCAAAUCACAGACAGUUUUAAGCAAUGAAUGAUCUAAAAAAAUCAUCCUACCUGCCACCGUUUUUCUCUUUGGAUGUCCACAUAUUGUUUUUUUUUCAUGGUGAGCGUUUGUGCCAAUAGAUAAACUAACGAGUUUUUCAUCUUGUGGUCGAAUCAAAGAUAUUCGAUUCUGUGUUUUUCAUGAUCUUGCUUGUACGUACGACCAUGAAACUACUAUUGUUAUCAUGUAUGAAUACUUGCAAAAGGGUGCUUCAGCGCCAGCACCGACCAUGGAUGGACAUGAGUAUGCAUGGAUGCGUGCAUGUAACGACCUGUUGGCUCCUGCAGGUCAAAGUACAUGGUUCUCUUAGGUCUUUGCACCAUCAAGGCCUUGAACAGUUCCUUGAUGAGUGUCAAGGUGAGACUUCAUGUCUCUAUGGUGAACAGACAAACUUCAGCGGAUAUGUUGCUGUCAUGGCACGGCAAAGAACAGAACAAUAGAUGGACUCUUGCCACUAGUAGUAUUGAUCCACGCUUGACACAUGACUACUCAUGGAGAAGACCCAUUCCUUUAUAACAUUUCCCUUUUAUUCAGUCUGUUUUGGUGAAUCAGCUGUCAGAAGAACUUCUUCUUCUUGUUCUUCUAUUAAAAAUAGGUUUUUAACCCAAAUUAAAGUUAGAUUUCACAAGGAGUGAACCAGUGGCAUUGUUGUAUCCCCUUGAAGCAGAGAAGACAAGUGAGCGACAAUCAUAUUUCCAAUUAUCCAGCUGGUCUUUUACAAGUACUAGAAGAACGCCCGUGUGUUGCAAAGGGGUCACAUUACCUUUAAGAGUUCAAUAUUAAUAUUCUCAUACAUAUCAAGUGACAUUGGCGACUUUUUUUACCAUCAAAUCCUCACACACACACACUCUCUCCCUCCCUCUUCCUCACUCUCUCCCCCCCCCCCUCUCCCUCUAUCUCUCUCUAACNNNNNNNNNNNNNNNNNNNNNNNNNNNNNNNNNNNNNNNNNNNNNNNNNNNNNNNNNNNNNNNNNNNNNNNNNNNNNNNNNNNNNNNNNNNNNNNNNNNNNNNNNNNNNNNNNNNNNNNNNNNNNNNNNNNNNNNNNNNNNNNNNNNNNNNNNNNNNNNNNNNNNNNNNNNNNNNCACAUACACACACACAUAUUCAUCUUAUUGGGUACGGGACCAUAAUCCAUCUAUUUCACACACACACACACACGAUAGUGCAUAACUAUAUGGAUGUGUAUUAUAUUUGCCAUCACAACUGAGGGAAUUAAUUUCAUGUAAAUCGACCAGCCACAGCUCCAAGAAUACGCGGAGGAGGUGGCCCGGGUCGGCAUCGGCGGAUGUCCGGCACGGGCCACGGGCCCGCUUCCAUGCGCGUCUGUGCGCCGGCCACCCACGCCGGGUCCUUCAAGUGCCGCUUCCACCGCACCAAUUCCUAGGGCCACGGCCACGACCACGGACAGGGAAGCCGCCCUUCUUUGCCCCCUUCACCGGCCGCGGCGAACGCGGUGCCGCGGCAUCCGACCUCGCCGUCCUCGUCCUCCGGCACCGCCGCGAUCCAGUGACGCAGCCCAAUCAUCGGCCUCGAGAAUCAAGAACGCUCGACAACGCAGAGGGAAGGGAAGAUCAUUACAUGUCAUAAGAAAGGGAGUUUAUUUACUGCUCCCUCGAUGUAUUGUUUCCUUUGUUUGGAGAUUGAUUACCAUCCGUGAGUUAAGGUAAGGUUAAUGUGAUUGAGCGAUUUUUCUGAAAAUCAAAUAUUUGUUUUCUAAUUAAUGUGAUUGAGUGAUUUAAGGUAAGGUUAAUUAAUUUAGAUUUGAUCUUUAGAGAUUGUUCGUGAUUGAUUCUACAUUACUAAAUAACUUGCGUCAGUAUGGAAAGUUCUGAUCUGUUUAGAUUUCUUUCGUUGUGUGAGAGGGUGACGCGAAAAUAAACCGAUGAAGUGGGGGGGGACGAAAAAAAAUCUAUGAAAAAAAUCAGCGAAGGUGGGAGGAGGUACCAAAAAAACCAUGAAAGGUGGGACGAAAAAAACCUGAAAGCGAGACUACCAACUGCUCCAUUAGGAGUAGAGAUCCCUUCUUGAAUACUCGGUUCAAUAAAUAAGUUAUUCACACUUCACAGCCAUCCAUGUGCAUAUAUAGUAAGUUAAUAACACAAAACCCGAGUAAAUUUAUGCCACAAAAAGGUUCAGUAUUAUUAUUUCAAAUAACUGAUGCAACAACAAAUAAUAUUAAUCGCGGACAUCAUAUGAUAUUAGCAAGGCGUUGUUGAGGAUGAGAAGCAUGUACAACUCCUCGUUUUCUUUGAUGAGCACCUCCGCACCAGGCAUAUCUGGAAGCUCUAACCAACACACGACGAUAGGGUUGUAAUUCAUAUCCACAAAGUCGGGCAGAUGCAAGAACUGCUGCCCACUCUUGUCACCUUGGUAGUCCUUGAUCAGGCCGUGGCACACGUUGAGGCGUCUCACCACAUCUUCAUACUCCACCUCACAAUAACUGAGAACGUGCAUUGCCACUGUUCCCUUCUUGGCAUCUUGAAGCUUUUGCUUGACCUUACCACUAGCGGCAGUGAUACAGCUCUUAAAGAUGUCGACAGUGACGAGCACUAAGUCACGGAGGUCCUUAGCCUCGGCACUUCAAUUGUCCGACUGAAGGGUGGACAAACAGAAUUCUUGCGUGACAGAUUCGUUGUAGGGGUUGUUGAUCAAGGCCUUCUUGCAUGCUUCCACCAUGAGCUUGGUCGC